AAAAAAAAAAAAAAAAAUGUUGUCUGCGAAUCAUGACUAUUACAUUCCUCCCUAUGAAUAUGAAAAUUAAAAUCACGGUUUUUUUUAAAUAAUAAUAAAAAUAAAAUGAGGUGAUUAUGAGCUGACAUUCAAAGGCCCGGGCUCAAAAGAGCCAAAUCAUGAUUAUCCAUGACAGCAUGAUGGAAAGAGCCCCACAUCACGUUAUUGACUCAUCCCUUCUCAUCAAACAUGGCAAUCGAUUCAGAUUUCCAUAAUCAUGUUGUGUUUAGUCAAAGAAAAAAAUUAUGGAAAAUAAAAAAACAAACAAUUUUUCUUUAUUUAAUUAUACUAUAAAAACUAAAAAUUUAAAUAUAAUUAAAAUUAAUUAAAAACUUAUAUAUUUUUAAAUUAUUUAAUAAUAAUUAUAAUAAUUAAAAUAAGUUUAAAAUAAUGUAUAAAAAUAAUUUAUUGAUUUUUUAUACAUAUAGAUUUUAUUUUUUCUUUUCUUUGAAUUUUCCCUUUAAUUUUUUGAUAAUCAAAAAGUGAGUCAGCAACACGUAGGGAAGAAGAAAACCUGAGCCAGCAACACGCGCGUAGGAAAAAAAAAAACUCAAGGAAUGAUGGAUGAAGCUCUCAACACCGACAAGAAAAAGAGAAAAUUCUUAUAGCUUGUGUGGCUCAAACAAAAUUUGAAUGAUUCAAGUGUGAGAAUCGGGAAUCCAAGCCCACUAUAGGAAAAUAAUCCAAAAGCCUAGACAAUCUUUAUCAUUGCAGCAGAAAAGGAUAUCAUAAAAGUCAAGCAUGCAAAGGAGCUUGAGGCUUGGUUCUGGUUCACGUGUCGAAUGGCCAUUAAAGAUGGAACGGUUCAAAGUGCGGACACAGGUUGUCGGCGAGGUUCAACAGGACUCCCAUGCCUCCAAAGAAAAUGCACCAUUGAAAACAACAACCAGGGCUAUUACUAUUAUUACGUCACUUGUAAUUUAAUCCAUUCUAUUGUGGGUUUCAAUGUUCAGCCAAGUACAAAGCCAGUCAAAAGAAAUGUUAUCCACAAUUCCAGAUUAUAGAUUAUGAUGCAUUUCAAUAUAAAAAAGUCUUCUUAAAUCCUACAGUAAUAUUUUUCUUUCCUGUCACGCAAAUCCCAAACAGCCUUUCGGACAGUUGACCUGAAAAAGCCACUGCCGUAAAGUGACCAAAUUGUGUAUAUGGCGUCCCUUCUUCUCUUUGGAUUUAUCAUAGACCCAGAUUUUGGAUGACUUGAAACUCAACUUACAACCUCAAAUUAAAAGUUUGACUCUCAAUACAAAAUGUCCUUCAAAGGUUCUCCAAAUACUUACAAAGAUUCAACUACAUAUAUUUUGUUGCAAGUAUGUAUUAAGUAAUACAACCUUAAAUGUGUGAGUAUUUCAACGUUGGAGUUUUGUAUCCAAAGGGACAAAAAUGUAAAUAACCAUGCAUAAAGAGAUAAAAUAAUUAAAUUUAAAUUUUAGAAAUAUAAAUGAGGAAGAGCACAUGCGCUCAUAUAAUAAUGCAUGUGGAAGUGGUUGAAAGUAGCAAUAAUGAACAAAAUUUGCCAAAUUUAUCAACAAAAAAUGAAAUAAAAAUCUAAAAUCUCGUAACAAUGAGGAAAUAUCACGAUAUUUCAAACUUUGCUUAUAGAUGCAUAUUACGUCCCUGAAAAAUAUGAUGAAUUACACACUAUAAACAAGCUCACGAUUGGGUAGUUUUUAGUUCAUUCUUUAUAACUUUAAUGGUAUUAAAGCCAUUAGGAUUUUUUUGGAAGUAUUUUCUUUGCACCCAAACAUGAAAAUGGCUUCUUAUUGCGACAUCAAUGAUUGUAGCUGCUUCAGUAUCAACCCAAACUUCUAUCCAUAGUUUUUUCCAACCUUUACAAGUACUGAAUCAUACUUCACCUAUUAAAUUAGACAAGAUGAAUUAUAUUUUUUGGCAUUCACUAAUGGAAAAUGUGAUUCAUGCUAAUAGAUUUGUAGACUUUGUGGAAGGGGAAGUCAUGCCUUUCUAAGAUAGAUGGAUUGGGUGUCAUUAAUCCAAAAUUAUGCGGAAGAGAUUUGAUCAUUUGAUUCUAAUUAGUUGGGUCUAUUCAUCACUCACUCCUAAGAUUAUGGCAUAAAUCAUAGGACACAACCUCACAUUGUGUUUGGAGUGCACUAGAGAAAAGUUUUCUACCUCCUUGGAGGUAUGUGUUAUGCAACUACGAUUGCAAUUUCAACCAUUGAAGAAAGAAUCUUUGUCAAUGAUGGAAUAAAUUUUAAAAAUGAAGGGUAUUAUUGAUAAUCUUCCAAUUAUUUUCAAGCCUAUAAUGGAGCAUGACCAUGUACUACAACUUGGAGGAUUAUGUCUUGACUAUAAUUCUUUGGUUGCUUCUAUCACUACAUGAGAUAAUGAAAUUAGUCUUGAUUUAAUUCACAACAUGCUUUUGAUGCAUGAAAAACAUCUACACAAAAUUUAGUUGAAGAAAAUAUUGUUGUCUUAGUCAAUCUUGUAUCUACUCAAGGAAAAUACUUCCAUAAAAGAAAUUAGAAGAGUGGACAUGUCUUUAAUACAUCCUACAGUCUAGUUUAAAUCCAAAAUUCAAAUCCUAAUACACAAUUUUCUAGUAGAAUUCAUUGUGGUAGAACUAAUUUCAAUAUCACUCAAAGUUAAGGAGGAUGAGGUUGUAGGGAACUCUGGAUUACUCCCUUACUUGGCCUUGGAUCAGUUAGGUGCAUGCAAUCUUCUUAAGGCUAUCUAGAUCCUUGCAAUGGAAGUAAAUAAGCAAAUAAACACUUUUUCAGGAUCUAGAUCUAAAGAUUAGGAUGUGCUUACAUAAAUUUAGAUAUUCCUAUAUCAAUUCUUAUUGUUGUCAAAAACUCCAAAGUCCUAGAAGAUCUCAAAGACACAACAAUCUUCCAUCUAAUGGCUCCUUCUUGAAUCCAAGACAUUGAAAUGAUGGAGAUCUUAAGGAUGGUACAAACUAGGGUUCUCGUUCUCUUUAAUGGAUAAGAAGUAAGAGUUUGAAGCCCUGAACCUUAAUGAGGUUAUAAGCUUCCCAUGGGCUUAAGUGACUUGAGCCCACCUUGGGUUUAAAUCACUUAAUUUAGCCUAAAAAGGGCCUUAAUUGAUUAAUUAGUCCAAUUAGGCUCCAAAAAAUCAAUUAGCCCAAUUUAGAAAGAUAAUUCACAAGCUCCUAUGCAACCUAACGUAUUUACCAAAACGUCUUUUGUACACAAAUGAACUAAUAAUCUAUACAACAUCAUAAAUUGUGCCACCAAGAAACAUGAGCUCGAGCCAAGGCCACUAAGAUCCAAAGGAAAAUGUCGGCUCAUUCAGAAUCCAAUUCUGAAGUUGACUCAACAUCUCACUAUAGAAAUUCAACUGCACUCUAGUAUUCUAUGUAUUAAAACGAGAUAUAAAUUCAAAUCUAUGACCUAUUAUCCAUUGCAUGCAAACGUCUUAAGAACUGGUAUCUGUAAUCUAACAAAGUAUGUGCUAUCAACCUCUCAAGAUUACAUUUUUAAUCGUUGAGUCUCAAAUCCUCCUAUUAUGUGAUCAACAAACAUAAUCUAGCUCUCUAAGAGCAUAUAUCAAAUUUCAGUAAAAAAAUUACUAUGACCAUAGUUUUCCUUAUCACAUAUCUUUAGGAUCAUCUAAGAAGAUAUACUAUUUUAAACUCAUGAGAUAUCAUGAUGCCUAUAUCGAAAAUACCUAUUGCCAUCUACCUUAAUAAAUAGUGACUAAUUAGUAGGACAUAUGUGGUCACCUUAAGGUCUCACCCAUAGGUCAAAGUCAUUGAAGAGCUCAUAACUAGCUCAAUAUUCUCUCAAGGUUAAGAGCUUAUGCGAUAUAAUAGUUUAGUGAUUCAUGAUUACCCGAUAGCCAGUGUCAUGAUUUACCAUAAGUCUUGUCCAAUUUGUAACCAUACAUACUAGCGCACUCAUCCUGAGAAAAUCAUCAGGAUGACUAAGACAAAUCAUCCCUUUAAUAAAGAGGUAGUGCACUAUACUAUCUAAUAGAUUACCCAAAUUCAUGAACCAAUUGUGAACUGGUUAUCAUUUUGCAAAGAACUCAUAACUUCAAUCUUCUAUGUAACUACUAAUGCACCCACAUCACAUACAAUGCAAAUAAUAGGGGUGCAAAUGCUCAAGUAAAAAUUAAUGCAAAUGAGGAUAAGAAAAGAAAUUAGAAUCAUAAUAAAUAAAUUUAUCAAUGAAACUUUAUUUUGUUACAUCAUAUCAUGCUUUCAAGGGCUCUAUUCUAACAAUUAUAGUCCAUUUUCCUUAGAAUGGUCUACAUCAUUUAUUUAAGAAUUUUUUAUAUAUCAUAAAAAAAAAAUCGACUCUCUAACAUUCAAAAUAACUUCAAAUAAGAUAAUUCUCUAAAUAAAAAUUUUAAGUUAUUUAUGAAAUGCACAUUGCACAAUGUUUGUAUGUUAAAUAUCUAUAUCUUAGAAAUCAAUAGACAAUCUCUAAUUUAUAAUUCAAAAUGACAUGUACAUGAAUUCCCUCAUUAUGACAACUACAUUAUCUUUUAUUUCAUAAAAAUGCAAGAAACAAAUAGAGAUUAAAGUAAUGCAAAAUAAUAAUAAUAAAUAAGAUAAAAAAAAUUACAAAAUAGAUAUAUAAUUGAUAGAAUUUCCUAUAAACACUUCAAUUCACAUCAUAAAUAAUCCUAUACUUGUUGAGAUAAAGCUCUUAAAAGCAUGACAUGAUGUAACAAUAGUUGGAUUUCAUUAAUAGUUAUAUUAUGAUUUUGGUUCUCCUUUUACUAUAUGGUUUAUACAUUUUUUUUAUGUUAAACAUUUCAAUUUGAUAUCUCUUGCAUUGUACAUGACUUAGAUGCUUUAGGAUUUGCGCAAGUAAUGGCUUUCUUGUAAGUAGAUGAUUUGGUCAUAGUUGAUUCAUGGACAUAGGCAAUCUAUUUGAGACUAUUGUGCAUUACUUCCUAAUUGGAAGGAUGACUAGUCUUGGUCAUUAGGAUAAGUUUACCAUAAUAAGUGAACUAGUGUAUAUGGUUACACAUUUGAUAAGACCUACAAUGAAUUAAGACAUUUUUUUUUUCCGAAUACUCAUGAUUCACCAAGCUACUAUAUUGCAUUGACUUUCAAACUUUAGAGGAUAUUAAACUUGUGCUAUAGUCAUUAGGAGGAUAUUAAAAUGGAUUAAAGUUUGGGAUGGUAUGUGUCUGGAGGUUGCAGAUGACGGUAAUUUUAUCAUUUUAUAUACCAAUUUUAUUUUUAAAAAAUUAGGUGGAUGUAGAAAGAAAUAAGAUGGACAUGUUUAAUAACGCUUUAAUAGAAAAUAAGGAUAGUGUUUGAUUACAUGAUAAAGAUGAAAUACAAUAAAAAAUAAUUUCUAUUCAUUAAAUAUAAAAUAUUUUUGUAUUAAAUUAACAUUCAUAAAUUGGUAGGUGGAAAGAUAAUGAUGAUCAUAAAUGAUGGUAUGACUUUUUUUUUUAAUUUAUUAAUUUUAAAAAUUAUUUGUAGGGGUCUCCCCCACGUGUCAACCCAUGUGUUGGUCCAAGUGGCAUUCCCCUCAGUACUGUUCGGAUGGUCACCAUAACACCAGAAGCUUCCCAUCUAGGCCAUACAGGCUUGCGAUUAGUAGUGAUAAACCCCCCAUGCUGGCAACGUUUUCCGGAUAGCUUUUGAUUCUCUCUUACUACAUGUAAUAAUUCUCUCUUGACAUAGGUAUAGAUGAUGGGACCUUCCCCAGUCCUCGCAUCCAUGUCAGAAGAUUAUCUUAGCAAUAGGUUGAAACGACGGGCAAACACAUCAUGACAUACUAUUUGGUGGCAGCAACUAGCCACCCUAAACUGCAAUGAUUGCCCUACCAACUACAGAAUAGUCAUCAUUACAGUAAAAGUCAAAGUGCCAACUUAGCACUAGAGUGACUCCCUCCUAAGCACUAUAAAAUGUCCUCCCAAGCAUAACCCAGGUAUGCGAGUAAGGGAUAACACCUUCACUCUUCCUUUUAAAGGUUCAAACCCACUUGUGUUUAACUUAAGCUUCGGAGGGGUGUGCCUGGACAAUCUAUCUGAACAUCCUUUGUAUAGAAAAAUAGCUUGCCCAACCUCUAGUUGCUGAGUAGGAGCUUCUAGUGGCACAACAAGGGGAGGAUUUGACCCAGUUGACCUUGUAUCAACAAUAUUGAAAUGUGAUAAAUGAAGAAAUCUUUGAAAGGUUUACCCAUUUAAUAUAAUCAAUUAAAUAGAGGGAACACAUCUUAUCCUACAUCUACAUAUGCCCUACUCGUGUACACAAAAAUGCUACUCAUUAAUUUUUUGUUCAACUUUCUUAGCUUUUGUACGUGUCAAUUCCUCGUACCAUUAAAAAAAAUUGGUAUCCUUCAUCCCCAAUAAAAAGAAAAAAAAACCUCCUGAUUAACCAUAAGAUUACAAAUUAGAAUAUCUAUCAAUUCAAUUGAUUGAAAGAAUAAUGGUCUAAAAUUUGUUAUAAAUAUAUAUACAAAUUCUUAAUUUUACUUUAAUUUUUUGUCCUUAAUUUAUAAUUUAUAAUUUUAAUUAUAAUCAUAAUUCUAUUUUUAGGCCUUAAAAACUUGCCGUGAACGAAAGGAAAAAAAGAAAGUAACGUAUGAAAAAUGAUGAAAAGAUGGUAACGGGGACCAACUUCACAAAAAGGAGGGUGGAGACUUUUUCAUAACAGGCUUUGGACUUUGAAUCAGUAGGCAGGGAAUUUAAAUUAAAAAAUAAUAAUAAUUUAAUUUUUAAAAAUAAUAUAAUUUUAAAAAUAUUUUUAAAUAAAUGAUCAGAUUAAAAUUUUAGUUUAAAAAACAAAUUAAACAUUUUUUUUAACAAAAAACUUCAGUUUAAAUUUAGUUUUUAUAUAUUAUUAAUGAUUUUUUAAAACAAUUUUAAAAAAUAUUUUUCAGAACGGUUUUUAAAAACCGUUCUCUAAUAUUUUGUAGAAUAAAAAUUAUUUAAAAAUCUAAAAUGUUUGAAACCUAUUUUUAAUAUAUUUAAAAAUAAAUUUUAUGUUUAUAUUUUUAUUUUUAAUCAUUAUUUAUGUUGCUUGUAAAAUAUAUGAAAACAAUUAAAAGAUGGUAUCUAAAAAUAUUAUGUUUUUUAUUUUUAAAAUUAUAAAAUAGAAAAUAGUUUCAUGGUUCUUAAAAGUAUUUUCUAAUUUUUUUUUUUAAAAAAAAAAUUGUUGUCUGCCAAUCAUGACUAUCUCAUUCCUCCCGAUGAAUAUGAAAAUUAAAAUCACGGUUUUUAUUUUUAUUUUUUGAAUAAUAAUAAAAAUAAAAUGUGGUGAUUAUGAGGUAACAUUCAAAGGCCCGGGCUCAAAAGAGCCAAAUCAUGAUUAUCCAUGACAGCAUGAUGGAAAGAGCCCCACAUCACGUUAUUGACUCAUCCCUUCUCAUCAGACAUGGCAAUCGAAUCAGAUUUCCAUAAUCAUGUAGUGUUUAGUCAAAGAAAAAAAUUAUGGAAAAAAAAAACAAUUUUUCUUUAUUUAAUUAUACUUUUAAAAAAUAAAAAGUUAAAUGUAAUAAAAAUGAAUCAAAAACUUGUAUUUUUUAAAAUUAUUUAAUAAUAAUUAUAAUAAUUAAAAUGAGUUUAAAAUAAUAUAUAAAAAUAAUUUGUUGAUUUUAUAUAUAUAUAUAUGUAUUUUUUAUUUUUUCUUUUCUUUGAAUUUGCCCUUUAAUUUUUUGGUAAUCAAACAUAUAUAGAAGAGAGUUGGAAUCAUAAAUAAAAUAAAAUUAAAAAAAAAAAAAAAAACCCUUAAGUGAGUCGGCAACUCGUAGGGAAAAAGAAAACCUGAGUCAGCAACACGUAGGAAAAAAAAAAUACUCAAGGAAUGAUGGAUGAAGCUCUCAACACCGACAGGAAAAAGAGAAAAUUCUUAUAGCUUGUGUGGCUCAAACAAAAUUUGAAUGAUUCAAGUGUGGGAAUCGGGAAUCCAAGCCCACUAUAGGAAAAUAAUCCAAAAGCCUAGACAAUCUUUAUCAUUGCAGCAGAAAAGGAUAUCAUAAAAGUCAAGCAUGCAAAGCAGCUCGAGGCUUGGUUCUGGUUCACGUGACGAAUGGCCAUUAAAGUGCGGACACAGGUUGUCGGCGAGGUUCGCCUCCAAAGAAAAUGCACCAUUGAAAAUAACAACCAGGGCUAUUACUAUUAUUACGUCACUUGUAAUUUAAUCCAUUCUAUUGUGGGUUUCAAUGUUCAGCCAAGUACAAAGCCAGUCAAAAGAAAUGUUAUCCACAAUUCCAGAUUAUAGAUUAUGAUGCAUUUCAAUAUAAAAAAGUCUUCUUAAAUCCUACAGUAAUAUUUUUCUUUCUUGUCACGCAAAUCCCAAACAGCCUUUCGGACAGUUGACCUGAAAAAGCCACUGCCGUAAAGUAACCAAACUGUGAAUACGUGCCCUGUAUAACCACAGUUGAUCCUCCCUUCUUCUCCUUGGAUUUAUCAUAGGGAAACUUUUGUUGGGCCGGUAAUAUCAAAACAUUAUGGGAUGGAUAUUUCAACGUUGGAGUUUUUUAACCGAAAUGACUAAAAAGUAAAUAACCAUGCAUAAAGAGAUAAAAUAAUUAAAUUUAAAUUUUAGAAAUAUAAAUGAGGAUGAGCACAUGCGCUUAUAUAAUGCAUGUGGAAGAGUGCAUGGUGUUUUCACUUUGUCCCAUAUUGAAAAUGAAUGAGGAGCAGAAAGUGGUUGAAAGCAGCAAUAAUGAACAAAAUUUGCCAAAUUUAUCAACAAAAAUGAAAUAAAAAUUAAAAUAUCAUAACAAUGAGAAAAUAUACGAUAUUUCAAACAUUGCUUAUAGGUGCAUAUUAUGUCCUUGAAAUAUCAGGAUAUUUCAAACCACCCUUAUUUUUCUCUUUUAAGAUAUGAUGAAUUACACACUAUAAACAAGCUCAUGAUUGGGUAGUUUUUUAGUCAUUCUUUAUAACUUUAAUGGUAUUAAAGGCAUUAGGAUUUUUUUGAAGUAUUUUCUUUGCACCCAAACAUGAAAAUGGCUUCUUAUUACAACAUCAAUGAUUGUAGCUGCUUCAGUAUCAACUCAAACUUCUAUCCAUAGUUUUUUCCAACCUUUACAAAUACCGAACCAUACUUCACUUAUUAAAUUAGACAAGAUGAAUUAUAUUUUUUGGCAUUCACUAAUGGAAAAUGUGAUUUAUGCUAAUAGACUUGUAGACUUUGUGGAAGGGAAGUCAUGCCUUUCUAGGAUAGAUGGAUUGGGUAUCAUUAAUCCAGAAUUAUGCGGAAGAGAUUUGAUCAUUUGAUUCUAAUUAGUUGGGUCUAUUCAUCACUCACUCCUAAGAUUAUGACAUAAAUCACAGGACACAACCUCACAUUAUGUUUGGAGAACACUAGAGAAAAGUUUUCUGUCUCCUUGAAGGUAUAUGUUAUGCAACUACGAUUGCAAUUUCAAACAUUAAAGAAAGAAUCUUUGUCAAUGAUGGAAUAAAUUUUAAAAAUGAAGAGUAUUAUUGAUAAUCUUCCAAUUAUUUUCAAGCCUAUAAUGGAGCAUGACCAUGUACUACAACUUGGAGGAUUAUGUCUUGACUAUAAUUCUUUGGUUGCUUCUAUCACUACAUGAGAUGAUGAAAUUAGUCUUGAUUUAAUUCCCAACAUGCUUUUGAUGCAUGAAAAACAUCUAGAGCAACAAAAUUUAGUUGAAGAAAAUAUUGUUGUCUUAGUCAUUCUUGUAUCUACUUAAGGAAAAUGCUUUCAUAAAAGAAAUUAGAAGAGUGGACAUGUCUUUAAUACAUCCUAAGGUCUAGUUUAGAUCCAAAAUUCAAAUCCUAAUACACAAUUUUCUAGUAGAAUUCGUUGUAGUAGAACUAAUUUCAAUAUCACUCAAAGUUAAGGAGGAUGAGGUUGUAGGGAACUCUGGAUUACUCCCUUGCUUGGCCUUAGAUCAAUUAGGUGCAUGCAAUCUUCUUAAGGCUAUCUAGAUCCUAACAAUGGAAGUAUAUAAGCAAAUAAACACAUUUUCAAGAUCUAGAUAUAGAUCUAAAGAUUAGGAUGUGCUUACAUAGAUUUGGAUAUUCCUAGAUCAAUUCUUAUUGUUGUCGAAAAACUCCAAAGUCAUAGAAGAUCUCAAAGACACAACAAUCUUCCAUCUGAUGGCUCCUUCUUGAAUCCAAGACACUUAAAUGAUGAAGAUCUUAAGGAUGGUAAAGACUAGGGUUCUCUUUCUCUUUAAUGGAUCAUAAGAAGUAAGAGUUUGAAGCCCUAACCCUUAAUGAGGUUAUAAGCUUCCCAUGAGCUUAAUUGACUUGAGCACACCUUGAGUUUGGAUCACUUAAUUUUGCCUAAAAAGGGUCUUAAUUGAUUAAUUAGUCCAAUUAGGCUCCAAAAAAUAAUUAGCCCAAUUUAGAAAGAUAAUUCACAAGCUCGUAUACAACCUUACGUAUUUACCAAAAUGUCUUUUUACUGACUUGAGCACACCUUGAGUUUGGAUCACUUAAUUUAGCCUAAAAAGAAUUGAUUAAUUAGUCCAAUUAGGCUCCAAAAAAUAAUUAGCCCAAUUUAGAAAGAUAAUUGACAAGCUCGUAUGCAACCUUACGUAUUUACCAAAACGUCUUUUUGCACACAAAUGAACUAAUAAUCUAUAUUACAUCAUAAAUUGUGCCACCAAGAAACAUGAGCUCAAGCCAAGGCCACUAAGACUCAAAGGAAAAUAUUGGCUCAUUCAUAAUCAAAUUCUAAAGUUGACUCAACAUCUCACUAUAGAGAUUGAAUUGCACUUUAGUAUUCUAUGUAUUAAAAUGAGAUAUAAACUUAAGUCUAUGACCUGUUAUCCAUUUCAUGCAAACUUCUUAUGAACUGGUAUCCGUAAUCUAAUAAGGUAUGUGCUAUCAACCUCUCAAGAUUACAUUUUUAAUCCUUGAGUCUCAAAUCCUCCUAUUAUGUGAUCAACAAACAUAAUCUAGCUCUCUAAGAGCAUAUAUCAAAUUUCAGUCAAAAAAUUACUAUGACUAUAGUUUUCCUGAUCACAUAUUCUUAGGAUCAUCUAAGGAGAUACACUGUCUUAAACUCAUGAGAUAUCAUGGUGCCUAUUUUGAAAAUACCUAUUGCCACCUACCUUAAUGAAUAGUGGCCUAAUUAGUAGGACAUAUAUGGACACCUUAAGGUCUCACCCAUAGGUUGAAGUCAUUGAAGAGCUCAUAACUAGCUUAAUAUUCUCUUAAGGUUAAGAGUUUAUGCAAUAUAGUAGCUUAGUGAAUCAUGAUUACCUGAUAGCCAGUGUCAUGAUUCACCAUAGGUCUUGUCCAAUUUAUAAUCAUACAUACUGGUGCACUCACCUUGAGAAAAUCAUCGUGAUGAUCAAGACAAGUCAUCCCUUUAAUAAAGAGGUAGUGCACAACACUAUCUAAUAGAUUAUCCAAAUUCAUGAACCAAUUGUGAACUGGUUAUCAUUUUUCAAGGAACCCAUAACUUAAAUCUUCUAUGUAACUGCUAAUGCACUCAAAUCACAUACAAUGCAAGUAAUAGGGAUGUGAAUGCUCAAGUAAAAAUUAAUGCAAAUGAGGAUAAAAAAAGGGAAUUAGAAUCAUAAUAAAUAAAUUUAUCAAUGAAACUUUAUUUUCUUACAUCAUAUCAUGCUUUCAAGGGAUCUAUUCUAAAAAUUAUAGCCCACUUUCUUUAGAAUGGUCUACAUCACUUAUUUAAGAAUUUUUUAUAUAUCAUAAAAAAAAACCCCAACUAUCUAUCAUUCAAAAUGACUUCAAAUAAGAUUAAUUAUCUAAAUAAAAAUUUUAAGUUAUUUAUGAAAUACACAUUGCACAAUGUUUGUAUGUUAAAUAUCUAUAUCUUAGAAAUCAAUAGACAAUCUCUAAUUUAUAAUUCAAAAUGACAUGUACAUGAAUUCCCUCAUUAUGACAACUACAUUACCUUUUAUUUCAUAAAAAUGCAAGAAACAAAUAGAGAUUAAAGUAAUGCAAAAGAAUAAUAAUAAUAAUAAGAUAAAAAAAAUUAUAAAAUUGAUAGAAUUUCCAAUAAACACUUCAAUUCACAUCAUAAAUAAUCCUAUACUUGUUGAGAUAAAGCUCUUAAAAGCAUGACAUGAUGUAACAAUAGUUGGAUUUCAUUAGUAGUAAUAUUACGAUUUUGGUUCUCCUUUUACUAUACGGUUUAUACAUUAUUUAUGUUAAGUAGUUUAGUUUGAUAUCUUUUGCAUUAUACAUGAGUUGAAUGUUUUAGGACUUGCAUGGAAGAUCCAAGUCAUGGGUUUCUUGCAAGUAGAUGAUUUGGUCAUAGUUUAUUCAUGGACUUAGGCUAUCAAUUUGAGACUAUUGUGCAUUACCUCAUAAUUGGAAGGAUGACUAGUCUUGGUCAUUAGGAUGAGUUUCUCAUAGUGAGUUCACUAGUGUAUAUGGUUACACAUUGGAUAAGACCUACAAUGAAUUAAAACAUUUGUUUUUGAAUACUUAUGAUUCACCAAGCUACUAUAUUGCAUUGACUUUCAAACUUCAGAGGAUAUUAAGCUUGUGCUAUAGUCAUUAGGAGGCUUUGACCUAUGGGUGAAACACUAAGAUGGUCAUAUAUUCCCUAUGGAUAGACCAUUGUUGAUGAAAGCUGGUGGUAAGAGGUAUUCUCAAUAAAAACAUCAUAAUAUCUCAUGGGAUUGUGAUAGUGUAUCUCCUUAGGUGAUCUUAAAUGUGACCAUAAAAUUUGUGGUUAUAGCAAUUUCUUAGUGGAAUUUGGCAUAUGUUAUUAUGAGCUAGAGUAUCUUAGUUGAUUAUAUAAUGAGAGGAUCUAUAACUCAAGGAUUGAAAAGGUAAUCUUGAGAGAUUAAUAACAUAUACCUUAUUAGAUUAUGGACACCAUCUUAUGGGGAGUCUACAUAUAAUGGAUAGUAGGUUAUGGACUUGAGUUGUAUCUCAUUGUAAUUUCAAAGGAUACUAGAGUGCAAUUAACUCUUUGUAGUGAAAUGUUGGGUGAUUGAAGCCAAAAUAUGUGCUCCAAUGACAUAAAUAUGAUAUGAUUUAUAUAAUAUAAAAAGUUCAAAUCAUCCAACUAUGGACCUGUAUUUUUCACAUGCACCCCCACUUGAUCGGCGAGACUUGCUUUUAUUUGUGAAAAAUUAGUUUUUGGAAAAAUGUUGGAGUCACCACUUAUUUUAUUUUAUUUUAAAGGGAAAAUAAAACAAGAAAUAAAACCCUACAAAAUGACUCCAUAGUUUUUGGAAAAACAUGUCUUUGAAAAACUUGAGUCUAGGUCCGGGGAUCAGGUUACUUAUUGGGAAGGUACCUCUAGGAGGUAGCACCCCUUUAAGCCCUACAAAGGUCUCUACUAACUACGUUGAGGGAACUGUGGCAAUCAACUGAUUAAUUGAGGGUACCUAGAUAGGCUAAGGUGAUCUCAAAACUAGCAUGUCAAACAAGAAAAACCAAUCACGCUCAUAAAGGAGAGUUAGGAUGCAUACCUAGACCGUUCCUUAAGCGCCAUCAAAAGACAUCAAAGUUAACGUAGAAAGAAAUAUAGCACACGACCUGCAUUUUAUCAAAGCAAAUUGAACAGACAUCUAGACACCCAAGGAUGGAAUAGAAUAUAGAUAUGGUUCACAACAACAUGCAUGUUCAUAAAAUUCCAAAAAAACAAGUAAUAGAGAGCGUACCUGGAUAGCAUGCAUGAUUCAUAAGAUUCCUCCAAAAAUGCUAGAGUGGUUAGGACAAGUAUAAAUUAUGUAACAUAUUCAUAGUGUCUAACAUACAGUACUAAAACUAAGCCAAGAUAACUCAAAUGACCCUAAAAAUAAAUAACAAAUUUAGGCAAAAUACAAGGAUUAUUAGCAUGCAAUUAGUAAAGAGAGCAUAAGAAAACAAUUUCUAAAAAAACGUCUUGGAGUGGAAUUUAAUCACAAAAAAAAAAUUAGAAAACAACUCCUACACAUCUAAAACGAGAUACCCAAAGCCAAACACUCAUUCGAAUAACAAAUUGCAGCAAAGACACCCGAAAAUUCCAAAAAGUCUAGAUUAAGUAAGAAAAUCUGUCAUGCAUAAACGAAUUUUUUUUUAAAUAAUAAUAAAUGAUCACAUAAAAUCAUAAAAAAAAAAAAAAAUCAUACACAUAUUUCAAAGUUUCUAUAUCACAUAAAAAAUGAAUCUGGGGUUAGAUAGUACUCAAAAAUAUUUUUAAGACACUCAAGCUAAUUAGAUGUCCAGAAUUUAGCAUGCAUGACCGAAAUUCUCUAUUGUACCAAAAUACUUAGCCUUUUUACGUAGUAACUCUGGUAAAGAAAAACUAGAGAAAGAGUCACUAUGACUAUUGUAGUAUUCCGGGUAUCGUUUUCAAGGACUGACUUAUGAAAAUUGUCAAUACUAGAAUAAAUGAAUUGUUUUUGUUUAAAUCCUUAAGUGAAAAACAAUAUGUGAAUAAUGUGAAACUAAGUAAAAGAAAUUGAAUUAAUAAGAAAAAAAUGAAUAUUGAUUUUAAAUUCAAUUGAUUCAAGUUUGGGGUUUUGCACAAUCCAACCUAGGGUAUAGAAAUUAGAGAAAACAAGGGUAUUUUAAGUAAUAUGAUCUUAGGGUUUUGGGAUCCUUGGCCACUCGCGAUCAAGUUGAGUUCUAUAACUCAAAAUUGCAUCCGAAACCUAAUUUUUUUUUAUUUCUAAAACAGAUUCCUAAAACCAUCAAAUGAAUGAAAUUGAUUAUCAAUUUAAGAUUUGGCUUUUUAACCUUUCCUACUCCUUAUAGCUUUGUUUAGGGGCAAAUAACGAUAAGUAAGACGGGGAUAACUAAUGAUCAAGAAUUACCAAGAAUCACUAGUAUCAAGUAAUAACCUAUCGUAUCAUUCCCUAAACGAACUCACAAGGAUAGGAUAAAAAAAAUGAUAAAUUGUCACCCAACCAAUAAUUAAUCUCAUUGUUAUAAUAAUUUAUCCAUUGUCCCUAUAGGUUUCCUAGCCCUUAGGUUUUCAUGCUUCAAGCCCCAAGUUGGCUCUCAGCCUCUCAUGGGGGUGAUGUUACAUUCACAAUCCAUAAUAGGGUAAAAAUCCAUAAUUUGAAUAAAAAGAAACUAAAAACAAUAUAUUCAAUAAAGAAGAAAAAGAAAACAAAACAAAGUUCUCGUCUUUUUUCACCUUCAAUGUCAAACUCUCCAAAAAAAAAUCCAAGAUCCCUAAAACCUAGAAUUGAGAGAGUUUAUAUAAUAUCCUCAAUUACCUAACAUGUGACACACUCUCAUUGGCCACUUAUUACAAAAUAAUUUCCUAAAAAUGAUUAAAAAUAAUAAAAUGGUGAUUUCUAGUCAUGUGGGGUCCAUAUAGGGCGGAUGGAGUGCUCUAGAUGCAAUUCCCGAGGUAGAUGAGGUGAAACAUCAAAGUGGCAGUGGGUGAAUUUGAAAUUAGUGUCAUUUCAAAAUGGAUUUUGAAUUCAUAAGUUGAAUUUCGAGAUCAUAAGUUGAAUUUCGAAAUCAUUUCGAAAUGACCCUCCAGCUUGGUGCAGUUGUCUGCAAAUGGCCAUAACUUCUUCAUUUCAGCUCCAAUUUGCACACCGUUUGAAGCGUUGGACUCCUGACUUCCCGAGCUUCAAAAAGAAUAUAUAGUAUGUAUAUAAUGGGCUCCAGAAAGUGCUCUAAAUUUGUCCUCAAAGUCAGAGUAUAUAAUGCCAUUAGAUUUUUGAGUUCUAAAUUUCCAUGCAGUUGAAUCUUGCUUCAUGCCUCAUUUCCCAUGCUUUCUUUCCUUCUUUCUUACUCCAUAAUGGUCAUUUCUCAUCUUCCAAACUCAUGAUAUCCUCGUCUUGCCUUUGAUUGCGUUCCAUGAGUCUUGACUCUCUUAUUUCCUCAUUUAGCCCUUUCUUGACCUUUCAAAAUCUAAAGUCAUUCAAUUUGCACCAUUUUCUUCCCUUGAACCUGAGAUAAGUCUCCAAAGUACAAAUUAAACUCAUGGCUAGGGCCUUAGCAUUGAUUUAGGUCAAUUUAGAUGAUUUGAAUGUCCUUUGGUGCACAAAUCAUAUCGCAUAUGUGCCAUUAGAGCACAUAUUUUGGCUCUAAUCAAUAGACGAUAGGCAUGACUUUGAAAAAUCACAUAUUCCUCAAUAAGGCAUAUUUUUUUUUAAUAUUUUAUGUGUCUAAUAUCAAUUUCAAAAGGCCUAGAAUUGAGGAAAAAUUUUGAAUCAAAUUUAAAAAGUCAUCUGGUAUUUUAUUUUUGCAAAAAACUCUCAGGUGUCCAGAACUGGGUGAAAUUAGAGCCCCCCUAAAGACUUGUUUAUAUCUUCUAUUCCAGAGUGACUUUCUAACUCAAACGAAACUUUAAGUUCAAGUUCGAGAAGUGAAGUCAUACAAGUUUUGGAAAAUUUUUAAAAACUUUCUAAAGUUCCUAAAACAAAUUUUCAAUCUAAAGGGUCAGUGGCUGAGUGAAAACUGGUAGCAAGGAAGAAUUUUGAAAAAUUUUCUUACUACGGGUUUCACCAAUUCCCCAAUUGAUAUACACAAAUCUAGCUUAGAAUCAUCCCAUUUAUUUGGGACCACAAACUUUGAUUCAUGUUUUGUUCAAAACUAAAAUUUUCAUUGAAAACUAGGAAGAAUGCAAACCGAAAAAAAAAAAAGGAUUGCAUAUUAUUUAAAAAAAAACGAAAUUUCGAUUCUAAGGACUCUAAAUGAAUUUUUAAAAUAGAUUUUUAUGAUGAACAUUUUGAGAAAAAUAUCUUAUUCUAAAAUAAAAGAAAUUAUUUUGAAAAAGACAACACAAUGUAUGAGACAAAAAAAUCAGGCAAAACAAAAGAAAACAAAAUCACCAAGUAGAAAUUUUGAUAACCCAAAAAAAAAUUGAAGUGGUGAGAAUGGAGGCCAAUCUUCAUUAUUUUUCGAUGGCCUCCGAAAAGUAAAUUUUACCAAAGACUACCUAAACAAUAAACUAUCCAAGCUCAAAUCAAAUAAGCUAAAUACCCACCAAGAAUUAAUGACUAAUAUUCAAGAAAUAUAUCAAUUAAGAGUAAUAAUCGAGAAUUAUCACAAGAUCAAUUAAACAUAUAAACACAUCUAGACCAAUUAAAAUGGACCAAAUCAAAUCGAGACAAACAAUAAUUUUCAAUCAUAAAAUUAAUUUUUUUAGUGAACUAAUAUUAUAGAAAAUACCCAAACUGAAUAGACGAGUGAAGUUAAAUUAGAAUAAACUAAGGAUAUGUACCUUUGAAUAUAAAAUUAAUUUUAUUAAUAACUUGAAAUUAUAAAAACACCUAAAAUAAUUAAAAUGAAUCAAUUUAAAUGAAAGCAAACUAAAAACAAAAUAUGAAUUCAGGGAAUCUACUCUUUAAAUAAACUUACAUUAUUAAAAUGAAAUCUAGGCUUAAAUAUAUAUAUAUAUAUAUAUAUAUAUAUAUAUAUAUAUAUAUAUAUAUUAACACUAAUAAAGGCAAGUCUAAAAUCAAAUAUUUAACACUUAAUAUUAAUUAUUUUAACCAAAAAAAUUUUUACAAGAGCACCUAAACCUAAAGUUAAAUAAAAACACUAACCAUAAUAUAUUUUAAAACGAGAUCUCUAACCUAUAGAAUUAAUUUUAUUUACAUAUGGAUAAAUAGACAACACAUAAAUAAAUAAUAUAAUUAAUUAAAAAAAACAUGAAUUAAUGGAAUCAAUUUUCUAAAUAAACUUAUAUUAUAAAAAUGAAAUCUAAGCUUUAAAUGAAUUAAACACUAAUUAAAGCCAAUCUAAACUUAAAUUCUUAACACACAUGAUCAAUUAUUUUAACAAACUAAAAUUUUACCUUAACCAAAAAUUAAAUUAUAAAAUUACCUAAGACUAAAUUUCUAACCUAUAAAAUUAAACUCAUAAUCAAAUGGAUAAGCUGAUGACACAGACAAAUAAAUAUGAAUGAAAUAAAAUAUGAAUGAAAUGAAAUACGAACUCAAGGAAUUAAAUAAUUUUUUUUUAAUAAACUUACAUUAGUAAAAUAAAUUUGAGCUUAACAAACAUUUUUAUCACUAAUUAAGGCAAGUUUAAAAUAUAAUACUUAACACAUAAAAAUCAAUCAUUUCAACAAACUAUAAUUUUAACUAAACCUAAAGCCAAUUCAAACCACCUUCAACAUAUUUUUUUUCUUUUUUAUUUUAAACUAAGUUUUUAACCCAUAAGUUCAAUCUCAUUAAUAAAUAAAUAAAUAAAUAAGUUACAAAGUAUUAGAUUAGUAGCAAAUAAAUAAAUAAACAACUAAUAAUUAAAUGGAUCACAACUAAACUAAAUAAAGAUCAAACUAUAUUCUUUUUUAUUUUUCAAAAGUAAAAAUUACAUGAAUUUUUAUUUUAUGAAUUUAAUAUAAUAUACCAAACUAAGCCUAAACACAAUUCUCAUUCUACCAUAUUAAAACAAAAAAUGUAUGUUGGAGCUAGUAAAUAAAGUCAAACCACACAAUAUAAUAAUAAUUCCACUAAAAAACCAAUCAAACUUUCACUGUAACAUGAAAACCCAUAUAUAUAUAAAAGUUAAAUGUUGUCAUAUUUAAAGAAAUUCACGCUGGAACUAGUAAUGUUAGUCAAACAACACAAUAUAAUAAUAAUUCCGCUAAAUAAACCAAUCAAACUUUCACUGCAACAUGAAAACCCAUAUAUAUAUAAAAGUUAAAUGCUGCCAUAUUUAAAGAAAUUCACGUUGGAACUAGUAAUGUUAGUCAAACAACACAAUAUAAUAAUAAUUCCACUAAAAAAACCAAUCAAACUUUCAUUGUUACAUGAAAACCCAUAUAUAUAAAAAAUGACUCACCUACCCAGUUUACCAAAACAAUGGUAUGUAGAUAUUUUCUCCAAUGUGCUAGGGAACAAUGGUAUUCUGGUAUGUGUUUUCAGUGAUACAUGAGUGGACGUGUGGGUCCAAAUGUCACAUCCAUUUUUUCUUCAAAAUCCUUCCGUCCUUCCCUCUUUUCUGGUGCGUGCUGAAUACACCUUAAGAAUGAUGCGGCUAGAAGCGUGUCAAUAUUGGUGCAACUGGUUGGUCUUUCCUUCCCCAAAGGUGUCACAUUCUCUUCUCAAAGAAAACCAACCAACCUCCGCUCUCAAAAACUCUUUUUUUUUAUCCCCUUUAACAACAACUUUCUGCUCUAAAAAAAAACUCCUUGCACCGAUCCAUCAAAAUGGCACUCUCUUACGUGCAAACCCUCUUCUUACUGAUCCCUUCAAAAUGACACUCUCUCACACUAUCAAAACCUCUCUCUCAUCCCAAAACGACAGUCGAGUGAUCCCCAAAAGAAACUCAGCAGCAGCCCGGUGUUUCUUCAAAAAUCCUUCAGCAGCAGUCCGGUGAUCCUCCAAAAAGAAAAAUCAUACUCUCUCACACUGUCCAAAACCUCUUUUUAUCGAUCACUUUUAAAAAAAAAAACCCACUUUCUCACGCUGUCCCACUCUUCUCUCUUGUAGAACGGAAGCCUCCUCUUUAUUUUCCUGCACAUUCAUUCCUUUUAUCACCCACCUUUCCAUAAUCGUCUUCUCCAUUACGCUCAAAAUUUUCUUUUUCAUUCUGAAUACAACCCUCCCCGUCAUCCACAUACAUGCAACACUUUCCCUUUUCUAUGCCAAACCGCUUUGGUAAGCUUCCUUCAAUCCCACAUUCAACUCCUUUCUCCAGUCGCGAUCCUAGAAGGAACAACAGCAAAGGUUUUCUUUCUCUAACCAAAAUGAGCUUUCAACCUUCCCAUAUUCAUUCUCAAUCUGUAGCAUGAUGAUUGGACCACCUUGCCAAAAGAAAAGUCUUUCCUCAUCCUUUGUGAAGUAGAAAGUAAAUGGUAAAAUAAAAUAAAAAAUAAAAAAUAAAACAAAAAAUCAUGUAGUUGAAAAUUUCAAAUUUAAGAUUAAAAUCAUGCAAUUAAAACUAAGAUAUCAAAUACAUUAAGAGAAUUAAAAUAUGAAGCUCAAGCAAUUUCCUACAAUUAAAGUAAAGUAAAUAUAUGAAUAUAUAUGAGAUACCAAUUCAUGCAAUAAAAAAAAAACUAAAAUCUCGAUUCUCAUGCAAUUUUCUAAAAAAGUGAAUAAGUAAAUGAAUAAAACUAAUAAAUGAAUAAAUAAAUAAAUAAGUAAAAUAAGAAAAUCAAGCACAUGCUAAUCAUACCUAAAUGGGCUAGAAAAAGUCAAAGUGUGCCUAAAUGAAUCCAAGUGUACCUAAGUGGACCUAGGGUGCCUAAGUGGGCCUAAGAUGGUGCCUAAGAGGGCCUAAGGCGCCUAAACGGGCCUAGGUGUAUCUAAGUGAACCUAAAGUGCCUAAAUGGGCCUAGGUGUAUCUAAGUGAACCUAAGGUGCCUAAGUGUAUCUAAGUGAACCUAACGUGCCUAAGUGGGCCUAGGGUGGUGCCUAAUGGGCCUAAGUGGGCAUAGGGUGGUGCCUAAGUGUAUCUAAGUGAACCUAAAGUGCCCUAAUGGGUCUAAGUGUAUCUAAGUGAACCUAAGGUGCCCAAGUUGGCCUAAAGCACCUAAGUGGGUUUAGGGUGGUGCCUAAGUGUAUCUAAGUGAACUUAAAGUGCCUAAGUGGGCCUAGAGUGGUGCCUUAGUGUAUCUAAGUGAACCUAAAGUGCCUAAGUGGGCCGAGGGUGGUGCCUAAUGGGCUUAAGUGUAUCUAAGUGAACCUAAGGUGCCUAAGUGUAUCUAAGUGAACCUAAAGUGCCCUAAUGGGCCUAAGUGUAUCUAAGUGAACCUAAAGUGCUCAAAUGGGCUUAGGGUGGCUAAGUGAGCCUAAAGUGUCCUAAUGGGCCUAAGUGUAUCUAAGUGAACCUAAAGUGCCCAAGUGGGCCUAGGGUGGCUAAGUGAGCCUUAGUCUGAAUUAGGGCUGCCAAGAGUCACAAUGGGGUUAAAUGAAUCCUUCAACCAAAGUCCUUAAGGUGGCUUAGAAAAGAUAGGUUAUAUGAGUAGUAAUGGGCCACCAGGGAAUUGCUAUGAAAGGCAUGUGCUAGGAGGAGAAAAUGAAGGGUCUACACCAACUUAACUCAAAUUGAUGCUAAGACCUUAGCUAUGGAUUUAACUUGUAUUUUGAGCUUAAUUCCAGGUUUAAGGGAUGAAAAGAAUACUAAGUACAAAUUUCAUUCUCAACUAAGGGAGUAGAAGAGGUUAAAUAUGCAUAAAUAAGAGACUUCAGACUUUUGAACCAUGAAGAGUUCGAGUAAGGGCAUAAUAAGCAAGUUAUAGGCAUGAAAUACUAGUAAUAGAUAUUAUGAAGUGAGAUAGAUGGUAAGCAACCAUAAUGGAGGAGGUUUGAAGCAAAUGCAAUCAAGUUCACAUGUUGGAACUCAAAAUUUGGUUGUAACAUGUACUCUAAAUUCGAGGUGAAAUUUGGAGCACUUCUUAAUGUCAUUUUUGCAAUUCUAUAUAUGGUUUCAAACCUUGGGAAGUCAGGAGACCAAUGCUUCAAAUGAUGUGUGAAUCAAACUUGAAACAAAUAAGUUAUGUGCAUUAAAAGCACACUAGUAGUGGGUGAGUUUGAAUUCGACACUUUUCCUCCACUUAUGAGUUUGAAAUUGAUUUAGAACUUACCCCAAUUUCAAAAUUAGCAAUUGCUGAUUAAGUUUUAAGCUUCAAAACAUGUUAAAACAAGUUCCAAUACCUCUAUCCGAUUCGAAAUGUAUGAUACUCAUUUAGAACUCAUAAUAUUUAAAUUCUUUUAAGUUAUUUAUGACUUUUUUUUUUGUAAUAAGUGGUCAAUGGAAGUGUUCCACAUGUUAAGUUAUUGAAUUUAUUAUAUAAACUCUUUUAGUUCUUGGUUUAAGGGGAAGGAAAAGGAGAAAGAGCGUAAAGAAGGAUAUUGUUCUCUCAUCUUGAAAGUCUUUUAUAAAGUUUUUAAGGGUUUUUUUUUUCCAUUUUUCUAUUUUAUUUUCUUGGCAACCAAAUAUGGGUUGUGAGGAGAAAUCCUCCACUAUGUUUGGCUAACUUGAUUGAUCCAGAUAUGCUAACAUGAAAGUGAAUAGUCCAAAAAAGAGUAGCAAGAAACGAUAAUGUAUGGAAUGAUUUGGUUUUGUUUUCAAGUUUUAAUUGGUAAGAAUAAAUCCUUUAUGUUAGAUCAUCCUAGAUAAAUUACAAAGGAUUCUUAUCAAGAUACUAAUGAUUCUUGGGAAGACCUUGAUUACUAGUUACUAUAAUUUAAUCCUAUUGUUAAUGAAUCUAAGGGUCAAAUCUACAAAGAUGGAUAUGAGCUUUUUAUUGGAUAAAAUUGAAAAUCAAAAUUAACCAUCAUCUCUAUUUGGUUUAAGAAUUAUAAUAAUGAGAUUAAUGACUAGUUGAGUUACAAAUUAUAAAUAUUUAGUCUUAUCCUUAUGAGUUAUAUUAGGGAAUGAUAUGGAAGGUUAUUACCUGAUGCUAAUGAUUCUUAAUAACUCUUGAUUAUUAAUUAUCUUAGUCUUCCCUAUUGUCAUUUGCCCCAAAACAAAGCUACAAAGAGUAAGAAGCGUUAAAAAGUCUAACCUUUAACCAUUAAUUAAUCUCAUUCACUUAAUAGUUUUAGGAAUUUGCUUUAAAAAGGAAAAAUCUAAGUUUCGAAUUCAAUAUUGGUCUUAAGAUUCAAUUUGGUUCCAGAUUGACUUUGAUCCCAAACGUUAGAUUUUAUAAUGCUUUUUUCUUUAAAGAUUUGACAUUGAGUUGUGAAACUCUUCAAAACAUUCUUUCUUUUGUUUAAUUUAUUUCAUUUAAUAUUUUAAGAAAUCUUUAUUCAUAUUUUAUCCCUAUUUAUUUAUUUAAGAUUUCAAUAUCUUUAGCAAAAAAUUAAUCAUUUUAAUCUAAAAACAAAUAAACACAUUAGAGCUGACCUAAAGGAUGACAACCUAGAAUACUACAAAGUUGUGGUAACUUUAUCUUUAGUUUUUCUUUACCAGAGUUAUCACAUAAUUAUGUUUUAAAAUUCUGAUUACAAUAGAGAUUUGGAUCAUAUAAAUGGUUGGAUUGGAUCAUAUAAAUGGCUUUUUUGAAGUAAGCAAAUUAAUUCAUUAGAGCUCAUUAGAUUUAAUUAAUUAAUUAGGAACUAAGAGAUUUAUAUUAAGUGACCUAACCCCAAACUAGGUCAACAGAGAAGCCUAUAUAAACCUCCUUAGGGGUAUAGAGUUUAACUUUUGCACUUUUGUCUUUUAAACUCCAAAGAGAAACCUUAACCUCCCCUUCUAGAGAGAAGACCACCUAAAUGCAAAAUAAAAAAUAAAAAAAUUCAUUGCAUCAUAAUCCCAUUCCAUUUUACUGUAUUUGAUUGUACUCAAUCGAUAGAAGUUCUUUAAUGCCUAAAUCCUUGAGAGAGAGUGAUCAAGUGCAAGCUUGCUUGGUUAGCGAGGCUUGCGAUUCAUUCUACACAACUUCAUUAGAUUGGAAUUGAUUUGGGAAUACCCAAAUUACUGGUAUCUUUAUUCUCUCUAAAUCUAUAUUAUUUAUGGUUUUUAUUGCCAUGAGUUUUCUGCUAUGAUUAGAUCUAGAGAGCCUUAAGACUAGUAGCAUAUACCCUAAGCAAUCCAAGGCUAGUAAUGGAGAAAUCCAAAUAUCUCAAGAGUAAUCUCAUCCAAAUAUAAUUCCUUAUUUAGCAUUUAAAAUAAAAGUAAUAAUCAUUUAAAAUAAUAAAUAAUUUCUUUUUAUUUUUAAGAUCAUAAUUAUUUUAUAUAGCUUUUGAUGUUAAUAUAUAAUAUAUAAAAUAACUUUGAGCAAGACAUUUUGUCAUGAAAAAUAUAAUAUAAUUGUCAAGAUAAGUUUUGCUUAGAAAAGGUAGAAAUUAUUUUUCUUUCCACUUAGUCAUUAGCCAUGAGCUAUUAAAUAACUUCAUAUAUUUUUAAGUAAUAAAAAAUGUAAAAUAAUCAUAGCUUUUGAGUUAUAGCUUUUAGCUAUAAUGAGAUGUAGAAUAUUUAAUUUAGCUUUUGGUUUAAAAUAAUAUAAUUAUAUUAUAUUGAUGUUAUAUGGAGUCAUAAUUUUCAUAUAAUUUUUAGUUAUGAGAAAAUAUCAUAAUGAUCACAUAAUAACUUUGAAUAAUUAUCAUGUAGUUUUGACCAUGAGGAAAUAUUAUAACUUUGUAGUUUUUAUGUUAUAAAAUAAUUUUGAUAGAACUUUUAAUUAUGAAAUUAAACUUCCAAAUAUUUUUUUUAUGACUAUAAAAUAUAAAGUGAUUUUUAUAUAACUUCCAUGUGACAAAAGAAGUAGAAUAUAUAAUUUAUGCAAAGCUUUAGGUAAGAUAAUAUAUAAUAUAAUUUCUCUACAACUUCUGAUUGUAGAAAAAUAUAAAUUUAUUAUUUUUCAUAUGUUAUUGGCAAAGAAUGAAUAUGGUGAAGACAAAUUCUCUAUUUUCAAUUAUAUUUAAUAGUUGAAUGAUUAAAUGCUACUUGUACAAAGGUAUAUACAUAAAAAGUAAAUAAAAUAAUAAGCAAACAAGGAAACUAAAUAAAAACAAAUAAAGAAACAAAUCAAAAUCAAAUAAUGGGUUAAUAUCAAGGAGAAGAUUAAGGGAAAGAAUCAAGUCAAUAUGUUCAAUAUCCUUCCCCAAAGAUGGCAUGUGAAGAUCAUGAAUACCUAUAUUUGAAAGUAAGCCCCGGAAAAAAUCUAUACCAAGAGAUUUCAUGAAAAUAUCAACUAAAUGUAGUUAUGACCAAAUAAACUAAGUAUAAUGUGUAGAGUUACCUUGUUGUCACAAUAUAAAUGCAUUGGUUAAGGGUAAUGAAUUCCAAAAUAUGCAAGAAAAUAAUGUAACCAAGUAAUUUCACAGCAAAUGGUAGCCAUUGCAUGAUAUUUUUCUUCUACCGAUUAGCAUGAUAUUGUUGAUUGCUUAAUUUUUAGUUUUCUUGGAUAUUGAUGAGCUACCAAGUAAAUUACAAUACCUUGUAAUGAAACGUUGAGAAUCUGGACAAUGGACCUAAUCAAAAUCAUGGUAGGCAUGUAAUUGAAUAGUGCUAGUGGAAGACAAAAGGAUUUUUGAACCUUGAUGAUUCUUUAAAUAGUGUGGGACGAAUGUAGUUGUAAGAUAAUGAGACUACAUUACUUUAUCAAGAAAUUGACUUAGAAUUUGAACACGAUAAGCAAUAUCAAGCCUUGUUACUGUGAGAUUAAGCAAUCUUCCUAUCAAACACAUAUAAUAAGAAGCAUCUAAAAAAGGUUCUCCAUUUAAUUUACUUAAUUUCAAAUUUUGCUCCAUGGGAGUUUUUAAAGGAUAGACUUAAAUAAUUUCCAUUUUAGGAUGCAUGCCACUUCAAUGCCAAGGAAGUACUUUAAAUUUCCAAGAUAUCUUAUUUUGAAAUUGCUAUGUAGAUUUUCCUCGAUCAUCUUAAUUCCUUCAAGUUCGUUCCUUACAAUGAUUAUAUCAUCAACAUAGACAAGAACGAUUGUGAAAGAGCUAUUUGAGGCUUAAGUGAAUAAGAAAUAAUUUGCCUUGGAUUGAUUUUGAUUUGCAAACAUCAAUGUUGUGGAUAGUUUGACAAACCAUUGUUGUGAAGCUUGCUUGAGGCCAUAAAGGGAUUUUUGAAGUUUGCGAACCAUGUUUUUAGUUCUUGAUUUCUUGAAACCUAGUGAAGGUUGCAUGUAUACCUCUUAAUAAAACAUUAUUGAUGUCAAAUUGGUGAAAAUGCUAAUUUUAAAUUGCAACAAUAGCAAGUAAGCAACACAUGGUUGUGAUCUUUGCAACAAGUAUGAAAGUCUCUUGAUAAUCAAUUCCUCUUGCUAAUUAUAGCCCUUGGCUACUAAGCGAGUUAUGUAAUAUUCAAUGCUACCAUAUAGAUUAUGCUUAACUUUACAGAUCCACUUGCAAGUUGUUGCCUUUUUAUUUUGAGGCAAAGGUGUAAGAGUCCAUUUUUUAUUCUCAUCCAAUGUUUAAUUUCUUUUAUCAUUGCUUUUGUCUAGCUUGCAUCAAGCAUUGCCUGUUGAAAUUUUUUUGAUUUUGGAAUAAACGAGAUUGAUGUUAUAAAGGAACAAUGAUACGAAGAAAAUUUGUUAUACAACAAAUAUUUAUUAUUCAAAUGCUGAAAGACUUACAAGAUCUGAAGAAGAUGACCUUUGACAUAAUGGAUCAUAAAUGGUCAUCCUGCAAUGAUAAUCACUAAGAUAAGAUGGAGGAUGAUACUCAUGAGUUGAUUGGCGAAUUUGUUGUUGUAGGGAGGAUGCCUAUGAAGAAGUAUUGUCUAUGGGAGGUGAUGUUGAAAAGGGUCGCAAGUGUUAUCAACCUCUAUGUCAAUGUGUUCAUUUUGUUCAACACUAGGAUAUGGUAGGACAAAUUGGUUAGAAGAUAAGCGCAUGGGUUAUGUGAAGGAAAAACACUCAUGAAAUUAGAUAUCUAUAGAAAUAAAAAAAAAUUUAGUGUCUAUAUUAUAUAACUUGUAUCCCUUUUGAGUAUAUGGGUAGCCAAGAAAAAUGCAACGUAAUGUCGUGGUGUUAAUUUUUGUUGUUGAUGUACUUAUGUUGGUAGCAUAACAUAAACAACAAAAAACCUUCAGAUUUGAAUAGGAAGGGAUUAAUCCAAAAGGCAAUCUAUGAGGUGUUUCACUUGAAAGUAGAGUGGGGUUCAAUUUAUAAGAUAGGUUAUAGUUAAGAAACACUCACCUUGAAAGUAAAUUGGAAGACUUGUUUUAAAAUGUAAGACUCAAGCAACACUAAGUGUCCAUGUUUUCUUUCUAAAACACCAUUCUAUUGUGGAGUCUUAACACAACUUGUUUUAUGUGCUUCAGGGUACCAUUCAUCUUGUUCCUGUUUCCUCCCCGGAUCACUAUGCGGAUAUCUUCACCAAAUCUCAUUUACCCCUUAGCCUUCGUACUCUUGUUGGCAAACUCCACAUGGCUGAUACAUUACCAUCUUGAGUUUGAGGAGGGAUGUUAGUAUUAUUAGCUCCACCAUUUAUUCCUUAAUUGUAUCCACCAUUUACUUAAUCGUAUCCUUAAUUGUAGCCUAAUUCCUUACCCUUAUUUCCUUAGUUCUACUAUAAAUAGGCUAGGAUGUAAACUUGCUGAACACAGUAACAUAAAACAUUCAUUCAUUCUCUCAAUUUCCUUUUCUGCAUAUUUUGGUAACACUUUUAAAUCAAUCCAUAGAUCUCUUGUUGUGUUUACAUAAAUGGUAUCUCCUACAAGUUCUUUGUUGAUGGUGUUCACGGUCCAUGAGGCAACCAUGUUAUGGAUCCAUAAAAAAUCCAAACUUGUUCUUUGCAUUGAGAGCCUUAAUCAUAGCUCUGCGCUACAUGGUUUAAUUUUCACCAUUUAAUAGUGAAGAAACCAAAAUCACACCAAGAUUAUCUGAAAGAUGCAAAAAGAAAACAUUCUUAAUAUUAUUCUUAGCAUCCUUUAUGGUGUUUGUUCCGAAAGUCAAAACAAUAGAUACUGAAAAGAAAAAGAAGGUAACUAGGAGCCAAGAUUAUUAGGCCUCAAGAGUCAUAUGUGACUCAUACCAUGUCAAAGAGUGAAUAUGAUAGAAACAAAUUCUUUAUUUUCAUUUUUUUUCAAUUUUUGAAUGAUUACAUUAGUUUAUAUAUUAUUUAUUCGAAGGUAUAUCCUUGGAAAAUAAAUAAAAGAAAUAAGAAAAUAAGAUAAUAAAGAAACAAAUUAGAAUCAAAUGAUGGGUUGAUAUCAAGCAGGGGAAAGAAUCAACUCAAUAUCUUUAAUAUGUUGUGAAAAACCACAAUAAAGAAUAAUAAUAGGGGAAAAAAAAUAAGAGAAUGAAAACAAAAACAUACAAAACAGAAUAAUAUACGUGAUUCAGUUUAAAGCCUACAUCGAUAGAUAGAAAUAAAAAAGAACUUUCAUUAUUAUUGAAGGAGAUUACAACCUAGAGCUCUUAAAUCCGGUCUACGUCUCAAUUACACCCAACAAGAGAUUCUCACCAUUUUUAUCAAAAUUUCUUCCUACAUUUUUUUUUUCUAAUUACAUAAGAAGAUUUUAUACGGAAACUUUCCUAAGUGUAUCAUAGUCUUUAAUAGUUAGGAUGAUCAAACUAGUUUAAUGUAUCAGAGUCUUUAAUAGUUGGGAUGAUCAACUAGUUUACCCUUCUCUUUAGUUUAUUUUAAGGGUUAGGUGAGAUGCACAUGCAGGACUGCUACCAUUACCAACUCCCCUUCUGACUCCUGUUGACUUGUCGGGCCUCCAAUCACCAUCACCUAGAAAAAGGAAGACAAAUUAAGAAAAUGUUGCAUGCUGAUCAAGUCUGAUGUCCUGUAAAAAUGUGCAACAUUUUUAAUUUAUAAACCAUACUUUAAGUAACAUUUUUUAAUUCAUUUCAUGAAAUUAACAAAGGUGCAUGGACCUAUAGGCAUCCACAUAAUGCGUAGCCCUUUUAUAAUACUUUCAACUCUAUUGAAUGCUGACUAUGAGCUGAUUCUUAAAACUUUUGUUCAAACCAUGUCUUAUCUUAAUUUUUUUUUUUUUUUUUAAAGAGAGUUUGAAAUUAUAGUCUUAGCUCCAUUUAAAAAUUGUAUUUUGAAACUAUGGUUAUAAUUUCUAUAGAGACUGCAUUUCCAAAAUACAGUUUCUAAUUAAUUUAAAUUAAAAAAAAGUAAUAAAAGCAUCAUUUAAGCAAUAUUAAAACACAUGGUUGGAUUGGGACGAAUUUGACCCUAAAUUCAAUCAUGUUUCUAAAAUAAAUUAUUAAAAGGAUAAUAAAACAAACAAAAAGCAACACCGAGUGGUCUCAAAGUCUUAUGCUUUCCCAACCAAUGUUGGCGGAGCAAAACAAGCUCACUGGAGAGACUAGAUUUCAUUGCAAAUGUAAGGCCCCAAGCCAUGUGCCCUUACCCAACUUCCACAUUAAAUACUGCCGGGCAUUCCUCGGAGUUAUUUUUUGUAUUGUUUUAUUUAUUUAUUUUAUUUAUAAAUAUGGGGAAAAAAAAAAGGAAAGGAUAUUGAAAUCAUACUUACUAAAGGCUUGUUUAGAAAUUGUUUUUUAAAAUAGUUAUAACAAAAAACAUAUAAAAUACAUUUAGUAAUCAAAAUCCGUAUUCUAGUUUCUAUUCUUAAAAAUAGAAAAUAUGAUAUUUUUUUAAAACAUUUUUUAGUUAUUUAUGUAAUUUUCACUUGUUUUUUAAGAGUUAUUUUAAGAAAUAAUUAUAAAAAAUAUUAAAAACAUUUUAGAUUUUCAAACCGAUUUUUAUUCUAUAAAAAUUAGAUAACAGUUCUAAAAAAACUAUUUUUCAUCAUUAUUUUUUAAAACAGUUGUCAAAUAGACCCUAAAGUUAAAAAAAAAAAAAAAAAAGUUGUAUGAUGUUUUCUAUCACAAGAAUUUGUUAGGUAAUUUGAAAUGUUGUUUUUGUAUUUUUACAUAUUUUUUAAAAAUAAUUUCCUAUAUUUUAAAAUAAUUUUUAUUAUAGUAUUUUAUUUUUAAUCGUUUUUAUAUUUGUAUAAUUGUUUUUAAAAAUCAUCUUUAGAAAACAUAUCAAAAUAAUUAAAUAUAUUUAUAAAAAACAUCAAGCUUUUAGAACAAAUCUCAAAAAAAAAAUAUUUAUUAUUAAAACAAAUAAUCAAACAUAUUUUAGACUGAAGGAAGACACAAAGCUCUUCUAUAUAGUAUACAACCUUUCAUCAGUAUUCUCUCUACCCAAGCGCUGUUACACUUUCUGCUUCCUCUCUGAUCAAGCCCAUGACUGGCCCUUACCCAAACCACCAACACUCCCAAUACCAUCCCCCUUAUGAACUCGGACGCCCAGUCCCUCAUAAUAAGGGAUCAGCUACUACCACGAACCAGAUCGCAUGGAAUCAAAAUGAUUUACUGCAGUGGAAAACCAGCUUCCAGAAGGAGAAUCAUUCCGGCGACACCGCGGAUAGCUCUCAUUCCCAUAGAGUCAGUCCUCCCCAACCCAAUGAUCCAAGGCUGCUUGUGCAGCUAGAAAAUCUUCGAACACUCUAUACAGAAAAGAGGGAGUUGUUCCAGAAGAUAUUUCCGGAGCUUGAUGACAACUUUGUGGAGUCUUUUAAGAAAAUCCGUGCAACUCUAUUGCAACUGAAAACGGAUCGUUUGAAAGUCCAGACCCUGCAAAGGAGCUUGAGCUUAGAUUCGCCUCGCACGCCUUCAACUAAAGGUGAUGAAUAUCCAUUGAAGCUGGAGAGAUUCAGAGUCAAGACUUUGGAUUUGAGUGGAGGGAUUCAACAGGAUGGCAAUGGCAAAACCAGCUCCAACUAAUGGUUCCAAUCUAGUAUAUGCUUCUGUACGAUGAUCAAUUAUUAUGUAAAUGGUGAUUUAACUCAUUUGAGAUGAUAAUUCUGCCCAAUAUUUAUCAAUCUAUGCGACUCUUUGAGCCCUGAUCGAUUGAGAUGCUUUUUUAGUUUUUAUUUUUAGUAGUAGAAGAAAUAGAAAUAAGAAUUACUAGGGCUAGAAUUCGUUUAAGAAAUCGUUCAAAACCAGGGUUUUUAUUUGAAAAUGCUAUUUAGAGUUCAUAUUGGUUGUAGGGAACUCUUUUAGUAAAAAUAAAAAAAUAAAAUAAAAUAAAAUAAAAAACCCUUUCCAAGAAAAAUCAAAUAUUUAAAAAAAAUUUUAAAAAAAAAUCAUUUAUAAGGGUUAUAAAAAUGUAUUUUAAUAGAUGAUUAUUAUAAAAAUGCUUAUAAAAAAAAUACUUUAAUUAAAAAUACUUCAAAUUAAAAUCCUCUCAAAUAUAUUCUUAAUAAAUUGAAAUAAAGAUUUUUUUCUUUUAAGUUCUCUAUCUUCUUUGCAUAUUGUUAACCAUUUCAAUAAAGAACUAACUAAUUACUUAAAAGGGAUUAAAUAAUCCCUAUAUUUGUUAAUUUAACAAUUUUCAUAUUUGUUCCAAGAAUAACUCAUUUUUUAUGUAAAUGUUAUUAAUUAUUUCAAGUAUUUACAUGUUUGUUUUAAAGAAAUUGUUAUUUUUAUAAUAAAAAAAUAAGAACAUUUUUAUUAAAAUAUGAUGAAAGAUUAGAUUUUCAAAAUUGAGUUUUCAAUUACCCUUUUGACCAAACAAUCAUUUAAUAAAAUGAAGGAUUAAUUGAUUAAAAAUGGAUGAAAAUAUUCCAAAUUUAUAAAACUAGCCUCUUUCAUUUUUGAACUUGAAGGGUAACCAAUUUUUUACAUAAAUACCCUUCAAUAUUUUCAUUAUUUAAAUAUGCACUUUAAAAAAAUGUUAUUUUUACAAAAAAAAAAAAAUGAGGGUAUUUUUAUCCAAAAUAGGCAUUUUUUUCUUUAAAAAAAAAUGUUAGAUUUAUAAUUUCACGUUUCUUUUAUCCUUUUAAUAUGUUAUCUCAAAAAUGAAUGUUUAUUUCUAAAUAAAAAUUUUUUAAAAAUAAAAAAAAAUAAAAAUAAGGCUUUAAUUUCAGGAUAAUCUUAAUUAAUGGGUUGAUGGGGAUAGCGUAAAUAUAUUAUAUAGGCAAGUUGGUGGUGGAUGUAAAACUCCACAAGUGGUAUUAAAUUAAUGCCAUUACCUUUCUGUGUAAAUAUUAGACAGAAGAUCUGGUUUCAGGCUUUGCUGUCCUCCAAUCAUUUACGAAUCUUAUUACUAAGUUAUUAUUUUUAAAAAUGAUUGAUUCUUUGACUUUCUUUAGAUUAGAUAAGAUAAAGAAUACCAAACAAGCCCUAGAGAGUGAGCGUUAAGGGAAGAAUGUGAAGUAGAAGAAGGAGCCUCUUCUUGACUUGUUAAUUAAUUUCAAUGAAGAAGAGAAAAUGGAGGGGUCCAUCACUGAAAAAAGUUUGGUUUUUCAAUUUUUAUUUCUUACAUUAAUUUUUCACUGGGUUGUGUUUGGUCGUUAGGAAAGUGGAAGAAAAGGAACAGAGGAGAACUUUCUUCCUAAUUACGCUUUUAUUUAUUUCCCCAAAUAGAUCUUUUGGUUGUCAAGGAACGGUUGGAAAAGGAUUUUAGUACUUGUUUGUAAGCAAGGAAAACGGUGGUUUGCCAAAAUUUCAAAGCAAAAGAACAACAUAUAAUGUUGACUUUGAUUUCUAAAACAUUUUUCAAAAAAAAAAAAAAGUUAAUUUGUUCUUAUAACCUGCUAUUCUUAAGCUUAGAAAAAGGAAAAAAAAAAAAGAAGAUAUGUUUGAUAAAACAAUUUUUUAUUUUCUAGAAUUAAAAAAAAAAACAUGUUUGACAACUAAAAUUUUUUUUUUUUUUUAUUUUUUGUUCUUAAAAACAGAAAAUAUGGUGUUUUCCGAUAAUAUCUUUUAAUUAUUUUUUAUAGUUUUUACUUGUUUUCUAAAGACUAUUUUAGAAAAUAAUUAUACAAGCAUGUAAAAUGAUUAAAAAUAAAGUAUUAGAUAUAAAAAUUAUUUUUGAAACAUAUUUUAAAAUAUUAAAAAACAUGUUAAAAACAUUUCAAGUUUCCAAAUGAACUUUUGUUUUAUAAAACAUAAAGAGACCAGUUUUCAAAAAUUAUUCUUAAAACUAUUUUUCAGAAUUAUUUUCGAAAGUAAUUACUAAAUAGGCCUUUUUUUUCUUUCAUUUUUCUUGACAGUCAAAGUAAGUUGAAAGUUUAAUUUGGUUGUUGACAAAUUUUGGAAUUUUUUUUUUCAUUUAUGUGCUUAUUUACUAAUGGUGAUUGAUUAGUGAUAGAUACUAUGAAUAUUUGAUUUUAUGAUAUGUAACAUUGCGUCAAAUGGAGAUUAUAAUUUUUCUUGCUUAUGUCUAUGUUAGUCUCGAUAUACUUCGUAUGUUCUUUCAAAUUUGAUGCAUUGGCUAUAAUUUUAGAAUUGUAGAGUAUCAUGUAUUCAAGUUAAUAUUAAGUUUGAGAUACUUUAUGGAUCUUGACUCUUAAUAAGUAAUGGUUGCAUUUAGUAUAAAGUGUGUCUGGCACGCAAUCUACACAUUAAUGGGUGAGUAAAUGCGUGAAGGACAGUUUGGCGCCAAUCUUGUUGAAUCUGUAUAAGAUUUGUCCGUCUGACCCACUUUGGGACGAACCACUCACUUGGCCUUAGGGUCAUUGGCCAUACAGCUGAAAAUGAUCUUCUAGACUGCUUGCACUCUUGGACGCCAGUGAGAAAGUGAAGGACUUCGAGACAGCCUUGUAGAGAGGGUCCCACAAUGCUCCCCAAGUCUUGCAGUUAGGCCUGGAUAGGAAUCGGAUGGCCAAUUGCAAGAGUUGCUACCUUUGGAGAAUUUGAAAACAUGGGGCCAAGACCCACAUGUCCUAUGCUCAUUCGUCGUGGGGUCACGUCAAUCGAGGUAUUGUGUUAGGCGAUGCACCUCUUCAAAUAUCUUGAUCUUUGCAACCAUACCUUAUAUAGGUUGGUUGCUUUUUGGGAAAUGACUCAUUUCUUUGCCAUCAUUACUGUGGUUGUCUUUGUCUUUUCCUCAUCACCAACGACGCUUUGGGUCUUCACAACCACCAUCGUUGAUGGUCUGUUCUCAGUAAGACGACUCUGCUUUCACCACAACGCAAUCUACUAAGUAUGUAGUUCUUCUUCGAUCUUUAUUUUUGUGGUUUUUUUUUUAAUUGUUGAAUGCAUUCCGACCGCUGUUUCAGUUUAUGUUGCCCAUAAACUUCUAUCGAAAUCUAUUUUUAUGUUAGUUUGAUUGUGGUUUUGGAGUUUAUUUUUGUUUCCUAUUGGCACUCUGUUAAGUAUUGUAGCGUUUUUGGGCUCAGACGAGGAUAUUGCUUGGGGUUGUGACACAGUUUUGGCAUGACUUGCUCAGCAAGUCUUAUAUUAGGUCGUUUAGGGUUAGACAUCAUUUUAAGACAUCCCCAUGCUAACUAGUUAGCUCUUCUACCACGCAGGUGUUCAUUCAGCCCAUUGUUUCGUCUACAAAUAUGGACAGAAAUGGGGUCGCAUCCACAAUCAGCAAAACUCAGCGUGGCAAGGCUAAGUCAUCUCAGUCUAGCCAUUCCUUGACAGAACAUUAGAUUUACAAGUUGUCCAAGUAGGAAUUUUGUGUCUACUUCUACAUCUUGGACUUGAUUUCCAUCUAGUUAUCAAAUGGAGAGGCUUCCUCUACAGAUGAGCUUCCUCACAAUAUGGUUUACUUCACCAAAGAACAAUUUACAACAGGACUCCAAUUGCCAAUUCCAUCCUUAGUGAAACAAUUCCUACAUUUCUCCUAGAUUCCACCCGCUUUCAUUCAUCCCAAUGUCAUCCAGAUUUUGAUGAGAUGCAACAUCUUAGACACCUUGUAUCAGUUGGACUUGUCUUUGCUAGAGGUGUUGUUCAUUUACACCAUCAAGAUAAGCCCCAAAGAGUGCUUCAAUCUAUCAGCUCACAUCCCAUCGUUGUAGUUUGUAACUAGACUACCAUACACUAGCAAGGGUUGGGCCAAAGGACACGUAUUAGUGUCUGGCCCAUAAAGUAGAUCAACUAAGGGUUCGAACAAGUUAUUUAAGCCCACACGAUCCUUGGAGAUCCCAUGUAUUUAGUGAUUUCAUGACUUGUAUACUUCUUAUCCUUAUUUUCUCGUGAAUUCCAUCAAUAGGUGUUCUAUCUAUGUAGGCAAAGAUAGACAGGGCCACUUGGUUUAGGGGGUGGAGAAAUCAUCAUUCACCCAUCUCAACAAACUGUUAGAAAUUGACUAGGCUAAACAAAAUCACAGUAUGCUACUUAUAGUGAAGAAUUUGAAGGUUGUUCUUGCUCAUCCUAAGUCGUUCAUGAUCCCUCUCCUCCCAAGGCUAGUACCGUCGACUCUUGUGUCGGGCAAGCACUUCGUGUUAAAUGACCUAUCUUUCUACGAGGUUGCUCGUCUUGCUGACACCAAAGCAUAACAAACUCGUUUAGACACUCGAGAAAAAAAAAAGUCAAGAAAAGACUUUCCACCAAGCCCCUAGUUCAACUUCCCGGGCAACUUCAAGCCUUGCCCCUAGUCGGCAAAGAAGAAUAUUGUCGUCCGUCCUCAACCGUAAAAGGGUGUAACCAAGUCGGACAAGACAUUUGAAGCAGAGAUGACCAAAUUGUGCGAGACCGUUGAGCAGGCCGUGCCACCUAUCAUUAAGGAGGCGGAAGAAGAAUAAGAAAUGAUCGCUAAUCUGCAAGCCAACUUCCAUGAGUGGCAACAAAAAAUAUUAACUGAGGCCAUCGAAGUCUGGCUUUUAGCAAAAAAAGUAAAAAAAUUGGUGGCGAAAAGGGUUCAUCCUCUAAGCUUUCUACCACACCUCUUUUGACACCUAUUUCGCCAUCUACGCCCAUUCCCAAGGCAAAUGACGUGGAGAGUAUUCCAUUUCACGGUCUAAGGGAAAUGGCCACCAUAUCAGGCGAUGACUCCACGCCCAAUGUACAACCCCCACCGACUGCUCAUGUCGAUGUGUCUAGUUGGGAAGACCUAGACUUUUUUUUGAAGCGCUUCCCCACAUUCAUUGACAUGGAGCCUCCAACAUCCCACAUGAAUGAACUCUCCCCAGUGUUGGAGAGGACCCUAAUGGAUAUGAUUGUUGACUCCUAACAGAACUUCAUGGCUUGUGUCCCACAUAGGACCGCAGAUGAGACCAUUGAAGCGAUAAAAUGCCUGAAGGACUACAUGACCAUGCAGAUGGUAGAAGUGGUACGAUACCUUCUAUAUACAAUGUCUGUAUUUUAUAUUUCAUUAUUCUUUACUUAUUUUUCUUGGCUCUUAGCGACAAAUUGUAGUCGAGGUCCGCAAUCUAAUGAGACAACACUCUCAUCUCUUUGAAUGAUUGCAAGUAGUCGAAAAAAUCAGGACAUACACGACCCAAAGCGUGGACUGGUAAAAGGAGUUGUCAACUAAGCUAGAGAUAGCCAAAGCAACUGAGCCGCUGCACGGAAAGGAACAGAAGAGGGCAUAGGCCUGCUGUGAAAAGCGGAGCUGAAGAAUAACACGGUCCAGGCCGAAAUCCGCUAGUUAAAAUUGGACAUGGUUGCCUUAGGGACCUCCAAGGCUAAAGUUGAAGAAAAAGACACUCAACUAAAGUUGGAGCUCGAGCAAACUGUGUCUCGCUUCACCAAGGAAAAGAUUGAGUUGGAUGUGGCUUACCAACAACAAGUAGAUGACAUGUUCUUCUACGACUAUCGUUGUUGUAUGGGAAAACAUAACAUCACUGAUAAUAUCCCCAGCAUUCCAUCGGAGGAAGAGGAUGAAACCAUUUUGGGAAAAAGAGCCAAACAAGAAAACGACUGGGCAAUGGGAAAUGGAUUCGCAACAACCGAUCAUGAUGAUCAAGAUACUACUUAAGAUUGCUGCUUUUCUUUUUCUUUUCUUUCUUUUGGUCAUUUAGGUCUUUCAUUGUAAAAACAUUGGUCUUCUAGCCCUUUUUGAAUGCAACAAAUUAACACAAUGUUUAAGGAAUUUGCCUUCUAGUAAUAUUUUUACUAUUGUUUGCCUUUGUAUUUGGCUUUCACCUGAUGGUUUACCUUAAGACUAAGGUAUCCACUACUUAGCACAAGUUAUUUCUCGGCCUUGAGUGGUAUCAACUAUCUUGGGUCUUUUAGCCUUUCUCUCAUAAGAGCUUAUUACUUGGAUUCUAAGGCUUGUGCUGCUUCAGUUAUGCCUUUACAUUCUUUAGACUUAUGGCUUGUGUCAUAUGGGCCAUGUCGUUUAUAAUCUAGCUUGUUAGUCGUUUAAAUAUAAAAUACAGUCCAUCAUAUGUACAACUUGUUUAUUAAUAAUACUUCUUUAAAUUUGCUACAUUCCAAGGACAGAGUAGUGGCAUUCCGUCUAAUGCCUCUAGAUGGUACGCCCAUGUUUCUUCUGCCUUGAGUACAACAUAUGGUCCUUCCCAAUUGGGUUAGAGCUUAUUAGCUCCUACUUCGGUUGUGUUCUCAAAGACUUGUCUCAAAACCAAGUCUUUUGGGUGGAACAACUGUGGGUGCACUCUCUUGUUGUACUGAGUCAUUGCUCUUUGCUGGUAAGAGGCCAUUUGAACAGCUUUGACCUCACGUUCUUCAUCUACCCAGUCUAGAUACAUUUCAAGAUUUCCUUCAUUUAUUUCCAAUUCUUGCACUAUUGUUUUGACCAUGGGUAGUCCUAUCUCGGUUGGAAUGAUGACCUCCAUGUCGAAUGCCAAAGCAAAUGGGGUGAUCCCAAUAGGUCAUCUACUGGUAAUUCUAUAAGCCCAUAAUACGCCAAACAAUUCGUCUACCCAUUUGUCUUUCACUCUUUCUAGCUAUUUCUUUAAAUAAUUUAACGUCUUAUUUGUCACCUCUGUUUGUCUAUUGCUUUGUGGAUAUCGAGGUGUUGAAUAGACAUUUUUAAUUUUCAGCUCCAAACAAAACUUUCAAAAGGCACUACUAUCGAAUUGCAGCUCAUUGUCUAUGACAAUGGCGUGAGAAAUUCCAAAUAGGCACACAAUGUUUUUUCAAACGAACUUUGUCACGUCCUUCUCUUUUAUGCUAGCAUAAGCUUCAACUUCCACCCAUUUGCUGAAAUAAUCAAUGGCUAUGAGUGUGAGCUUUUUCUGAGUCGCAUCGGUUGGUAAUGAGUCGACUAUGUCCAUUCCCAACUAAGCAAACAACCAUAGGUUAGUCAUUAGGUUGAGGCAGUCGGUUGGCAAUCAGGAGAUAGGUACAUGCGUUUGACAUUGAUCGUAUUUUCAAGCAUAAUUUUUGGGCAUAAUAGCCUUGAGAAUAGGCUUAAUGCACUAAGGUUCAUCUUCCUGGGUGGUUGUUGCAUAUACCUUUGUGCAAUUCGACCAAAACAUAUUGGGCAUCCGAAUCAGUCAAGCAUUUCAAAUAAGGCCACCUAAAUGACCGCCUGUACAAUUGAUCAGUGAUCAAAGUAAAUCGGGCAACUUGAAAGCGAAGCUUGUGUGCUUAUUUUCCGUCAUCAUGGGCUUCAUAGGUGCAGAGGUAAUUGACGAUAGGUUGCAUCCAUCCUACAUCUGUAUGGGAUAUAUCAUGGACCUGUUAUGAUGCAAUAGAAGGCGUGGGUUGGAUGUAGACUGGCAACAUUAUGGAUUCAGUGAUUGGCAAGGCGAUGACAACUUCGGCCAUCACAUCUACUUUUUCGUUCUCUUCAUGGGGAACAUGUUUGACUCACUAGUCAACCAACUUGUCUAAAAGGGCUUCCACACUAGUGAGGUAGUGGGCCAUGCAUUCGUCUGUGGCCUCGUAUUCUCGUUGAAUCUGCCCAACCACCAAUUGGGAGUCACUUUGUACUUUCACUUUUGAUGUUGCAAGUGUUAAGGCGAGAUCGAGGCCAAUUAUCAUUGCUUUGUAUUCAACCUCAUUAUUAAAUGCGAGAAAGUCAAUGUGGACAAAUUGUUUGAUCUAUUCCUCGAUAGAGGAAGAUAGCAUAAGCCAGACCCCAGCUCUUAAUGUCCUUGAGGCUCCAUCUACAUGAAGGAUCCACCAGUGGUAUGUUAUGUCAAUCUGUACCCAUUUUUGGGGCAACUCGGCUAUGAAAUCUACGAGAACUGCUCUUUCAAUGAAAAUCAAGGCUUAUAUUGUAUACCAUACUCACUUAAUUCAAUAGCCCAUUCAUCAUCCGUUCGGAUAAAUCUAGCUUAUGCAAGAUGACCCUUAAUGGUUGAUUUGUUAGAAUUGUUACUUAAUAUGCCUAGAAGUAUGGAACGGAGCUUUUUUGCAUCAAUGCAUAGUGCUAGCGUCAUCUACUUUACUUGAGAAUAACAGGUUUCGACGUCUACCAAAGCUUUAUUCACGUAGUAGACGAGUUUUUGCUCAUCGUUUAGGGAAUGUCAGAACAGGAUGACGCUAACUACAUAGUCUAACACAGUGAGAUACAUGUAUAAUUCCUCGCCUGCCUCUGAACUGCUUAAAAUGGGAGGUUCUGUGAGAUAGUGCUUGAUAGUAUCAAAGACACUUUUGCAUUCCUUAGUCCAACCAAACGUUUGAGCUCCAUGCAGAGUAGUGAAUAAAUGACGGAGCUUAUCAGUGAAGUGAGUUGUGAACUGACCCAAGGCUGCUAGACGGCCCGUGAGUCACUGCAUUCUUUUCUUAGUGGACGGAAUAAGCAUCUCAAGCACGACUUUUACUUGGUUUGGGUUUACUUCAAUUCCUCUCUGAGUCACCAAAAAAUCAAGAAACUUACCCACGCUAAUGCCAAAUGUACAUUUAAACGGGUUAAGUUUCAUAUUAUAUUUCUACAUUAAAUCGAACGCUACUUCCAAAUGUUGCACAUGUUCUACACGAGUUUUACCUUUGACAACUAUGUCAUCAAUGUACACCUCCACUAUCCCGCCCAUCAAUGGUUUGAAAAUUUUUUUCAUCAGCCUCUAAUAUAUUGCACUCGCAUUGUUUAGCCUAAAGGCAUAACGUUGUAGCAGUAUAAUCCUUGAGAUGUGGUAAAGGUCAUUUUCUUUUAAUCCUAUUGGAACAUGGGGAUUUGGUGGUAUCCGGAGAAAGCAUCUAGGAAUGAGAACAUUCCAUUUUCGAAUGUAGAAUCAACAAUCUAAUCAAUCUGAGGCAAAAGAAAGCUAUCAUUUGGGCAAGCAUCAUUUAAGUUCGUAUAAUCCACGCAUACUCGCUAGGUUCCUAUUUUCUUUGGGACCACCACGAUGUUAACUAACCAAUCUGGAUAAGCGACUUCCCGGAUAAAGCCAGCAACUAACAACUUAUCAAUUUCCGUUUGGAUUACUUUCUGGCGAUCCAAGUGAAAGCUUAGAACUUUCUACUUCAUAGGUCACGUAUUUGAGAGAAUAUUCAUUUUAUGAGUAGCCAUAGAAAGGUCGAUUCCUAGCAUGUUCAAAUGGGUCUAAGCAAAGAUAUUCACAUUUCAGCGGAGCAAGGCUUCAAAAUGGCUAAGAUCCCCCAUUGUUAUCAAAGAACUAGCGUUUGUCAUACAACAUUUUUCAUCUAAUAAGGGUAGAUGUAACAAGGAAUCAAUGGCCGACAGAGUUGUAAUUGUUAUUAGUCAUUCGCACUUGUCGAUUCGGGUUUGUCUCCAACUAGGUUUUUAUACCAACAUCUACAGUCACCAGGUAGCAUUGUUGGGUGGCCAAUUUGACUAGCGAGUAAGUCCACUUGCCCAACCUCAGUAAGGUAGCUUACCAUUUGAUGAUAUGUAGACAAGAUGACUUUCAUUUUGUGCAGCCAUACCCAUCCUAUAAUGGCAUUGUAUGGUGAUAAGUCUUCUACCACUGAGAAGUAGACAUUUAAAGUAACCGGCUCAGCCUAAACGAGUAGAACAACAUCGUCUAAGAAGACUGUUGAGGCUCCAUUGAAGUCAAUUAGGAUGUGGCGCAGAUUUUUUAAGGUAGAUGAAAAAUAUCCCAUUUGCCUAUAUGCCAACAUUUUCAGGAGAUCGGCGAAGCUUCCUAGAUCGAUCAGAAUUCUGCACACAUCAAAACCAUUGACUCCAAAUGUUAAGACUAGGGUGUUCUCGUGUGGUAGGAUCACCCGAUUGGAGUUAAUAUAAGGGAAAGCAAUGGGCUCGUAUAUCGGUCAGACAUUUUCGUAAAUGAACGUACAUUGAACAAUAUGCACUCUUUUCCUUACAGAAGUUACGUAGAUUAACCUUCAUCUCUAUCUUUUGGGGUGGUAUCUAUCAUUUACGGGUCCACCGUGUGUAUAAUUGAUAACCGCUCUAGGUACUACAGGAAACGGAGGGGCCUGUUCGAUUACCUCUACUGUAUCUCAUCUGUCAAAGGUACGGACGUCCUACUUAAGAUGUCCAACCUUAAUGAGUUCUUCUACUAGGACGUGCAGAUUCUUGCACUACUCCAUGGUAUAUCCAUGUUCCUUAUGGUAAGAGCAUUGUCGCUUCCAGUCUCGCUUGGCUGGAUAAGUUUUAAUCGGCUCUAGCCAUUUGAAUUUGGGCAGCUCUUGAAUUAACAGAAUGAGUUAUUCAUAAGAGACAAUCAGUAGGGUGAGCCUUUGAGGCUACUACUGUCAUCUGUCCUGUUUUUGUCCCCCUUGUCUGGACUAAUUGUUUGGGGACUUUGAGCUUCCAGUUUUAUUGUUCUUUGUUGGCUAGGUCAUGACCAAAAUAUGUUGGGAAGCUGCUCAAACAUCAUCUCAGAGCAUAACAUAUUUAUCUGUUUGUCUGAACAAGUCGUCCACUGAAGUGGGUGACUUUUUGUCGAGGAACUCAAAGAAUAGAGUGCUUGGGCUUAUGCUUCGUUUAAAGAUCUGGAAAUAUCAUCUAUAUUGUAGGACUCAAUCUGGAACACUGCUUAGCCAAAUUGCUUCAUGAAGUCUCUCAACAAUUCGUUUUCUUGCAUCUUAAUGUUCUACAAGGUCCUUAUAUUAUGUUUUCGGCGUGCUGAACAUAAGUAAUAGCCAACAAAUGCCUUAGAGACAUCAUGAAAAAAAUUGAUGGAGUUUUGAGGGAGUCGAUGAAACCACAAGAAGGUCGAACCAUGGAGCCUGGUCAGAAAGAAUUUACAAAGCAAUACGUUGUUUCCAAUGUCUAAAGUCAUUAACUGCCGAUAGUGUAGUAGAUGGUCGAAUGGAUCACUCGUCUCAUCGUACAUGGUGAACUUGGGCACUAAGAACCCUCUGGGAGGCUCAUAGUUGAUUAUAUGAGGGCCAAAUAACAUGGAGAACAUAUCAUCAAGCUUCUGGAUGAUAGAGUCAAGAAGGGUCUUUCCUGUGGGCUUGAGUGCUGCUAGAAACUCCAUCCAUGGUGGCUAGAAGCUUGGUGAUGCCUCCUGUUUUGGUUGACCCAACUGAGCCUUUAAGGCAUUGAAGAUGCGCGAUGGUGUCUACGUCCGUUGGUCUUAGGGCCCCAAGUGAGCUCUCAUGGUGUCAGACAAGCGGGAACCCCAUUGUUGUCCCAUUUUUGUCUUUCCUCUUAUGGAACUAGUGGUUUCAUUGGGGUAAGACUGGUCAGUUGAGGGAUAAGUCGGUUCAAGUCAGGUAGGAGAACGACUAGAAGAAAAGUCUUCCUCAUGCACAUGACAAGACGACUUAGUGUGUCGUCAGGAUGAGCAUGUCACCUGGUUGUGACUCCUUUUUGGGUUGAUCUGCUGAAUAAAGGUGUGAUGAUUUUGUAAGUGAUGCCCCUUAACCAUCUGAGCUUGAAACUCCUUAUUCUCUUGUCUCAACUAUUCAGCUUGUUGGAGCAGUGACUGCAUACAAUGCUCUUUUUCUUAUUGCUUUCUUUCCAUUCUUGCUUGUCAAGCCUAGAAUUAGUCAGCCAAAGUGGCUGACUGGGAUGUAUGUGACAUGUUGGCCAUUAUGCUACUGUGUUUUUUGUAUCAUUUUCCACAAACGGCGCCAAUGCUGUUGCAUGAUUUGAAUGGAUUGUCUCGUCUAACUCCCAAGAGCCAGAUGAAUGGCACGAUCAACAGUUUCCAUCUAAAUCGCUCAAGAUAUAAAUGGUUGCAUUAUCUGCACAAAAGACUAUCCGGAUGGUUUGUCUAGGCACGCCCCUCCAAUGCUAAAGUUACUAAGUGGCUUAAGCAAGUAAGGGAAUUUUUUAGAAGAAAAAAAAUACCAUUUGUGGAUUUUGCAUGGUUAUUUAUGAUUAUUCAAGUGUAACAUCUUUCUAGGUAUCUUAAUAGUACAUUCAUUGCGCUUGAUUAUGCAAUAUUAUGGCAUUGACUAUCGAUGCAUAACAAUUGUCUUGCCUUAAUGAGCUGUUAAUAAUAGAACAUUUUCUAGUAGCAACUGCAUUUAGUAGGGAGCAUGUCUAGCUCACAAUACGCAGAUUAAUGGGUAAGUAAAAGCGUGGAGGAUAGUCAAGCACCAAUCUUGUUGUAUUUAUAUAAGAUUUUUCCGUCUGACCCACUUUGGGACGGACCAAUCACUUGGCCUUAGGGUCGUUGGGUCAUACGGUUGAAAGUGAUCUUCCAAACAGCUUGCACUCCUAGGUGGCUGUGAGAGAGUAAAGGACUUCGAGAUGGCCUUGUAGAGAGGGUCCCACAAGUACUAUAUGGUAGGUGUGUACCUCAACAAGAGGGUGUACCCUGGGAUUGCCCAAGAGAAGGGAAUGGUCCACCCCUAGAGAGGUGCACAAAUAGCUUUGGUUUUUUCUCUUCAAGGUUAUCUAAGUCUAUAUGCAAUGUAAAUAUAUGUCUCUACUCUUUAUUAAUCAUACAAUGUGCAUUACUACUUGAGUGCACACAAGCCUUGGUGUAGACCCUCAAUUUUGUCCCUUUAGCACAUGUCUUUAAAAUUCGUUUUCAGUGCUUCAAAAUAGUUCCUUGGUGGCCCAUUACUACUCGUACAACUUACCUUUUUCUUAGUCACCUCGGAGACUUUGGUUGAGGGAUUAUCUGACCCUUUAUUGUGACCCUUGGCAGUUUUGAUUUAGACUUAAGCUUUCCAUUUCUUUUUAGGAUAGCUCUUAAGCAUGUUUAGGUCACUUAGACACCUUUCUCAGAAUAGGUCCAUUUAGACAUUUCAUUGAGGCUCAACAUUUUAUUCUUAUUAUUUCUUAUAUAUAUAAUAUUAUUAUUAUUAUGGCAUGUAUUUGAUAUUUACAUUUAUUUUGUCUAUACAUUUUUAAUUUUUAUUUUUAUUAUUUACUUAUUCAUGUAUUUAAUUGUCUUUAUAUAUUUCAUUUUAUUUAUUUUUAUUUAUUUAUUUAUUUACUUAAUGAAAAAUUGUUUGAAUUGUUAGAUUUAAAAUACGCAUAUAGCCCCUUUAUCAAAUGACAGAAUUGUACAAUCUAAUAUUUGAUUUUCUCUUUCAUUCUCUUUUAAUCAUAUUUCAUUUUAUCACCAAUUUCAUGACUUUCAUUAAUUUCUCAUCUUUUCCUUUUAUUUUAAUUUUAUUUUUAUUCUAUUUCUGCAUGAGGUAUCCGAGCCGCCAGGAGAUCAUUCACGACUUUCUUUUCCCAUGGAAGAUAAUUUACAGAAUAUGGAAAACCAAGGUGGAAUUACGACUUACCAUAAAAAAAGUGGAAGACCGAGCUGUAUAUCAUUGGAGAAUUUCUAGAGAUUAGAGGAACACUUUUCCAAAAAGAAAGAUGAGCGUCACGGCGGCAUAUUAAGCACAGAUUUGGGAAGGAAUCUCCACAUGAGCCGCACCAUCCAGACUUUUUUGAAAGGGGCUGUACCACACAUCUUCCGUGCAUCAUAUAGAAAAGGAAGAAAGAGAUUUUCCGGGAUGGAGACGCACAGUCCACCUUCCUAAAGAAAUCCUCCACGGCUGCCAUAUGUGAAAGGGAAGAUUUUUAUUUUAUUUUCGAAGAGGAAUUUUGGAGAUCCUCACGCAGAUAUAUAAAGAGGGGCUGCCAUAUAAAUAAGGGAGGAUUUUUUGGCUUGAGGAGGAGAAAGGCAAGAGGGAUUUUGCUGAAACAAGGAGAGGAUUUUUUUAGAGAUGGGACACGGAGAAGAGAUAUUAUUUUUCUGGGAACAAAGAAAGGUCUGAAGGAGGAGGAAAGUUGCAGCCACACAGUGGAGGGAACACACAUACAGGUCGUGCCAUCUACAAGGGAGUCCAGGGGAAAUCCACGUCUUGGAGAAGAGAACGAUCAGCCGCUGAACACGGGUUUCUCGUUGAGAAUAGUCCACGCAUCAAGUCUCCACUUCCACGGGCUGCAUCCAUCAUCAGUCCGCGCAUAUGCUCGUCAUCCAAACGGCUCCAUAUCAGGCGUCGGAGCGUGAUCUCACACUGCAAGUGUCAUGGCUGCACCCUGUGCCAUACCAGCCGCGCAUCUUUGGCGAUCACCUAGCCGCAACAUCAGUUUCCUUGCCGUUGGCGUGCCCUCUCUCCGGUUCCGUGCCUCAUCAUUUCUCUUCCCACUCUUCCUCCAUAGGAAGCACCUUCAAGACGCAUCUUCACCUGAAGGAGACCCUCUUACACGGCUGCCACUUUGAGAAUAACUGUCCACGCACAUUGGGUAAGUUGUUUUGCUUUCCAUAUUGGGUUUCUUUGAAAAAUAAAAAAAAGAAAUAAAAAAAAGGUCUGGUUUCAUUUUAUAUUGGGUUGAGUGCUUUAUUGGUCCAAUAGGUUUUCAUUUUUAAUAUGGCAUCAAGAAUACUACUUUUUUGGUUUAAUUGUUUUGGUUAUUAUAUUCGGUGAUGUUUUGUGGUGUACCAUUUUCAGUUUGGAUUAUUAUAUUGUGUUGAGUGGAUUGAUUUGUUUAUUAGCUUCAACACGUGUUUGCUUUAAUAUGGCAACACAAUCUCACAUUUUUUUUUUUUUUUAUUAUUCAUCACGUUAAAGAUUAGAGUUGUUUAAGGUUAGUUUUGAUGUAUUAUAUUAAAUUCAUGAAAAAUGAUUUUAGGUAGCUUUACUUGAAAAAAAAAUAAUAUAGUUUAAUCUUUAUUUGAUGUGGUUCUGAUUCAUUUAAUUAUUGAUUGUUUAUUUAUUUAUUUGUUACCAAUUUAACGCUUUGUAAUUUAUUUAAUUAUAAAUAAAAUUGAUUCUAUGGGUUAGAGAUUUAGUUUUAAAAAUAAUUUUGGUUAGUGUUUAAUUUAACUUUAGGUUUAUGUACUCUUAUAAAAUUUUAGUUCAUUAAAAUAAUUGAUCAUAUAUGUCAAGUUUUGAUUUUAGAUUUGCCCUAAUUUGUGUUUAAUUCGUUUUAAGCUUAAAUUUUAUUUUAGUAAUGUAAAUUUAUUUAGAAAGUUGUUUCCAUGAAUUCAUAUUCGUUUUUUUUUUUUUUUUUUUUUUUUUUUAUUCCAAUUUAGUUUGAUUUAAUUUGUUCUUUUAGAUUUAAAUGUGUUUGCGUGUUCCAUUGAUUUUAUGUUAUCUCUUGAUUUGCUAUUCUCAAUUUAGACAUUUCAUGAAUCUUAGUCAUUAAUUCUUGGUGGGUAUCUCAUUCGUUUAUUUGAUCUGAGUUUUAAUAAUUUAUUACUUUGAUAAGUCUAUUGUCAAAUUUAUCUUUCCGAGGCCAUUGAAAAAUCAUGAAGAUUGGCCUCUACCAUCACCAUUAUCAUUUUUGUUAAUUACUAAAAAAAGUUUUACUUUGAGGUUUCAUUUUUGUUUUGUUUGGUAUUUUAUUUCUUAUAUUUUAUUUUUUCCAAAUUAAUUCCUUUUAUUUUAAAAUAAAAUACUUUUAUAAAAAAAAUCAUUUUAAAAAUCUAUUUCAAAAAUUCAUUAGAUUCCUCAGGAUCAAAAUCUUUUUUUUAUUUUUAAAAAAUAAUAUGCAACCAUAUUUUGUUCGGUUUGCAUCCUUCUCGGUUUUCAACAAAAAUUUUAGUUUUGAACAAAGACACGAAUCAAAGCUUGUGGUCCCACAUAAAUGGGAUAAUUCUGAGCUAAAUUCGUGUAUAUCAAUUGGGGAAUUGGUGAAACCCCUAUAUAAGAAAAUCUUUUCAAAAAUUAUUUUUGUUGCCAUUUUUGUCACUUGUUGAAAUUAUGUCUAUCUUUUUUAGGAAUUGUAUACAAGAUGUGUGUGAUAAUUAAUGUUUUCAUAUACUUUGAUAAUUUUUGUUAUGCUAAUUAGAUAACAAGCAUGCUAGGGUUUCUUUAUUUUAUUAUUAUCUAAUCCCUCAUGUCUUAUGGAAGCGCAUUGUAAGUUAUCUAUGCUAUCCAGGUACGCCCCCCUAAUGACCUACUUUCUAAAUUUUGUAAACAAUCAUGUCACUGUGAAGUAUGCAUAUGUUUGAUAAUCCUUAGGUGUUUAGAUGUAUGCUUGAUUCACUAUGAUUAAAUACAUGUUGUGUGUUAUACUUCUAUAUUAACUCUGAUGUUUUAUGAUAGCGUUUGAAGAGCGGUUCAGGUACGCACCCUAACUCUCUGUUUUUGUGAUUUGAUCUUGUUUAGCAUGCAAAUCUUUUGAAAUCACCUAGCCUACUUAGGUAUCCAUAAUUAACCGAUUAAUUGUCAUAUUCCUCUUAACUUAAUUAGUAGAGACCUUUUUAGGGCUUAGAAGGGUGCUACCUCCUAGAGGUACCUUCCCAAUAAGUAACCUGAUCCCCGGACCAAGACUUGGGUUUUCAAAGACACGCUUUUCCAAAAAUUAUGGAGUCAUUUUUUUAGGGUUUUAUUUCUUGUUUUAUUUUCCCUUCAAAAAUAAAAAUAAAAUAAGUGGCGACUCCAACUUUUUUUUCAAAAAUCAAUUUUUCACAAAUAAAUAAAAAGCGAGUCUCGCCGAUCGAGUGGGGACGCACGUGAAAAAUGCGGGUCCACACUUGGGUUUUGAGGGUUUUCCCUCUUUCGGAAAUCUCCAUGUUGUCUUUCAUUGUGAAUGGACCACCCCUUAUUACAAUUUUACUAAGAACAACUAGAAAUACCAACAAAACAUAUAAAUUGCUAAGUAAACUAAUUUGACUUAAGUUUUCUCGUAAAAAUGGAAUUUUUUUAGUGUAAAUCUUGAUAAUCACAAUACAAUCAUAUGUGCUCAAGAUGGAACCCAAUCCAUCUUUUGCAUUUGUAUUCUCACAACAAGCUCAACUAUUAGGUAUUCGACACCAUUUCCAAUCUUCAAAGGAACAACUAGAUGAGGCACAUUGUUACAUCAUGAAUAAGCAUCAGGAGUUAAGACCAUUCUUAGACUAAGUUCUAGCCUUAACUUUCAAGAUGUUGCUUUAAUGUAGUAACCCAUAUCCAUUUGAUGUAGUGAACAUAUAAAGAAAUUAGAGAUGGCAAGCCUUUAUGACCAGUGUUUGAAAAUUUGGUUUUUUUCACCGAAAAAUCUAAUAUUGGUGGUGGUCGAAACAAAAUCAGCCAUCGAUAAUUGGUUAGGAGAAAAAUCGAAAAAAAAUUGUCGAAAUAUCGAUAAAAUAUUGGUUGCAAGGAGACUAUCAGCAAAAAAAUCGAGGAUGAGACAAUAUGCGCAUUGAGCAAGAGUGGUGCCAAAAAAUACCAAUUUAUUGGCAAUUUUUUAGGCGAUUUUUUACGCCUCCUCCCCUGCAUCCAAUGGUCAUAUUUGAAUUUUUGAAGAUCCAACGACCCAAAUUUCACUCGUGUUUUUGUUAAAGCAUCUAACUGUCAAAUUUGUGAUCCAAUUGUGGAAAAUCAAAUUUGACUUGAUCCAACGACUAAGAAAUGUUUUCAAUGGCUAUAUGAAGAUCUAAUGGUCGAAUUUGAACCAAAUUUCGAUCCAAUGACUAAAAUUAAAUUCCAACGGCUAAUUUGACAAAAAAAAUCUAUAAAUACUCCAUUCCAUUUCAUACAUAAAAUUUUGAUAAUUUUUUUUUAUCUCCAUCAAAAAUUUUAAAUUUGGGGAAUUUGGUGGUGACGGGUUGGAUUAACUUCAAAUGAAGGCUAAUUAAGGUAUGUUUUACUUUUCAUAAAAUUUAUUUUUAUUAUGCAUAGUUCAAUUUUAUUUGUUAUGUAUAGUUUAAUUGAUAUUGCCUAAUUUUAAAAUUUAUCAUAUUAACAUUAAAUUUCAUAUUGAAAUUAAUUUGACAUAUAUGCAUAUUUAAUUUCAAUUUUUAGUUAUUUUAAAUUUUAAUUUAAUUCAUAUGAAAAUUUAGUUAUAAUGUUUGUCUAUCUGAUAUCACAUCACAUAUAUGCAUAAGUCAAUUUUAAUUUCAAUUUUUAUUAGUAACAAUUAUUAUAAACUUCAUGAAUAAUAUUAAAUUAACUUAGAUAUUUAUCUUUAAUAAUUUUAAAUUUAAUUCACAUGAAAAUUUAGUUAUAAUGUUCAUCUAUUUGAUAUCACAUCACAUAUAUGCAUAAUUCAAUUUUAAUUUCAAUUUUUAUUAGUAAUGAUUCUUAUAAACUUCAUGAAUAAUAUUAAAUUAACUUAAAUAUUUAUCUUUAAUAAUUUUAAAUUUAAUUCAUAUGAAAAUUUAGUUAUAUUGUUUGUCUACUUGAUAUCACAUCACAUAUAUGCAUAAUUUAAUUUUAAUUUCAAUUAUUAUUAGUAAUGAUUCUUAUCAUUUUCAUGAAUAAUAUUAAAUUAACUUAAAUAUUUAUCUUUAACAAUUUUAAAUUUAAUUCAUAUGGAAAUUUAGUUAUAAUGUUUGUCUAUUUGAUAUCACAUCACAUAUAUGCAUAAUUCAAUUUUAAUUUCAAUUUUUAUCAGUAAUGAUUCUUAUCAAUUUCAUGAAUAAUAUUAAAUUAACUUGGAUGUUCAUCUUUAAUAAUUUUAAAUUUAAUUCAUAUGAAAAUUUAGUUAUAAUGUUUGUCUGUUUGAUAUCACAUCUUAUAUAUGCAUAAUUCAAUUUUAAUUUCAAUUUUUAUUGGUAAUGAUUCUUAUCUGUUUCAUGAAUAAUAUUAAAUUAACUUAGAUGUUUGUCUUUAAUAAUUUUAAAUUUAAUAUUAGUUUCAUAUGGAAAUUUAAAAUACAAGCUUCGAAAAUGGUUAGUGCAAGUGCAAGUGGAAGCGAUGUCAUGGGUCGAAAUCCUUGUUGGAAAUAUUGUAUGUACACCUAUGGAAGGAAACAAAAAUGGAACAAUAUGCAAUUAUUGUGGGUUGACAAUAAAGAAUGAUAGGAUUACUCAUUUUAAACUUUACCUAUCACAUACAGACCCUAAUUCAAAUACCAAAAAGUGGGUGCCUCCAUAAGUGAAAUAAGAAAUAAGACAACUUUUAGAGGAAAAAAAAUAAUGCAAAAACGAAUAAAACUGCCUAUAUAGAAGAGAUUCGAGAUUAAUUGUGAGACACAAUAGGAGGAAGACAUAGACAAGUAAUUGAUGAGAACGAUGAGAAGAACAUUGAUGAUGAUAAUGAUGAUGAUGUGUAUAUGUAUUCGGUUGACAUGCACCUUAAUGAGCGACAUGCUUAUAGAGCGAUAGUUCGAGCAUCAAAAGCUAGUGGAUGGAAUCGAAAACAAGAAGAACAUUUGUAAGAGGCAAAAGAAAAAACAGGUAUAUGCAAAGUGGAAGAUCAACUUAUCAAUUUGAAUUAUUAUUGUUUCUUAUCAACUUUAUCAAUAACAUUAAAUCAACAUAUAUGUUUAAUUUUAAUAAUUGCAAUAAGCGAGUCUUCACAUCCAACUAAUCCAACAAGGCACAUGCGAAGAUCGCAAAGUAUUCGACAUUUGGAUCUAUCACUGCCUAUUGCACCCUCAUUGUACAAAUCUUUAGUAGCAAGACAGAAAAAUGUUAAAAAUCUUUUAAAAUGUGGUGCCAUCAAGGAAACCAUGCUAUAAUUGAUCAGUAAGUUUUUCAUAUAUGAGAGUGUUGCGCCCAAUAAAGCAAACUCUCACCACUUCAAGAACAUGAUUGUUGGUACACAACAAGCAGGUAAUUACUAUAACUUUAAAAGUUUUAUUUAUUUUAACAAUAUCAUUAUUAUUUGUAAAGUAUAAAUGCCAAAAAUAUUCUUAUAUGCUUUAAUUAUAUAUGGAUGGUAGGUAUGGGUAUAGAACCACCAUCUCCUUAUGAAAUCAAACACAAGUACUUGGAUAUGGAGUACAAAGACAUGGAAGGUUAUGUCAAUGUUCAAAGAGAAAAGUGGAAGACUUAUGAAUGCAUGAUUAUGUGUGACGAAUGGAUUGGACCCGCAAAAUUAAGCAUAAUUAAUUUCAUGGUAUAUUCAAAAGGCAACACAAUCUUCCUUAAAUCUGUUGAUACAUCAAAUAGCAUAAAAGGACAACAAAUACAUAUAUGGUUUGUUGAAGGACGUGAAGAAGGAAGUCGACAAAGAAAAUGUGGUACAAAUAGUUACAAAUAAUGGGUCAGCAUUCGUAAAGGCAAGGAAGCUAUUAAUGAAGAAAUAUAAUUUAUAUUACCGUGUGCAACACAUUGCAUCGACUUAAUGUUCGAAGAUAUUAGUAAAAGGCCCAGUAUUACAGAUGUGAUUACAAAGGCUCAAAAGAUAACAAACUUCAUCUACAACCAUAGUUGGUUGCUUGCGUACAUGCAGAAGGUGUGUGGUGGAGACAUAGUUCGCCUUGGAGCAACAAGAUUUGCAGCCAAUUAUAUUGCCCUCAAUAAUAUUUUGAAAAAGAUGUUGGACUUGAAGAAAGUGUUUAUCAGUGAUGAAUGAGCACAACUCAAGUUAAGUCACACACUAAUCGGCCAAGAGGUUGAAAAACUUAUGUUUGACCAUGCAUACUGGGAGAGUGGCAAAGCUAGUGUCAAUCAAUGAGGUGUUAUACACGGUUCUUCAUAUUAUCAAUUCAGAAUUUGUUCCUAAAAUGUCAUUUGUGUAUGAAUUGAUUCGAGUGAUGAAAGAGAAUCUCAUUUGACUUAAUGAUAGAGAAUGAAUGUUAGAAAUAAUCGCAAAUCGUUGGGAUAGAACUCUUAAACAUCAUCUUCAUGUAGUAGGUAACUAAGUAUUAUCCAUCUUCAAAAGUUAUUGGUAUUUAAUAUAUUUCUUUCAUAACAUUCCAAUUCUACUUCACUAUUGUAGCAUUCUAUCUCAAUCCAAGGUUUCAAUAUAGAUGUGGAGUUGGUAGUGAUCCUGAUCUAGUUCAAGUUGUUCAUGAUGUUUUUGUGACAUUAGAUCCUACAAUGGAAGGUCUUAGUCAAUUUGAAAAUAAGAUAAAUUAUUAGGGUUAUAAUAUAAAUUAAAUAAUUGAAUUUCAUUUACACAAUUUUUUAUUUUCAAUUAUUUAAUAUGUAGCUUAUACUAUUCCGAGAUGCAAAAAGAGGAUUUAAUGAUCGAGCAACGAUUGCUUCGAGGUUAGAAAUGGUUUCUGGUGAGUAUUAUUUGUGAAUAAAAAAUACAUUUCAUUAGCAUAUUAUUGUAGAUUUCUAAUAUAAGUAUUGAUAUCAUUUAUUUGGUUAAGUUGAAUGGUGGUUCAUGUAUGGAAACCGCACUCCUACAUUAAGAAGGUUGGUCAUCAAGGUUUUAUCGCAAAUUACGUCAUUUUCAGCUUAUGAGAGAAAUUGGAGCACAUUUGCCCUAAUUCAUACAAAGCAAAGAAAUUGGUUUGCUUACUCAUGCUAUAACAAUUAGUUUUUUUUUAUUAUAACAUGAAACUAAAGAUCUGUGAUAUGGAAGCAGAAAAAGAUUACCUUAAUUUACCUAACAUUUCAGCUGAGAUUGGUGAUGAAGAAGAUAAUCAAUGUUUCAAUGGGUUAGGUCUCUUCAUUUAGAUGAUGAAGAUGGAAAUCCCGACCCACGAAUAGUCACACAUGUCCAAGAAAUAGGUGUUGAUGUUGAACGGGUGUUAUCCGAAGAAGUUCAUACUAAUAGUUUCAGCCAAGACAGAAGAGAUUCAUUUCUAUAAGGAAUUUCUCAGUCGACAGUCACUUCUCGACCCUCUUUCGACUUUACAAGUGUUGAACAUAGUAGUAGACCUAGUGCUGCUGGUACUUCCGCUUCUAGUUAUGAUAGUUCAAGAGGAAAAGGGACUAAUGAUGGUAAUGACCCUGGAAAUAAUGGAGGGGAUAUUAGACAACAGCAGCAAAAUGGACAACCAUUUACCUCAUUAACUUGUGAAGAUGAUUUCACACAUUGUACUCAAGAUGAAGACCAUGGCUCUAGAAGAGCUAGUCCAAGUGUUGGAGCCAUUGGAAAGCCAUGUAGAGAAAGACAACAAAGGAUGACGCCAUACAACAAGGACUCAUUUUCGGCUAGUUUUGAGUCAAUGAGUAUAGAGACUCAAUUCAAUGACUCAUUAAAUAAAGCCAACAUUUAUGCUUUUUAUGCAAUGGGUUAUGGUUAGCCUCCUCUAAAUCAUUCAAGUUCCACUGAUGAAGAAUAUGAAAGGUAUAACUAUCCUUCUUCUACACAAAUGUCAUACUACCUUCCAUAUCAAAUGCAACAACAAGGAUUUCAAACUAGCACAUGGGAAAACCUCAUAUUUCCCAUCCAUGGAAAGGUUAUGGGUAGGAGUCAAGAAAUUUAUGCAUGGAAUGUUCAUACUUACAAUCAGUACUAUCGAAACUCCAUGUCCUGGUAUGAAUAUUGUCUUCAACAAGAUGGGAUCCCUUCAUCUAAUAAUGUGAUGGAACCACAUCAGUCUUCAUUUUGGUACUAAGGACUAUUGCAAUGUCUUAUGUAUUACAUUUAUGUAUAAAUUAUUCUCAUUUAAUAAAAUCAAAUAUUCCUUAACUCAAUUCUAACUUUCUAAGUAUAAACUUCCAAAAUUCAUAUUUUCUAUCCUUAAAAUUCAAGUAUCAAACUUCCGAUAUAUCUCUACUUACCGUUAUUUUUCUCCUUGACCAUACCUAUGUCAAUUACACUUACAAACUAGCUUUAACAUGUGUAUAUUCUUGCUUAUUUUAUCUUCUUUUUUUUUUUUUUUUGGAGUUUAUCCAAUCAUUCCCAUGAAUUUUGAAUCAUUUUUGCCCCAUUGAUAUUUGUGUCAAAAAAUCCACCAAUAUUUCUCCAAUAUUUUUUAUACAUCCAUAAAAUCCAAGUAUCAAUAUAUCUGUGUUUACCAAUAUUUCAAACCUUGCUUAUGACUUAGAAAAAUGCAAAAAACCAAGAAUUUCAUAAGUGGCUUGCAAACCAUGUAAGUUUCAUUUGUGUAAUUUUCUUCUACAAUAUGGUUCUAAAGAAUUAAUGCAAUUUAAUUAAGGUUUAAUAUUAAACUAUAAAUAAUGAUGUAUUUCAAUAUCAUAGAGAAAAAAUUUAUAUGUUAAGUAAUCACCAAAAGCAAAUAAUGAACUAUACUUAUUUACUUGUGAAUCAGAUAAUUGAGUCCACACAUAGGGUUCACUUCCACUCAAAAGAUCAUGACAAUCACCAAAGAUAGUGACAUGUGUUUCUAGGGAGUAUCAUGAGGAGGAGGUUGAUUUCUAUGGUGCUUUGUAAUCACAAAAGAUUGUGAUAAUCAAUGUAUCGGUAAAAAUAAUGAGAUAUGUGUUUUGGUGGAGCAUGAUGAUGAGAACGUUGAUUUCUAUGUUGUUUUAUCAAAUGUGAUUAUUUUGAACUAUUUUAUGGACCCAAAUUGUUCACAUGCAUCCUCAUUCGACAACAAUACUCAUUUUUUAUUGUGAAAAAACUUAUUUUUUGAAAAGUUAGAGUUGCCACUUAUUUUUGUUUAUUUUUAAAAUGAAAACAAAAUAAGAAAUAAAACUCUAAUAUGACUCUUUUUUAAAGAAAAAGCAUGCCUACAAAUGUCAAGUCCAAAUCCAAAACUCAUGUUACUUAUUAAGAAAGUAUCAUAAGGUGACACCUCUCUAAGCACUAAAAAAGGUAUCUACUAAGCACGUGAAGAGAAUUAUAAUAAUUAAUUAAUUAAUUAAUUAUAGGUACUAAGAAAAAGAAUGACACAAAUCAAUUUAUAGUAAGAUAUAACAAAUAUUAAAUUAGAAGAAUAAAAAUUAAUUAACAAGGGAAUUAAACAAAUCGGUUUGUUAAAUUCAUUAAAAAGGGAUUUAAUUAUUUUAAAGAUUAAAACACUUUUUAAAGAAAUUUCAAAAGGAUUAAAAAAAAUCAUUCAUUUAUUUUCAACAAGUGAUUUGAUUUACUUAUUAUUAUUCAAUUUUAUUUUCAANNNNNNNNNNNNNNNNNNNNNNNNNNNNNNNNNNNNNNNNNNNNNNNNNNNNNNNNNNNNNNNNNNNNNNNNNNNNNNNNNNNNNNNNNNNNNNNNNNNNACUUAUUAUUAUUCAAUUUUAUUUUCAAGAAAAUUAUUUUUACUCAUUAUUAUUAAAAAAAUUUAUUGAAUGCAAUUUUUUAUAUAUAUAUUUUGAUUUUAUUUUAUUUACAAGAAAGAUGUUUUUAAUUUACUUUUGCUAGAAAAAGAAUGCUUUUCUACGAGUUUAUUUACCAAAGUACUUCAAUGUAAUUUUUAUUUAAGAAAAGUAAUUUUUACAAAUCAUUUAAAAAAUAUUUUUUAUAACUUUAUCUAUAAAAAAAAAAUUUCAAUUUUUUUUGCAAGCAAAUUGAUUUUUAUUACUUUUAUAGAAAACAAGACUUUUACAAUUUUAUUUACAAAAUUAUUAAAAAAAAAAAAAUUGAAUCUAGACAUAUCCUAUCCAUAGAUAUUUCCAAGACUACCCUCUAAUCGAAGGUGGGCUCUCUCACUUUCUUUUUUUCCCCUUGGUUUUUUUUCUCUCUCACUUGAACACCCAAUGAAAUUGGGCAUCCCAACCUUUUUUCUUUCUUUUUUCUGUUCUCCUUUUUCCGUCCCCAACCCCCAUUCCCACUUUCUCACCAAAUUAAAUCAAGUUUUAUAUUACAAUUAAACGAAUUAAGUUUUAUUUUUUUAAUACUUUGAUUUUAACUAAUUUUGUGAAAUAAUUCUCAUCUUUUUUUCCCUAAUUUUGAAAGCUUACUUAAUUAAAAAACAAGUUUUAUUUUUUUAAAGUAUAAUUCAUUUAUUCAUUAUUUUAUAUUUUAUUUUAAAUUUUUUAUAGAAUAUUAAACCUAAAUUUUUUUUUAAAAAAAAAAAAACAUACACACACAAUCCACAUGUGUUGAAAUUAAAUUUUUUGUUUCGUUCAAAAUAAAAAUAGAAAAAAUAUUAUUAAAAAAAUAUUAACUUACCUUUAAUUUCAUUCAAAAAAAUUAGUAAUGAUCAUUCUUUAAGCAUAUUUAAUUUUAAAAACUAUAUUUGAAGGUAUAUAAAAUUAAAAUUUUAAAAGUGUUUGCAUUAAAUUUUUAAAUAUAAAUUCACAAUUCUCAUUAUAAUACAUUGAUAUUAAAAAAAAUUAAUGUUUUUUAUUAAAUGUAUAAAAAAGUAUAUUUUGUUUAAUUGAAAAUUUAAACCAUUAAAAUUGUUUUUAUUUUAAUAAAUAAUGUUUUCAAAAAGUACAUUAUUUACAAUUUUUUGGCAUAUUAUUUAAUAAUCACCGUAAAAGUCAUCAUAAUGACAAUAAAAAACUUAACAAACUAGUACAUCCUACUAUUAACUAUGAUACUUUUAUCUUUACUUUUAGGUAAAAAUAAUAUCAUUAUCCAUGUUUGAUGUAAACGCUGAAGUGAUGAGUAAUAAAGACAUUAGUACAUAAUUUUAUUUAUUGUGGUAAUUUUAGUUAUUAGCAUUGUUACGUAAAAACUAUGUUACUAUUUUCAAUGGUAAGUUUAAUAUAGAGAUUGAAAUGGUGAUUGGGUCCAAUCAAGUGUACCACAUCUUAACUUAUCUCCUAGUUAGAAGGUAUUCUUGGAAACAUGUACAAAAUUUCUAUUUUAGUGUAUGAAAUGAAAGUUAUUUUCUCCAAAAUGUAUUCCCAAUGACUUUUUGGGUUUUGAAUUUAUUCAUAUUUUAUGGACAUGACAUGUUUACAUAAUUUCCUCUUUUUGUUUUUAAAGGUUUUGAAUUAUUUUUUUUUUUAAAUGUUUAUCUAAUUUUAUUAUUAAAAAAACGAUUUUCAUAAUUUUAUUGAAAAAAAAAAAAAGCAUUUCAAUUUGAUUUUUUAUUUUUUAUUUAAAAAAUGAACUUUAAAAUUUUGUUUAAGAAAUAAUUUUUCAUUUUUCACAACUUUAUCUAGAAGGAAAGAACUUUACUUAGAUUUUAUAACAAAUUAUUUUCACAAAUUUUAGGUAAAAAAAAAAUAUCUCAAUUCAAUUUUAUUUGAGAAAAAAGUCAUUCACAAUUUUAUUUAUCUAUAAAUUUAUUUUGAAAGAUGAUUUUUUUUUUUUUAUUUUAAAUAAGGAAUUUUUCUUACUUUUCUUAUAAAAAAAAAAUUUACUUUUUCAAAGAAAAAAAAAAAGAAGAUUUUUUACAAGCUUAUCUAGAAAGAGAGUUUUGUUUAUCUUUUAUUAAAAUUAUUAAAGGAGUGUUUUUUUAUUAUUAUUAUCAACAAAAAAACAAGAUUGCAAUUUUGUCAAAAUAUGAUUUCCAUUUUACAAAAAAAAAUGUUGAUUCAUUAUUUUUAAUAUAUAUAUAUAUAUAUAUAUAUAUUUAAAAAAUCACUUUUUAAGGAAGAGAUUUUCAAAUUUGUAAAGAUAAAAUAACUUUAGUUUACUUGAUAAGAAUUACUUUAAUUUUAUAAAAAAAAUUAUUUAUUAGGAAAACCAUUUCAAAUUUAUUAUUAAAAAAAUAAUUUCAUAUUUUAAGCAGAUUGGUUCCAAAUUUAUUAUAAAUAAAUAGAAAAUAAUAAUAAUUUCAAAUAAAAAAAUUUCAACAUAUUAAAAACAAACUAGAUCUUAGUUUUAUUUUAUCUACUCAAAAAAAGGUUUUAUAUUUUAGGAAAAUGACUAUGAAUUUAUUAAAAAAUAAUAAUAAUUUAUUAAAAAGAAAGAAAAGUCAACAGGUUUAUUAUUAAAAAAAGAAUUUAGUUUAUAAAAAUUAUGAAUUUCUAUUUAUUAUUUUUUUGGUACAUUAUUAUAAAUUAUUAAAAAUUUUAUUUAAAAAAAGAGUUUCAAAUUUAUUAUUAAUAUAAGAACGGUUCAUUAAAAAUAUUUUACAAACAAAAAGAUUUUUAUUUUUUUUUAACAGAUUUGCACAACAACACAAAAAUAAAAAAUAAAUAAAUAAGAAAAGUAAUUUAUGCAUGGUAAUAACAAAAAAUUCAUACUUACCAAAGAAACCAAAAAACUAAACAAAAACGAUAUUUAUAGGGAUAUUUAUCAAAACAAAUCAAAUAUGCACAACUCAAAAAACUAAUAUUUAUAUUAAUGGCAAACAAAAUAAAACCAAUAGAUACAAAUAAAUAAAUAUGAGAACAUGGAUUCAAUCUGCUCUUCCCAUAAUCAAAAUCCAGCCCUCCAUGUGUGCUCAUCUUGGGCCUCAUUUUGCAUCUCCACAACCAACUCUUGGUCAACAAUCAAGUCCAACAAAAAUGAGAGAUUAAAAUGCAACCUAAGGUCCAACAACAAAAUGAUAUCAACAUGCCAUUGAUAGCCCAAAUAACAAGUUAUGCGAGGCCCAAAAUAACAAUGAAAUAUCAAGCCCAAAUGCAAUCAGUGUCAAUCAGUCCAAUUUAAUAAUUCAAAUAAGUUAAAUUCAAUUAGGAAGAUAAACCCAAAGGAAUUGCAUGACCCAUCAAAUAAAGCAAAUGAAGCCCAAAACCAAAUAGACCAAGCAAAAACCCAAACAACAUGGCCCAAAUGAAGCCUAAAUCAAUAAGCUCAAAUCAGCCCAACCCCACAAAUGAUUACUAUUCAAAUCAAAGAAAAAAAUUACCACAUUUUUUAAACCCUAGCACGAAGAAAUGGAAUGGCAUUGAGUGGUAGUGCGCAAUGGAUUGAUGGUGGCGAUGUGGGUUUAGUGGCAAUGGGUAUGAGGGCAAUGGAAAGGAUAGAGAGAGAAGGAUAGAGGGCAAGGGAGAGUAAGGUGGCAUGACGAAGUGGUUGAUCGAUAAUGUGCAUUACCAAUCGUGGGUAAAUCAAGGGUGAAAAUAUCGGUAAUCACGGAUAUAUCGAUACUUCGAUUUUACGGAUAUAUCAGAGAUAUAUCGGUGGAUAUUUUGGAAAAAAAUAUCGAUAGGAUUAAAAUUGUUUAAAACUCAUGAAAAUGUAAGAAAAACCUCAUAAUAAUAUAAUUAGAAGUAUAAUAGACAUUUUAUAGUUAUUUUAUUGAAAAAAUUGAUAUAUGUAUAACAUGAUUUAUCAUAUUUAAUAAUAAUAUCGUAUGCAUCGAUAAAAAUAUGAAUUUUAUAAGUGUACAUUUAUUAUUAAAUUACAUCUAAUUAAUAUUAUGAUAUUUGAUUAUAAUAUAUCUAAUUUUAAAAUAUAUAUUAAUAUUAAAAUUAUGAUCCAUUUAAUUCAAUUGUAUUAAACAAUAUAAAAUAAAUUAUGAUAUAUAUAUGUGUGUAUAUAUAUAUAUAUAUAUAUAUAUAUAUAUAUAUAUAUAAUUUUUUAAUAUUUAAUUAAUUAUUAAUGAUAUUAAAAACAUUAUAAAGAAAAUUAUAUAAUUUUUAUAUUUUUGGUAAUCAAUUAAAAGAAAAUUUUGUAUUUAAUUAUAAAAUAAUUAUAAUUAAUUUGCUCUUUAAAAUAUUCUUUUAAUAUUUUCUUUAUAUAAUGAGUUUUAGUAUAUAUAAGUUUAGUGCACAAUAUAUAACAAAGGCAAGUUUGCCCGAAUGGCAAGUAGAGUGUGGGUUCAAAUCCCCUCAGAAGCAAAAGGAGAAGGCACUGUAGCACAUUGACUUCACUAUAGUGCGUUUGACUUCCAUUGACCCGUGUUGACCAUGCGAUAUAUCGGUAAAAAUCGACGAUUUAUCGCCCAAAUCUCCUAUAUAUCGCGAGAUAUCGCCGAUUUCUCGGGAUUUAUCCCGAAAUAUCAUCGAACCGAUAUUUCUCCAUGAAAUAUCGUGUCGAAACCCUCUGAUACACGAUAUAUCGCCGACAUAUCGCGAUAUUUUCCUCCUUGGGGUAGAUUAGGUGGUGGCAUAGAAGUGAGUAGAGAGAGAAGAUGAGUUUUGUGUGUGUAAGAGGGAAAAUGAGAAAAAAAAACAAAAAACAAAAAACAAAAAAAGAGGUGGGAGUGUUGUUCUUUUUACAACUAUGAACAUGAAAAGAGAAAAGAGAGGAAAAAAAUAAUACAAAAAAAAAAAAUUUUGAACAAAUUUUGAGAUUUACAACUAUGUUUUAGGAUAUAAGGUUAUUCUUUUGAAAUAGACAUGGUUCGAUGCAAACCAAAAAAAGGAAAUAAAAGAUAAUCAUAAUUUUACUAACAUCUAAUUUAGUUAUAGUUGGUAUAACAAUAAUCUUUUGUACAACAAAUGUUCUAUCUAAAUGACUACACGAAUGAUUAUAAGUGGAAAGUAGUUCAAAAAGUGAAUCAUAGAUACAUUUAAAAUGUUUGAUAGAAAAAUUAAUUUUGAUUUUACAACUUGGAGACUUUGUUGUUUUUACUCAAAGAAUUUUUUAAAGUAUCUUUUUUUCUGUGUCUCAUACUAAAUUGAACCUCUUCUUAUUCAAAAUUUUUCCUUUUUUUAUUUGAUUUUAAGCAUCUCACUCAAAAUUAGAACAUCAAACCAAACUCGGAACAACCAUUUCUAUAAGAAAUAGCUUUAGAGAAAAUUUUAUACUACCUCCACGAUGCUUAUCAAUGGAGUAUUUCUAAACAUUAGAUUUUUUUUAAAUCAACUCAUUUGAUUUUGGAAAGGAAAACCAAUUAAUGGCACAAUCGGUUUCCCUCACCUCUUUAUAUCCUACUCUCUUUGGUGUGGAUCCAUGUUCCCUCGUCAAACUUUAAUUUUAGAAAAAGGUUAUAUUCACUAGUGAUUCUUUAAAAAUAAUUCAUUAAGAAAAAUUGCCUUCUAAAAAAGUUAUAAAUCUUAAGUUAAAUUUAUAAAAAUAAAAUAAAAAUAAUUGUAAUUAUCCAAAUUUGUAUUAUAUAUAUUAGAAUUUAAAGAAAAGUAAUUUCAUAAAAUCGAAAUAAAAUUAAAAAUAAUAAAAUUUAUAAAAUUUAUUUAAUAUUCAUAUUUAUUAUUAUUUUUCUUAUAUAUAUUAAUAUAUUUUCAUUUUUUCAAUAAAUUAAAUAAUUUUUUAUUUUCUAUAAUUUUUUAAAAUAAAUUUAUUAGGUUUAUACUAAUUCAAUCUGAGGUAAAACACUUGAGAGGGGGGUGAAUUGGGCAUGGAUCAAUUUUUAUACUUAAAUGAAUAAAAAAGACAAAUAUAAAUAAUUAUGAACAAUAACAAUCAAUUAAAUGAAAAAUAAAAAUAAAAAUAAAUAGAAAGAGUGGAAGCGAAAAUGUACAUUCUAACUUAUAGUGAUUUAGCCUAAUCCCAAUUAGGGAUGACAGUUUUGCAUGCUAUUUGGGUAACCUACCCCCUCCCUAUUGGGACGAGUAUGAGAAGAUGAUGAUUGAGGAUGAGGCAGGUUUAGGAAAAUAUUCCAAACCCAAAUGGAGUUCAAGAAGGGGAUGGGUGCUUGUUAUUAAAACAACAACAAUAAUAAGAAGAACUAUUUCCAUUCCUAUGAUAUAGAGUCAAAAUAUAACCAAAAUGUGAGUUCUUAUUAUUUUAUAAUUCUUUUUUUCUUGUUUUUUGCUUUACUAUUUACAUUAUAAAUAGUUACUUUUUUCACAUUUGUCCUAGAUUAGCAACUUAUAUUCCUUAACAUAUUUGUCAUAAGGUUCACCUCCCACUAAUGAACAAUGAAGGAUAAAUAUCAUUAUUUUAAUGUCAAGAUUUAUUAUUUUUUUCUACGUGUCCCCAAAAAUUUAAAGUAGAUGAAAAUUUUGCUAAUUUGUGGUCUACCAUACAAUCUGUUAUAUAAAUAAGCAAAUGCUCAUUUCCAUUAUGUAUAGUAAUAGUAUGGCCGAUCAUUGUGGGUAUAACAAUAGAUGUUCGGGACCAAGUUACUAUUAUUUCUUUUUCCCACAUUGUGUUAAGCAUAACAAUUUUUCUUAAUAAAUUCUUUGCUAUAAAAGGGCCUUUUUUUUCUCCUCUCAUCGCUCUCCCCCAUCUCUUUAUAUUGCCCAUUUCUACUUCAAACUUUAGAAAUCCAUCUCCAAAGAUGAAUCUAAGAAGAGCAAUAAAAUCAAGCAUUAUUUGUGGAUAAAGCCUUUUUUCUUUUGCAAAUAGAAAUGGAAUCACAACGAUGAUCGACUCCAUGGCAAUAGCGAUAACUUUGAUAUUCAUCAAGAGCCAAUAGUGAUAACUUUGAUAUUCAUCAAGAGCCAAAGCCUUCAAAGCAUCCAUUUCAAGUCCUCUCCUCUUCUAAAGGGUUAGGUUUUGAUUUGGUUUUUAAUCUAAGUCAUAUUUGAGGGUCUUGGCUAGUUGGAUUGUGUAGAGAUAUUCAAUUUUGAUGGAAAUUUUGGAUCUUCUUUUCUUUCUAAUUUGAGUUUUGGUUUGAUUAAUUAUUAUUCCAAGUGUGGAUUUGUCUCAAGUCUCAAGUCUCAAAUCCUUUCAUUUUCUUUUUCCUAUAUGAAUUGAAUUUUUGGAUUUGAAAGUUGAAACUUCUCACCUUUGUGCACAUUCAAUUUUUCUUUUUUCCAACAUUUUCUUUCAAAGACCAUUGUGGUCUCUCAAAAUUUUCGUGGUCUUUUUUUUUUUUCAAAAAAGUAUAUCAAUGGCAUAAAGAUUGUGAAUUUGUUCAUCGGGGAUUUUGUGAAUUGAUGUAAUAUUAUUGGUUUUGAAAAAAUCAUUCUUCCCAUCCAAACAAAAAUAUGCAUUUAGAUUGAGACGAUGUGAGAACAAGCUUAUAUAUAUAUAUAUAUAUAUAUAUAUAUGUAUGUAUAUAUAUUGUAAACGGGGAUGGGUAUUCAUCAACAUGCCUCUUAAGUUUGGAACAAGAAUGGGAAAGGAUUAUAUAAAUGGAAUGGGGAAUGGAAUAGGGGUGCCCCAUUCCAAACCCACCCCAUUGUCAUCCCUAAUUCCAUUCUAUAUCCACUCUUCUCUAACUUCACUAAGCUUAAGGUUCACCCUCUUCAAGGCUCAAACUAAGUCUUAAUCUUGUGUUUAAAGUAUUUUCUUACACUUUCCUCUAGAGACACCUCACUCUUGAAAUCAAACCCUCGGGCGAUACCCCACACUAAAAAAAUUCUCAAAUGAUACUUCACACUUAACAAACCCAGAUGAUACCCCACACUUAGUUAAUUUCCUCUUAAGGUUUACAAAGAGACAUAAAAUUCCCAAUAAUAAAUUUUUUGGCUCAAAGAUUGCAAUUCAAACUAGGAUCAAGGAUGCACUAAAUGAAAUGCAAGUUUAGGCUAAGUUGCACUCAAUAUUUUCAUAAGACUUAAUAAAUGAUUGAAUAAUAUAUAUCUAUAUAGGAGCAACUCCUUCAAUAAAUGAAGAUAUGAGUCUUUAUAUAGGAGUUGAGAAAUUGAACUAUUUGUUAAAUAUAGUAUGAAAUUGGCAUGGGUUUUUCAUCAAACUCAAAUAUCUAUAUUGCAUUAUAUUACAUUAUGUUAUUACAUUAUAUUGUAUUAUUUUAUAUUUAUUUUAAAAGAAAUAUAAAAAGAUAUUGCAAUUUCCUUAUGAGAGAAAGAUUGUACAGAUAAUGUGAGAAAAUAUAUGAAAAAUGUAAUAAGGGGUACAGAGAACGUGAGAGGGGAUACAAAAAAUGUGAAAAAUGAUAUGAAAAAUAUGAGAAAUGGUACAAAAAAAAUAAUAAGAUAGAAUAUGACGAAUGUGAAAAGAGGUACUAAGAAUGUGAGGAAAAGUAUAAAAAAAAUAUUAGAAAUGAUAUAAAUAAUAUAAGAGAUGAUUCAAAGACUAUGUGAAAGAGUAUAAACAAUGUGAGAUAUUAAAAGUACAAGCUACAAAGAAUUUGAGAGAAUGUAUAAAGAAUGUGAGAGGAUACAAAAAAAUGUGAUUGAGGAUAUGAAGAAUGUUAGAGAGGAUAUGAAAAAUAUGAGAAGAGACAUGAAGAAUAUGAGAAAUUGUAUGAAGAAUGUGAAAAACUAUAUGAAUAAUAUGAGAAAAUGUAUGAAAAAUAUGAAAAAUGAUACGAGGAGUUGUAUCCUUUGUCACAUUUAUAGUUUCUACUCUGAUAUUUGUUUAUGUGUUUUCAUACAUUCUUCUUACAUUUUCUCACAUCCUUCAUACAAUUCAUAUAUUCUUCAUAUGUACCUCUACUCUUACACUCUUCAUGCGUUUCCUAUUCUUUAUACCCUUUUCAACAUUCCUUAUACAUCUUCUUACAUUUUUCAUAAUUUUUAUAUAACUUCUCAUAUUCUUUGUACUUCUUACAUUCUUCUUACAUUCUUGGUCUUAUGUAUUAUAUUAUUUGUACAUUUUCUCACAUUGUACUAUCUCUCAUAUUCUACAUAUUUUUUUCCACAUUGUUUGUACUCUUUUGUACAUCCUUUGUAUCUUUUCUCACACUUUUCAUCCUAUCUCUCAUUGCUCAUACCUUUUUCUCAUAUUUUUUGGUACCGUCUCUUACAUUAUCCUUUCUACAAAUAACCAUAUGGAGAUGAAUUCUUUAGUUAAUAUGCAGUUAAUGUUAGUUAGAUAAUAAGUGAAAACUAACCAAAGGUCAAGAAAUUGAAAUAUCUUAAUUGAAGAGAAUAAAUUACAAUAAGUGAAAAAUUAAUAUUGAAUUAUAAAAAAAUUUAAUUCCUAAUAAAAUUAAUAUAAAGUAUUAAACAUAUUUUUUAUGAUAGAUAUGUACUACAUCCUUUAUUAUUUUAUAUAAAUAAAAUAUUAAAAAAUUUAAUCAAAGUAAAAGUUAGAACAACAGGCUCUUUGCAUAUAUCACCAACAACUAUUUCCCUACAAAAAUACUAUCAAAAGGAAACCAUCGUGAGCACUCCCCACAAUCUAGAAUGAAUGGAUCAAUAAACUCCCCACAAUCUAGAAUGAAUGGAUCAAUAAACUUGAAUUUGUAAAUUACCUAUCAUUAAUUUUUUUACCACGUGGAUGUUUAGUAAAACUUAAUCCUUAUUAUUUAAGAAUUUAAUUUGAAUUUAAAUUAAAUUAUUAUUAAGUUAUUAGCUAAAAACUUAUUACUUAAUUUUUACUUUAAAUAUUAUGGUUGUUUAAUAAAAUUAACUUAAAAUUUAUUAUUAUUCAUCAAAUUGAUAUAUUUAUCCUCAUAUUUAUUGUCAUUAAUUUUAAGCAAUAAUUUUAUUUAUAAAACGUCUAUAUUUAAAAACAUAUAUAUAUAUAUAUAUAUAUAUAUAAAAGAUAACCAUAAAAUAUUUAUUAUAAAAAUUGAGUUAUAAAUGUAAAAUCAUAAUUUUAAAAUAUACUCUUAUGGGGUAAUGAGGCAAAAAGGAUUUGACAUUAUUCAUAAAUAAACUAUUUGGACUCGAUACUUAAAAUUAAAAUAAUUUUAAGCUAUAAUAUUAAAUUAUUUUUUUAAGCAUAAUUAAUCUAUUUAAUUAUUUAAAUUAAGUUAUUAAGUGGUAUUAAGUCAUUAAGUUAAUUCAUCAUACCUGUACAUAUAAGCAUUUUAUAACCUUGCUUUUCAUAAGCAAACUCCAAACAGGUUGCUUUUCUUGACACUUGAUAAUUCUUCUAGCUUUAUUAUUCUUUUAUUUCUGAUCUCUUUCAUUUCCUAUGGCGCCCAAUAUCAUAUGGACCAUUCUCCAUGUCCUACUGUAUUGUUUGUUUUCCAUGGAAACCUCUUUUUCAUCCAUUUAUACUCUCCCACAAUUUUUCAGUUUCGAAAGGCAGACAGGGCUACUCAGAGUCUGUGGGUAACAAUUCUAUGGGCUCUAGCACGACUUUUGGUUGAUAAAAUGUGUGGGAUGGAAUGAAGCCCAGCUUCCCAUGCGAGUUGCCUACUUCUCUUCUUGGUUUACUGGUACCAUGAAACCAGGUUUGAAAAAUCGGUUCUUUUGGCCGAAAUAUCGAUGAAAAAUCAGUUAUCGGCGGUGGUCGAAACGAUUUUGGCCACCGGUCGAGAGAAAAAUCGGCCAAAUGUCGGAGAAUCACGGGGAAAUUUCGGUUUUGGAGCAAAAUUUUGACGAAAAAUGGGGCAUGGGGCGAUGCGUGCGGUGAAGGGCGGUCUAAAAAAAAAACCGAAAAAUCGGCAAUUUUUUUUGGAUUUAUCGCCGAUUUUUUCAAAAAAACCAAUGAAAGUUUUUUUUUUUAAAUAAUAUAUAUUUAUCCUUUUUAUUUUUUAAUUACUUAUUUUUAAUUUAUGUUUUAUUUUAAAUUUAUGUUACCAUUUUAUUUUUAACUACUUCUCAUAUUUAUCUCAUUAAUCCUAUUUUAAAAAAUUACUAUCACUUCUCUCUUAAUUUUUUUAUUUAUCCUUUUAAUUUCAAAUAUUUUUAUUUUAAAAUAUUAAAAAUAUAAUUUUACUCAAAAAUUGCUACAAUAUAAAAAAAAAUUAAUGAAGUCCUAAUAUUUUAAAAAUUAAAAUUAAUUUGAUAAGAUAAAUUAUUAAUAAUUUUAAUUAUUUAAAUAAAUUAAUAUUAAUAGAAAAAGUUAUCACCACAUAUUUGUAAUAAAAUUUUAAAAAUUAAAUCUAAAACAAAAUAUUUUAUAUAAAUCAAUUUAUUUUUUAUUUAAAAUGUAAUAAAACAUGUUUUAAUAUAAAAGUAUUUUUAAAAAUUUUAAAUAAAUGAAUAUAAAUAUAUUAAAGGAAUUUAAGCUAAUUUUUUUUAUAAAAAUUUGAUAAAUAUUAUCUUUAAUCAUAUUUAUAUUAAUUACACUUACAAAAAUAACUUUAAUAUGUGUAUUUUUAUUUAUUUUAUCUUUUUUUUUUUUUAAGUUUUCUAAACAUUUUCAUGAAUUUUAAACUAUUUAUAUUUUAUCGAUAUUUUUGUCAAAAUAUUCACUGAUAUUUUUCCGAUAUAUCCAUAAAAUUCAAAUACCGACAUAUCCAUUAUGGAUAUUUCAAACCUUGCAUGAAACUGGGACUGCUUAAUCUAGUUUGAACCAUUGAAGCGAUUUUGAGAUCAUCAAAAAACCAAACCAUCCAAUGUAAAGACGAUAUUUAGUGUUGGUUAUCUAUAAGGUCGGGAUCAUCAAAGCACCACACCAAACCAUUAAAUGUAAAGACGGUUUUUAGUUCUAGUUAUCCAAUUAUAGAAGUAACCCUAUUGGCUUUUGCUUUUGCGUCUCUUAAAAAAUUACAAUCAUGGUAAAAUCUUGAUUUAUUUAAUCAUCAAAGACUUCCAAUCACAUGAUAAUUUUUCUAUGAAGCUCGUUAAAUAUACUUUCUAUUUUUUUGUUUUUAAAGAUAAGAAAUAAUAGUAAAACACUAAGUUAUAAUGAAGUGAUAAUAAAUAUAGAAGUUUCUAAAUCAUCAAAACACCAAACCAUCCAAUGUUUAGUGUUGGUUAUCUAUAAGGUCAUGAUUAACAAGACAUCAAACCAUUCAAUGUAAAGACGAUUUUUCAAUUCUAAUUAUCUAAUUACAAAAUCAAUCCCAUUUGCAUCUCUCUAAAAUUAUAAUCAUGGUAAAAUCUUGAUUUAUUUAAUCAUCAAAGACUUGCACACGAUAAUUUUUGUAAGACACUUGUUAAAUAUCCAUUCUAUUUUUUGUUUUUAAAUAUAAGAAAUAAUAGCAACUACUAUAUAAAAUACCAUUACUUUUAUACAAAAAUACAAAAAGGAGAAAAAAGAAAAAGAGAGAGAGAGGGUGGACUUCCUUAUAUUCUUAAAAUUACCGUCAAAUUUUUAAAAUUAUGAAGUAAAAAAAAUUCUUUAAUAUUUAUUUAUUUUAAAUAGUUUUGAAAAUCAUUAUUCUAUAGGAGUUCUUAUUAUUUACUAUUUUUAAAUAUAAAAAACAAUAAAUAUGUCCCAACACCACUCAAAGUUAAAAAAAAGACACCUAUAAUUAGAAAUCAAAAUAUGUUACCUACUUUAUACCUACAUAUUAUUAAUAAUUUCAAUUUUUUUAUUACAUAUAGUUUUAAUUAAAAAAAAUAGUUGUAUUUUGUAUCUAAGAGUAUGAUCAUAUAUAUUAACAUAAAAUAUAUAUAAAAAUUAUAUUAGGUCAAGUUUCAAUUGAAUUUGGAUAAACAAAACCUUGAUUAAUCUUAAAUAAAAUUAAGGUUUAUUGAUCCAAUCUUUUUUUCUUUUUUUUUUUUUUUUUGUGUUUCCUUUUUGGUGUUUUUUCAAAUUUAAUAUGAGAUACUUAGGCUUAACUCAAACUGCAGGAUUGCAUAAAAUCUAAUCCAGGCACUCUUUACCCUCAGAAUAAACCAACAUAUAUGAUUUCAUAUGUUCAGUGGGGAGAGAGAGAGAGAGAGAGAGAGAGAGAUGUGAAUUCCUUUAAAAGUGUUAUCUCUGUUGUACUUUGAUUUAUCGGCUAAUUGGAUUAACAUCGCUGCUGAAAGCAACAUGUAUCGUAUUUAAUAUGCGAUUUCCAAGUGGUGCCGCCACUCCCAUUAUCUGUGACAAUGUUACCCACCAUUUAUUAUCUAUGAGAUGUAGACGUAGGAUUUGGAGAUGAAUCCCUUUUAAGUUUUAUCACAAGGGGAUUCAUUUAAAAAUACAUUCCAUAAAGAUUGACAUGUUGUUCAAAAUUAAUGAAAUAAAAUUACUCAAAAAUACAUUCCAUAAAGAUUGACACGUAAACUUUGUUUUUUUUUCUUUUUUCAUUUCUUUUAUUUUUUUCACACUUAAUUGUUUUUCAUAUUCUUCUAAUUAUAUUUUAAAACAAAAUAGUUUCUUUAAAUAAUAAAUUAUAAAAUGAUUUUUUUCACCAAAAGUAUAUUAUGUAAAAUGAUUUUAUUAUAUUCAAUGUUUUAAUGUGAAACUCAAAACUCAAUUUUUUUUAAAUAAAAUUAUUAUUAAAAUUUUAAAAUAAACAAUAUUUAAUUGGAAUGGUUUUUUUUAAAAAUAUAUUUUUUAUUGUGUUCAAUAUGAUUUCUUUUGUAACCCAAACAAAAAUAUUGCAUAUAACUAAAGAUUGAUUAAGAAUAUGAGCAAUGUAAUAAUUAUUUGUGUAUGCGAAAUGAAGACUCAUAAAACAAAGUAUGUAAUCAAGAGCCUAAAAAAGGUCAAAACAUGGUGGGACUUAAAUUAAUAAUUUAUGUGGCUACUAUAAUGUUUUCUUACAAAAAAUUAGUAAUUUAGUAAAUAUUAUAAACAAAUAAAAGAAUUAGAAUUUUAUAAUUAUUAUAAACAAAAUUUAUUUCAUGAAGAAUUUUCUAACUAUUAUAAACGAAAAGAAAUUUAGUAACUAUUAUAAACAAUAAAAAAAUUCAAUUUUUAUAAUUAUUAUAAGAAAAAAAUUUAGCCCAACCACCGUCGUCGGUGGUCGCCGACUUCCAUCCCUGCUCCAAACCCUAAUCGUUGUCGUCGCUGUUACCUCCUAGGAUGUUGGAGCCCUAUCCAGGUCGCCCUUUUUUUUUUUUUUUUGAUAAAUAUAUAUAUAUAUCUCUUUAUAUAAAAAAAAUGAAAGUUAUAAAUUUUACCUGAAAAUAUUGAAUUUCGUCAUUUAUUAUAUUUCGUAUGUGAUUCGUAGUCUUAAUCAACUAGAAUUUAGAUUUAAUAUGUUGAGAGGAGGUUAGAGAUAGUUCUUUAUUAAAAAGGGUAUAUGUGAAAAACAAAAUAUGAUAAAAAAAGUGUUACGUUUAACAAAAGGGAUGUUGCGAAUAGUAGCCCCCAAAAAGAUUUCACCCCUAAACUAUUCAUUACAAAGCUUUCAUUCUUUUGUAAGUUUUUAUUUUUUUUUUUCCUAUAUUUACAAAAUAUUUUCUUUUCAUAAUUGAGAGAGAAGUUGUUAGCAAGAAAAAAAAACUUUGGUAACCUCAUAUAAGGGGUUUUACCAUGUAAGUUUUUUUGCCUCAUUAUUAUAAUUGGGCAAAAAUACUUGAUAAAACACCCUCACGAGAUAAAUUACAUAAAAUUACAACCUCUUUCUCAAUUAGAAGGAGAAAAAUAUUAAGAUGGAGGCCCUUUAAAUAGCCUAUAAAAAUUGUCUCCAUUACUCUCUUAACUAAUGUGUGAUGAUUUAAACCUUAGCAUUGUUUGAAAAUUAUUUUCAAAACAAUUAUAAAAAAAAUUAAAUUGUUUUAUAAUGUUUUAUAAAAUAAAAUUCUAUUUAAUUUUUUUUAACAUGUUUUCUAUAUUUUAAAUAUAAUUUUUAUUAUAAUGCUUUAUUUUCAAUUAUUAUUUAUAUUUAUGAAAUUAUUUUUUAAAAUAACUUCUAAAAAAAAGCAAAAAUAUAAAUAUGUUUAAAAAAAAAUACCCUAUUUAUGUUUUUUUUUUUAAAAAAAAAACUAUUUUUGUGUUUUGAUUACUAAAUAUGUUUUUUCUAUUUUCCUUAAAAAAAAUAGGAAAAUUUGUAUACAUACAUGAAGACAUUCUCAACCUUUUAUUUUAUUUUAUUUUUGAAAUCUGUAAGUAAAGCAAUUGGAUUUCAAGGAUACAAAAGCAUGGAGCUAAAAUAACUCAUUCCGAAUGUUUUUUAAAAUAUUAUUAUGAGUUCCUUUUUUAUUUUUUAUUUUUAUUUUUAUCUAAGUAACUACCUAAAAGAAUGGAUAAAUAAUUCAAUCUUGGUGUAUUCUAAUUUAAAAAUUUAUUUGAAUUUUCUUAGGAUGUAUUUGACGGUCAUUCUACAAAAUGUUUUUAACUUUUUUAAUACUUGAAAUUUUUUAUUUUUCAAGUAUUAGAAAGGUUAAUAACACUUAUUAGAAUCAUUAUCAAAUGCACUCAUAGUCAUCAAUUAGGACAUACAUUAUUAAAUAUACAUGAAAAAAUAACCUUUCAUUUAGACCUCUGGUAAUAAAUUUUUAAAUAGAAUAAAAUUAAUGGAAAUUUUUAGUCAAAUUAAAAAAAAAAAAUCAUAUUUUGAUGAAGUGUUGAUCUUAGUAAACACAGCAGGUAGAAAAUAUACUUUUUAAGGGCACUAGCAGCUUUAGUUAUUUGGUGGUGUCCAUUUCAUCACUUCAUUGUCUCCACUUUUCACUUCAUGCCAAAUCAUGUGAAGGCAAGUUUAAUCCAAGAACCAAAGACAUGGGCAUAGUUGUUAAUUAAUUAAUGGGAGCCACUUGCCCAUUGGAAAUAGUCAUUAAAUUUAUGGUGAUGGACUCCUCAAUGUAAUGGAAAAUGUAGUUGACUUGAUUAGGAGAUAGAGAUGAAAUUAUUUAAUUAUAUGAUGAUAUACUUCUAAUGAGUGUGACAAGCAUUUCAAUAUUUCAUUACAACAAGAUAUCUAGGAGUUGGAGAAUAAUAUAAUGGGUCAGGUUCUUGUUAACCAGCCCUACUGAGAUUGUUAUUGAUGGUGACAUGGUUAGGGAAAGGGAGAGCGAGAAAAUAAUGUUCUUAUACUUCUUAUUGUUGUCUAGUUUAUAUUAAUAAUCACUUGUGCUUAUGAGAUAAGGAUGUAUUAUUAUAUUUAUACUAUUUUAAUUUCAUUUUUUUUAUCAUAAUUUUAUUAUUUCAUUUUAUUUUUUUAAUUGUUGUGAAUGUUGUGAGUGGGUGAGUUUUAUAAGAGAAUAUGGACUUACAGUAUAAUGUAACGACGUUAUCCACUCUCUUUCUUUCAUAUUAAAAAAAUUGAGGAGUUAUACAUUAGAGAAACAACGCUGAGUUAAAUGAAAAGAAUAAUUAUAUCGUGAUAAUACUUUUAUUUUUUAUUUUUUUAUUUUAGUAAGUAAUGAUUAAAUGUUUGGUUCGUGAAAUCAAAUUUUUACAACAAUUGGAUUCUAAAGAUCGUUGUAUUUUCGGAGAAGAAUACUAAUCAACUCUGGACAGAAGAAGACUUGAUUUUUCUUAAGAGAGCACUUCAAUGCUCCUCGAUCAAGCUUUUUCUAAUCUUUAUAUUUUUCUAAUUAAUAUAAUCUUUGAUUUAUUGUUGAUAUUGGAAUUUAUGUAUAUCUAAAUAACUUUCUCUUUACUACAUCUUAAAUUGAUAUUGUCAUCUUAAGUGAACUAGUAUUUUCUUAAGGGUCCUAAUAGUCUCUAUUCGAACUCACAUUCCUAGGUGACACAUUGUUUAAAGGAAGGGCGUUUUGGUAAACAUGUAACAUUACACAAGAACUUAUGAAUGAUUUUUUAUGAUAGUACUAAUUAAUUAAUUGCAGUCUAAUGAGACUAAUUAAUAAAUUAAGACUCAAUGAACUAGAUUAAGUGACUCAAACUCAAAAUAUGUUCAAGUUACUUAAUCACAUAAGAAAGUUUAUGUAAACCCUUUCUAAGGGUUUAGAACACUAAUCAUUGUAUCUUUAAGAGAAGAACAAUGGUCAAUUCUAUAUAGAAGAGAAUAUAUUUUUUCUUAGGAUAGUGCACCUACGACCUCAAUUGAACUUUUUCUAAUGAAUUUAAUUUUGAUAUUUAAUUAUUAUUGAAUUUUAUUGGAAUAACAAUAAUUAAACAAAUUUUUUUGGAUAAUUUUUUAUAUUUACCUAGUUUUGAAUUUAGGGCAUAUAGAUAAAAAAAAAUCUGCUUAAAAUAUAUAAUAUUAAUAUUUUUAAAAUUUUAAAUUAUGAAGCAAUGAAAUAAUAACAUAUACUAUGUUAUUUCAUUUAUCUAUUUAUUUUAUUUUGUUUGAUAAAUAUUAGGAGAGAUUGCUAAUUUCAACAUACCAUCAAUUGACAAAGAUUUUUUUUUUCAUUUUUAAGGGAAAAAUAAUUUGCAAUAAUUAAGUAUGAUAUCUUGAAAAAUGUGCAAAGUUUCUAAUUCAUUUUAGUGUGAAGUUUAUUAAUAAAAAUACAAAGUGGCAAAUUGCAUGGCAUGUUAAAUAGGAGGGUAGGCAUUGAAAAAAUUAAUAAAUGUGGAUGAGGGUGCAUGUGGUGAGACUAUGUGCUCCCUAGGGAAAGUUGAUGGUUUAUUUCCAUAUAUUAUUAUGGCCAAUGUUGAAGUGCAUCUCAUGUGCUAACCAUAAGUUUACCAUUAAUUUUGUACUCAUAUCGAGUGUUCAUUAAAUCUCAUUUAAAUUUUUUAUUGUCGUCCUCGAUUUUUGAGCUAGGUUUACAAAAAAAUACAAGAUUAAAAUAAAAAUUAAAGGUAUGUUCAAGUGUUUUUCUAGCAAAUCUCUCUUAUGGCUAAGUUAACUUGGAGGAUUCAAUGGAGUAAAUUUAAGGGAAAGAAUUUUCUUACCUCCAAUUUUUGUCCUUUUAUUGUUAUAUGAAAUACAUUUUGUAAUAUCUUUUUGACCAUUAUAACCUCUUUUAAUUAGGUAACGUUGACUUGUUGAUGCUGCAUAACGAUCGACUUGCACAUAAUGGACAUUCAUUUAAGACGACUUACUAUCCGAAUAGACUUUGGUCAAACGAAACCAUUUGAAUUGACAUUACUUGAGAUGAGAUGUCUACUAAAUAUCUUACUGUUCAAGUGCCCACAAUUACAUUAUUGAAAAAAAUAAUAAAUAAAAUUAGAAUAAUUAUAUAAUGAUAAUUAUGUAAAAAAUUAUUUUUUAUUCCCUAAAUUGAAUGUAACUUCAAAGUAGUAAUAAUGACAAUAAUGUAAGCAAGAAAAUUUAGAAAAUAAAAUAAAAUGAUUAUGAAGAAUACCUAAAAAUUUAAAAGUGAAAGACACGGUACACAAAACCAAUAAACCAAAAUUAUUUGAUAUAUUCAUUAAAAGUAUUUUUUAAGUAGGGAAAAUGUAAAUCAUUGCAUAUUCUUUUACAAAAACUUCACUCUUUUCUAGGUAGCAUAUUAUAGGUGUUGAUAUUAGUGAUGCUAGGGAGAAUUUUUUUUUAAGACUUUAAAAGCAACGGUUGAAAGUGAAAAGCAACUUUCAAUAUUGUCUGGACAUAACUUUUAGUCAUAGAUUCUACACUUUAAUAAUGUGAUUUAUUGGUAAUUUUUUGUUAUCAAGCAUAAUGAAAGAAAUGAAAAUUUUUAUUUAAUUAAAAUUAUAUAAAAAUAUUAAAAUUAAUCUUAUAUGUAAUAAAAAAUAAUUUCAAAAAUCAAAAUAAAAUCUUCAAAUAAUCCACUAAUUACGAUCGAGUUUCACCCUUGUAAUCUUAUAUGCACAAAAUGCAUCAACACUCUACGAUUAAUAUGAUUUUUUUUAAUUAAUAGAUAAUUGAGUAUUAAUUUACUUCAUGGAUACAGAUAUCACAUUGAUCGUCGAAUUAUGUUAAAAUUUUCAUAUUUAUUGUAUGUGUACAUAAUUUAGUUAACACCCGAGAAAACAAUUUAAUCAUAUUAAAAGGUAAUUUGAUUACAUUUUAGAGCUAAUUUAGUCUAAGCACUUUUGUGAUUAUUAAAUCCAAUAACAAAUAUUUCAUUUUUAUUUAAUGCAAUAACUCGGCAAAUGGAAGCAUCACGCCUCCUCCACAAUAGUCUACACCCUCCACGAAAACCUAAAAUCGUAUUAAAUUAAAUAAACCCCUCUCUCUUAUCUAAUCCAGAACCACAAUCAACCCUGAAUAGGGAUGACGUGUAACAUUUGAUGGGACGGAACUUAUAGUUUGUGCAUAAAAAUUAUAAUUUAAUGAGUUGAUUAGCUUAUUAAUUCACAAAACAGACAUUAAGUUACAACUCAUCUCAAGAGUCAUGACUAAUCCUUUCACAGCCGAAAUUCCCAGAGCCAUAUACGUCACCCAGUACAUCAAAUUUCAAAAUUAAAAUUAAUGUAACAUAGCCAAGUGUCACGCCACCUAUUAGGAUUCCUAAAAAUAAAAAUUAAUUAGCAAGUUUUAAAAUAUAGGUGGGAGAGCCCUUUCCAACUUGCAUAUAAUUUGUUAAGUAGCGUUGAGCUUUUUACUUCAUUGAUUUCAAAUUUAAAAAAUAAAGCACCCUUAUAAAUUUAUUUUGUUUAUAAAAUUUAUGUUUUAGGGAGAUUUUAAAUAAAAAAAAAAUUUAGAUAUGAGUAUUUAAUAAUUUUUUAAAAACUAUAUUUUAUUUUUAAAAAUUUAAAAUUUAUAUAUAAAAAACAUUGGGGUGCUAACUGAUAACAUGUAGCUUAGUACUGGUAACAUAUAGCUUAGUGUAUUUAUAUUAAAUCUUAAGGUGUCUCAAUAAAAUUAAUCCUAAUAAUAAAAAAAGGGAAUUGAAAUGAAUUAUAAUAUUAUAUAAAACAAGAAUUGGUCCUCCCCCUUAUACAAUAGGGUCGAGACACUAAUCAUGUCAAAGUCUCCUAUCAAACAAAUUAUUGAAGUUGGUUCUAAGUCGAUUAGUGAUCCAAAAAAGGUUGUUGAACAUAGUAUCAAAGGGACACAACCUAUCAAAUGUGUUCUAAAGUCCAUGGAUAAAGAAGUUAAAGAGAUGACUUAAUUGCAGUCGAAUCAACGGAGAUUAGAGGAACAAUCCUCAUAGUCACUAAAGGUAACUAGAGCUGGUUUUUUUUUUUUUUUUUUGUUAUAAUCCCAAUAUGAUUUGAGUUUUGAUUUUUAUCAAAAUGAUUUUUUUAUCAUUAUUUUUAUAACAAGACAAAUCUAAAUAAAGUAAUAAAUGAAAAAUAAAACAAAAUUUUCAUUGCUAAGGGAAUGCUUCAAAACAUGGUACAAUAUUUUAAAUCUAGGAUAAUUAAAUUAUCAUGUUCUAUCUAUACCAUUGCAUAAAGAGAAUGGUUUUUUAUUUCACUUUGUUGAGGACAAAAAUAUGAGUUUUAGCCAAAUAGAAGAUUAAUGAAUAAAAAACGACAAACUGAAAUUUAAAAGUACAUAUUUAAAAGCAAGAUCCAAAAUGUCUAGAAAUAGAUAUCUUUUACAAAAAAUAUCUCCUAAAGGCCCACCCAAGUAAUGAUUCUCCGCUCCCAAUCUACCCUAAAAUCAUUACAAUGAUUCAUUACAAAAUCAACCAUAAUUCGCAUUUCAUGAACAAUGAACGUGAUGGCACAUGAUUUUGUUUCAUGAGGGUACGUUUGUUUCAUUUGAAGGAAAGUUAAAAAAUUUUCAUUUAUUUAACUCUCCUAUAUAAAUAUUAAAUAAUUUAAAAAUAUAUAAUUUUUUUUAAAUAAUUUUAAUUAUAUUUGAUUUUUUUUAUAUUUUUCAUAAUAAAACCAAAAUAAGAAAAUAAUUUUCUCUAACUUUUUUUUUCUUUCUCUAAUUUUUUGGGAAUCAAAUAUAGCUUUAAUAUUAUCAAGAAAAAAAAAAUAUAAAAAAAUAUAAAAUAAAGAAAAGAAAUAACUAAAAAAGAUUUUAUUACAGUACCAAUCAACCAAAUUACGAUAUUUAUGCAUUUUAGAUCCUAUUGUUUUGUAUAAAAAUUUAUUCAAUUAUUUUGUAUCUUGAUUUUAUUUAUUUGUAUUUGGUUUUACUUUAUUAAUACGAGAGUAUAUAUAUAUAUAUAUAUAUAUAUAUAUAUAUAUAUAUAUAUAUAUAUAUAUACACACACUGGGGUUCUUACUCUACCAUUUUGCAAGUAAAAAGAGGUAGUAGUGGACUAUAAAAAAGGGGAUUGGAAAAUGAUGUAUAGGUGGUUGGUGAAAAAAUGGUAUCCAACAAAUGGGUGUCUUGAAUUCCACUUUAUAGGGUGAGGAUGAGAUACCAUCCCUUCCAUCUCCCCUCCACCAUCCACUUUUACUCCACCAAACCCUGGGGUUGGAGCUCAAUAUACCUAUAUACCCACUUUCACAACAAAAAUUAAAUUAAUAAAAAAUUAAAAAAUAUAUUAUUAUAUUCUAAAAGCUUUGACUUGACUAAUAUUAUUUUCUCUGGGAUUUUAAGGAUCAAAUUAAAUUUAACUUGAAUAAAUUAUUUUUUAAUUCAAAUUAAAUUUGAGAAUGGGUAAAAGUGGCAUUUUCGCUAUCAUAGUAUCCGAUGCUACCAACCGUCUUAUGGAAACAAUCGGAAGAUAAGCGGUUCAACUAACUUUUCAUGUUGAGUUUCUACGCACUCAAAUAUUAAUAAAGAAGAUCUACCUGUAUAAAUUUUAUAAAAUACUUGAUUUUAUGGAAAAUGAUAUUAUAUUUAUUUUUAAAAAUUAAUUCUCUUAUUUAAAUUAUUUAAACACAAAUAAAAAGUGAAUAAUAUUUUAAUUAAUUAUACUUUCCAAAUAAAAUCUUGUGAGGUUUGGAGAAUCUGACAUCAAAUCUGAUCAUAAUUAAAAGAAAGAAAAACGAGAUCCAUCAAAUUACGUUUCAGAAAAAAAAAAAAAAAAAAAAAGGAAAAAAAGUAAACCGAGUCAGCAGUGGCCAGUGAGCACCACAUUAAUCAGAGUGGAGAUUCCAAUUGUUUUUCUAAACCUGGCUAUCCCAAUUUGUAAUUUUAUUUAUUUUUAUUUUAUAUAUAUAUUUUUUCUGGAGCCACUGCUGCAAGCAAGAUUUGAGUGCCAAGAGUGUGAAGAGGAAAAAGAAGAGGUGGUUGAUGUCUUCCUUGGAAAAAGAAUUCUAAGAAAAAGACAGCGGUGGUGGCCGGUGGGGGCGAUGAGCGGUUGGAAGGUUUUUGUGUGAGAGAGUGUGUGUGUGUGUUUGAGGAUGAGCAAUGGGAGUGAAGAAUUGAGGUUGCGGUGUGGUGGUGGAGCAGGGAUUGGACUGGUUGGGAGACCAUUUGCUAGGGUUUUUUCGGAGUGGAAUCUGGAGGAGAUGGUGAGAGUUUGAAUUCAAGGUUGGAGUUUCAUAAUUCUGAGGGAAAUCAGUGGGCGAAUAUGAUAUCCGGCGGGGUUAAUUUGGUGAUGACAGUGAUUGGAUUCGCGGUGAGUACGAUGUUCAUCGUUUUCGUCUGCACGCGCCUCGUUUGCGCCCGAAUCCAGUUGAACGCGUCGCGGAGAUCGUUUCCUGUUGCUUCCAGAUCUGAUCUUAGUAUUGUGAGCAUUUUUUCUUAUCUCUUUUUGUCCUCAGUGGUUCCCUGUUUGGUUACUGCAAAAGCAUGGGACUGCAGAAUGGAAAACAUAGUUUUGAAUCUUUUGUUUCCAAAUAAUUGACACCAUCUCUACCGAGCUUAUUUUUUCUUCCAAGUUUUCUUAGCGGCCAAACAGAGGAUAAUGUUUCAUUUUUUCCCCUCUGUAAUUAAAACAGAGGAUAAUGUUACAAUUGUGCCGCUAGCGCUCUUUUACCUUCUCAUCCCUUCUUUUCUUCUCUUGCUAUUAAUGUGUUUUGGCAUUUGUUUGACUAAAAUUUAAUGGUUAUGAUAUCAUUUUAGCAUUAGGAAGGGGUUUGCAUUUUUUAUCUUGUAUAUGGCCUUUCAGGUUUUUCUAUUUGAAUUACACUCGGUUUUCUCUUAAAAUAGGAAUAUCAUAAAUUAUUUAUUUAUUCCUUUGAUCUUCUGAUAUGCCCUUCUUGUGUCUCUCUGUUUUGUACUUCUAACUACCAUCACUUUGAUCUAGAUAAAUUGAUCAUAGUUUUUCUUUUUUCUUUUUUGAACCCCUUUUAGUACCUUAUACCGUUCUUUGCUGGUUUGGACUGGUAGGUAUUGAUCUAUUGCUUCUGGGUUUGGGGUUUACUUUUAUGGGCCUCGCCGGUCCUUUUGUUUGCUCUCAUGUAUUUGAAAUGCAAUAACUAGGAAGACAGUUUUAAAUACCACACAUAAGUUACCUGGCAUGCCAGUUUGGUGCAGCUCUUUAUUGUGUUUGCUAGUAGUUUUCCUAAUAAGAAAGAAAAACAAGUGAAGGAACAUGCUUUAGUAAGAGGAAAACCUUCUACUUCUUAAUGGAUAUUUGGGUAUUGGAUGUAAAUUUUUUUAGAGUAUAUGAUGCUCUAAUUUGAUGCACACCUUCUCACCUUUAGAAGAUUUGAUUUAUGUUCUCUGGAGCACUCAAUUGUUGUUCACUUUUUAUGGUACAGUUGGAGCGAGGUUUGCAUGGCCUUGAGCCUGCUGUUGUAGCCAACUUUCCAACAAAGAAGUUUGCUGAUGAGUUUUUCUCCCCUGCAGAGGAUGCUCAGUAAGUCCUUUUCCUUGUGCUAUUCUUAGUAUGCUAGCUGUUUUGCAUUGUCACUCGUCUGGACUAGACUUGUGGGGUGAGAUUCUACACAUCCUCCUUUGUAGUGAUAUUUUGAUAUAAACCAUUAAGAUAUCUGCUUCCUAUGAUAGAGAGAAGAUAAAAAAUCAAAUCAUUUGAUUUCUAUAGGAAGUUAUCCCAUUAGAAUUUUCUGUCUGUGUGGCAUUGAAGUUUGGUCUUACAUUGGAACACACACUAGUCAUUUGGAGUCAAUCAUUUGAACUGAUGGAACUGAUCAUCAGAUGCAAAACUGAGGAGACAGUAGGAGUUUUCUUUUGUGUAAACCUCUGCUAUCUCUAUUAUUUGUUGCUGUCCCAAGGGGGAAGAAUAUGAGAGGGGGACAUGGAAAAAAAAUGGAAAUUGAGCGGUACAAUUUUUUCAUUUGUUCUAAUGCAAUUUUGUCACUGCAAUAUGUUUUAUGUUAAGUUUCUGUGUGGUUGCUAAAAAUUAUAAGAUCCAAAAUUUCCCUAAACCAGUUAGAAAGAGUCAACCCAUUUCAGAAGUCUUUUCAGACUACAGAUUUUAUCUGCAUAGUUUUUGGGUAAUGCUUAUGCCCUUUUAGUGCCUUUGGAUCAACCCUUUCCGGGUAAUGUUCGCUGGAUUGUGAAACUUCAGGGCUUUCCUGAUUACUUCCUUCUGUGUUCAUCUUUGUGAUGGCUGAUUCUGGGGCCACCUGAGUUUGAGCAUAAAAAAUCUGUUUCUACUUGAAACUGUCAUAUGAUGUAUCUGGGGCUUAACAUUUGCAAAAGAAAUUAUCAAUUUUGUGAAAGUAGUAAGAUAAAUGCAUAUUUGGAGACUGACAAAAUCUUAAGGCUUCUCUUUGAGAGCUUGUCAUCAGAAUAUUAUUUCUAUGCAGAGCUUCCAUGACUGAGAGUUGGAGGGAUUGAUGUUCUUCCAAAGGCUUUUCCACGAGGUUUUCUAGGGAUAUGGAUGUUAUUUUGGUUUGGAAAAAGAAAUUAGGAUUGGAAAUUCGUGGUCAGAUCAUAUUAUUAGGUUUUUCAUGAACACAAGGGAGGGUUCUCAUGUGGUAGGCUGCUCUUGUGUUUACAAAAAAAAAGGUGGCUUUCUUAUUUUGAUUGGUGGAUAGGGAUUGAUGGAUAGGAUUGAUGCUUGAGGGUAGACAAUUUGAUCAAAUGGGAAUUGGUCUGCUCUAAAUAGAGGCAUUAAGUGAAACAGUGAAUGCAAAUCGUGGAAUUGCAAAGUGACUUUACAUUGUUAGACCUUAUUGUUCUUGCUUUUCAAUGUCCAAUGCAUUCUCCCUUGGUUGGUCUUCUGCAUUUUGUAGGCAAGGAACAAAAUCUUGAUAGUGAUGGCCAUCUGAGAAAGAUAUCAACAAUUCUUUAAUACUGGUUUCAUCUUGGAAUAAAUGACAGAAAUUAAUACCAAAAAAUGAAAUUAAAAAUAAAAUCUUCAGGAAUUGCUGAUAGAUAUGAUAAAAACAUAACACACACACAAACACAAGAUGUUUUGGUUCAGGAGAUACAAGCAUGGUAUACGAUAUGGAAAUCUUAUUUUGAUCCACUAUUAUCUUGGAUAAGAGAACAAGAUAAAUUAUCAUUGCCACAUCUAUAUCCCUUGGUUGUGGGAUAUGAAAAACAUAUUAUAUAAGGAAGAUGGGAUUUUCAUAUCCCACAAACGAAAACAUAGAGAUUUGUGACAGAACUUUUUGAUGUACUUAAGGUCUUGUUUGGAAUCCUGAUAUCAAUAUAUUAGUUUUGCUUCCACAAGGAGUCCAUCUUUAUUGAAUCUUUUCAUUAUCUAAUUGCUUUACCUGCUUUACCAAAGUGUGAGGAGCCAAUUUUGUACACUUCAUUCUUGAAACUAUUCUGUCCUCUGAAAUAUGCAAGAAGCCCAUCUUGUUUAGUCAUCCGAUUCUUUAAGUUACACCACUCUCUCAAUUUGACAGUAAGGAGUUCAUCUCUUCUCUCUAAUUAACAUCACCACAGCUUCUUGAUAAAGACUUUGACUAGCUUCCUAAUCAAAAUCCACAUGGAUGAAUGUCUCCUUUCUCAUUGUCAUCAUAUUAUUUAGAUGUUUAGUUCAAGUGUAAUCAUCAAAUGCUGAGAUUUCACUCUCUUGACCACUGAAGGAAACUAUCAAAUUCAAACCUUACUCGAACCAUUAACCAGACACUAGAAUCAGCUAUUAAACUCUUUGCAUGUCCAGAUAUAUAUAUAUAUAUAUAUAUAUAUAUAUAUAUAUAUAUAUAUAUAUAUAAUAUCCUGUAAAUAUGUAUAUCUAUCAGACUGAAUAAUCUAUAAACCAAACUUGGCCAUUGAAGUUUGUAUCAUAAGGUUUACAAGUUCAUGGAUGAAAACCCAAAAUUGCAGAAAGAAAUAUUUACUUACAAGGAAACUAAAAGGGAUUUUGUAAAUAUGAAAAGAGUGUCAGACAACAAGACUGUAGAAAGUUGCAGAUAAAAAGGGCUGCCACAAGGUGCUAAAGAAGGCUGCAUUUGGAAGCCAACAAUGCUGUUGUACUGAGAUCUUUGAGUUCAUGGCAAUAUUUCUGAGACCAGCAAUGUCAGGGGAAAGAAAAAGGUGAUGAAAAGGAAUACCAAGAUCUUGGUAGUUCUCUAUUAGAAAAGGCAUGCUUGAGACUGAGUUUUCUUACCACUUACCAAGAUAUGAGAUCUCUCCAUUCCGAAUGAGAUUUUGGUCCAUGGUUAUAUGGUUGACAGUGUUUUGGGUUGCGACCUCUUUAAAGGAAAAAGUUUAGAAGCUGUUAGGUUUUUAUGGUACACUUCUUGGGUUUUACCCAGCAUGUACAUGAGUUUUGCGACUUCUUCCCUGAUUUCUUUGUACGCAUUCUUUUUUAUCCUAAAGAGAAAAAGGAAUGGUUUACUAUUUUGCUGCAUAUGUGAUAAGUUUGCUGAAAUAUUUGUCUUCAAUGCAGGCAAGCAAGCUAUUUGACACUGUAUUUAGAUAGUCUGAUGUUUUCUGUAACUAGGUAGGUCAGAAUUAGCCACUUUGUGAUGAUGUAGAUUGGUGCAUGGAGUUAGAAUUUCUUCUUAGUAAAGUUCUUGUCCUUCUCUGUUCAAAGUUUCAAGUCAUUCUGAUUCCUCUCUUUAGUCUUAUUCAUUACCACAAUUGGACCAUGAGGGGAGGAGAUGCAUGGAUAUACCUCAUCCAUGCAUAUAUUGCCUACAUUACCUCAAUAAUGUAGGACAAUCUUGAGGUGAUUACCUACAACCAAACAAAAUGGGAUAGGAUUUCGUUUAGAAUUCAAGGAGAGGAACCUUGAUUAAAGAUUGUGGCAGCAAGGAAAGAUAAAAUAAAAAGCAGAAAAAAGAAGAAAAUAAAUGGAGAAAAGAAAAAGGGAAAUCUUUGGUGGAAGGAAAAUGUAGGAACACCAAUUUGGAGCUUUUAGAAUUUUCUGAAUAAAGUACAAAAGGUCUUCAGAAAGAGUUGAAAACACGAAGGUGAAUAGAUUACUUAACACAUUUCAUGGACCACAAUAUAAAAGAAAUAUGAAUAUUACAACUUUCUUUUUUUGUUUUUUGCAAACUGUGCUAGGUUUACACUUUUUUGUCUUUCUCUUUAUACUCACUUGAAACACCUUUUACCCAAAGCGUAAAAGGAAUGGUCAAUGAUGAUUUUGUUUAUAUUUGAAAUCAAAUACUAUCUUAGAAGUAUUAUCAUUACUUUAGGUUGUAUUGAGUAUUUUGUUUCAUUCAUUAAACUAUUUUUUAUCAUGAUUGGAUAUAUUUUGUAUUAGAGACUAAUUUACUUUAGUAGAUUAAAGUGUUUACACAACAAAUCAAUUUCUUUGUUGAUUAUAGCAUAUUAGAACCUUUACAACAAUAUUUUAAAAUAAAAAAUAAAGCUAAGAAAACGCAAUUACCUAACUGUAAUUUCAUUCUUUUCCCUAUUUUUCACCUUAGUAAAAAUUUAAUACCAAACAUGAUUUUACAGUUUCAUUUUAUAAAAACUGUGUUUUUUUCUUUCAACCAAAUGGAUUUUCAAAAAGGAAAAAAUGAGAAAUGAAAAUUGUUUUCAAAAAACAAAAUAGAAAACGAAAACUAAAAACCAUUUUGCUAACCAAAUGCAACUUGAGAGUCCCAGUAUCAGAAAUUGUAAUGUAUGAAAAAAAAAAUUGAUAAUAUUUGUCAUCAUUUGGUUCUCAACAAUUUGACUAUUUAUAGACAUUAGAAAACCCAAGAAGACCUAACAAACUAUACAAAAAGAAACCUAAUCUAUAUAUUAACUUAUUAGAACUCCUAAUUCUUUCCUAAAACUAUAAACCUUCCACUUAAAAAAAAAAAACGGAAAAUUGAAAUUUUUAGAAAAUACUUUUUUAGAAAAUGGAAGCUUCUACAAAAUAAACACUUUUAAAAACUUGCCUUAUCCUAUUGGCUUAAAGUUCUAUUAAGAAAAAAGAAACCUUUUAAUAAAAUAGAAACUUUAGAAAAGCAAAACUUUCAGAAAAUAGAAGGUUUAAAAAUAUAGAAACUUCUUUGCCUCAAAUUCUAAAUGAGACUUAAAUGACCAACUAUUUACUAAUUAUGACUAUAAAGAUCCUUAAUAAGCAGAAUUUUCCUUUGAGUGCUUUUUCCUUUUCUGAGUAAAUCUUGAAGAACCUGAUCUGUGAAUGCUUGGACUUGGUUAUAUCAAUCAAUCUUCACUAUAUAUCCUAAUGCUAAGUGUCGAAACUUCCUUGACUUUUCUUUUUAAUUAAACAAACUCCCUCAACUUUUCUAAGCCUUUUUUCAAUUAUUUUGAGGCAUGCAUUCAAUUGUGUAUGCUCCUUUUCUACUCUAAUACAUUGAGUCUUACUUAUCAAAAAAAAUAAAAAAAUAUUUCUAGAACAUUUCUUGAAGGCAAAUGGAUCUCAUAUGUAGCAUGCUCUUAGGCUUUGAAGUUUGCUUAGGUGAGGUCCAAAAUUCUCAUCAUUGAAUUGUCUUGAAGAUCAGUUUCUCUUUGUUUUAUAUUUGGUUUGUUUAAUCUAAAAUUGAGGCUCUCUCUCCUCCUCUAUAUCCUCUUCUUCCACCCCUCCCCUCCCCCCCACCCCCCCUCUCUCUCUCAUAUCUUAUGUCACUCCCUCUCUCCCUUUCUCUCUCUCUCUCUCUCUCUCUCUCUAUUUAUAGUUUAUAUUUCUGAACUUUUUAUUUUCUAAAAAAUUCUUCUUCUCUCAAGUUUCUAUUUGAAAACUUGUUAGAAACUACUAGAAAAUCUUCAUUUUUAAUUCUAAAAGGAAAGUUUCUAUUUUCUUUUGAAUUAUAUUUUUUUGAAGACUCGAGAGUUUUAGAAAAGAAAUAAGAGUAUCAUAUUAUUUCGAUGACUUGAGAGUUUUACAAAAGAAAUAAGGGUAUCAUUUUAUUUUGAAGACUUGAGAGGUUUACAAAAGAAAUAAGAGUACUAAAAAGUUUCAUAGAAGUUAGAUUUCUUUUUUCAUAAUUUUAUUCAAGUUUUAUAGUUUUCUAAAGCCCAUAAAUAAGGCUAAUUAAUAUAAAAUGAAAUUAAUUAUCGAUGAUUAAUGAUAUUAAUUUUUUUCAUACCUUGCAAUUUUCAAUGGUGAGACUCUUAUAUGGUCUUAUUGAGACUUCUAAGGUUUUUUUUAUAUUGCUUCUCUAUGUUUUCUUUUCUUAUCUUUUGUUUAUUUUAUUUCUGCUGCUAUAAUUUUAUUUUUGUUUCUUUUGUUAAAUCUUAAAAGAUUGGAAUCCUAGCCCAUCUUAUUUGAUUAUAUAAAACCAUUCUAUGGUUGAUUCUACAUCACUCUCUCCCUUUCCUCUCCCCUUCUCCCUUUCUCUCUCUCUCUCAAGCAUGCACACACAAAUAGGGGACCUCUGGGUAUGGCUAUAUCAAUAUAUAUGAAACAAUCGUUGAAGGUUUUAAUAUGUUUUUGGAACCAAAUUCUUGAGUCAAUAUGAAUUGAUACACCAUUUUGUGAUACAUGCAAACAAAUACCAUUAUAGUUUGUGGAUUGCACCUAGAUAUCACUGCCUGUAAAGUGGUAUUUUUCACUUGCGGCUUCUUGUAGCAGUGGUUUGGAUGUGGGAUUUUGCUCAUUCAUUGUUGUCAUUAUUUAUGCUUCAUGAUUUUCCUGCUAAUGGUACUGGAAAAUAUCAUAAAUGGUAGGUGCACAGUUUGCCUAGUAGAAUACCAAGCUGAAGAUAUAUUGCGUAUUCUCCCUUACUGCGGCCACUUCUUCCAUGUUACAUGCAUAGACAUAUGGCUGCAGCAGCAUUCCACAUGUCCUGUGUGUCGAAUUUCAUUGUGGGAGUUUCCUGAGAGAAAAUGCUUGAUGCAACCCAUGUUCAGUUCAGCUGUUCGAUCACAUUUUGGCAUGGAAUCCCGCAACACACAUUCAUACAACUGUUUGUCAACUGGCCGUGGGUUUUCAUCGAGAUCUCACGACAACCACAGGAUGGACCCCAUUCAAGAGGAUCAGUUUGGGCCAGGAGGUGACGGAGCUGAAGCUCAGGAGAGCACCCUCCCCUUGACCGAUGCUAAUCAGCCUGCAAAGGACUCUGAAAAUAAGCACAUAGAAAGCCCAUCAAAUCCAUGAAAUCCUUCGUUUCUUGGAAUCCUGGCUGCAUUCAUCGUGCUUUCCGAUAGAAUCAAAUUGGAAUUGAAAUUUAUUAAAACCAUCUCCUUGGAAUGCUCUUUUUUUUUUUUAAUUUAUUUUUGUGACUCACUGUAUAUAUACGCAAAAAGUUAUUCCCAGUUUUCCCCUUAGACAGUAGCUUAUUGGUGGGCAUUUUUGUUAGUUCAGUUGUAAAAUUGAAUUCCUUAAAGCUUGCUGGAGUCUCCUUAGAGGCAUGUCCCAUGCAGCAUUUCCACAUCCGUUCGGGUCCAUCCCAGAGCGAGUAUUCAUUGUGAGUUAUUAUCUAAUAAUAUGCAAAUGUACGCCUCCGGAUUCCUUACUAUUAUUUUGACUUUGUGCCCACUACUCGGUGACCAGUCCUUUUCUCAUUCCUGUCAAUGUCCAGGAAAGGAUUAGUAGUACAAGAAAAAGAAAAAGUGGGAAGGACUGAGUCAUGGAGGAAUAGCAUACAUGCAUUUAUACAGUUGGAGUAAAAAUCAGAGUGAAAAAGAGUUAUCCCUGAGGGAUGGUUUGAUUUGUACUCUUCUCCCCCGUCACCAAGGGAUGCAUUGCUACAAAUGCUUUUCUUAUGAAAUACGCAGUCAUUUCCCAGAUAGUACUUUUUACUAAAAAUAAAAAUUUAUUAAUCCUCACAGCCAUUGAAGGAGUUGUUUCCAUUUCUAUAUCGAGUCAUUGUGUGUGGACCUGUUUGGUUCGCCAUAAAUAAAACUGCAGAGAGGGUGAGGGACGAGGGAUGUCUUGCAUGUGAGGUAUUUUGAUGGACUCCCUGUGGGCCUUCAAGACAUUGGCAGUUCAAUGGACUUCAUCAAUUCAUUACAGCAACUCCACCCGCCCAACAACUUUUCUUUAUUAUACCAUGUCCUCCCCGUCACUCCCUCUCUUCUUUAUUUUCAAAUCUGUCAGAGCAUGUUGUGUUGGAGCCACAUGUUUGGGAAAUGAUAAUACUUUUUACUAAAAAUAAAAAUUUAUUACAUUCUCAUUUUCAACCUAAUAAUAAGUCUAUUUAUAAUAAACUAAUUACUAGGAUUUUCCUAUUAAACCAAAAGUCCUAAUCAAUAUAGAAAACCUAAAUAAAUAACAAUUUCUAAUAUUUUUCAAAAUUUUAAAAUUCUUCUAAUUUGACUUUAAGUCAUAUUAUAAUUUUAACAUCUUCCCUUAAUUUGAGUUGUAAAGUCAAUCAUACCAAGCAUCAUCUUAAACUUCUCAAACACAUUUGUCUUUAGUGGCUUUAUAAAUAUAUUUGUAACUUGAUCUUCUGAUUUACAAAACUCAAGUUCGAUCUCUUGAUUUUUCAUGAGUUCCUAAUAUAAUGAAAUUUGAUGUUUAUGUGUUUGCUUCUACCGUAAAACAUCAUAUUCUUUGUCAAUGUAAUAGUAGACUUAUUAUUACAUAAAAUCUUUGUAAGACCCUUUUGUUUAUAUUUCAAUUCACCAAGCAUCCUACGAAACCAAAUUGCUUGAUAUGCUACGGAAGUAACUGUCAUGUAUUCAACUUCUAUAGUUAAUAAUGCUAUAACUUGUUGCUUCUUUGAUGACUAUUAGAAUGCUCAUGUUCCAAGAUAAAAAACAUAUCUAGCAGUACUUUUUCUAAUCUCUACAUCACUUCCUUAGUUACUAUUUGUGUAGCCCAUUAAACUGAAAUUGUUUGAGUAGGAGUAGAAAAUUCCAUGAUCACAAGUACCACUUACAUACCUCAAAAUUCGUUUUGUUGCUUGCAAGUGUGAUUGAUACAGUUUUUCCAUAAAUCGACUAAUAAUUCUCACUCCUUAAACAAUAUAUGGUCUAAUAGAAGUUAAAUAACGAAGACUUCCUACUAUGCCCUUGAAAUAUGUGGGAUUUGCUAAUUUUCUAGUGUUUUUUUUUUUUUCAUCUUUAGUCGCUCUAUAAUAGGAGUAUGGAUUGUUGAUGAUGAUUCCAUCUUGAAUCACUUUAGAAUGUUUGUCAUGUACUUUUUUGUGAGAUAAAGAUACCAUCAUCUAUUUGUUGGACUUUAAUUCCAAGAAAAUAGGACAUUAAUCCCAAAUCUAUCAUUUCGAAUUGUUGUUUCAUUGCCUCAUUGAAAUCUUUAAACAUCUAUUGGCAAUUUCCUAUAAAAAUUAAAUCAUCUACAUAGACACAUACAACAAUUAUAUCACCAUUAAGAAUUUUAUUUGAUAUAAAGUGUAUGCUUAAAAGAACUCUUUUGAAAUUCAUGCCAUAAUAGAUGAGUAUCAAUCUACGUGUACCAAGCACGUGGUGCCUACUUUAACCUAUACAAUGCCUUUUUGAGUUUGUGAACUUGUUUCUGUUACCCUUCCUUAAUAUACCCUGGUGGUUGUUCAACAAAAACUUCUUAUUCAAGUACACCAUUAAGAAAAGUUGACUUCACAUCCAUUUGGUGAAUUGUCCACCUUUUUUUGAGCUUUAAGUGCAAUUAUCAUGUGAAUGGUAUCUAAUUUAGCAACUGGUGUAAAAACUUCAAAAUAAUCAAUAUCUGGCUUUUUUUUAUAGCCUUUUACAACCAAUAUUGCCUUGAAAUCGAUCAACAUUACCAUCAGGUUUAUAUUUUGUCUUAUAAGCCCAUUUAACACCUAUAGGCUUCUUUCUAACUGGAAGAGUAGUUAACUCCCAUGUAUUGUUCUUCUCUAUGGAUUGAAUUUCUUCAUUCAUUCCUUGAAUCCACUUCUCAUCGCUUGCUUCUUCAUAUAAAUAGGAUCACAAUCUACAAAUAGACAAAAGUUAACUAAACCUUCAUCGAUGAGUUUGAUAUCUUUCAUGACUUCAUAAUCCCUUAGAUGUGUAGGCAUAAUGCGAGAAUGUUUUGGGCAACCUUGUGAUUCAAUUUUUUGCCUUAUUUUUGUUUACAUUGGAGAACUUCUAAUAGGAGAAUGCAUAUUUGAAAUAGAUUUAUCUGUAAUAGAAUCCUUCAGAUUCUCGUUGUCUUCCACAAAGUUUUCUUCAAGGACAACUCUUUUUUCUUCAUUUUGUGUUUGAGUCCAUUUCCACCUCUUGUUCUCUAGGAAUUGAACAUCUCUAUUCACAAUCAACUUCCCUAUUUCUAGAUCAUAUAGUUUGUAACCUUUAGUUACAUCACUAUAACAAAUGAAAAUACACUUCUCAUUUUUAUCAUCAUUUUUUUUCUGUGCUCCUUUGGUAUAUGGGAAUAUGUAAUACAUCCAAAAAUUUGCAAAAAAGAAACUUCUAGUUUAUGACCACUCUGAGCUUUCUCAGGUGUUCUUCCAAAGACUAUUUUAGCGAGACAUUUAUUCAAUAAGAACACUACACGAGUAACAACUUUUGCCAAAAAAGUUUUUGGAAGAGACUUUGCCUUCAACAUGCUUCUUGUCAUUUCAACAAUGGUUUUGUUAUUCCUUUUAGCUAUACCAUUUUGUUAAUGUGUAUAACUAGCUGUCAAUUUUUGUUGAAUACCCUGACUUUUGCAAUAAUUAUACAACUCAUUGGAGGUGAACUCUCUAUUAGAAACCUCAGACCCCUCCAUUCUCAUGCCUUAGAUCUCAUAGGGUGCAUAAAAAUUUAUCCUAGACUCUUUAAAUCUAUUGCAACAGAAAACUAGGUAUUUAAAAACCAAUAUUGAUACUACAAAAAUCAUAGAUCUAGGAAAUAAAGCCACAUACCUUUGAUCCAGAUGUUCCCAAAUUGAUUUCAAUCGAUGUAAAUAACUCCAAAGUCCUAAUGAAUCUCGUAAACACCAUGAUCUUCUGCUUGAUGACUCUUCAUUGUGUCUAAGCAUUGGGAUAGUUGAGAUCUCGAGGGUGGAGGCUAGGGUUUUUUUUUAGACUAUAGGGAGAAAAUGGCAAGACAUGGAAACCCUAACCCUUAAGGGGGUAUUUAUAUGUUUCCUACUAAGUUUAAGUAACUUAAACCCACCAUGGUCUUGGGUCACUUAAUCAAGCCCAAAAAGGUUGCUAAUUGAUUAAUUAACCAUACAAGGUCCUAAUUAAUCAAUUAGCCUAGUCUAGAGAUACCACUCACUUAUUCUCAUGCAACCUUGUGUAAUUACCAAAACGCCUUUAUGCACAAAAGUAAACUAAAAACCCAUCAACCCUCAUAAAUCGUGCCACCAAGGAAUGAGUUCAGAGCGGGGACUAUUAAGACCCAUAAGAGUACUGGCUCCUUGAGAAUCAAAUUCUAAAACUGACUCAACAUCCCACUAUAGAGAGUCAAUUACACUCCAGUACCCUAUGUACAUUACAACGAUACACCAAGUGCUUGAGUUCGUGACCUAUUAUCCAUUGCAUGCAGACUCUUCAUGAACCGAUACCCAUAAUCUAAUAAGGUAGUUUUAUCACUUAUCAAGAUUACCUAUUAAAUCCUUGAGUUAUAGAUCUCACUUAUUAUGUUAUUAACUAACAUACUUUAUCUCUAAGGAGCAUAUAUCAAAUUACGCUAAUGGAAUUAUUGUGACCAUAAAUUUCAUGAUCACAUGUCUUUUGGAUCGACAUACUAUCGUAAUUCCAUGAGAUAUCAUGGUGUUUCCAUUGAGAAUGCCUGUUGCCACUAACCUCCAUCAAUAGUGACCCAAUCCAUAGGGAUAUAUGACCACUUUAGGGUCUCAUUUAUAGGUCAAAGUCUUGUGUUGAUUUUGAUAUAGACUCAAUAUCCUCUCAAGGUUGAGAGUCCAUGCAGUAUAAUAGUUUGGUGAAUCAUGACAAUUGAUAGCCUUGCGUCAUGAUUCACCAUAGGUUUUGUCUAGUGUGUAUUACAUACACUAGUGUACUCACUAUGGGAAACCCAUCCCAAUAGCCAAGAUAAGUCAUUCCUCCAAUUAGGAAGUUGUGCACUACAAUCUCUACUAGAUUAUCCAAAUCCAUGAAUUGACUAUGGACAACUUAUUUACUUACAAGGAACCUAUGACUUGUAUCUUCUAUGUAACUCUUAAUGCACCCAAGUCAUAUACAAUGUAAGAGAUAUGAGCUAAAUGCUCAAAUCAAUGUCAAUACACCAAAAUGAUAGCAAUGAGAUAAUUAAGUCUAAUUUUGUUACAUCAUGUCUUGCUUUUAGGGGCUCAUCCCAAUACUCUCCUCUUAUAUCAUAUCUUAAUAUCUUAAUAUUACAACCACUUUGUCUUUCAAUAGGAACUUUGAAUUCUUUAAACUUGUUAAAAGCCUUAGAUUUUUCUUUUAACAAAUAAAUCCAAUUUUUUUUUUUGUAAAACCAUCUAUAAAGGUCUGAAUAUAUUUGUUGUGACUAAGAGAUCUUUUACCACCGAGAUCACAUAUAUAUGUAUGCACCGACUCCAAAGGUUAUUUACCUCUUUUGAAUCUUCCAAUUGGAAAAGAAUUCUUAUGUUGUUUCCUAAUGAGAUAUCUUUAACAUGCAUGAUCUAGAAUAUCAAUCAUAAGUAAUCCUAUUACCAUAUUUUUUUUGCACUAACAACUUCAACCCAUGAAAAUUGAAAUGACCCAAUCGAAGAAGUAAAAGCCAAUUGCUAUUUCCACUAUUGCCUUCAAACUGAAUAAAGUUUCUGCUUGAAGAAACAUAAGAAACAUCUUAUUCUUUGUCAUCUGCAUAUUGAUUACUACUCAAAAAGUACUAUUUCAUAGCUUGUAAUUAACUCUUUUAAACACUUUUGAGUAGUAGUUAUCACCUUUUAACCCAAUUAACAUAUUAAGGACCAUUGCAAUCAAUUCUAAUCAAAUUGUGUUAAGUUUUGGUGUUUUGAUAGCUUUUUGAUCACCAAAGCAAUCCGAGAUUGAGGAGAGUUCUUUGGAAUCCUUAAGCAAAUCCAGAAUACAAGGAGUAUGGGAUCCUGCACAUUCCACCCGGGAAGGAAUUCCAUCCGGUUGCCGCCACUUUACACCCGGCUGACGCCGCCAUUCCAUCCGGCUGCCGCCACUUUCCACCUGGAUGUAUCACAUCCGAAAAUCUGCUACCACCAUUCCACCUAGAUGUUUCACAUCCGGAAUUCUGGCCGGGUGACGCUCCACAUUCUCCGGAUGUUUCACAUCCGGCAGACAUAUCUGGAUGGGAGAAUAGAGCGUUUCAACUUCCACGAUCAGGCAUAUCCGGAUCCGCCGACAGCGCUCGCCCGGAGAGUUUCGCAGCCAAUUUUGCACAGUGCCGCGGUGUUCUCCUGAAGCUUCCCAAUAUGUGCCACUGACAUUUUGAGAUAUUUUGGGAUAUUUUGAGAUAUUUUUGCUUUAGAUAUUUGUUGUCUAAAUCCCCAAAAUCUCCUUGUAACCCACCAAUUAUAGGAUUCCUUAGUUAUUAAGUUUGGAAAAAGGAUGAAUAACCUUGUAGAUAUUAUUAUUGUAAUUUUCAUAUAAAUAUAUCUCGGGAGCCUGUUCUCGAGGGGAACGCAACUUUUGUAUAGUUUUCAAAGGAAGAAAAAUACAGAGCUUUGCUCUGCUUUUACCUUCUCAUUUUGAUUGUAUUUUUCUUACUAACCAAACAACCUUUGAAGAUGUUUUCCCAGAGGAUGAGAGGCUAAACCUUUGGUUUCUUAGAGUGAAGGAAGCUGGGUGAAAAGUCUAGAUGCAAAAGUGGAAAACUCUCGUGCUUUAAAUACAGGUAGUUGGAGUUCAUAAAUGACUUUUAAAUUUAAAGUUUUGCUUUAAAUCCCUUAUAAUCACUUUGAAUGGCCAAUACAUGAUAAGCUUUUAGGUCUCUGUGGAUACUUAUUGCUAGAUCCACAUAAGACCAUUAGUUAUCAUGUACGAGCCAUUGGAAAGUGGCUCAAGGUAAAGACCCAUAGUGUCUAAAGCCAUUAAUAGAACUUGACUAUCAUUUCUAUUGACUUUUUAUGGAUUAAAUCUUCAUUGUUAAACCUAUACCGGUUCGGGAAACAACCAUCCUUUAUGUUGUUGUCCCCAAUACGAGGAGAAAAAUCCGGAAUUUCCCACUUUGCAUUCUGAACUUGAUCCUAGCAACCUUUAGCUCCGGGAGACUUUCUUUCUUCCAUUUUUACCUAGUUCUAUGUUAGUUUAGUUUCAAACACCACUUUCAAAACAAAUUUUAUUUUCUUUUAAACUUUAAGUUUUUGACAAAGGAAAUCAUUAGAUUCAAUUUCUAAUCUUGAGUCUAUCACUGGUAGAGUGAAAACCCAUCCCAGAGUUCGACCCUAGAGCUGCUAUACUAUAGUAGCUUUGCUACGCUAGUAUGAGGUCAUAGGAUUUAGAAAUAUUUUUGAUUAAAAUACCCGGCUGGGCACGAAUCACAUAUUUUCAAUCAUUUUCUUAUUUUUAUAACUAAGGGUACAACCUCCAUUAGAGAUAUUAAUGAUAUGCCAUUUUUCUUUUAAUUGUCUUAUGCUUAACAAAUUCUAAAAAAGAUCCGGAACAAAAAAUACAUUUUCUAUAUUAACAUUAGUGUCAUCUUUAGAACAUAUUUUAACAUUACCUUUGUCUAUGAUUGAAACUUUGGAUUUGUUUCCAAAAUUAACUUCAUCUCAGACUGAUUCAUUUAAUUGUGAAAACAAUUCCUUUUUAUCGCACAUGUGAUUGCUACAUCUUGCAUCAAGAUGCCAAAAAUCUUGGCAGUUUACAUUUGAUGUUGCUACAUAGCAAGCUAAUACCAAAUUUUGCUGUACCUUGGUGGUGUUUGCCUACUCAUCUUGUUCAUUAUGCAAUUUUGUUCGACAUUUUGUCUUAUAAUGUCCAUGUUUUAUACAUUUGAAACAUUGCAUAUGUGACUUGUCUUUAGAUCUAGAAGUGUUGCCUCUUCCUUUAGAAGAAUUUGUGUCACCAUCUCCAUUUUUUUUUGUUAAAGUUGUUGUGUCCUCCUUUACUUCUACCACAACCAAAGCCUUUGCCACAAGGCUUGCUCCAAAUUUGUAAAGUUGAUUCUUUAAUUCAUUCGUUGUUUGUGCAAACACAAUGGACUCAUUUUGCUUCCACUGUGAGAGUGAAAAUUUCGUUUCUUUUUUCAAUUGUUGCAAUAGCAUAGUCAAAACUUCCACUUAAAGAUCUUAUCAUUUUCUCUACUAUUCAUUGAUCAUUAAGUUUCUCACCAUUAACCUGCAUUUGGUUAACAAUGGUUUGUACAUAAUCAAAGUAACAUGAGAUGGAUUCAAAGUCAUUCAUGCGAAGAGACUCAAAUUCACCUCUUAAUGUUUGCAACUUCAUUUGCUUAACACGUUCAUCACCUUUGUAUAAUUUUUGUAGAGUAACAUAUACCUCUUUUGCCGUUUCUAACUGAGAGAUUUUCUUAAAUAUUGCAUGGAGUGAUUUUUUAUUUUUUAUUUCGAGAAUCUUUCAAUGAUUCUUUCUACUAUUUUGAUAGUACCUUAAAUUCUUUUGAAUUGAUCAUUUUGUUGUAACCACUAUUCAUUAGAUCCCAUAAAUCUUGAGAUCUAAAUAAGACACGCAUCUGAAUGCACCAAUUAUUAAAAUUCUUACCUGUGAAUUUGGGAGUUGAUGAUGAAUUAAGUUAUUGUUUAUAGCCAUAAUUUCACCAACAAAAUUGCAAAUUUCUUGUGAUUUUGCACAUUCCUUAUUAUUCUAGCUCUUAUAUGACAUUUCACUUUCCUUGAUCUUUUGGCUUUGAUACCAAUUGUUGGAGCCCACACGAUUAGGAAUUGAUAAUACUUUUGCUAAAAAUAAAAAUUUAUUCCAUUCUUAUUUUCAACAUAAUAACAAGUCUAUUUAUAAUAAACUAAUUAUAUUUGUACUAGGACUCCAAUUCCUAUUAAACCAAAAGUCUUAAUUAACAUAGGAAAGCUAAAUAAAAUAACAAUUUCUAAUAUUUCUCAAAUGACUAAAAUUUUUCAAAUUUGACAUUAAGUCGGAUUAUAAUUUCAACAUGUUGGCUAAGGGAAUACUUCUCAUUGUGAUAACAAUUUUUUAAAACAAUGGAUUAAUAUUUUCUAAAAUAAAAAUCUAUUUGAAAUCUUGAAAUAUUCUUAACUUUUUUUUUUAUAUAUUUUUAAAUAUUUCUUACAAAUAACUUUUAUGGUUAGAGUUUUAUUUUCAAUUAUUUUUCACAUUUUUACAAUUAUUUUUUAAAAUAAUCAUUAGAAAACAAAUGCUAAUAAUAAAAACAAUUAUAAUAUGUUAUCAUAAAAUAUCCUAUUUUCAAAAUAAAUUAUCAAAAAACUAUUUUCUAUCAAAAUUUAUGAAGCAUAAUUAUCCUUGGCUUUCAUAUGAAUCAAUAUAUAUAUAUAUAUAUAUAUAUAUAUUGAUUCAUAUGAAAGCCAAGGAUCAUUAGGUGAAUAUAAUUUUAUUAAUACCAAUUUUUUCUUAAUUUUUCAUCAAAAUUAAACAUGUAAAUGGAUACAUAUUUCUUCUAUUUUUUUUUCUUUUCUCAUGGAUAUUUUUGAAAUCCCAUCAAAGGCAAAAUGCUUUUAAAUUAUCAAAUUUCUAUUAUAAUUUAUUUGUGAAAUGUUUCUUACAUGCUUUUCUAGGUGCUUAAUAAUUAGUGGUUGCAACAUAAAAAUAUUUUCAUAAUGAUAUAAAGUUCUAAUGGAAACAAACGACCCCAUAUAUCCUAAAAAUAUGCAACAUAUAUUAAUAUUAUAGCACAACAAAAUAUUCCCACCAUGCGGUUGAAAUUGUUGUGACAACAACAAUUUUAAUGCAAAACAAUAUUGGUUCAAGAACACUGAUAAAAUAAUCUACAUAAACAUAAACAAAGUUUUAGCAUGGUUCAGUCAAUUAUAUUUGCAUUUACGAAUAAAAGAAAAUUAUUAUAUUAUAUUAUAGAAAAUAUUAUAUAAGAUAGAAAUAGAUACAAUUCUACAAACCCCUUACUUCAUUAGGUAUCUCCCAUUUUUCCUAACAUCUCUAUCCACUUUUACAAUUGUUACAAAUCUAUCUCCAUCUAAAAUAUUUUAUAUAAUAUUCUUUACAAAAAAAGAAAUAUAUACUAAUUUAUAAUAUUCCUUACAAAGAAGAAAUAUAUACUAAUUAGAAAUUUGUGAUACUUUCCAACAAAAACAUGUAAGAGACCACCUCAACAUUAUUUUCCCUAGAAUUUACUUUAUGGUUUAGUAAUGUACCUUUUAUGUUUAGUUGGAAUUGCAAUUUAAUUGAAUAUAAAAGGACUUAAAAAAAUUUAAGCCCAGUAAAUUACACUUCCCCUUAAAUUUUUUUUAUAAUUAUAUUUUUCAAAAGUUCCCAAAAAUAAUAUAACCUUCUUUGUUAGAGUUUUUAUCCUAAGACAUAAAAUAAAAAUUAUGAAAAGCAAAAAUUUUGUUUUAUACAUUAAACUUAUUUAUAGUGGGAAAAAAUUCAAUCAAAUAAAGCUCUUUUAAGCCUCCAACAAUGCAUUAGGAUUAACUUUUUAAAAAUUAUAAGUUAUUUUUUAAACUAUAUGUGAGUUUUCAUAUUUAUUUAACUAUUUUUUUUUAUCAAAAAAAUUAUGAUUUAAAAAAUUUUUAAUAUAAAAAAAAUAUUACUUAAAAUUCUGUUUUAACUUAUAAAAAAUUUAAUAAUAUUAAUAUUAUGUUUUUUAAACCUAUAGCUUUUAAGUAGUUUUUUUUUUAAAAAAAUUUUUUUUACUUCCAACUAGAAUUAAAAUUUUAAAAACUUUCCGAAAGAAUGUCAUAUUAUACAAUUUUUGCACACAUGAACAAAUUUAAUGUUAUCUAAUUCAAUUUUCUCAUUUAAAAAUGCAAUCAUGAGAUGACCUUUCCUAAAGGAAUUUAAAUUAAGUGAAAAAAACAUAAAAACAAAAAAAGUCAUGUUCCCAUGAUUGAACCUAUAAAAUUGAGGAAGAUAAAUGCAUCCCAUAAAUAACACUCAUUGUAGUAAACAACCAUGGUUGUGGGGCCAUACCUUAUGAUGUUGUGCUCCUCAAAUAAAUAAAUUAAAAGAAAACAUAAAAUUAAUUUUCAUGACCACAAGCACCAAAGUAAAGAAGGCAUCCAUUGAAAGUUUAGGAAAAACAAUUAUAUUUGCAUCCACAAUAAAUAUACAUUCUUGUUCUUCUUGUUCAUCAUCAUCCUCUAUUUCUUCUCUUCUAAUAUUUCUAUAAUGCUAAUAAUUUUUUCAAGAAAGUUAUGUUUAAAUAAGCUAAUAAUAAUCUCUAAUAAUAUUAAAAGUGCAUAUGUAUACUUAUUACAAUAUAUUUAUUUAUUUUUCAUUUUUUGAGCUAGAAAAAAAAGUGUUCAGAGUUGCAACGUUGAAUGAAUUACAACUAUUCAACAUUGUAUUUCUAGACAUUCUUAGAAUGACAUAAAGAAGAUAUGAGAGGAUUUUGUGGACAAAAAAUUACAAUUACUUUUACUUGUAAAAGAAGUAAAGUAUAGAGAGAUUCAAUGAAGAAUAAUAUCGAAUAUAAGAGUAAAAAGAAAGGGAAAAAAAGAUUAGGAAGGAUAAAGAAAUAUGAAUGUCAUAUACUCUUAAAGGUAUGAAGUUGCCAACAAAUGAUAAUUGGAUAUUGGUUGUUAAAUAUGGAAGACAUAAUCAUGUUGGAGCACAAUAUCUCAAAGGAUAUUUUUUUCGUGAUUAUUUAAGUCAAGAAGAAAUGAGUAUCUUAGUUAAUAUGUCAAAAAGUAACAUCAAGCCAAAAGAGAUUGAAUAGUUUGAAGCAAAGAAGUAACCUUAAUUGUAACACAUUGAGGACAAGAUACAAUGUAUAGUAUAAACACAUAAAGUAAGGGAAUAUGGUGAGAGGCCACAAAUGCAACAAUUGAUGCACAAAUUAAUGGAGUUGAAUUACAUUAAAUGACAUAGAAGGGAUGAACAAAAUGAUUGUAUUAGAGACUUGAUGUUCAUCCACCCAAGAUCCAUUGAUUAAUUUAUUGUUAGCAUUUUCACUAGUGUUAAUCAUGGAUUGCACUUACCAGCCGUAUAGUUAUAAGAUGCCUUUACUCAAAAUAGUUGGUGUAACAUCAACAUAUAGGACAUUUUCUAUUACAUUUUCAUAUCUUAAGGGUGAAAAAAAAAAUAGGCAUUACACAUGAGCCUUACAAAAUUUGAAAAGUUUGAUUCAUAAAAACUUCAUUCCAAGAGUACUUGUAAUUAAUGGAGAAUUUGCUCUUAUGAAUGAGUUACAUAAUGUGUUCUCAACCUCUUCACAUCUUCUAAGUGGCUUAUAUUGAAAAAUAUUUUCACAAAUUGUAAGAAAUGCUUUGAGUAAAAAACAAGGCGGGAGGCUUUUAUUUUCAUGUGGAAUGUUUGAUGUUUGCCAUUUAGAAAAGGCAUGUGAGUACCAUCUUACUACCUUUGACAGGCAAAACCAAAGGUACACAACAACAACUAAAUAUUGCAAAGUUCAAUAGUUAAUUUCACCUAAAGAGAAGUUUGUAGCAGUUUGGAUAGAUAAACUCAUGCAUUUUGAUAAUACAAUAAAACAUAGGUAUAAUUAUUUUUUACUUUUUUUUUUUCGAAUAAUGUGUUUUAAUAUGUAAUAUAUAUUAAGUUCAAAUUUUCUUCAAUAUUAAUCAUGGUAGAAAGUUCACAUGUCUAGUCGAAGAGACAAUUAGGCACACCUCAGAUGAUUUUGAGGGCUUUUGAUUCAAAGUCCAUGCCAUGUUAGAGUUAUAACACAUGAAAAUAAAGACAUCAUUUGAGAUGAGUGUAAUUAGUGUCCAAUACAACAUGAAAAGUCAUUUGUUUAGUGAAUUAAGGGGUAGGAUUUCCAAAUUUGCACCAAGUGUUUUGGCUGAUGAAGGAAAAUGAUUUGAAAAUGUUGGAGUGAAUGUAUUUGCAUGUGGAUGUGCAUAUAGAUAGACUCAUGGACUGUGCAUAUGAGAUCUCUUUAUAUAAAAUUAAAGCUUGACCAAUCCUUUUAGCAUCAUUAGAUCUUCAUUUGAGGAAACUCAAUUUAGUUCCUAUUAAGAAUUGAAAGACAAAGGAAAUGGGUUAUGAAACUAAUAUGGGACACUUCCAUAAAUAGUUCUUAAGCAAUAAUCCAAUUGAUAGGAAAAAAUUGCUAUAGGAGGUGAUGGAAUUAGCUACUCCAAAAAUCACAUCUAUAACAUCCCUACCCACACUAGAAGAAGAUGAGAUAAAAAAGAAGGUCAUCAUCUUCUAAGAAGAAUGAUUCAUUAACUCGUAGGGAUCCAUCUUUAUUGGAGUAUGUCUCACAAAAUGGGAUGAGAAAAUGAUUAUUGUUACUACAUCAUCAUAAUAAAAGAGAAGGUUAAAGGAGAUAAUAAGAUGAUCAUGUAGGACUAGCUACAUUUGCAGGCUAUUUGCAACCUUAUAUCAUGCAUGUAAAAGAUAUGGGAACAUAUCAUAGUUGUAGAUAUUGAGCUAGAGCUUCUACUUUAGGAAUGAGUGAUGAUGGUUGGCCACAUGAUAAGCAAGACAUGUUUUGAGAGUUUCCACUUAUCAUAUAGAGUUUGAUGAGUCGUUUUAGGGAUAACUUGCAAGUUGAUGAGCUCCUUCAUGCCUUAAAUUUCUUUUACAACCUUGUUGUGGUUAACAGAUGGAUGACCAUGACCAAUAUGAGGCACACUAUAGCUUCCAAAUACAAUGUUGUACUUGUCCAUAUAUCGAUGCAGUAGUGUCUUACCUUUUUUUUUUUUUUUUCAAUCGAUGCCAUAUCUAUACUUAUGCGAAAGAUUAUAUCAAUUAGUUUUAUUAAUGAAAAUCAUGUUGUGGAGGUAAUUUCAUGAAUACUAAUAUAUUUUAUUUACAAUACCCUAUGCUUACUUAAUGAAAUAAUUUUCCAUAUUCUAAAAUUUUUUCUAGGUUUUAAUGCAACCUAAAACCCUAAUGAAACCUAUUACUAGUAGUUUGCAUAUGAGUUGAUAUCAUUGUGCUAAGGGUUCCACAACUCCAUAUGUACCUUCCAUUAUGAUGCUUUGCUGUUGAAUUUCUAACAAUAUUAUCACAUAAGAUAUUAUAGAUUUAGGUGAUAAUUAUGAUGUAUUGUAUUAUUAAUAUGGUAUAAUGAUUUAGAUGUUUAUGUCAAUUUCAUUAUAGAUGGUAAUGCUUAUAAUACAACACCUCUAGGAAUUUGCAAUAGAUCAAUAUGUAUAAAAGGUAUCCAACACUAUACCUAUGAUAGGAUAGCCACUAACCUCGAUCUAAUUUUCUACAUAGACAAGUACGAGACCUGUCUAUGUCACUACAUAUAAUCAGGUGCACACUCUGAUGGAUAUGUCACACGAAUAGCAUUCAUUGUAGCUUGUGCACUAAAACAUUAGAUAUAGGUCCUAUAAUGAAUACAUUGUUGGAUAAACCACUAGAUCUAAUAAUAAUGAAAGCAAAAUUAUGCACUAAAACAUUAGAUAUAGGUCCUAUAAAAACCAUAUCUUUGGAUUUGGAUGUUCUUAUAUUCCACUCUAGAUGAUACAGAGAUCUAAAAAACCUUGUGAUCUUCUACCCAAUCACUCCUUUAAUUCUUGACACUUGUAUAGAGUGGCUACACACCUUAAGAGGGAACAAGAUGGAAUUUGGGGUUUUUGAAAGACAUUUGAUUUAAAAAUUAAAGUCUAACCCUAAAACUUAAGAGGUUCAUAUAAACUCUCCUAUGGGCUUAAGUGACUUAGACUAACUUAGGUUUGGGUCACUUAAUCUAACCUAAUAGGUUCUAAUUAAUCAAUUACCUUAAUAAUCUCUAACUAAUAAACUAGUCUAAUCCAAAAAACUUAAAAUAAAUAAAAGUUGUUGUGCAACCUUGCACUUUAGCACAAUGCUAUUAUGCACACAUGAUUAAAUCUUUUAUUUUUCUCAAGCCUUUGUAUCAAUAAAGAAUAUGAGCUCGAGAGGGGGCCAUUGGGACCCAUAGGAAAAUAUUGAACCCCUUAUAAUCCAAUUCUAAAGUUGAUUCAACACUUUACUGAAGAAAUUCAAUUGCACUUUAGUAGCCUAUGAAAUUACAUUAAGAUUAAAAUUGAUUAAAUUGGAUUUAAUCAAUUUCUCAAGUGCAUGACCUACUAUCAACCACAUGCAGGCUCUCCAUGAACUUGUGUAUAUAAUCUAACGAGGUAAAAGUUAUUGACCUCUCAAGAGAUAAUAUUAUAAUAGCCUCAGAUGGAUUGCCUAAGUCUAUAAAUUGUUUGUGAACAAUUCAUAAACUUGCAAAGAACCCAUGAUUUCGAUUAUUUAUAUAACUCUUAAUGCACUUAAGUCAUGUACAAGUGAUGUAAGCUUAAAUGCUAAGAUAAAAUAUUAAUGCAAACAUGGAAAAAAAGUGGAGUUAUAUGGUUUAAAUAUAUAAUAUUUUAAUCAAAUCUCAUUUUAUUACAUCAUGUUAUGAUUUUAAAGUAUCUAUCCCUUAUGGGAGCCCUGGAUUUUAUAGGUACAUGCAAUCUACCCUUGGCCUUUAGAUCUUAUGCAACGAAAGUGAAAAAUAGUAAUUUUAAUAAUCAAGGAUCUAGAUUAAAAGCUUUAGAAAAUAAUACCUUUGAUUUGGAUAUUCUUAAAUCAAAUCCUAUCAGAGAAGAUCAAAUCUGAAAGUAUUGAAGGUCUCGUACACCCAAAAUUUUCCUCCCAAUGGCUCUAACUUGAUCUUGACCCUCAAUUGGUGGGGAGGUAUGAGAUGAUGGAGGUUAUGACUUUUUUCUUCUUUGGAGGUAGAAAACAACUCUAUGGAAACCCUAAUACAUAAAGGAGUAUUUAUAAGGUUCCUUAAUUGGGCUUAAGCCAAGGGCUUAGGUCACUUAAUCUAUCCUAAAAUGGGUCCUAAUUAAUUAAUUAACCACACAAGGUCAUUUAAUUAAUCAAUUAACCCAAUCUAGAGACCUUGUUCAUUAUCCCUUAUGCAACUUUAUGUAAUUAUCAAAAUGCCCUUAUGCAUAAAAGUGAAGCCAAUUUAUCUUUUACAAACCAUGCCAUCAAGGUAUAUGAGCUCGAGCAAGGACCAUUGAGACCCAUUGGAAUACUGAUAAUUGUGGAUAUUUACCUUGCUUUAGUUUUAUAAUUGAUGAUAAAAAUUGGUUAUGACACUCAUGUUUUAGAUAUUUAAAUUUUAAAAGUCUAAAAUUUCUUUGAUACUAAGAAGAUGACUUUGUUAAUUCUCCAAAUGAGGUUUGUGAAACAUGUGUUUUGGGAAAUAAGUAUAAAUACCAUUUUCCUGUAGGAAAAUUAUGGAGAGCAAGGAAGCCUCUUGAAUUGAUUCAUUCAAAUCAAUGUUUAAUGGAGGCUCCAUCAAAGAAAGAUCACAUAUACUUUAUAAUCUUUAUUGAUGAUUUUAGUUAAAAGGUUUGGGUUUAUUUUUUAAAACAAAAGGGAGAUACAUAAAAAAAUUUCAAAAUUUUUAAAGCUUAUGUGGAAAACAAAGUGGACAUGCCAUUAAAAUUUUGAGAACAAAUAAGGGUACUAAAUAUGUUGAUUAUGAUGUUUUAUUGAAAAAAAAAAGUGGUAUUGAGCAUCAAUUGACUGCACGGUACACUCCAUAAUAAAAUGAAUUUGCAAAGAGAAAAAAAUAGAACAAUUAUGCAUAUGGUGAGGUCCAUAUUGCACUUAAGACAAUUGGCUAAAAUGUUUUAGGUCAAAGUAGUUUCUUGUGCAUUUUAUUUAUUGCAUAGGUACCCUACUAAAAGUGUUUAUGGAAAGACCCACAAGAAGCUUGACAUCAUAGGAAGCCUAAUAUCAAUCAUCUAAUUAAGGGUGUUUGGUUGCAUAUCAUAUGCUCAUGUGUUUGAUGCAUUGCGAAAAAAAAAAUUGAUGAUAAAGGUGAAAAGUGUUUAUUGGUUAUAUUCAAGUGGCAAAAGGUUAUAAAUUAUAUAAUCUACAAACCAAGAAAGUUAUUGUUAGUCGUGAUUUGAGUUUUGAUGAACAAGCAGUAUGAGAAUGGUCUUUUAAUGAAAAAUGACCAUCAAGUAUUUACAUUCAUCUUGAAGAGCAAGGUGAAGAUCAAAGUACGCAGCCUACUAGUGCACAAAUUAUGACUCCAUGUUCAAUAGCAUCACCAAGGCAUCUACAACGUCUCUAUGUUUUACUUGCACACUUACAACAUUCUAUAGUUGAUGAUGAUAGUAAUCCAACAAAUGAAGAAUUGAUUAUUUUUUCUUUAUUUACAUAUUGUGAUCUAUUAAGUUAUAAGGAAGUUGCUCAAGAUGGUUAUUGGCUUAAAGCUAUGGACAAAGAAAUUCAUACAAUUGAGAAAAAUAAUACAUAAGAUCUUACUAAUCUCCCUAAUUCUAAUAAGCCAAUUGUUGUCAAAUGAGUGUACAAACCAAGCACAAGACAAAUGGAGAAGUCAACCCCUUCAAGGCAAGAUUGGUGGCAAAAUGUUACAAGCAAAAACCAAGUAUUGAUUAUUUUAAAGUAUUUGCACUUGUUGCUAGAUUGAUACUGUUCGUAUGAUUAUCUCUCUUGCUACAUAAAACAAUUGAAAAAAAUUUCAAAUGGAUAAAUUAGCUUUCUUGAAUGACAACUAAGAGAAGAGGCUCAUGUCAAAUACCUCAAGGAUAUAUUAUAAAAGGGUUAGAAGAAAAGGUUUAUUAGCUAAAAAAUGCCCUAUAAAGCACGCACCAAGAGCAUUAUACACAUGUAUUAAUACCUAUUUCAUAAAGAAUAAAUUUUAAAUAUGUCUUUAUAAACACACUUUAUAUAUCAAAUUUAAUUUGUAAGGUGACAUUCUUAUCGUGUGUUUAUAUAUAAAUGAAUCAUUCGUAAUAAUUUGAAGAUGAUUGAAGAAUUCAAAGAAAUAAUGAUUAAUCAAUUUGAGAUGAUAGAUAUGGGAUUGAUGUCCUAUUUUUCAGGAUUGAAGUAAUUCAAGUAUAAAGGUAUCUUUAUUUUUUAGAAGAAGCAUGUAAGUGAUAUUCUUGAAAAAUUGAAGAUGGAAUCAUGCAAUCUUAUUCUAACUCCAGUUGAAGAAAUACUGAAAUAAGGAAAAGAUAACUAAGGUAAGUUAGUUGAUCUAACAAACUUUAAAAGAAUGAUUGGGAGUUUGUAAUAUUUGACUUCUAUAAAACAUGAUAUUGUAUUUAGAAUUGAACCUGUAAGUAGAUUCAUUGAGUCUCCACACCAAUCUAACUUGCAAGCAACAAAUUGUAUCUUACGAUACAUUAAAGGUACACAAAGUGAUAGUAUUUUUUAUGCAUAUGAUAACAUGAUUGAGCUUGUUGGAUACACAUAUAGUUAGUGAGUGGGUGAUGUAGAAAAGCAAAAAAAAAAAAAAAAAAAUUACUUUCAACUAUGCAUUUAAUCUUGGUUUGGAAGUUUUUUUCCUGGUCAUCAAAGAAACAACAUAUAGUUGUUUUGUCAACAACAUAAGUUGUGUCUAUUGCAGCUACUAGUGGUACAUGCUACUCAAGCGAUAUGGUUUCAUAAAAUGCCUUUUGGCUUAAAGCAUACUCAAGAAGUUCCCACAAUUUUUAUUUUUAUUUUUUAUUUUUUUUGUGAUAAUAAAUUAGCAAUAGCAUUGAUCAAGAAUCCAAUUUUUUCAUGGAAGAAUUAAACACAUUGACAUAUAAUUUCAUUAUAUUUGUGAUUUGGUGAAAGACAAAGAAAUUAUACUUGAGUUCUGUUCUUCAAAAAUCCAAGUUGCAAACAUUUUUAUAAAGUCAAUCAAGGGGAAAACAUUGCCCAAGUUGAAGAAGAUGACGAGUAUGAUGAAAUUUAAACAUUAUUGUUUUUUUUUCUUUUUUGAGAAAUUAUUUUAUGCUAGAAAGAUUAUUUUUGGUUGCUCACAGCUACUCAUGACACAAUGCCAUAUUCAAGAAAUUAUAUAUAUAUAUAUAUAUAUUAAUUUUCAUUUCUUAAAAAACUCUUUUAAAAAUUUGUUGUAAUAAAUAAAGGAAAGCCAGCGUGGCAUAGAAAACCUUUGCCUUUGCAAUCAAAAUUAUAUAUAUAUUUUCAUUCUUCCAUGUUUCUCUUAAAUCUUUCAGAGACGGAUAGAAAACAGUAAAAAUAAUUUGAUAAAUAUAAAAUAAAACUAUUAUGUUAACCAUGUUAUAAGAAGAUGAUGGUAAAGCUACCAUAUUUUGAUGUACUUAAAAGGAAAGAAAUAGAUAAAAUAAGGCUUCCUUUACACUUCUUGUAUUUUUUUUUUCAAUAACUUUUAUAUAAAUAUAUUUUUUUUUAUUUUUAUGAAAGUAUAAAUUUAUAUUAUGUGUUUAAAAAUUACUUUAAAAUUUUUUUAAAUGUCUGAAACAAUAAAUUUAUAUCAAUUUUAAAAAAUUAUCAUAUUUUCAAUGUAACCUUUUUAAGAGUUAAUUCAUAUGUAAGUUACUAUUAAUUUUUGUUUUUGAAAAAUAAAAAAAUAAUAUGUGAAUCAUAAAGAAACUAUGGACCUGUUUGGAAAUUGUUUUUUGAAACAAUUUUCUAUUCUUUAGAACAAAAAAAAAUAGAAAAAUACAUUUGAUAAUUAAAAAACUUUUUUUUAUUUUUUAUUCUUAAGAAUAGAAAAUAAGGUGUUUUCAAAGUAUAUCUUUUAGUUGUUUUCCAUUGUUUUCACUUAUUUUAAAAAAAAAAACAUUAUACAAACAUGCAGAAUGAUUAAAAAUAAAGUACUAGAUAUAAAAAUUAUUUUUAAAAUAUAUUUUAAAAUAUUAAAAACAUUUUAGGUUCCCAAAACAAAUUUUAGUUUUACAAAACAUUAGAAAAACUAUUUUUUAAAAUCAUUAAUUACCAAACAUGCCCUAAAUAUCCGUUUCGAUACAUCUCUUAUUUCUUUUUAAAUAGAAUCAUAAACAUUUAAAAGUAUAAUAUAUUGUACAAAAAAUUUGAAAAUUUGAGAUACCAAAAAGAUUUUUGUUACCUCAAAAUUUUUAAGUAGUUUUUAAAAGCAUUUUUUUUAACAUAAGUUUUUAAAAGUUUUUAUAUCUUAUAUAAAAUUUAUUAUUAGUUUCUAAUUUUAAAAAAUAAAAAACAAAAAAACAUAUCUAAACGAAACUAAAUUAAGGGUUUUUCAUUUAUAAAUUUUGAAAAGGUUAGGUGAAUUGAAGCUUAUGAGGAGUUUAGACAAACGCUCUCAUUAAUUGUUGAUAGAGGUGUUUGGUGAUUUUAAAGUUAAACCACCUAAUAUUUGUGAUUGAGAGGUUACUCCAAGGCAAUUGAAUCUUACAAAUUCCCAACCAUUAGAUUUAAGUCAUUGGCCCACAUUACCCACAUUACUGACUCCACCUCCCAGGAUUCAUAUAUGCAUUAAAUGAAGAGAGAAUUAUGUUUUGGGGGUAGAUGACCCCCGAAUUAACAAAAGGUCUAUGUAACUCUUUAAAUUGAGCUCAAGACCCAAUGAAAGUAUGAAAAUUGAGUUGAAGGAUAUCAUCCUUCAGUAUUUCCAAAAAUGUCAUUUGUUGAUUUUGAGAAAAAAAUUAAUAUUUUUGAAAAAUACUUUUAUUUAAUUUAAUAUUUUUGAUUUAAUUUAAUAUUUUUAAAAAAUACUUUUAUGUAAUUUAAUAUUUUUUAAAAUACUUUUAUUUAAUUUAAUAUUUUUUAAAAUACUUUUAUUUAAUUUAAUAUUUUUUAAAAAUAAAUUUAUUUAAUUUAAUAUUUUUUUAAAAUAAAAUUAUUUAAUUUAAUAUUUAAAAAAAUUAUUUAAUUUAAUAUUUUUUUAAAUACUUUAAUUUAAUUUAAUAUUUUUGAAAAAAAAAUUUAAUUUAAUAUUUUUGAAAAAAAAAUUAUUUAAUUUAAUAUUUUUGAAAACUACUUUUAUUUAAUUUAGUAUUUUUGAAAAAAAAAAUUAUUGAAAAACAAUUAUUUAACUUAAUUUUAUAAAAUAUUUUAUAUGUGUUUUUAAAGGGUCUUGUAGACCUCCUCAACAGCAGCAGGUUUCUUUUUUUUAGAUUAUUAUUUUAUUCCCCUUUCUUUUGCUUUGUUUUUUUCGCUCUCUUCUUCAGAACCCGAGAAUGAGCUGGGGGUGGUAGCCAAAACAGGGCGGCCAUAGGACGAGAUGGGCAGGUUUUUUUACGGCGAGAGGGGACGGGGGUACGAAGAUGGCUGGGAGGGGAAGCUAAGAAAAAAAAAAGAGGAAAAAGAGAGGAGAUAUCUCGUGAGAGGGGGGAAGCUGAGGAGAAACACGGGCCUGCAGGCUGGGAAGAGAGCCGGGGUGGGAAUUUCGGGUCCGAAGCUUGAGGAGAAGAGGUUUGAAGAAGUGACAAGAGAGAGAUUUGCGAGAUGGUAGAAAUGGGCGUCUCAAGCUGAGUUGAGGAGGAGUUUGAAGCUUAGGUCCAGGUAAGAUUUCUGCAUGUUUUAUAUACCUCAUUUUAGUUUGCUUUAUUCUAUUUCUUGUUAAUUUCGGUUCCUGCUUGGUGUUUAUUAUAUGGAUGGCGAGGCAUAUGAUGCGUUAGAGAGUGUGUGUAUUGGAUUGAGAUCAAUUAAAGGGGUGGAAAAGAUGUCUAAUUAUAUGAUUAGUAGUGGGUUUGGUCCGGAUGAGUAUUUGGGGAACAAGUUCUUGUUGAUGCAAGUAAAAUACGGGAUGAGGAUUGAUGCACAUGGACUGUUUGAUGAAAUGCCAAUAAAGAACAUUUUAUGUUUUUUUUAACACCCCUGCACAUGAUUCUCCCAUUCAUAUUAUAUUUGCUUCAAAUCCUGGAAGCGACCCCCACUAGCGACGUUGAGCCGAAGCUCCUUGCCGGCGACGACGAGGAGAAUGACAGGUUGCAAGCUUGCAUGGGGAGGUGCCUACAGCUGCUAUUGGUCUUGGAGGUUUGGGCCCCCAUGAUAGUGGAUUUGGGCCUGAGGUGAAGCCCCAAACCCAAAUAUGAUGGUGAAAAGGCUUGAGUCCUUUUGCUAACGGAUGUGGGCUUGGGAUGAAGCCCAAAUCCGAGCUUGAUGAUGGAAGGCCCCCAUGAUUUGUCCAUCCACUUUAGGACCGGCCCAUACUUAUUUCAAGCUGGCCCAUCUGGUUGUUUCCACCUUAUAUAUUUCACCUUCUCUAAAUCACUCAUUUCUCAAUAAACUCUUUAAUUUCUAAUUUCCAAGCCCAACUUACAAAAAUUCAAUCUCCAAAUGACACUUCAAAAUUCAGAUUUUUAAUGUUUAAUUCCGAUUUCCGAAUUCUCAUAUUCCCAUUAAUUUAUUUGAUCAUUAGUAUUUCAUUUAUUUAUUUCAAAGCUCCAUUCUAAAUCAAAUUCUUCUAAAACUUCUGAUUACCGAAUUAAAUUCAAAAAAUUCCAAUAUUCGCAUUAAUUUAUUAUUGUUAUUUUAUUUAUUUAUUCUAAAAUUCCAUUUUAAACAAUUCAUUAAAAUUUCCGACUUUCGAAUUAAAUUUCUAUUUCUGAAAAUUCCAAUAUUCACAUUAAUUUAUUUAAUUAUUAUUAUUUUAUUUAUUUAUUCUAAAAUUCUAUUUUAAACAAUUCAUUUAAAAUUUUCAACUUCCAAUUUUAAUUUCUAAUUCUGAAAAUUCCAAUAUUCACAUUAAUUUAUUUAAUUAUUAUUAAUUUAUUUAUUUAUUCUAAAAUUCCAUUUUAAACAAUUCAUUAAAAUUUCCACUUCCGAUUUUAAUUUCUAAUUCUGAAAAUUCCAAUAUUCACAUUAAUUUAUUUAAUUAUUAUUAUUUUAUUUAUUUAUUCUAAAAUUCUAUUUUAAACAAUUCAUUUAAAAUUNNNNNNNNNNNNNNNNNNNNNNNNNNNNNNNNNNNNNNNNNNNNNNNNNNNNNNNNNNNNNNNNNNNNNNNNNNNNNNNNNNNNNNNNNNNNNNNNNNNNNNNNCCAUUUUUAAACAAUUCAUUAAAAUUUCCACUUCCACUAAUUCCAAAAUUCCAACAUUCACAUUAACCUAUUUAAUUAUUAUUAUUUUAUUUAUUUAUUCUAAAAUUUCAUUUUAAACAAUUCAUUAAAAUUUCCGACUCUCGAUUUAAUUUCUAAUUCCAAAAUUCAUAUUAAUCUAUUUAAUUAUUAUUAUUUUAGUUAUUUAUUUUGAAAUUCCAUUUUAAACAAUUCUUCAAAAUUCCAAUUUCUGAACUUAAUUUCUGAUCUCCAAAAUUCUAAUUUCUUUCAAAUUUAAUAUCCAAAAUUCUAAUUCUUAAAUUUAAUUUUUCAAGACUCCAAUCUUCAAAUAAUUUUCGAGGCUCUAAUUUCCAAAUAAAUUUCAAAAAUCCAGUUUUCUCUCGAAUAGCUUUAAUUCCACUCCGAUUUUUAAAUAAUGUUCUAUUUCUUUUGAUUUUUACACAAGCAAGAAUGAUGAAUCUUCAUCAAUUGCCAUGUCAACUUCAUUCUAUUAGUAGAGACCCGACUUUAGGGACUUAGAGGGGUGCUACGGUCUUCACCGUACCUUCCCGAUAAGUAACCUGACCUCCGAACCCGAUCCGGUUUUUCGUAGAUCACCUUUUCCAAAUAAGGAGUCACACUUAGGGUUUUUCUUUCUUAUUUGUUUACCCUUUAAAAAUAAAACAAAAAUAAGUGGCGACUCCAAAUCAUUUUUCUUAAUCAAAUAAAAAUCAAAUUUUCAAAUAAAAAUCGAGGUCGCCAUCGAGUGGGAAACGCAUGAGCAGAAAUGCGGGGUCCACAAAAUGGCGACUCCGCUGGGGAUCUUUUAGAGGGUCAAGCUUGAACUUAAAGUGAAGCAAACGUGGCGUUUGGUGAGUCGAUCAGUGGGUACUCAUCUCUUGAUUGCACAUCGAGAGUUCCCGAGCUUUCACUUGGGACGUUGACAUGUUGAUCAUGUUGGUUGAUUAUUUUGGUUGGGGAUUCUAAUAUAGCUAGUUUCUUAAUGCUUCAUUGAUAUAUUUGUAUGAGAUAUUUGACAUGCUGAUUAUGAGAUUGAUUAUCUUGAUUGAGGAUUUUGAUUUUUUUUUUUGUGCUUCAUUGCCAUGUUUGUUGAGUACAUUGACAUGCUGAUUAUAUUGAUUGAUCAUCUUGCCUUGCUUAGCAUAGUCAUUCUGAUUUUGCCAUGUUUGUUCUGAUUACCUCACAUGUAUAGACUCACCAUUGUAUAUCAUUUGAUUUGACAUGAUUGAUUCUCUCAGUUAUAUAUUAUCUUAUCAUAGAGCAUGCUAUCAUUUGUCACAUAUUCUUCUUGAUUGGCUUGUGUGUAGAUUUGGAUGAUAUAUACCUGUUUUGCAUGACUGUCUGUUGCAUGACUCUUCUCAUCCUGAUGCGACUGCAUGAGUCGUGUGUCUAUGUGGAACACAAACUUAUCCUUUUAUUUCCAAGUCCCUAGUCUCGGUCGACAUAGUUUUCCUUGCUCUCAUAUUUGAUACGAGACUUGUUGCCUUGUNNNNNNNNNNNNNNNNNNNNNNNNNNNNNNNNNNNNNNNNNNNNNNNNNNNNNNNNNNNNNNNNNNNNNNNNNNNNNNNNNNNNNNNNNNNNNNNNNNNNCUCUCAUAUUUGAUACGAGACUUGUUGCCUUGUUUGCUCUUCGACCGAGCUAGUGAUUAGGAAUAGGGUCUAGCGACGGGCUAUAUCUAUGUUUGGGAGCAUUCUGGAGGUGGUCAACAUAUUGAUGUUGAUUGGAGUCUGAACUUUGAAGACUUGUAUAGCCCAGAGCUAGAUUUCAGGAUAUUUGUAUGGUCAGUGUGUUUUCUUUUAGUUUCUUAGGGUUUUCAGAUGCACCCACACCACCCACUGUGGACUUUAGUCGAUUACUGAGUGCUGAGAGUUGUGAGAGCUUUCACCAUAGGAAACCCCCUGGGAUGUCGAGGUAGUGCAUGUGUGGAGGUGAUGACCACCUUGCAUGGAAGCGCCCCGUCUCUUCGGAGACGUGCAGAGGGUUGCGUACCGCCGGAGGGUAUGAUCGCUUCUGCUAGGGAUCCUUUAAAGUCCACCCAUACCCAUUUAGAGCCACCUUGACUUUGUAGGUUGAGCCGUAGAUCCUUCGAUUAGGACUCCCUUCCUACACGUGGGUGCAUCUGAGGGCCUUCAGAGCCUCUUUAGUUACAGUUCGGAUCCAGUAUUCCCUCUUUUUAGUCUCCAGUUGAGAGUGCUCGAAGAUCGGUAUGGGUUUGAGUAUCGGUUGGAUCACUUUUCGUCUGAUCGCCUUAGUUUGUGUUUUUCACUUGACGAGUUUAACAUGUUUUCUCGUUAGGGUUUUCGUUCUCAUUUCUUGGCUCGACACACCCCUUCACUUUGAUUAUCACUCACUCGAUACUUUGGGAUAUGUUCAUUGAUCAUCUUUUUACACUGCACACCUAUCACGGGCUCAGUACCUCAUUCUUUGUUUGAUCCUUGGUUCGAUUUUCGACCGAUGUGAUGACAGGACCAGUCACUGUUUUUGUUUUUGUUUGUUUAGUCUUGUUUUACUUUUGACUUUUAGAGACUAUAACUCGAUUCUUGAGUAUUGUCUUUGUUAUCCUUCUUUUGCAUGAUAUACUCAUCGGUUAUCCCAUUGGAUGUCUUUUUCUUUAUGGACAUAUGCUUGUGUUUUGUGAUAUGAUGUGUUGUUCUUUUUACUUGAGGCAUCUCUUCACUUACACAUUGUGAUCUUGAGGCUUGACCUAUCAUGGAGGAUAUUGAGCCUAUUAGCCUAGAAUCAGAGAUUUGACUCAGGAAGUUCGAGACUGUGACGCAUCUUCUUAUGAUCAGAGUAGUGCCUUGCUCACUUCCCGCAAUUUGACUCUGUUUUGACCUACAUCCAUCCAUUGUGAGCUUUGCACAGCACUACCCUUGAGACCAUUAUAUGACCUUCUCAUCCUCUAUUUUUUCUAGCUUUACACAUUCCCCCUCUAGUCCGACCAGGUAGAGAACGAGGAGUUUGACCCUAGGGUUGAUCUCACAUGACGAGGGUUAGCUUAUGAUCUUUGGGUGGUUUACGAUAUGAGGAUUGGUCGAUUGCUUGAUGAGACUGUCACUUAUUUUUUCGUGAGUACAAAGGUUGAUGUUGUAUGAUGAGAGUUGGCUUAUGAUGGGCAGUCGUGCCUGAUGAGAUCACCAUUCACUUUGCUUUGAGAGGAUCAUCUUUGAGAUUAUUAUGGAGCAUUCGGAGUAUGGUUGAUACAUGAUCCUAGAGGGAAGUUCAGACCCAACUGGAGCGGACCUUAUUUCAUCAGGGAGUUGACCCCAGAGGGCGCUGCAUGGUUGAUGGAUUUAGAUGGAAACCGAUUCUCAGAGCCAACCAACAUGGAUCAGCUAAAGAGGUACUAUGUUGGAGACCAUGGUCGCAGGAUGGGUGGCCAUCAUUUCGGUUAGCCAUAUGCCUUGUUAUUCCCUUUUUUGAUAUAUAGUCUGUUGCUAGCCCAUUGAGCCUCGCAUGCGAAUUAUAGCCUUUCUUUCUUAUCGCCUUGCUCACAUUUUCACACCGGGAUAGGGGCCCUUUAAUGUAUGCAUGCAUUGUUUGGUAGUUUCAUGAGCCUUGGACCUAGGGGCAUGUUUUUCUCAUUAUCUUUUCCUAUCACUGCACCUCUGCAUUUUCAUCUCAUCUUAUUGGUUAUGUUAUUUAUCUCUUCUUCCUUAUCCUAUCUACUAUUUGUUUGUUUCAUAUUUCUCUUCACCCUGGGUGGUGAUCCUCCUCAGUUCAUCACAUGGAGGAUAGUCACAUCAUUUCCACCAUCUAUCUCGCGGACACUGGUUUAGAGAUCCUUAGUUUGAGAAGGUCAUCUUGUUAGAGAGAGUUUGUUUGUUACCUUAGUACUUGGGGGUAUGUCCAUUUGUCAUUGAUAUCAUCUUUGGGGUUCAUUUGUUCACGUUCAGGGUACGUGUAUUUGCAUAUAUGUAAAAAAAAAAAAAAAAAAAAAAAAAAAAAAAAAAAAAAAAAAAAGAGAAAGAAAAAAAAAAGAAAAAGAUCAUUAUUAUUAUUAGCACAUGUGUGUAUGUGCAUAGUGUUCUCGAUCAUUGAGUAUGUAUAUUGAUGUCUGGGGGUCAUUUUUAUCGAGUAUGUUCGUUAUUGGGAGUUCGUAUGUGAGCUCUCUGAAAUCCCNNNNNNNNNNNNNNNNNNNNNNNNNNNNNNNNNNNNNNNNNNNNNNNNNNNNNNNNNNNNNNNNNNNNNNNNNNNNNNNNNNNNNNNNNNNNNNNNNNNNAGGACUCUGAGUCAUUGUCCUUUCCAUCAUUACAUUCAUUAUUGAUGUGACUUCACUUCAUGUUUGAUCUUAGUCGAUCACCAUCUUUCUUCAUAUAUUCAUUGUUCCGGUGUCAUUUUUAUCGUCACUUGUGUUUCACCUCAUUCACUUCACGUCUUAUUCUCUCCUUACAGCAACCCAUCUCGGGUUCGAUACUCACUUCGCAUCAUCGUUACACAUAUCACCAUCAGUUCAUUUUGUUUCAUUUGUCUCCUUACCGACAUCAUAUUCACGUUAGGCAUCCUCAGGUCCAUGGCUCAUGGGAUUCACUAUACAUGUUGCAUUUCAUAUAUGAGGGCAUGUUUUUCUGAUCAUUGGGUAUUUGGGCCUAGUUUCCUUUCAUUUCUGUUACCUUAUCACCUCAGCCUACGUUACGUCCUGUGUCUUAAGACCACCUUGAGGCCGUGGGAUCAGAUGUCGUCUUUGACAGCCUCUACUUGGAUAGGUGAUUGAGAUCUGAUUGACAUUUAGAUAUCGUCAUGCUUCUUCUUCUGGGAGUCACCUCUUUGAUGUGUAGGACUGAUUCAAUUGUGUUCGGAUUACCGGGAUCGUGAGUUUGAUGAUGAUUGACUUGGUGUCACCUGAUUUUUUUUGACCUGUCGUACCUCUGGUGCCACACUGCGGCAUAUCCCAUUUCAUUUGGAGGUUUAUGGAUCCUCACAGAUUUGCACGUUCAUUAUCACUUACUGGAUGCUCAUUGAGACGUGGACAUGAUCAUUACCUUACGGAGCCCCUGAGAUCCAUCCAGCUAGUUCCGCACUUCUCGACGCUUGGAUGCCAUCAUGCCUCUCCAUCUGGGAGGACAUCUUGGAUAUGUGUGCAUGAUUCAGUUAUGGAUUCGGAUGACCAGUGUUACAUGUGCGACGAUAGAUGAUUUCAUGACAUUUGUCAUUUGGACCCGUCGCGCACUUGAUGUCAUACUGAGGCAUAUUUCCCGUUUCAGAUGUGAUUUAUGGAUCUUCACUUAUGUUGCAUGAUCGAUGAUAGAUGAUUUCGUGUCGCCCGAUUUCUGACCUGUCGCGCACUUGAUGUCAUACUGGGGCAUAUUUCCUUUUCGAUUGAGAUUUACGAAUCCUCAUGGAGUUGCACGCUCAUCCCCACUUAUGAGGUACACAUUGACAUGAUGUUUCCACCAUGAAGCCUCUCGGGAGUUACCCAGUUAGGCCUGCACUUCGCGACGCUUCGAUGUCAUCAUGCUUUCCUUCCGAGAGACGCCCCUUUGAUCUAUGGGUCUGAUUCAGUUGUACACGUGGAUGACUUGGAUCGCGCAUUCGAUGAUGGGUGAUCUGAGCUCAUUUGGUUCUUUUGACCCAUCAUGCAUUGUGUUUGAUAGCUCUUAUGUGAGCGGUACUUGGGAUUGAUUCGAGAGCAUUCUGAUUGUGAUGGACCGGGAGUUAUGGUAUGACCUUACACUGGGGCAUAGCCAUCUCAGAGAGUUUUAUUAUCGGAUGACCAUUAUGUCGAGGCAUACUCUUCUCAGUCGAUGACGGAUUUUUGAGCCAUGUCCUUUCCUGGGAGGAUAUCAGAUGUCCUUUUUCACAUUGGAGCAUGAGACAUGAUUGGCGCGUUUCAUCUGGUGUAUUUUACACAGGGGCAUACCCCUUUCGGUCCAUGAUGGUUUUUAGGCAUAGUUGUUCCUUGGAGGCGAUUAGAUUCAUUUUACAUUGGAGUAUGAGAUAUGAUUGGGUGAUAUGUUUGAUGUGAUCACAAGAGCAUAGCCUUCUCAUCAUUGUUGACAUAUUUUUUAGAUGAUUGGAUCAGGACACAGACACUUAUGAGAGCAUGCAGCGGAGUUUAGUCAUUUCAGGGUUUGCCCUAUAUUGGGGCAUAACCCUUUCAUUGGCGGUUGAUCUUAGAGAUAUCAGUUCACAUUGGGACAUGCUCUUUAUUUGGGGGAGGUUAGAUAUUCUCUUCACAUUACCACGAUGGCUUUGAUGAGCAGAUGUUCAUUUUGAUCAGAUGAUGUAUGAUUGGUUGUACUCCUCUCAUUGAUGUUUGAUUCAGAGAUGCUUACACCGGGGCAUAGCCCACUCAUCGAUGAUGAUUUUGUGAGAUGACAGUUUAGGCCAGACACAUACUUCCCAGGGUUUAUCUUGCACUGAGAACUUAUCCAUUUUGAGAUGAUGCAUUCAUACUGGGGGCGUACCUACCUUGCUGAUUUUGACAUUGAGACUCCACUUCCUGUUUAUGAUCGCUGCUCUCGAUGGAUUAUAGUCAUUGGCACCCUGGGUUCAAUCUUCUUAACGUACUUGGUCCGACUUGGGUACCCACUUUCCUUUGUUACACACCCAUCCAUCCUACAUUGAACACCGUUAUACUUGCACCCAUCUUAUCAGAGCCUUACAUCUUUUGAGCCUACAUAUUUCAUCAUCUUACCUGACUUUAUCCCUUUCUCUUGAUCAGAGGAAGGUGUAGACUAGUCUUGAGCUUUCUGGUUGAGUUUUCACAUGCCUUUGGACAUUAGGUUCAACAUCUCUUAUGAUGGUAGGACCUAUCAGAUUUGUUGAUGCNNNNNNNNNNNNNNNNNNNNNNNNNNNNNNNNNNNNNNNNNNNNNNNNNNNNNNNNNNNNNNNNNNNNNNNNNNNNNNNNNNNNNNNNNNNNNNNNNNNNNNNNNNNNNNNNNNNNNNNNNNNNNNNNNNNNNNNNNNNNNNNNNNNNNNNNNNNNNNNNNNNNNNNNNNNNNNNNNNNNNNNNNNNNNNNNNNNNNNNNNNNNNNNNNNNNNNNNNNNNNNNNNNNNNNNNNNNNNNNNNNNNNNNNNNNNNNNNNNNNNNNNNNNNNNNNNNNNNNNNNNNNNNNNNNNNNNNNNNNNNNNNNNNNNNNNNNNNNNNNNNNNNNNNNNNNNNNNNNNNNNNNNNNNNNNNNNNNNNNNNNNNNNNNNNNNNNNNNNNNNNNNNNNNNNNNNNNNNNNNNNNNNNNNNNNNNNNNNNNNNNNNNNNNNNNNNNNNNNNNNNNNNNNNNNNNNNNNNNNNNNNNNNNNNNNNNNNNNNNNNNNNNNNNNNNNNNNNNNNNNNNNNNNNNNNNNNNNNNNNNNNNNNNNNNNNNNNNNNNNNNNNNNNNNNNNNNNNNNNNNNNNNNNNNNNNNNNNNNNNNNNNNNNNNNNNNNNNNNNNNNNNNNNNNNNNNNNNNNNNNNNNNNNNNNNNNNNNNNNNNNNNNNNNNNNNNNNNNNNNNNNNNNNNNNNNNNNNNNNNNNNNNNNNNNNNNNNNNNNNNNNNNNNNNNNNNNNNNNNNNNNNNNNNNNNNNNNNNNNNNNNNNNNNNNNNNNNNNNNNNNNNNNNNNNNNNNNNNNNNNNNNNNNNNNNNNNNNNNNNNNNNNNNNNNNNNNNNNNNNNNNNNNNNNNNNNNNNNNNNNNNNNNNNNNNNNNNNNNNNNNNNNNNNNNNNNNNNNNNNNNNNNNNNNNNNNNNNNNNNNNNNNNNNNNNNNNNNNNNNNNNNNNNNNNNNNNNNNNNNNNNNNNNNNNNNNNNNNNNNNNNNNNNNNNNNNNNNNNNNNNNNNNNNNNNNNNNNNNNNNNNNNNNNNNNNNNNNNNNNNNNNNNNNNNNNNNNNNNNNNNNNNNNNNNNNNNNNNNNNNNNNNNNNNNNNNNNNNNNNNNNNNNNNNNNNNNNNNNNNNNNNNNNNNNNNNNNNNNNNNNNNNNNNNNNNNNNNNNNNNNNNNNNNNNNNNNNNNNNNNNNNNNNNNNNNNNNNNGUACUGGGGCAUACCGCCUUUAGCGCUUUUCAACUGGAGCAUACCCCCUCUCUCUUUGGGUUUACCGUGUCUCGUGUUGAUUUCAUGGUUGUCAGACCCAUUUUGUCGAUCUUUACGAGUUAUCACCUAGGGCAUUCCCCUUACCGUCAGUUUGUUUAGGGCAUCCCCCUAUUGUCGUCUCGUUUGGGGCAUCCCCCACUGUCAUUUACGUUUGGGGCAUCCCCCCACUGUCAUUUACGUUUGGGGCAUCCCCCACUGUCAUUUCGUUUGGGGCAUCCCCCCACUGUCAUUUACAUUUGGGGCAUCCCCCCACUGUCAUUUCGUUUGGGGCAUCCCCCCACUGUCAUUUACGUUUGGGGCAUCCUCCCACUGUCAUUUCGUUUGGGGCAUCCCCCCACUGUCAUUUCGUUUGGGGCAUCCCCCCAUUAUCAUUUUGUUUGGGGCAUCCCCCCACUGUCAUUUCAUUUGGGGCAUCCCCCCACUGUCAUUUACGUUUGGGGCAUUCCCCCACUGUCAUCUCGUUUGGGGCAUCCCCCCACUUUCAUCUUGGUUAGGGGGUAUUUCCAUUUUGUUUAGGGCAUCCCCCUUUAUUUUAGUUUUAUCACCACCAUGGAUUUUCAUCCUUGGGCUUUCAGUUAUUUCACCACCAUAGAUCGGACAUCUAUGGACUUUGAUCAGUUUGUCACCACCAUGGAUUUUCAUCCUUGGGCUUUCAGUUAUUUCACCACCAUAGAUCGGACAUCUAUGGGCUUUGAUAAGUUUUUCACCAUCAUAGAUUUUCAUCUAUGAGCAUUUAUUUCAGUUAUAUCACCACCAUAGAUCGGGCAUCUAUGGGAUCUAUGGGCAUUUCAGUUUUCACCACCAUGGAUUUCCAUCCUUGAACUUUCGAGAUUAUCACCACCAUGGAUUUUUAUCUGUGGGCAUUUGGGAGUUUCACUACCAUAGAUUGGCAUCUAUGGACUUUUUUUAUUGUAUCAUCGUCAUAGAUUUUUAUCUGUGGGCUUUCGAGAUUAUCACCACCUUAGAUCGGACAUCUAUGGGCAUUUUUAUUGAAUCACCACCGUGGGUCUCCACCUAUGGUCCUUCUAGUUUAGUGUUUAGAAUUAGCUUUAUGGUUUGGCUUCCAGAACUAUUAUUUUCUAGUUUAGUGUUUAGAGUUAGCUUUUCGGUUUGGCUUCCAAAGCUAUUAUUUUCUAGUUUAGUGUUUAGAAUUAGUUUAUUGGUUUGGCUUCCAAAGCUAUUAUUUUCUCAAUUUGACGUUCAGAGUCAUCAUCAUCACUUCUCAGCUUCGGCGUUCAGAGCCAUCAUCACUUUUUAGUUUCGGCGUUCAGAGCCAUCACCGUGUUUUCAGAUCGACAUUCAGAGUCGCAUCCUCGGUUUCGGCGUUCAGAUUCGUUAUCACUUCUCGGCUUGACGUUCAGAGUCAUCAUCAUCACUUCUCAGUUUCGGCGUUUAGAGCCAUCAUCACUUUUUAGUUUCGGCGUUCAGAGCCAUCACCGUGUUUUCAGUUCGGCGUUCGGCGUUCAGAGCCAUCAUCGGUUUUCAGAUCGACAUUCAGAGCCAUUCUCAUCACAUUUUCAGUCUCGGCGUUCAGAGCCAUCGUCACUCCUCAGUUUGACGUUUAGAGUCGUAUUCCUAGUUUCGGCGUUCAGAGCCAUCAUUAUCGUUUCUCAGUUUCAGCGUUCAGAGCCAUUAUUACUCCUCAGUUUGACCUUCAGAGUCGCAUUCCUGGUUUUGGCGUUUAGAGCCAUCACCGCAUCUUCGUUCGGCGUUCCGAGCCAUCACUUCUCAGUUUGGCGUUCAGAGCCAUCUUCGUUCUCAGUUUUGGCGUUCAGAGCCAUCACUAUUUUCAGUCUGGCGUUCAGAGUCGUCAUCACUUCUCAGUUUGGCGUUCAGAGUCAUCAUCGUUCUCAGUUUUGGCGUUCAGAGCCAUCACCGCAUCUUCGUUCGGCGUUCCGAGCCAUCACUUCUCAGUUUGGCAUUCAAAGCCAUCAUCGUUCUCAGUUUUGGUGUUCAGAGCCAUCAUCGCUUUUCAGUUUUGGCGUUCAGAGCCAUCACUAUUUUCAGUUUGGCGUUCAGAGCCUUCAUCACUUCUCAUUUUUGGCGUUCAAAGCCAUCAUCGCUUCUCAGUUUUGGCAUUCAUAGCCAUCAUCGCUUUUCAGUUUUGGCUUUCAGGAGCCUUCAUAGCUUUUCGGUUUCGGCGUUCAGAGCCAUCAUCAUCACUUCUCAGUUCUGCGUUCAGAGCCUUUCUCAUCGCUUCUUAGUUUCGACAUUCAAAAAUCAUCACCGUUCACAUUCAGGCGUUCAAAGCUAUCAUCCACAUUCAGAGUCACAGCUCCUAGUAUUCAUGUUCGCUAGCAUUACGCAUCCUGUCUUCACGAUUUUUACAUUCGUCCUCAUUUUCCUUACCUCGUUACCCUAUGCUCAUCGCUCAUUCAUCAUGCUCUUCUAGACCUCUCUUCCCUCUACUUUAGGGCAUCCUCUUACCUUUAUUUUGUUAGGGCUUCCCCAUACUUUUAGUUUGUUCAGGGCAUUCCCCUUUCUCGUCACUUUGUUUAGGGCAUCCCCUUACUGUCGCUUCGUUUAGGGCAUCCCCCUACUGUCGCUUUUGUUUAGGGCAUCCCCCUACCUUUAGUUCGUUUAAGGCAUCCCCCUACUUUCAGUUUGUUUAGGGCACCCCCCUUUCCUGUCGCCUUGUUUGGGGCAUCCCUCUUGUUUACUUUGUUUAAGGCAUCCGCCCACCGUAGGUCUUCACCUAUGGGCCUCCUAGUUUAGCUUUUAUAGUUAGCCUUUUGGUUUGGCUUCCAGAGCUAUUAUUUUCUAGUUUAGCGUUUAGAGUUAGCUUUUUGGUUUGGCUCCCAAAGCCGUUGUUUUUCUCAGUUUAGCGUUUAGAGUCAGUCCCAUCAUUCAGAGUUACAGCUCCUAGCAUUCAUAUUCACUGGCAUUGCACAUCUUACCUUCAAGGUUUUGCGUUCGUCCGCGGUUUUCCUCACUUCGUUACGCGGUGCUUAUCGCAUAUUCAUCUCGUACUCUAGGGUGAUUUGACCGUUACUCAUCUUUGAUAUGGUUUUUCGAGUCAUUUUUGGAGACGUCUUAGAGGGAGCCUAGGUCCUUAAUGUAGCUUUAGAGGCGCUUUGGGACAUCUUUUUCUCUGUUAGGGUUAGAGCCUUUGUGUUCAUCUGUUGGCUUGAGUGAGUUCUUAUUUUACUAGUGUCACUAUGGGGGUCUCCUUGGUUCUUCGGUAGAGUUCACUUCAUUCCACUCACUAUUCACAAUUUCUUUUCACUCUAGUGUUCAUAUUCCUUGCACUCGUGAACUCUAUCAAAGAGGGGCAUAUUUGUAGACCCCCUCAGUAGCAGCAGGUUUCUUUUUUUUAGAUUAUUAUUUUAUUCCCCUUUCUUUUGCUUUGUUUUUUUCGCUCUCUUCUUCAGAACCCGAGAAUGAGCUGGGGGUGGCAGCCAAAACAGGGCGGCCAUAGGACGAGAUGGGCAGGUUUUUUUACGGCGAGAGGGGACGGGGGUACGAAGAUGGUUGGGAGGGGAAGUUAAGAAAAAAAAAAAGAGGAAAAAGAGAGGAGAUAUCUCGUGAAAGGGGGGAAGCUGAGGAGAAACACGGGCCUGCAGGCUGGGAAGAGAGCCGGGGUGGGAAUUUCGGGUCCGAAGCUUGAGGAGAAGAGGUUUGAAGAAGUGACAAGAGAGAGAUUUGCGAGAGGGUAGAAAUGGGCGUCUCAAGCUGAGUUGAGGAGGAGUUUGAAGCUUCGGUCCAGGUAAGAUUUCUGCAUGUUUUAUAUACCUCAUUUUAGUUUGCUUUUUUCUAUUUCUUGUUAAUUUCGGUUCCUGCUUGGUGUUUAUUAUAUGGAUGGCGAGGCAUAUGAUGCGUUAGAGAGUGUGUGUAUUGGAUUGAGAUCAAUUAAAAGGGUGGAAAAGAUGUCUAAUUAUAUGAUUAGUAGUGGGUUUGGUCCGGAUGAGUAUUUGGGGAACAAGUUCUUGUUGAUGCAAGUAAAAUACGGGAUGAGGAUUGAUGCACAUGGAUUGUUUGAUGAAAUGCCAAUAAAGAACAUUUUAUGUUUUUUUUAACACCCCUGCACAUGAUUCUCCCAUUCAUAUUAUAUUUGCUUCAAAUCCCGGAAGCGACCCCCACUAGCGACGUUGAGCCGAAGCUCCUUGCCGGCGGCGACGAAGAGAAUGACAGGUUGCAAGCUUGCAUGGGGAGGUGCCUACAGCUGCUAUUGGUCUUGGAGGUUUGGGCCCCCAUGAUAGUGGAUUUGGGCCUGAGGUGAAGCCCCAAACCCAAAUAUGAUGGUGAAAAGGCUUGAGUCCUUUUGCUAACGGAUGUGGGCUUGGGAUGAAGCCCAAAUCCGAGCUUGAUGAUGGAAGGCCCCCAUGAUUUGUCCAUCCACUUUAAGACCGACCCAUACUUAUUUCAAGCUGGCCCAUCUGGUUGUUUCCACCUUAUAUAUUUCACCUUCUCUAAAUCACUCAUUUCUCAAUAAACUCUUUAAUUUCUAAUUUCCAAGCCCAACUUACAAAAAUUCAAUCUCCAAAUGACACUUCAAAAUUCAGAUUUUUAAUGUUUAAUUCCGAUUUCCGAAUUCUCAUAUUCCCAUUAAUUUAUUUGAUCAUUAGUAUUUCAUUUAUUUAUUUCAAAGCUCCAUUCUAAAUCAAAUUCUUCUAAAACUUCUGAUUACCGAAUUAAAUUCAAAAAAUUCCAAUAUUCGCAUUAAUUUAUUAUUGUUAUUUUAUUUAUUUAUUCUAAAAUUCCAUUUUAAACAAUUCAUUAAAAUUUCCGACUUUCGAAUUAAAUUUCUAUUUCUGAAAAUUCCAAUAUUCACAUUAAUUUAUUUAAUUAUUAUUAUUUUAUUUAUUUAUUCUAAAAUUCUAUUUUAAACAAUUCAUUUAAAAUUUUCAACUUCCAAUUUUAAUUUCUAAUUCUGAAAAUUCCAAUAUUCACAUUAAUUUAUUUAAUUAUUAUUAAUUUAUUUAUUUAUUCUAAAAUUCCAUUUUAAACAAUUCAUUAAAAUUUCCACUUCCGAUUUUAAUUUCUAAUUCUGAAAAUUCCAAUAUUCACAUUAAUUUAUUUAAUUAUUAUUAUUUUAUUUAUUUAUUCUAAAAUUCUAUUUUAAACAAUUCAUUUAAAAUUUUCAACUUCCAAUUUUAAUUUCUAAUUCUGAAAAUUCCAAUAUUCACAUUAAUUUAUUUAAUUAUUAUUAUUUUAUUUAUUUAUUCUAAAAUUCCAUUUUAAACAAUUCAUUAAAAUUUCCACUUCCGAUUUUAAUUUCUAAUUCCAAAAAUUCCAAUAUUCACAUUAAUCUAUUUAAUUAUUUUAUUCUAUUUAUUUAUUCUAAAAUUCCGUUUUAAACGGUUCAUUUAAAACUUUCGAUUUUCGAAUUAAAUUUCUAUUUCUGAAAAUUCUAAUAUUCACAUUAAUUUAUUUAAUUAUUAUUAUUUUAUUUAUUUAUUCUAAAAUUCCAUUUUUAAACAAUUCAUUAAAAUUUCCACUUCCACUAAUUCCAAAAUUCCAACAUUCACAUUAACCUAUUUAAUUAUUAUUAUUUUAUUUAUUUAUUCUAAAAUUUCAUUUUAAACAAUUCAUUAAAAUUUCCGACUCUCGAUUUAAUUUCUAAUUCCAAAAUUCAUAUUAAUCUAUUUAAUUAUUAUUAUUUUAGUUAUUUAUUUUGAAAUUCCAUUUUAAACAAUUCUUCAAAAUUCCAAUUUCUGAACUUAAUUUCUGAUCUCCAAAAUUCUAAUUUCUUUCAAAUUUAAUAUCCAAAAUUCUAAUUCUUAAAUUUAAUUUUUCAAGACUCCAAUCUUCAAAUAAUUUUCGAGGCUCUAAUUUCCAAAUAAAUUUCAAAAAUCCAGUUUUCUCUCGAAUAGCUUUAAUUCCACUCCGAUUUUUAAAUAAUGUUCUAUUUCUUUUGAUUUUUACACAAGCAAGAAUGAUGAAUCUUCAUAAUUCCGAAAUAAUGGGAUUCGUGAGAUUAAUUCGUGCAAUAUAAAUCGGGCUUUGGUGGGGCCCCACAUAUUUGAUUUUAUGACUGACUGAUUGAUUAAUUGAUUUAUUUACCAUGCUUGUUUGAUUUAUUUUGUUCCUUGAUAUGCACGUAAUUAUAUCUAUUCAUUGUUCACUAACCUUGUUUUAUGAUAGCGCAUGGUGGCUCACUGCCCAGGUACAUAUCUAUUCCCAUUCUGGUAUUUCUAUAUGCGUGCUUUGAUUCUCAUAUGUGCAUGAUAGUUCCGGGUAUUCAUUGAUUUCUUCAUCAAUUGCCAUGUCAACUUCAUUCUAUUAGUAGAGACCCGACUUUAGGGACUUAGAGGGGUGCUACGGUCUUCACCGUACCUUCCCGAUAAGUAACCUGACCUCCGAACCCGAUCCGGUUUUUCGUAGAUCACCUUUUCCAAAUAAGGAGUCAAACUUAGGGUUUUUCUUUCUUAUUUUGUUUACCCUUUAAAAAUAAAACAAAAAUAAGUGGCGACUCCAAAUCAUUUUUCUUAAUCAAAUAAAAAUCAAUUUUUCAAAUAAAAAUCGAGCUCGCCAUCGAGUGGGAAACGCAUGAACCGAAAUGCGGGGUCCACAGGUAUAUUUAUCCGUUACUAUUUCAUAUCCUUCAACUCAAUUUGAAGAGUUAUAGGGACCUUUUGUUAAUUUGGGGUCCAUCUACUCCAAAAGAUAAUUCUCUCUCAAAUGAAAAACCUACUUAAUAGCCCAACCCCAACCCUAGAGAGAUUUAAAACAAUCUCAUCCUUAGAUUAUGAAUAUAUAUCAACUUGAUUCUUUCACAGACAUGAAAUAAUAUUAUUUUUUUCCUUAGAAAAACAUUAUCAAUUUUUUUAUCCUCACUCCUAAUUAUUAUUUUUACAAAAUGCCCCCUUAUAUGUUUCAUUAAAUGGAAAUAACGAGAAGAAAUUAAUAAUAAGAAAUGAAUGGAAAAUUAGAGAAAAAUCAAGAAAAUCAUUUUUUUUUUAAAAGAAAAAGUUAUUAUAAAAAUACAUAGAAAGUGUUGAUGUCAUAUUAUCAGGUUCAGAGUUGUUUAUGUCACAAUGCCACUCUUCACAUGCUAUUGUUAGGUUUAUGGUUGUAGUGGCUUAUACAUGACCCAUCAAUUGACUUCGAUUUUGUUUCUUUAUUAUACCUAUAUCCUUGAAGAAAAAGUCUUAAUAGUGUGUUCCCUAUUCACUUUUCGGACGACAUGACAUGAAAUAUUAUAAUUUAUGUCAAACAACAAACAAACAAACAAGGUUAUAUUUAAAGUAUUUAAAGAGUGCAGGCUAUUUUUUUUCAAAUUCAGAAUUAACUUCAACUUCCCCACUUAACCAAAAUUUCCUGAAUAUAAAUAAAAAUUAUAAACUUGGAUAAAAAUAAAGUGAGGGUAGGAGAGGCCCCCUAAAAUUAAAGGCAGUGUCUGUGUGAGUGGUGGGCCUUGACAGCUGUGGACAUAAACAUCCUGUGAAUUUCUUGGCUGUUUUAUUGAUUAAAGAUGACCCAACUGGGGCUUGUUGGAUCACACAUUCAUUGUUUCCCAUCCUCAAUUUUUAUCACUCACCUCAUAUUCCAAAACAAAUCACAAAUCAAAAGUCAAUUCUCUUAAUGGGAUUGCCGGAUUGGACUCUCUUGUGUAAUGGUUUUCUUUUCAACCACCCAGUACUCAUUUCCAUUAUUAGCUCUUACCAAUUUUCGGGUCAUUUUUCUUCUGCUUACCCCUUCCAAAUAUUUCCAACUCAAAGUCAUGAAGAAGUCAGGACCCCUUUCUAGUUUGUCCUUGAACUUUGUCUCAGAGACAAAAAAAGAAAAUAACAAUAACAAUGUCUCUCAUAUAUUCUGAAACCUGAAAACCACCACGCAUUGAAACCCUAGUUUCACGAGGACUAUGAAGAAGAAAUAAACCAAAAAAAUAAGCAAGUGAACAUAGAUAGAUAAUACAUAUAUAUAUAUAAAGCCAUAUUAUUGCUAAUCCGCAUGCAUCAAUUUCAUACCCUAGGCUUAAUCUUGGCCCUUAGAGGGUUCUUCAUCACCACUGUGAAUUCCAACUUUUCACUAAAAUCAAUCUUACUGUUUUCAGGGUAUGCGCUCCACUCGAAGUCCUGCACCAUCCUUGCCAGCAUUAGGUUCACAUGCACGGUGGCCAUGCUCAAACCAGGGCAUAUCCUUCGCCCUACUCCGAAUGGCAUCAUUUUUACGCCGGUCACUCCGGUUAUAUCGGCGUCUUCACCGCCCAAGAAAAAGCGGUCGGGGUCGAACUUUUCGGGAUUCUUCCAUAGCUUGGGGUCCUCGGAGAUGGGUGGCAAGAAGAACUCGACAUUUGCGUCUGUGGGUAUGUCGUAGCCUGCCAACUUCGCUGGCUCUGUGACUGCAUGAGUUAGGGAAAAGUAGGUGGGAGGGUGUUUACGUAGUAGUUCUUUUGAAACUGCGUUUAGGUAAGGCAUCUUCUCCAUGUCUUUCUCUUGAACCUUACGAUCACCCACUGUUGUUUUGAUCUCUUCGUAUAGUUUUGACUGAAUCUCGGGGUUCUCGAUCAUUCGGGCAAUUGCCCACUCGACCGCCGUCCCUGUUGUGUCGGUGCCGCCAUUGAGGAACUCGGAGCAGAGUGUGACGAGCUCGGGGUUGGUUGGAGAUGAUUUACGCCCCUCGAUUUUGAGAUCGAAGAUCGUGUCGAGGUAGGAAAAUGAAGCCGCGGUUUUAUCUGAUCCUGGGUUUUCAAGCGCCGCACGCCGCCUCUCGAUGAAGGGGACAACAGUUUUGAUCUGCCUCUUCCGCACUUCCGUGGCGGCUUUCCUCUGCUUUGAGAAGAAUGGGCUUAGAAGUGGGAGAUAGUCAUCAAGUCUUGGAUCAAGAGUGAUUAGAACAGUUUUCAUCAGAUCAUCCAUCACCUCAAUGGUCUCCUCAUCCAUUUCGACUCCAAAACACAUAGACAAAAGGAUGCAAAAAACAGCAAAUCGAGCAUUCUUCAGAACCCAAACAGCUCCAUCAUUAGCCUCAGCCUCGCUCCGUAGCCUGUCAAUGAGCUUAUCCAUGGACACAUCUCUCAAAUUGCUGAACUCCCUAAUCUUGCUUGCACUGAGCAUGUUUUGCACCAUGUUCCUCCGCAGCGACCGCCAGACAGGGCCGUAGACGGCAGCGUUCACCGUGAACUUGUUGCAGCUGAACACGGUGCGCGUAGGGUUUUCUCGAGGCCUGCUAGCGAAAGACUGGCCCUUUUCGAUGAGAGCUUCGUGCGCCAAUUCUGCACUGCUUAUUAUGAUCAUGGUUCUAUUCCCCAUCUUCAAAGUGAAAAUUGGGCCAUAUUUUGGCCUAAGCUCUCUCACAUACUGAAAAAAUUGCUUCCCAGAGCGAGCAAAUUGGAAGAGGUUUCCAACAAUAGGCCAACCAGGGGGUCCCGGAGGAAGGUUUAGCUUCUUUGACUUGGUUUUACGUGACAGCAAGACGAUCAGACCUGAUAUGAGGAAGGCUAAAGCAGUGAAGAAGAUGUGGUAGUAAGGAGAAUAAGUCGAAGAAGCAGCAGCAAAAGCAGGAGCCAUGGAGAUGGUGUUGAGACAGAGAAAGAGAGAAGGCAGGAGGAGAAGAGGAGAUGAAGUAAUGGAGGAAGGUUGGAGAGGGGUAUAAAAUGGAGAGGGCGUGAAAUUGCAGGUGGGGUUCAAUUAAGGCUCUUCAAGUCUUCUACCAACGCACAACUGGUUGUGUUAAAUGCUAAAGAGAGAGAGAGAGAGAGAGAGAGAGAGAGAGAGAUGGGGUUUUGAGAAAUAUGGAAAACCAGUGACACUGACGCCCCUCAUGCAAGCAAUGUCUUUAUGGCCACAAAUUUCUUAUUGUCUCUCAAAUUUGAACUAAAAAAUUAGACUAAAUUAAGAGUUUUGGUAAGGUUGAAGAAAUUUAUGGUGGCCCUCUGAAUCUGGUGUGCCAAGCCUUUGAUUGGGAUUCAUUGAAUAAAAACGGUUCAUAAAUGAACUCUACCCUUGAGUCGGAGGCCACUACUGGAUGGAGCAUUUCACAGUAAGAAAAAAAAAACAGAAAAUAAAUGGAGUUGGGGUUGGAAAAUGGUGAGUUACAGUCUUUUAGUACUUGCAUCUACUGCUGAAACUUGACCUCAAAAGGAUUAAUUGAUUCAUGAGAGUAGGAGGUGUAGACUACAGAGUCUGUCAUGGUUCACAGUUCAAAGAGAUUGAAAUAUCGAGGAAGAGAAUGAAAAGAGAGUCAGUGAUGAGUUAGUUGAGUAGGAUCAGAGCCACCUGUACAAUAAUACCAUGUAGACCAGCACUGCGACGGGACUGAGAUUCAUCUCAUCUGUCACUAGUCAGUCAUGGUACAUUAGCUUAUUUUGAUUUAAACUGCUUUACGUGUUCCAGGUUCGUACACCAUUUUGCCUUAUUUGGAGCCCAUGGUUUGCUUUAAAGAAUUGAUUUUCUCUUUAAUUCUCCUCUUAAUAUGCCUUAAAGAGUGCCAAAAAAAUAAAAAAAAUUCACUAACCUUUUCUCUCAAAAAACGGUUUCUCAAAACAGUUUUUAAAAACAUUCUCUCAUGUUUUUUUUUGUUAACACAAAAAAUUGUCCCAAACCGAAAAUAUUCUUAAUAUAUUUUGUAUGUUUUCAUAUAUUUCUUAAAGGUAAUUAUUUUUGUUAAAGUUUGGUUAUUUGAAUUCUAUUUGAUCAAACUUGAAAAGCCCGUGGUACGAUACAUAUGAUGAAAUUAUAAUUAUGAGAUUUUUUUGGAGUUUUAUAAUAGUAAUAGAGAAAUUAAGAGAGUGUUUGAUACUAAUUCUAUGAAGUAUUUUUAAUCUUUUUAAUAUAUAAAUUUUUUUAUCUUUUAAGUAUUAAAAAAAAGUAGAAAGAUAUUCUAAAAUCAUUAUCAAACAUACUUUAAGUGUGGGAUAAUGUAAUUUUAGAAUUAUGAUGAUUAUGCUUUUUUGUAAUUGCUCCCAAUCUUAUGAUACUUUUUUGAUAUAAUGAAUUUUUUUUAUUUUGUUUAUGAUUUUUCUUGUUUAGAGUUUUUCACAUAAAUUUAUAUAUUUUUAUUCUAUUUUUAACUACCUAUUCUCAUUAUUGUGGAACAUUUUUUAUUUUUAAAAAUAAAAAAUAUAUAUAUUUUUAAAAGAAGCUCGCAAAGAGGAUUGUCAAAUUCAGUGAAAAUUGAAUUCCAAGUGGGGAGAAGGCAUCCAUCCAGCACAGUAAGAGUCCAAUAAAUGGCACCCAUGACAAAGGGCAUAGGGUCGGAAGGAUUGUGAUUGAAGAUGGGGAUUAUUUUCUUCUUUUAAAAAUAAACUGACUGACAAGAAACUCAACAGUUGCAAGUACUUCUACUACUUCUUUCCUGAAAUAUAAAAAUAGGUUUGUUUGUCUGCAUAGUUUUUUAAUUUACUGUUGAAAACAAAUUUUAAAAUUAUUUUCUGACUGAAUCAAUUUCAGAAGACUUGUCACGAUGAUUCAAAGAUUGCAAGGACUUCUACCAUUGAAACAUCCGAAAACAAUAUGAUGGUCCUUUCUCUUUUGCCUUCGAAAAUAGUUAAAGAUAUGUUAUUUUAAAAAAAAAUAAAAUUAUGUUUAUUUUCAUUGACAAAAUUAAUAGACCCAAAAUAUUAGAAUUAUUAGUAUAUACUUAUACUUGGGCAUAAGUUUUGUCCAACGAAAUGUUGAAAAAGAAUCCUCCAUGCUCACAUUAAAAUCCCAAAGAAAAUACCUCAUGAUAAGAAGAAAAUUGUUAGUUAGAUUACUUAUAAUUUUUUUUAAAAAUAAUUUUAAGAAAAAUCUUGAGGGUAAUAGAAAGGAGGGGAAAUCAUGCAACCAUCCAUUAUCUAAAAAAAAAAAAUUGCUUUUUAAUAUAGACUUCAUCGAUCACCUACAAAACUAAGCUUUAUAGCACAUACUUCAUAGUAUAUAAAGGAAAAGCUAAUCAUAUUUAAUAGAAGAGGUUGAAAGAAUUUUCCAUUUAAACAAACAUCCAAGAUAAUAUUCUCAAUUCUUGAUUCAUAAUAAGAUGGUAUAUAAUAUUAAUUAAUUUGUGAGCUUCCACAAAGAUAUUAUGUUUGUUAGUGUGUGUAUUACAUUGCCUAUGAUUAACAAUUUGAAUACAUAUAUAUCCUGAGAUCUAGUCAUUAGUGGGAUCCAUUCCUGCUAAGGUUCUAUGUAUUGCUCAUCUUGGGUUUGUUUGUGAGCUCUUGUCUAGAGUGAAGUAUAGAUUAAUUAAUACAAUUUUUUCAUAUUUUGUUUUGAAAAUAUAUUAUUUUUAAAAUUAAAUAAAGAUAUUUUUCAGUGUUUUUUUAAAGUAACGUUAUAAAGAAUAUUUUGAACAAUUUUAGAUUGUAAAUAAAUACAUUAUAGCUUUAUAGAAUGUAAGCUGAAAAUAAUAAUUUUUAUAUUUAAAUUCUCAAAUAGAAUUUUAUUCUUAAAGAUAAUUGAAAAUUGUUUUUAAAAAAUGUCUUUCAAUAUGUUUUACACACAAUUUUUUCUUCAAGAAAAAUCAUGCUCAGUGGAAUUGGAUUUUUAUUGAUUUGUAGAAUGAUAUUGGAAUAAUCUUUAAAUUUUUCAUAUUUAAAUUCUUAACAAAAUUUUAUUUCUCAAGAAAAUUGAGAAUUGUUUUUAAAUAGUGUUUUUAGAUAAUUGGUCAAGUUGGAUUUUUAUUAAUUUGAAAAAUGAUAUAGCUAGAAUUUUUAUUUUGUUCUCCAAUUCUUCAUUUCCUAGUUGUUAAUCAAGGACCAAAAAAUGUUUGAUUUAGAAUAGCUUAAACCUAAUUUAGACCUUGACUUAAUUUAAUUUUGAGUCUUGACUUAACAUAGAUUCCGACUUAAUUUGGAUAUUGAUCGAAUUCGAACCUAUGUUUAACUUAGGUUUUGGUGUAACUAGGACCUUGGCCAAACUUGAGUUUUGGCUUGACUUAAACAACAUCAAGGACUUUGAGUAGUUUGAUCUCAAAUUGUAGAAGCCUUUUGUAGAUUUUCAUUUUAAAAGUUGAAACUUAAGACUUUGAAGAUCUUAACAAUUCAAAGAUACUUUAAAAAAAAUUGAAGACUUAUAUCUCAUUUUAAUUUUGAAAUAGUGUUGAAUCUCCCAUAAAGAGUUUCCUCUAACUCUUAUCUUCUAAAUUGUCUUUAAAUUACCUUGUCAAUGCUUUGCAGUUGGUUUAAGUUACAUGGAUUAGAAAAAAUCAUAUUUAGAUCAUUUUUUAUUUUUUAUAAAUAUUAUUUCUUAAUUAAAAUAAAUAUAUAAGGAGAUUUGAAGGACUAUAUUGGAUAGUUUCAACAUUUUAAAAUAUUAUUCUUUAAAUUAAAAAUAAUAUCUAAGCUAAAUUGAAAGACUAUAUUUGAUAACAUUCAAUUUAUUUCUUAGUAAAACUUGAUAAUUAUUUUUUCGAUUAUCAAUUUACUAUUUCUAUUAAUUCUAAUAACUUUUCUUUUCUUUCGGUUUUUCUUUUUUUUUUUGGAGAUUCAUGCUAACUUUUUCAUGGAUUGAAAAUUUAUUUCAUGUGAUCACUUAUAAUUAACCACAAUAUAAAUCAAUUAUGAACAUUUGAUUUUUCUUGUGAAUUAUAAUUAACUUAAUUUGAGUAUAUAAUAAAAAGUUGUUCAUAAACACAAGUGUACACACAAAUUUUCGCGAAUUGUCUACAAUCUCUGUGAUAAUAUUCUUUACAAAAGAAUAUAUCCCUCUGGUUCUUUCACUUUGAUCACAAUUUGGAAGACGACAAUGAUGUUUUCUUGAUUUCGAAGAUCAGUUAAGGGUCAUAAGUGACUUAUUCUCGAAUGAACUUGUUGAAUGACAAAGCUCGCGUGUGUAGAACUUUUAUCGUUUCUUGAAAGGGAGAUUUUUGUGAAACCCUUUUUUUUAUGAAGCAUCUUUUCCCCUAUAGAGUAGUUUUUUGCCAAUCUAAAGAAGUCCAUACGUCGAAGGAAAUCACCCAUUUUUAUAGGUGAAAAUAGGAAAUCAAAAUUUGGAAUUCCCUAAGAUGUAGUUGCUUGAUUUUAACAACUUGUCUUCUCCAUUAAGGAAAUUUGUCAACAAGAGAAUAUAUAUAUAUAUAUAUAUAUAUAUAUAUAUUUUGACUUCAAGAGGAAUAUUUGUUUCUUUAAAAAAAAAAAAUUGUCAAUUAGAGAAUAUUUAUUUAUUUAUUUUUUAUUUUCUUUUGACAAUAAUUUGGAAGAUUUGAUUUUAUUUGGAAGACUAAAUUUUGUAGUCUUCCAAAUUGGUCCACAUGCCACCUUUUUAACAUAUGCCAAGUGUCAAAUAUGUGUAAGACCAAUCAUGUGUAGAUCCCAUAUUUUGUUGAAUCGAGGAGUCACAUUUUUUUUAAGAUCAAUUUAAUGAUAAUUUAUUUCACUAAAAAUUUUUAUGUCUACAAAUGCUCCCACUUCAAGACAUAUCACGUACAUGCCUUGCAAUGUAUAUGGUGGGUCUUGAAGUUACUCUUCAAAAUUUUUCUUUUCAAAGAAAUAUUUUUAAUAGGAAGUUUCCUAUUUAAAAUAUCUCUUUCCCACUUUUCUGAAAUAUUAUUUUAUUUCAUUUCUUUCUUUCCAUUUGGCAUCAAAGGAAGGUUUUGUGUUAAUAGGAAAGUUUCUAUUUUGACUAUCCACUUUCACUUCCCAUCCUUUCCAAUUUACCCCCUUUAUAUAUAUAUAUAUAUAAAGGGGGUAAAAAUUUGAGAAAUCCAAAUCGAACUCUCUUGAAGAAUUUUCUCAAUCUUUGGACAGUCUUCAACCCAAUUUGAAAAAUCUGACUUGAAUUCUUUCACGAGAAGUCUUUCACCUUAAGCCAAUUUCCAAACCCGUAAGUUGUAUUUUAUUUUAUUUUUAUUUUUAUUUAUUUUUACCUUUAAGGACUUCUAUCGUGGGAACGUGGAGAUUUAACAAUAGUAGUGUGGACUAGUAUCAUGUGAUGGAGUAGCAUGUUUUGGGAGUGAACGAAGACAAUAUCAUGUUGUGGGUUAUGCAGAAGCAACCAACAUAUACAUAUAUGUAUACGUACAUAUGAAUGGCUAACAGUGGGAACAAACAAAGAAAGCAAUUGAAAUAUAUAUAAAUAAAUAUAUAUAUAUAUAUAUAUAUAUAUAUAUAUAUAUAUAUAUAUAUAUAUAUAUAUAUAUAUAUAUAUAUAUAUUGGAAUCUUCCUAGAAAUUGGUUGACACGUGAUCUCCUUAUUCGUUUUUCUUUUCUUUUCCUUACUUUUUUUUCUUUUUUUUUUCUUUUUUUUUUAGGAAGGAAAAGUUCCACGAUCCCAAAGACGUGUCAAUCUCCAUCGCUUUGCAAAGAUGAAUUUGGCUUUAGAUAUUUUAUAUAUAUAUAUAUAUAUAUUUUAAUUACCUUAACACUUGAGGAAGAAUUUUUUUGGUAAACUUAAAUAUCCAUAAGAAUUUAUGAAUAUUUAAAACUUGAUCCUCAUGUAAUCAAGUUGUAGUCCUUAUGUGAAGCAGUGUUGUAUUUUGACAUUUAUAUGCUAAAGUCUUCACCCAUGCAGAUUGCCUUGACUUAAAUGUAUAGUGGUGUUCAAGUUUUAAUAUUUAAUUAAAACUAUAACAAUAUUUGACACAUGCAAACAAGUUAUGGCCCUAACAUCAUGCAAUGUUAUACUUUCGGCACUUAAUGCGGCUUAGGUGCUAAGGUUUUUACUCAUGCAGAUUGACUCGACUUGAAUGCAUAAUGGUAUUCAAGUUUUAAUAUUUAAUUAAAACCAAAAUAAUAUUUGACACCUAUGCAGACAAGUUGUCUUUAUGCUACGUGUGUUGUACUUUCAAUACUUAGUACGAGAUAAGUGUUAAGGUCUUCACUCAUGCGAAUUGGAGUAACUUGGAUGUAUAAUGGUGUUUAACUUCUAAAAAAAUUAGACCCACAUUUUAUUUUAUUUAUUUUAUUAUUAUUAUUUUUUUGCAGGAUAAUAUUCUUCAAGUAUUUCAAGGAAAAGACUGUGACCAUUCUCAAGGAUGAUAGUGAAGAUUUUUAGGAGAGAACUACCCUGUCAGUGCAUAAGUCACUUACUGACCUUCAAUCCUUGUUGGUGCUAGUGACAAAGGAUCCAUUACACAUUUCUUCUUGGUCUCGAGUAGCAUCUUGCAAGCUUACUGAUUCGUGCCCACUUGGUGUGUCAGCUGAUUCAUGUCCAGCUGGUGCUUCUUGAUUGAGGGAGUAAUCAACAAAAUUUAUAACCUAUUACACCAUGAACUAGGGUAGCAAAGACAAAGCUACUAUAGCAUAGUGGCUCUAGGAUCGUUCACUGGGAUGAGAUUUCACUCCAUAAUUGAUAUUAAUUCAAAGAUGAAUUGGUGCCUUUUCAUUUCAAGGUUAGCUUUAAAAGAAAACAUAAAGAUGUUUGAAAAAGGAUUGGUUUUAAGCUAACCAAAAAUAAUAACUGAUUUUACUUACAAAGAAAAGUGUUUCUUGGAGUUAAGAUCACUGGGUUCAGAUUCCUCAUAUAAAAAGGAGAGUUCCAGUCACUUGUUUAUUUUCCUCGCAUUGAGGAUUUAACCUAUAGUUAUUUCCCGAACCGGUGUGGUACAGAUGCUUCCCAUUAAUGGGUUCAAACACUAAAUCCCUCUCACUGAUGCAACUUGCAAUGACUCAUACCUCUCACCUAACACUUGCCAUUCAAGGUGAUCUUUAACCUUGGAUUACCCGUCAAAAGCUCGCAAGAGAUAACUAAUGGAUGUCUCCUUUAAGUCCAAAAGCUUACCAAGUGUUGGCUAUUCUAGAAAAUCCUACCUUCAAACCACCUCCCAAAGGCUCGCAAGAGAUAAACUAGUGCAUCUCAAUGGAUGGAGAUCACUUGCCUUACCAAGUGUUGGCCCAGGUGAUUUAAAGGCGUUUUAAGUUAACUAAAAAGAUAAAAACCAUUAACGAGUCACACUUUCUCUUCAUUAAAAACUAAAACAACAAAACUUCCAAUUUAUGUAUGUGGAAACUUACCCGGCUUUCUUUACUCCAAGAGACAAAGAGCCUAGCCUCUCAUCCUCUGAGAAAAAAUCCUCAGAGUUUGAUUGGCUAGAAAGAAAAAGAAUAAGAAAACAAAAAUAUAUAUGAAAAACAGAGCAAGUGCUCUGUAUUUUACUUCCUUGCAAAACUGUACAAAGGAUGCGUCUCUGAGAACAAGCUCCCAGAUUUUUCAUACCUCUAAGAACAAGCUCCCAGAGAUUACAUACAUUUUCUAAAGAAGAUUACAAACUAUCUAUAAGGGGUUAUUCACCCUUUGUUUUUACUUAAAGACUAAGGAAUCCUAUGAUAGGUGGGUUACAAGGAGACUUUGGGGAUUUAGACAUCAAAUAUCUAAAGCAAAAUAUCUCAAAAUGUCGGUCGCACAUAUCGGGAAUUUAGACAUUAAAUAUCUAAAGCAAAAUAUCUCAAAAUGUCAGUCGCACAUAUCGGGAAGCUUCAGGAGAACACAGCGGCACUGUACAAAAUGGCUGUGAAACUCUCCGGGUAAGGGCUAUCAGAUGAUCCGGAUAUGUCCAUCCGGGGAAGUUGAAACGCCCUCCUUUCCCAUCCGGCGUCAGGCGCCGGAUGUGAAACAUCCGGAGAAGGUGGCACGUCACCCGGACAUAAUUCCGGAUGUGGGAUAUCCGAAGAAGAUGGAACGUCGCAAGGGUGACCGUUCACGUGUGCAUGGUGUAGGGACCCAUCCGGAGCAACUCCAUCCGGAUUCCCCAAGAGGAUACGCAGCGCGCUCCCUUAUCCGGACUCCCUCAGGGAGAAGCACGUGGCACUCGUGAUCAUCACACCCAGAUGAUAGCAUAUCUUAUCUGGAUAUGUUGUCCGGAUCAUUGACUUAAGUGCACAAGCCUUGCUACGUCAUUCCGACAGCCUGCCACAGCCCAUGUUUCGCCGCCCUCUGAUGAUGUGUCCGAAUGCCCAUACUCCUUGCAUUCCGGAUUUGCUUAUGGCAAAGGACUUCAAAGCUUCGGCUCUUCAUGUUUCUGAGCUUUCCUUUGCUUUGCCAUGGAUUCCAAAGAAUUCUCCUCAAUCUCGAAUUUGAUUUGGUGAUCAAAAAGCUAUCAAAACACCAAAACUUAACACAAUUUGAUUAGAAUUGAUUGCAAGGGUCCUUAAUAUGUUAAUUGGGUUAAAAGGUGAUAACUACUACUCAAAAGUGUUUAAAAGAGUUAAUUACAAGCUAUGAAAUAGCACUUUUUGAGUAGUAAUCACUUACAAACAUUAAUAAUUCAAAAUUCAACAAAGUAAAACUUGUUUCUAAUGUUAUACUAUUGAAUUCUUCUCACCUAACCACUACUGAAACUCAAAGUGAAUUUGGAUUGUUGGGAUCUCAUGUUCAUGAUGGAGAAGUCGAAUGAGGAACCUCCUUUAAGGUGCUUGGGGAAUCUUUUUUUAUUGAAGGAUAUUGGGAAUGGGUAGAAGAUAUGUUUGGUUAACAGAGAAAACUUCUUAAAGAAAACAAACUUUACGAAGAUAUAUUUGCUUCUUUGUUUAGCUAUGAUCAUCAUACUUCUAUUAUCAGAGUUUUUUUGCAAACAUUGAUGUCCUUCAACUAAUACCUUGCAUAAUUCUAUUGGAGAGGUUUUCAUCUCCCUUUGGGACUUAUAUCGCAUUGUUGGGCUACAUAUCAUUGGAUAUUUUUAUGAUGAAAUGGUAUUGACUACAGAAAGGCUAUCAAAGUCCUCACUCUCACCAAGUUGUCAAAACUUGUUCCUUGCAUAUCAUCAAAUUUGCUUUGAGAUGAAGAGGAAGUUUUUAGUUAAGAUAGCCUCUUGGGUGUUGUUUUGGUUCAAAGACUCUAUGAAGUAUGCAAAAUCCCUAAAGAAUAGUACAAGGAACAAGACACAGAGACUUAAGGAGACUCAUAAUCCUUUUGGGAAUGUUGAUCCUCUUGAAUCUUAUAAUUAGUCAGAGAUGAAGGUGUUUGACGACCUUGGUAUGGCUAAGGUAAAUAUUGAGGAAACCUAUUUUACGAUACGACUUUCCUUGUAUGUUGGUUAUGCAAGUUUGUUCUUCUUAGGGAGGGUGUGAAUUUGAUUCGUCAUGGAGUCUUCAAGGAAGCUAGUAGAAUGGCUCAAGGUGAGACAUUAACCUUGUUAUUCCGGUGUUAGCAAGCAUUUACAAUGGCUUGAAUGAAAUUGUUUGUUCCUCAAAGCCUAGGACUAAUGCAUCUAUUUUCCUUAUUCACUAUUUAUAUGGAUAGUUAGGCGAAAAUUUUGAUACCCAUUUCUUCUUUUCUUCUUGGAAUCAUUCUCCACGGAUGACUUGUUAUGUCAAUGAGUUUUUUGCUAAGUCUUUUGAAGAUUCACAAGCGUGGGCUUUGAUAAUAUCUUGCAAAGGUGUAAAGUUGAACCACUUGGUAUUGCAGUACAAAGAGCACAUGUAUUGGAUUGAUAAUGAGUCUAUUACUACUACCCAAACUUCUUAUCUCUUAAGUCUUCGCUUUACCUAUUUAUCUUUACGAAAAGGUAACCAUUGAGUAAUUCAACUGUAUUAUCCUCGCCGAUUUUGUAGACAAUUUGGGCAUCCUCAAGAUGUUCCUAGGGGUUUACUAGAGGUUUUUCGCACUAGAACUUUAGAGGUGGUGUAUAAACAUUGGAAGUCAUGCACUAGGCUUGGCACCCACUCCAAAAUUACUAUGCCAAAUUAUCAUAGUCUUGACGAGUUCUCAAUCACCAAGGCUUAUGCAGAUUGGUGGAUUGGAAUGUGUAAUCUUGAGAAGAACAUGCUUACUAUUACUUGUAUAGAGCCCCCUCAUGUUCUUCUCUACAAAUACCCUCAAAAUCUUUGGAGAGUAGAACAUGCAAGAUCAACCCAAGUGUUUCUACUAAGAGCAAUGUUGGGGACAACAUUGAGGGAAACUUUGAUAAUUUACCUAAUGACUUAAGAGUUUCUUCUAAGCACUCAAUGGGUGGUCAUCAAACUAAUGUUUUCACACACUUGGAACAUGAAGGAAUUAUCUUUUAUGGUGGUAAUGCUCACUAUCACCAAACUUUUAAGCAAAUCAACAAUGCAGAGGUUCUUCAUGUAUCUAGUGACGGCUCCAAGGAUAUAAGUGAAUGUCAUUUCAAACAUCGAAAGACUAGACCCUCCCUUAUGUACUAUGAUGAGACUAACUCUCAUGCAGAUGUUUUCUUUGCUGAUGCUCCAUCUUCUACUCAACCAAUGGAACUUAGUGGUGAAAAAGGUUUUUUGUUUUUGUUUUUUUUUUUUAACACGUCGAUGUUAACAAAAAAAAAAAAAAAUCGCCUUAGGAUGAAGAUGACAAUCAGCUUAUCGGUGAGGAUAAUGAUUCUUUUCUUAAAGGCCAGUUUGAAAAUGUUGAUAGCACUAAGGUUCUAUGUAUUGCACAUCUUGGGUUUGUUUGUGAGCUCUUGUCUAGAGUGAAGUAUAGAUUAAUUAAUACAAUUUUUUCAUAUUUUGUUUUGAAAAUAUAUUAUUUUUAAAUUAAAUAAAGAUAUUUUUGAGUGUUUUUUUAAGUAAUGUUUUGAACAAUUUUAGAUUGUACAUGAAUACAUUAUAGCUUUAUAAAGUGUAAACUGAAAAUAAUAAUUUUUAUAUUUAAAUUCUCAAAUAGAAUUUUAUUCUUAAAGAUAACUAAAAAUUGUUUUUAAAAAAUGUCUUUCAAUAUGUUUUACAUACAAUUUUUUCUUCAAGAAAAAUCAGGCUCAGUGGAAUUGGACUUUUAUUGAUUUGUAGAAUGAUAUUGGAAUAAUCUUUAUAUUUUUCAUAUUUAAAUUCUUAACAAAAUUUUAUUCCUCAAGAAAAUUGAGAAUUAUUUUUAAAUAGUGUUUUUAGAUAAUUGGUCAAGUUGGAUUUUUAUUAAUUUGAAAAAUGAUAUAGCUAGAAUUUUUAUUUUGUUCUCCAAUUAUUCCUUUCCUAGUUGUUAAUCAAGGACCUAAAAAAGUUUGAUUUAGAAUAGCUUAAACCUAAUUUAGACCUUGACUUAAUUUAAUUUUGAGUCUUGACUUAACAUAGAUUCCGACUUAAUUUGGAUAUUGAUCUUAUUUGAAUCUUGGUUCAACUUAGGUUUUGGUGUAACUAGGACCUUGGCCAAACUUGAGUUUUGGCUUGACUUAAACAACUUUGAUCUCAAAUUGUAGAAGCCUUCUUCAGAUUUUCAUUUUAAAAGUUGAAACCUAAGACUUUGAAGAUCUUAACAAUUCAAAGAUACUUUAAAAAAAAUUGAAGACUUAUAUCUCAUUUUAAAAUUUGAAAUCGUGUUGAAUCUCCCAUAAAGAGUUUCCUCUAACUCUUAUCUUCUAAAUUGUCUUUAAAUUACCUUGUCAAUGCUUUGCAGUUGGUUUAAGUUACAUGGAUUAGAAAAAUCAUAUUUAGAUCAUUUUUUGAUUUUUUAUAAAUAUUAUUUAUUAAUUAAAAUAUAUAUAUAUAUAUAUAUAUAUAUAUAUAUAAGGAGAUUUGAAGGAUUAUAUUGGAUAGUUUUAACAUUUUAAAAUAUUAUUCUUUAAAUUAAAAAUAUUAUCUAAGCCUAGGACUAAUGCAUCUAUUUUCCCUAUUCACUAUUUAUAUGGAUGGUUAGGAGAAAAUUUUGAUACCAAUUUCCUCUCUCCUUCCUAGAAUCAUUCUCCACGGAUGACUUAUUAUGUCGAUGAGUUUUCUGCUAAGUCUUUUGAAGAUUCACAAGUGCGGGCUUUGAUAAUGUCUUGCAAAGGUGUAAAGUUGACCACUUGGUAUUACAGUACAAAGAGCGCAUGUAUUGGAUUGAUAAUGAGUCUAUUACUACUACCUAAGCCUUUUAUCUCUUAAGUCUUUGCUUUACCUAUUUAUCUUUACGACAAGGUAACCAUCGAGUAAUCCAACCAUAUUAUCCUCAUUGAUUUUGUAGACAAUUUGGGUAUCCUCAAGAUGUUCUCGGGGGUUUACCAGAGGUUUUUGCACUAGAACUUUAGAGGCGGUGUAUAAACAUUGGAAGUCAUGCUCUAGGCUUGGCACCCACUCCAAAAUUACUAUGCCAAAUUAUCAUAGUCUUGAAGAGUUCUCAAUCACCAAGGCUUAUGCAAAUUGGUGGAUUGGAGUGUGUAAUCUUAAGAAGAACAUGCUUAGUAUUGCUUGUAUAGAGCCCCCUCAUGAUUCUUCUCUACAAAUACCCUCAAAAUCUUUGGAGAGUAGAACAUGCAAGAUCAACCCAAGUGUUUCUACUAAGAGCAAUGUUGGGGACAACAUUGAGGGAAACUUUGAUAAUUUACCUAAUGACUCAAGAGUUUCUUCUAAGCGCUCAAUGGAUGGUCAUCAAACUAAUGUUUUCACACACUUAGAACAUGAAGGUACUAUCUAUUAUGGUGGUAAUGAUCACUAUCACCAAACUUUUAAGCAAAUCAACAAUGCAUAGGUUCUUCAUGUAUCUAAUGAUGGCUCCAAGGAUAUAAGUGAAUGUCAUUUCAAACAUCGAAAGACUAGACCCUCCCUUAUGUACUAUGAUGAGACUAACUCUCAUGCAGACGUUUUCUUUGCUGAUGCUCCAUCUUCUACUCAACCAAUGGAACUUAGUGGUGAAAAGGUUUUUUGUGUUUGUUUUUUUUUUUAAAACAUCGAUGUUAACAAAAAAAAAAAUCGCCUUAGGAUGAAGAUGACAAUCGACUUAUUGGUGAUGGCGAUGAUACUUUUCUUAAAGGCCAGUUUGAAAAUGUUGAUAGGACUAAGGGGUUGACGUCCUUCAACUAAACUAUCCAAUGAGAAGAUCAUUUUAUCAUUCCAACACCCUUACCCCAUUUUCAUUUGGGUGAUGAAGGUAUUACUAACAUUUCAAGUAAUGUUUUGAUUGAAUCUUGAUGUUAAGAGGCCACCAUUGAAAAUACCAUAUAUGAUGAAUUGACACUUUUAACUAUUGCAGGUUUAAUUGCUAAACAACAAUCCCCAUACUCUGAUACACCUCCUAUGGCCCCUUCUGAUUUUAUUCACAUAUUUGAUAUGGAAUAAAUUGUCUUUGAUGCACAAUGUUAAGCAACACGCAUGAUAAGAGAGAGCAUUAAGAAAAUGAUUCUAAAAAAUUCCAUUGAUCAUUUCUCAUUACUGAAAGGAAAAAUUGAUGAGCUUUUUAGGGCUAUUAUGAAGACCGACGUAGACUCUUCACCAUUAAAGUCUUAGAUUCAGAAGUACAUGAAAAGUAUAGAUCACUUUGUUGCAGUGCAAUGUGCCAACUCUACUAAGAUAUCAUUUGAAGUAAAAAACGAGCGUUUGAUUAUUAUUGCAUCUCAGAUUGCUAAUGCUUUAAACUCUGAAACUGUGGAGGCAAGGCAUUGUGAAUUAUUAAAGACUGACUUAGUUACUCUUGAUGCUAAGCAAGACGCGCUUAAGAAGGAGUUGGAACAACUAGGUAUACAAAGAGAGUGCCUUUAUAACUCAAUUUUGGAGACUGAUGAGAAUUUAGUCAAUAAGUAGAAUGAUAUUUCUCGUUUGAGGCAAGAACACGUUGCUAUCGCCCAAAACCCUUGUGCUUACUGAUGUCGAUGUCAAGACCUUAGAGACACUUUAAGAAACCUUAAAAACUCAACGUGAUGAGCUCGAAUGCUUGGUGUGGGUGUGAUUGUUGUGCCUUUAGUUCCACCAUCCAUUUUCUUCUUUCAUUUUUAUUGAAAUGUAAUAAGUUUAGCAUUUGCUAUCCAAACUUAUUUAUAAAAUGAGGUUUUUUUUUGUUUUUUUUUUUUGUUUAAGUGAUUCAACUUAGGUAGUUUCCCCAAGUUGCCUACGUAACCUUCAAAGAGAAGAGAUCAAGUCAAAUGUAGUUCAUUUUAUUAUUAUUAUUAUUAUUAUUACGCUUUAACUUUUGAUAAGACUAAAAGAGAGUUUUAAUCUUGCGAGCAUCUGUCUUAACUUUUGCCUAAGUCACCUUUUCAGGUUUUCAACUUAGCGGACCUUUUUUUUUUUUUUUUAUUGUGUCGUAUGUAGUUUAAGUUCAUGUAGAGUAGGAAUAACACUUGUCUUGAGUUUGAUCGAAGGGUGAUAAAUUCAUGUCCUUGGAAAAAAAUUUAAUUGAGGGUCAAAGAGGACUUAUUCUCAACCAAACUUGUGAAAACCUUUCUUAAGCAUUUCAGAGAACAAAAUAAGGUCAUUUUGAAUUCAUGUUGAUUUUUUUCAACCUUAAACGUGGAUGAAUGGCAGUUUCGUAUUGUGUUUGAUAUUCUUCCAUAGGCUUGUUGAAGAAUGUGUUGAGCUUGGACUUGAUUUUAAUUUAAGAGUGAUAAACACGUGUUAUUGGAGCAAAGUUUAAUUGAGGGUCAAUGAUGACUUGAUUUCAAGUAAACUUAUCAAUAAUUUCAUUAACUGUUUUGAGAAACCUAACCUUGUUUUCUUUAGCUUUGAAGGUGGAUGAAUGACCCUUUUGUUUGUAUUUGGUAUUCUUCCACGAGCUUGUUGAAGAAUGUUUGGAAUUUGAUCUUAACUUUUAAAGCUCCAUUUUUGGAUUUAGCUUCUAGGUUGCAUAUUUCUUUUGAGAGCGCUUCAUGCUGAAAGAUAAUAACACUUGUAUUUAGAGAAGUUAGAGAUUUUAGUUUAGAAUCUCCGAAUUUGACUUUUUUUAAUACAAAGAGUUUGUUCCUUAGUUUAAGAAGUUUGGCAAUAUAUAUAUAUAUAUAUAUAUAUAUAUAUAUAUAUAUAUAUAUUUGCAUAAGUUUGAUUUGUUUUUUUUUUGUUACUACAAUUUAAGCUCUUUUAGGAUAGAAGAAUAUGCAGUUCAAGCUCAUGCUUUAAGAAGCAUCAGCGGAGUGCUGAGGUUUGAAAAUAAUUAUAAUAAAAUUUGAUGUCACACUCUCUUCAUUGUCACUGGUGAAAAUGAUGGUUGCACAACAAGUCACACAAUUGUGGCCUUUGUCCCUAAAUUGUUUUGCCCCUUUUAUUUUUAUGGCAUAGGGUGAUGAAUUCUUAAGUGCUUGAAUCAAUGCAAUUCAUGUUUCCUUAGGAAGUUGUAACAUUUCAUGGAUAUUGAAGAGUGAGGGUAAGCAUUAUAGGUUUGCUACUACCUCAUCAUCUUUCUUGGUUUUGCUCAACUAUUCACCAAUAGCAUUUUCUUCAUCUUUCUUAGGUCAUCUUCUUUUGAAGUCUCAAGAUAAGAGAUCAUAUGAGUUGAUGUCACUAUCCCUCUAUUAAAAACUCUGGAAUGAAGUAUUCUCCUAAAGUGAUAGAGGUGAUGAGCUUUUGUACCAAAAUGUCAUCAACCUGUAUAAUCAUUUGUUUUUUUCGAGUUUGUUUUCUUCUUUCUUCUUCAAAUGUCGAUAGAUAUUUUGCUUAUGUUGCUCUUUCAUAGGAAGAUUUGGGUAUGAAUGAGAUUUUUUAUUCUUGUGAGGUUUCUUUUAUGUUACCAAUGUCCAACUAUCUUCACUAUAUGACAUUGAUUCAUUAUCAAAGCAAAGGUAAAGAAGGCUAUCUUGACAUGAAACUUGUGCUUGCUUUGGUUUCAAUGACUCACAUUGAAUAGUAUUGGUGCAUGCCCCCAGUUUUGUAGGUGGAACAUGUAACAAAACAGGAUUGAAUGACCCAAAUGUGACCAUAGUAUGAUUUGACUUUACCACUUCAUCCAAAUCCAAAUAAAUUUUUCCUUGUUUUGCAAGUUUCAUUAUGAGAUCUUUUAAGAUGAAACAUUUAUUCAUCGAGUGACUGACGAUUCAAUGGUAAUGAUAGUAGUUUGGAUCAUUAAUACGACCCAUUUCUUUUACACGCUUACACUUAAUUAGCUCAAUAACAUUUUUUCUAGAGCAGAUCUUCCAACAUGUUAGGCACAUCAAAGUUAGGAAAAAGAUACUUCUUCUCCUCCAGUUCCUUUAAGGUGAAUCGACGCCUCUCAUUUUCCUGGGUUAGUUCGGUCUUUUUUACUUUUUAUUUUUAUUUUUUAUCUCUUGCUAAGAUUUUGAUAAGACCUGUAUUUACCAUCAUUGACUCCUGGAUGGGUUUUAUUGAGGUUUUAUCACUUGUUUUCCCAUCGUGUCUCUCUAUUUGUCAGUCAACGAUAAGGUCAUUCUUAGCACCAUGGUUGGCUAAGUUGAGCUAACUCUUCAAAGGUGCGAGAUCGUACCUCUUGAAGGAUAUACAAAAGACCCCAAUGCAUUCCUUGUAUGCACAUCUCCACAGCUAACACCUCGAAUAAUCUAUCUUUACAGUCCAAGUUUAAGGAACACCAAUGAUUGAUGUAGUCUACGACUGGCUCAUCUUUCCAUUGUUUAGUAUUAGUAAACUCUAUCAUGCGUACAAUUCGUUGGGUGCUACAGAAAUGGUUGAAGAAUUUGCGCUCCAUUUAGUCCCAACUAUUGAUACACUCAAGUGCAAGAUCUUGGUACCAAUCGAAAGCAUUCCCUCGGAGAGAAAAAACGAAUUGUUUGACUAACAAGUCACUAUAUGUGCCUGUAUUAUUACAAGUUUCAACGAAAUGGGCAACAUGUUGUUUUGGAUUUUUCUUCCCGUCAAAUGAUUGAAACUUUGGAGGUUGAUAACCCACAUACAUACGUAGGUGAUUAAUCCUCUUAGUGUAAGGUUUAGAGUACAUGAGGGUAUUCUAUGAGGGUCCACCAUACUGUGCUCUAAUGGUGUUAGUUAUCAUGUCUUGAAGUUGCUGGACAGAUAAUGACACCACUGAUUACUACUCAAAAAGUGCUAUUUGAUAGCUUAUAAUUAAUCCUUUUAAACACUUUUGAGUAGUAGUUUUGGCCUUUUAACUCAAUUGGCAUGUUAAGGACCCUUGAAAGCAAUUUUAAUCACUUUGUAUAAGUUUUGGUGUUUUUGUUAGUAAUUUGAUCACCAAAGCAAUUCAAGAUUGAGGAGAAUUAUGAGGAAUCUUGGGCAAAUCUUGGAAGUCAUUUGCCAAGAGUAAAUCCGGAAUGCAAGGAGAAAAAGUAAAGAGAAUCUGCCAUGAAGCAUAUUCUUGAUGACAGUCGUAGCAGCCACUUUUGGAGCACUUUCUGGAGUCCAAUUGAUGCAUGUUAUAUACCAUUUCAAAGCUCAGGAAUUCAAAAAUCCAAUGCUUCAAACGGUGCGCAAUUCGGAGUUGAAACGAAGAAGUUGCAGCCAUUGCAAGCCAAUCACUCCAAGCUGAAGGAAGCAUUUUACAAAGUGUUGCGAAAUCACCCUUUUGUUGCGAAAUGAUUUCGCAGCCUUUUUGUACAGUAGGGUGUAUUUCCUUCUGAAGUUGCCCAAUAUAUGCCGCAAGCUGGAAGCUGAGAACAUCAAGGUGGAAGCCAACUUCACAGCCCUGCGAGAAUAGCUUUUUGCUGCGAAGUGAUUUCGCAGCCCUUCUUGAGUGUCUGCGAAAUCUCGCAGACACCAUUUUCUCUUACGAAAUGGUUCCUGGAGCAUCCCGAUAUUUGCUACCGACAUUGGGAGAUAUUUUGCAUCGGAUUUUUGUUGUCUAAAUCCCAAAAUACUCCUUGUAAGCCACCAAUUACAAGAUUCCUUAGCUUUUAAGUUAGUAAAAAGAGAAAAUAUCCAUGUAAUAAUUAGUUUUAUAUUAUGUUCAUAUAAAGACCUCUUGGGAGCCUGGUAUCAGAGGAGAUCCUUUUGUAAAGUUUUGGGAAAGCAAGUAAAGUUCAGGCCCUUUGUUUUGCCUUACCUUCUCACUUUGUAUUUUUUUUUUCUUACUAAGUUAUGAACUCUCUGAGGAGUUUUCCCCAGAGAAUGAGUAACUAAACCUCUAAUUCCUUGGAGUUAAGGUUGUCGGGGAAGGUUCCAAGUGUAAGAAUGCAAAGCUUUGUGGUUUUAGCAAGUAAUGAAGAGGAAGUGAAAUCCUUUAGUGAUUUCUAUGUUUUUAGUUAACUUAAAACACCUUAGAGUCACCUGGGCCAACACUUGGUAAGGCAAGUGAUUUCCAACCAUGGAGAUGCACUAGUUUACCCCUUACGAGCCUCUGGGAGGUGACUUUAAGGUAGGAUUUUCUGGAAUUGCCAACACUUGGUAAGCUUUUGGACUCCAAGGAGACAUCCAUUAGUUAUCUCUUGCGAGCUUGAGAAGGGAAGUCCAAGGUUAAAGAUCACCUUGAAUGGUUAAGGCUUAGUGAGAGGCUUAAACCAUUGCAAGUUGCAUCAGUGAGAGAAUUAAAGUUGAAAUCUAAUUAAAGGAUGUAUCUGUACAACGCCGGUUAGAGAAUUGACUAUAUGUUGAAUCUCUAACACGAGGAAAUGAACCAUCUGACCGGAGCUAUGUCUUUUGCAUGAGGAACCACCCCAGUGAACCUGACUCUCCAAGGAAUGCUUUUCUUCCUAAGUAAUUCCCAUUGCUUGUUUUGUUGGUUAAUUCAAAUCUAAAUCUUUACCAAUCAAAGUUUGUGUUUUAUUUCUUAAGCUAACCUUGAAAUGAAAUAAGACCAAUUCACUUUGAAUUGGUAUCAUUGAUAGCUUGCUAAUCCUUCCCAGUGAACGAUCCUAGAGCCGUUAUAUUAUAGUAGCUUUUUCUUUGCUACCCUAGUAUAUGGUGUUAUAGGUUAUAAAUUUUGUUGAUUACUCCCUCAAUCAAGGAGCACUAGCUGGACAUGAAUAAGCUGAGACACCAAUUGGGCAUGAAUCAAAUGGCGCCAUUGCCGAGGAUCGAACCCGGGUCACCCGCGUGAUAGGCGGGAAUACUCACCACUAUACUACAACAACGAGGUAGAUUUCGUUGUUUGUCUUUCGACUUGCACUGUCCUAGAUGCAUGUGGUGCAUCAUCAAGAGGAGAUGCAACAUUCAGAAGAUGGUUGAGUCAUUGACUUGACUCACCCAUAUUUUGUACUUGUGCCUCAACCUUGUUUAUGAGGAUGACUAUCUGCAUAUCCUUCUUCUCGAUUGUCUUGGUGAGUUUAGCGACGACAUAAGCCAUCUCUGUCGAUUGUUCCUUUACAAAUGUAAUGCCAAUUUCCAUUACUGACAUAAUCAUUAAGAAGUGAAAAGUAAAAGAGUCGAAACAAUUGGAGUAGUUUUCCUCAUUUGACAUUCCAGUUGGCAAUUCGAAGUGUGAGCCAGUGUUGGAUUUGGUAUCGGUAAUAGAGCAAGAUGACUUAUCCCUAAAGUCCUGUAGUGUUGAAGGAAGUUUUCCUUUGCUACGAGGACUAUGGUUUUUUACCUCCAGAGAAGCUAAAGUGAUGCAUGAUUGGUGCUCAUUAUGUGUCCUUAUCGGUUUUAACAAACAAGUAGACUCACUUAUUUGUUUUGUUGAAAGUGAAGAUGUUGAUUUCGCUUUGCUACGAGUCAUGAGGCCUAUAGCGGUGUUGUGUGUCAAUUACGCAAUGACGAUCUAGUCAUUGCCUUUGUUGACAUCUACAACUUGAGUUCUUUUGGAUGUCAUCGACGUAGUGGUGAUCAAUUUUUUAAUGAAAGAGAUGAGAGACAAAGAGGUCCCACCGGGCAUGUCAGAAAUUUGUACACACAAAUUUCGCGAAUAGUCCUACGAUGUAAGCAAAACUAUAGGAAAAAAUAAUGUGAAACAAAAUAUUUUAUUAAAAUUAAAAAUAUUGUGGGCUGCAAUCUUUGUGGUAAUAUUUUUUUACAAAAGAAUAUAUUUCUCUUAUUCUUUCACUUUGAUCACAAUUUGGAAGACAACGAUGAUGUUGUCAUGAUUUCGAAGAUCAGUCGAGGGCCAUAAGUGACUUAUUCUCAAAUGAACUCAUUGAAUGACAAAGAUUGGGUGUAUAGAACUUUUAUUGUUUCUUGGACUUGUAGGGAGAUUUUUGUGAAACCGUUUUUUUUGUGAAGCCGAUAUUCCCUUGUAGAGUAGUUUUUUGCCAAUCCGAAGAAGUCCCCCCCCGUUGGAGGAAGUCACCCACAUUUAUAGGUGAAAAUAGGAAAUCAAAUUUUGGAAUUCCCUAAGAUGUAGAUACUUGAUUUUAGCAACUUAUCUUCUCCAUUAAGGAAAUUUGUCUAUUAAAGUAUUUAUUUAUUUAUUUUCUUUUGACAAUAAUUUGGAAGAUUUGAUUUUAUUUGGAAGACUAAAUUUUGUAGUCUUCCAAAUUUGGCCACGUGUCACCUUUUUAACAUAUGCCACGUGUUAAAUGUGCGUAGGACCAAUCAUGUGUCGAUCCCAAAUUUUGUCGAAUCGAGGAGUCACAUUUUUUUAAAGGCCAAUUUAAUGAUAAUUUAUUUCACUAAAAAUUUUGAUGUCUACAACAGGUUAAAUAUAUAGAGUAAACAAUUUGAUGGGAGUAGAUUACUAUUCCCUUGUACCAAUAAGAUUAAAGAAAUAAUGGAAUUCUUAACUAAAGAGUUAACUUUGCAAAAGAGUUGUGUAGCUUGUACUUUUCUUAGGGUCAUGAGACCAAAUUUUAUCUAAAAUGUGGCAAAUUUGAUGGGAGUAGAUUAUGAACAUUUAACUCCUUGUUUGCUAAAUGAACUUUUCUUAAUCUCCAUAUAUUUUAAAUCUUUAAUUUGAUAAAGAGAGAGAUAAGAGGUAAAGAUGGUCCCAUUGGGCAUGCUAAAAAAUUGUGCAUACAAAUUUUCCUUGAAGAUGAAUUAUUUGUGAUUAAAUUAGAAUUUUAUUGAUUUGAAGAAUAAUGUAAUUGUAACUUUUAUUUUUCAUUUAAUUCUUCUUUUCUAGUUCUUAAUCAAGGACUUAAAAGAAGUUUGGUCUUAAAUGACUUGAGUUUAAUUUGAACCUUUUUGAUUUAGUCUUGGAUCUUGAGUCAUGGCGUAACUUCGACCUUACUAUGACUUGAGCUUUGAUUUGAUUUGGAUCUUGAUUUGAUUUAAAUAACAUUGAUUGAUGGCUUGAGUAGCUUAAUUUUAUAUCAAAUAGGUUUUUGGUUUCUUUUUUCCUUUUAUAUAUUUUAAUCUUAAAAAGUUGAAACUUAAGGUUCUAAAGAUCUUAUCAAUUAGAAGAUACUUUAGAAGAAAUUGAAAAUUGGUUAGUCUCAUUUUAAGAUUGAAGAAAGAUUGAAUCUUCUUUAAAGAGUUAUCCUUAGGGAUCAUAAUGGAAUAGCCCGAAUCAUCCCCAUCUCAACCCAUUCAAUUUAUUUACAAAGGAUAAGAUUGGUGUAAGAAAUUCUCAUGCUUGCUCUAUCUUGCCUCGUUUAAUUUUGUUCAAUUUUUUUCUAUAAAAGUUUUAAAUUCUAUACAAAAUAAAUACAAUUUAUAAAUAAAUAAAUAUUCACAAUUUAUUUUUAUAAAAAAUAUUUAUAUACAUUUAAAAAAUUAAAAAACCAAUUAAAAUAAUUUUUUGUUGAAUAUAACAUAUAAUUAGGAUAGAUGAGUUGGGACAAAACAAAGUCAUUUCUGAACUAACCUGAACUUGUUUAUAUUUAUCCAAAACCCAUCCCAUUAGGAGUAGGUAUAAAAAAAAAACUUGUUUUCUUAUCAUCCCUAACUCGUCUAUUUUCUUCUAAUCUUUUGAAUUAUCUCAUAUUAUUUUAAAAAAAAAAACGUGUCUUAAAAGCUUUGGAAUUAACAUGUCUUAUAAGAAUUGGAAGCAUCAUAUUUGUUGGGUUUCCCCUUAUGUGAGGGAAUCGGCCCCAUAUGCUUGGGGACCAAGUUAGUUGCAUUGGAAAAAAACAAUGAAUCAAGAAAAAAAAACUGAGAGAAGAGAAAAGAAAUAGAAAAAAAAAAACGCAUCUCACUGUCUAGAUUUCAUCAACGAGUUGAUCCUAUUUCAUAUGUGGUCCGAUCGAGUUGAAAUUUGGAGGAAAGGUUUGAAACUCAAGUAACUACAAUCUGAAAGAUGGAUAUCGGAUUUUAAGCUCGGGAACUGAUGUUACUACCCAUAAACUGUAACAGCGUUUUUUAUAUACUUUCUUUAAUUUUCUUUGUUUUUGCCAAGAGAGAUUGUAUAAUCCAAGACUAUAUGUGUUCUUGAUGUAUUUGGCAACCUCUAGAGAUUAUUCUAGAAAAAAAAAAAGUGUAACCCAUUAUUGUUGAUAGUGGAAGUUUGAACUAGACUAGGUCCUGUGGUUUUUUCCUUUGCAUUAAGGGUUUUUCACGUAAAAAUUCUGGUGUCUGAUUUAUUUUCUGUUGCAUGACUUUAUUUAUUUAUUAUUGCUAGUUGAUAUUACCUAUUUAGUUUUGCACAAAGAAAAUGUAGAAAAAUUAUGGCGUUUGUUGGAAUAUUGUGAAUUCACCCUAACAAGUGGUAUUAGAGCCAGAUUGAUUAUCAGUGGGAUCUCUUGUGUAAAUUAAAUGAAGGAGGCUGACAGUAGAAUGAUUAAACUCAUAGUUUCCAAUUAUUCAAUUUGGAAUACUAGGAUGGAGAUAUUCUAUGUUGCAAAGAGUUGUUUGAGCCCAUUGAAUGCAGAGGUUACAAGCCAAUUACUAUGAUUGAGGAUGAGUGAAAUAAAUUAAAUAGGAAAACCAUUAGACAUAUUAGGCAGUGGAUUGAUCAGAGUGUCUUCCAUUAUGUAGCCAAGAAAGUUGAUGCAUAUAGCCUUUGGCAUAAAUUAGAGUCUUUAUGAAAGAAAGACUACACAGAACAAAACCUUUAUGAUAAGAAGGCUUGUGAAUUUAAAGUACAAUGAUGGUAGUAGUGUUGCAAAGUAUCUUAGUAAUUUUCAAGGACAAUUGAAUGAAUUGUCUACCAUGAAGCUUGAGCUAGAUGAUGAGGUACAGACUUUACUAUUAUUGAGUUCCUUACCAGACAAUUGGGAAACUUUAGUGGCAUCCUUGAGUAAUUCAGCCCCAAAUGGUGUGACAACUGUCAAUAUGGUAAAAGACAGCAUGUUUAAUGAAGAGACAAGAAGAAAAGAGUUAAGUAUUUCCUUUAAUACAAAAACACUUGUUAUAGAGAAGUGGGAGAGAAGUAAAAAUAGAAAACCUUCCAGUGAUUAUAACCAUGACAAGUCAAGAGGAAAGUCAAAGUCCAGAAAAGAGAUAAAGCGUUUUUAUUGUGGCAAACCAAGGCACAUUGAGAGAGUGUAGAAAAUUCAGAAGAGAACAGUUUAAAGGAAAAGGUGAAGAACAAGAAAAAGGACAAAGACAUUGCAACAAUUGCAUUUGAUGGUGAUACAAUCAUUGUUUGUGAUGAUGCAUGUGUAAACCUUGCAUGCUAGGAUUCUACUAGGGUGGUUGAUACAGCAACGUCGUUUCAUAUCACUACACAUAAAGAUUUCUUCUCUUCCUACACCAGUGGCAGUUUUGGUUAGGUUAAGAUGAGAAAUGAAGCAAAAUGUGAAAUUGUUGGCAUAGGAGAUGUAAAGCUAGAAACUAGCAUUGGGUGCAAAUUGGUUCUGAAAGAUGUCAGACAUAUUCUUGAAAUGCGCUUUAGUUUGAUCUCUGUUGGGAAGCUUGAUGAUGAGGGCUACCAUAGUCACCUUGGAGAGGGUAAGUGGAAGCUUACUAAGGGUUCUCUUGUUUUAGCUAGGGGAAAGAAAAACAAUACUCUCUACAAAACAGAAGUGAGACUAGUUAAGGGAGAGGUGAACAUUGUUACGAAUGAAGCCUCUACUGAGCUAUGACAUAAGCGGCUUAGUCACAUAAGUGAAAAAGGACUUCAAGUUCUUGCUUGAAAGAAGCUUCUACCAAUUAAAGGUACGUCACUAUUACCUUGUACACAUUUUAUGUCUGAAAAGCAAAAUAGAGAUGUAUUUCGUAGAUUUCCUUCACGUAGAAAACCAGAUAUUCUUGAUUUAGUUCACACUGAUGUUUGUACUAUGCAAAGUAAUACUCUUGGUGGUAUACUUUAUUAUGUGACUUUUAUUGAUGAUCAUUCAAGAAAGGUGUGGGCAUAUGCUUUGAAAUCCAAAGACCAAGUACUUGAUGUAUUCAAAUAUUUUCAUGUGAAGGUUGAGAGGAAAAUUGACAAGUAGUUAGAAUAUGUCAAAGUAGACAAUGGUGGUGAAUAUAGGGGGUCAUUUAAGCAAUACUACAGAAGUCAUGGCAUCAGGCUUGAGAAGACGAUUCCUAAGACCUCGUAGCAAAAUGGUGUAGUUGAGAGAAUGAAUAGAACCAUAUGUGAUAGAAUCGGGUGUAUGCUCUCUCAUGCAAAAUUGCCUAAGUCUUUUUGAGGUGAGGCCAUGAGAACAAUCGUUGAUUUGAUUAAUCUGUCUCCAUCAUAUCCUUUAGAGGGUGAUAUUCUAGAGAGGGUUUGGACAGGAAAAUGUGUUUCCUUUGAGCACUUGAGAGUGUUUGGUUCUAGGAUAUUUGUUCAUGUUCCUAGAGAUGAGUAAUCCAAGCUUGACAGCAAGACUAAACAGUGUAUCUUCUGAUUCGUGCCCAGUCGGGUAUUUUAAUAAAAAAUAUUUAUAAAUCCUAUGAUCUUAUACUAGCGUAGCAAAGCUACUAUAGUAUAGCAGCUCUAGGGUCGAACUCUGGGAUGGGUUUUCACUCUACCAGUGAUAGACUCAAGAUUAGAAAUUGAAUCUGAUGAUUUCCUUUGUCAAAAACUUAAAGUUUAAAAGAAAAUGAAAUUUGUUUUGAAAGUGGUGUUUGAAACUAAACUAACAUAGAACUAGGUAAAAAUGGAAGAAAGAAAGUCUCCCGGAGCUAAAGGUUGCUAGGAUCAAGUUCAGAAUGCAAAGUGGGAAAUUCCGGAUUUUUCUCCUCGUAUUGGGGACAACAACAUAAAGGAUGGUUGUUUCCCGAACUGAUAUAGGUUUAACAAUGAAGAUUUAAUCCAUAAAAAGUCAAUAGAAAUGGUAGUCAAGUUCCAUUAAUGGCUUUAGACACUAUGGGUCUUCACCUUAAGCCACUUUCCAAUGGCUCGUACAUGAUAACUAAUGGUCUUAAGUGGAUCUAGCAAUAAGUAUCUACAGAGAUCUAAAAGCUUAUCAUGUAUUGGUCAUUCAAAGUGAUUCUAAGGGAUUUAAAGCAAAACUUUAUAUUUAAAAGCCAUUUAUGAACUCCAACUACCUGUAUUUAAAGCACGAGAGUUUUCCACUUUUGCAUCUGGACUUUUCACCUAACUUCCUUCACUCCAAGAAACCAAAGGUUUAGCCUCUCAUCCUCUGGGAAAACAUCCUCAGAGGUUGUUUGGCUUCCAAGAAAAAUACAAUCAAAAUGAGAAGGUAAAAGCAGAGCAGAACUCUGUAUUUUUCUUCCUUUGAAAACUAUACAAAAGUUGCGUCCCCUCGAGAACAAGCUCCUGAGAGAUAUUUAUAUGAAAAUUACAAUAAUAAUAUCUACAAGGUUAUUCAUCCUUUUUCCUAACUUAAUAACUAAGGAAUCCUAUAAUUGAUGGGUUACAAGGAGAGUUUGGGGAUUUAGACAUCAAAUAUCUAAAGCAAAAUAUCUAAAGAUAAAUAUCUAAAGAAAAAUAUCUAAAGAUGUCUGUCGCACAUAUCGGGAAGCUUCAGGAGAACACUGCGGCACUGUGCAAAAUUGCUGCGAAAUCCUCCGGGUGAGCGCUAUCGGCGGAUCCGGAUAUGUCUGAUCGUGGAAGUUGAAACGCUCUCCUCUCCUAUCAGGCGUCAUAAUUCCGGAUGCAAUACAUCCGGGUGGAAUGGUGGCAGCAGAUUUCCAGAUGUAAUACAUCCGGGUGGAAGCGGCGACAGCCGGAUGUAAAGUGGCGGCAGCCGGAUGUAAAGUGGAGGCAUAGCCGAGUGGAAAGUGGCCGCAGUCGGGUGGAAUUCCUACCCGGGUGGAAUGUGCAGGAUCCCAUACUCCUUGUAUUCUGGAUUUGCUUAAGGAUUCCAAAGAACUCUUCUCAAUCUCGGAUUGCUUUGGUGAUCAAAAAGCUAUCAAAACACCAAAACUUAACACAAUUUGAUUAGAAUUGAUUGUAAGGGUCCUUAAUAUGUUAAUUGGGUUAAAAGGUGAUAACUACUACUCAAAAGUGUUUAAAAGAGUUAAUUACAAGCUAUGAAAUAGUACUUUUUGAGUAGUAAUCAUCUUCCUAGGUUAUUCAAAUGAAAAGUUUAGGUACAAGUUAUGAGAUCUAGCUACCAAAAAAAUUAUAAAAAGUAGAGAUGUUGUCUUCUUCGAAGAUCAAACCAUUGAAGACUUGGAUCAAGUUAAGAAGUUAAAGCCUUUUAGUGAAGAACAUGUUGAUUUGGGUCCAGUCUCUCCUAACUCUGUGAGACAUAAUGAACAUAAGGAAGUUGUGCAAGAAGAACAUGUUGAUACAGUUGAUAGAAAUGAUGAGUCUACAGUUGAUGAUGUAAAGAAAAUUCUAUAGUUGAGAAUGAUGACCUAGAACAGCAACAAGAACAAGCUACUUCAGAGUUGCCUACUAAAACACAAUUAAGAAGAUCUACUAGAGAGCGUCAACCUUCUAGAAGGUAUACUAGUGAUGAGUAUUUGUUGCUUUCUGACGGGAGAGAGCCAGAAAAUUAUCAAGAGGUUUUACUACAUGACGAGAAAAAAAGUGGUUGAGAGCUAUGCAUGAAGAAAUGAAAUCCUUGCAUAAGAACAACACUUAAUGAAUUGAUGGAGUUGCCUAAGGGUAAGAGAGCAUUGAAGAAUAGAUGGGUACUGAAAAGGAAGCCUGAACCAAACAAAUCAUAGCCAAGGUACAAGGCAAGAUUAGUUGUGAAGGGUUUUAGUCUGAAGAAAGGCAUUGACUUUGAAGAGAUUUUCUCGCUUGUGGUUAAGAUGUCUUCGAUUCGAGUUGUGUUAGGCUUGGCUGCCAGUAUGAAUCUAAAGAUUGAACAACUUAAUGUGAAGAUUGCUUCCCUCCAUGGCGACUUAGUGGAGGAAAUAUAUAUGGAGCAUCCAGAAAGGUUUACAAUCAAAGGCAAGGAAUACUUAGUGUGUCGACUGAAUAAGAGCUUAUAUAGUCUCAAGCAUGCAUCGAGACAUUGGUACAAGAAGUUUGAUUCCUUCAUGGUUGAGCAUGGUUAUGAUAGAAAUGCUUCUGACCAUUGUGUGUUUGUGAAGAAAUUCUCUUAUGGAAAAUUUAUUAUUCUCUUGCAUAUAUGGAUGAUAUGCUGAUUGUUGGUCGUGAUAUUGGUAAAAUUGAUAAGCUGAAAAAGGAGUUGAGCAAGUGCUUUGAAAUGAAGGACUUGAGGUUUGCAAGUCAGAUUCUUGGUAUAAAGAUUUCUUGAGAUAUGACAAAUGGAAAAUUGUGGCUAUCUCAAGAAAGCUAUAUGAAGAAGGUUUUAGACAAGUUCAACACAGGCAAGGCAAAACUAGUGAGCUGUCCACUUGGAAGUCAUCUAAAGCUAAGUUCCAAACAAAGUCCUUCAAGUGAGAAAGAAAAAGAAGAAAUGCAAAAGGUGCCUUAUGCAUCAGUCGUGGGUAGCUUGAUGUAUGUCAUGGUGUGCACGAGGCAUGAUAUUGCUCAUGUGUUGGAGUUGUCAGCAGGUUCCUUUCUAAUCCUAAUAAAGAACAUUGGGCUACAGUGAAAUGAAUUCUCAGGUAUCUGAGGGGUACUUCUAAUACAUGUUUAUGUUUUAGGACUAACAAACCUGUGCUUGUAGGAUGCACAAAUGCAAAUAUGACUGGGGAUGUUGAUUCUAAAAAUUCUACUUCUGGUUAUUUGAUCACUUUUUUAGGGGAAGUAGUGUCAUGACAAUCAAGGUUGCAUAAAUGUGUUGCUUUGUUGACCACAGAGGUUGAGUAUAUUGUUAUCACUGUAGCUAACAAGGAGUUAUUGUGGAUGAAGAAGUUCCUACAAGAAUUGGGUCUACAACAAGAAAGGUAUCUACUCUACUGUGAUAGUCAAAGUGCUAUUCAUCUCAGUAAGAAUCCAACUUUUCACUCUAGAUCCAAGCAUAUUGAUGUGAUAUAUCAUUUGGAUUCGUGAUGCACUAGAUAUGAAAUUGUUUUGUCUUGAGAAAAUCCAUAUUGAUGAGAAUGGAUCAAAUAUGAUGACAAAACCAAUAUUUACAGAAAAGCUACAAUUUUGUAGAAAGCAAGUGGGCUUAGUAAAGCCUCUCACAUAGUCAGAAGAGGGCCCCAUAUGCUUGGGGACCAAGUCAGUUGCAUUGAAAAAAAAAAAAAGGAAUCGGGAAAAAAAAUAGAGAAAAGAGAAGAAAGAGAGAGAAAAAACGCAUCUCACUACCUAGAUUUCAUCAAUGAGCCGUUAUCACUUCAUCUAUGGUCCGAUUGAGUUGAAAUUUGGAGAAGAGGUUUGAAACUCAAGUAGCUACAAUCUGAACGGUGGAGAUCAAAUUUUAAGCUUAGGAACUGAUAUUACUGCCCAUGAACAAAAACAACAUUUUUUAUAUACUUUCUCUAAUUUUCUUUGUUUUUGCCAAGAGAGAUUGUAUAAUCCAAGACUAUAUGUGUUUUUUUUUAUUUAUGUAUUUGGUAGCCUCUAGAAAUUAUUCUAAAAAAAAAUAGGUGUAACCUAUUAUUGUUGAUAGUGAAAGUUUGAACUGAACUAGAUCCCGUGGUUUUUCCUUUCACAUUAGGGGUUUUCCACGUAAAAAUUCUGGUGUCUAGUUUAUUUUUCUGUUGUAUGAGUUUAUUUAUUUAUUGUUGCUAGUUGAUAUUACCUAUUUGAUUUUGCACAAAAAAAUGAUAGAAAAAUUUUAGUGUUUGUUGGAAUAUUAUGAAUUCAUCCAAACAAGUCAUAUUACAUAUAAUAUUAUUUUAAUAAUAAAACAUUUAUGUCAUGUGAUUGUUUUUAAUUCAUCAUAAUUUAAAUUAAAUAUAAAAAAUUUAUUUUUAAUUAAUUAUUAUAAGAGUAUAUAAUAAAUCGUAAAAGUUAAAAAUUUGAAUUUUACCUCUCAACAAACUGUGGUCAAAGUCGUUCCCAAAUAGACCUAUAGGCUCCUAUUUCUCUUUAUUAUGUUAGGUACAACAGCCACAUAGUGCGGACAUUCGCCCACGGCAAUGGCACGAAAAUGGUUGCCACUUGUGGUUGAUCUUGAGACUUUGAGACUUGAGAGGAGCCCUCCGUCCCUCUCUAGGCAAAUAUUUUGGCAUUAUGAAUAAAGCAGAGAAGUUAGCUCUGACACUCUAAUUAAGGUGACGACAGAUUGUAUCCUAGGUACGUUUCGUAAUUGUUUAGAAAAUAGCUUUAAAAUCCAAUUUUUUAAAAUAAUUUUUAUAUAAUACUUUAUUUUUAAUCAUUUUUAAUAUUUUUAUAAUUCUUUCUUUAAAACAAUAAUAUAAAUAUAUAUUUUUACUUUUAAUUAUUAAAUACCCAUUUAAUCAUAUUUUUUAAAAAUUUGUUUUUAAAAACUAUUUUUUAUUUUUUAACUUAAAAAUAAGUUUUAAAAAAAUAUAAACCAAUGAGUAUAUGUUUUGUUUUUGUUUUUAAAAAUGAGUAAAAACAACUUUUAUUUAUUUUUAAAAAUACUUUAUUUGUAAAAAUUAUUUCCAAAAAUAAGAAAUUAUUACCAAACAUUUUCUUCUCCCCCUUAUGAAUAGAAAACACCCAUCAAAACAUUUAUUAGAGUAAAAUGUUUAGAUACACCAUCACAAGAAGUAUACCUACUUCCUCCGUUGCCUUACAUAUGCCUCAAUGCCUAGAUGUUUCACAUUGCAUAUGAGCUUGAGUUGGACCAUGGUCCUAAAAAGUUCAAUUGGGUUGCUUGUAUAUUUCAGUCAUCUCAUUUUUAAUAGACUGCGACCUCACCAUCAACAUUUACAUCAUAUACCAUGCAGCACACCCCUAUUUUUACUGCUAAUUUACCAUGCUUUUUGAUGGCUAAAUGUAAAGAAAAAUAUAUCAAAUUAUAUUAGGUAUAAAAUAUAUUUUUGUUCAUUCAAUCUCGAGUCACAACUUGUAUCUACAAAAAGGUAAUAAAAAAAAAAAUUAUUUGUUAAUAGAAUUAAAUGCAGUAGCAAUGCAUACCAGGCAACUAUCAACCACCUUGUCAACAACCACAUGUUUGUGUUUUUUUUUUGGUUAAUUUUUAUAACAUUGGGCAUGGCUUCGAGCCUUCAACUACCUGAUUCAAAGGAUUCACAGUCUAUAUUCCCAAAAUCAUCAAAACCCAUACUAGGAAACCCCCUCAAAGUCUUGGCCCAACUUUAUGGCUAUAAUAAAUACGAAGGCAGUCUAUUUAUAAGCAUAGUAUCAAACACCUCAUCUUCGUAAAACUUCAAAUUCUUUGUAGGCAACAACUUGAGUCACAAGGCUGCGAUUUCCAUGCAUGUUGAAAAGUCCCAAUAUGUUAACUCAAUUAAUUUGUGUGUCCUUUUUGGUGUUGCACUUGGAUCGGCUGCCUAAUUUUGUUGGCUUGGCUAUUAACUUUAGUUCUAGAUGUGUUCUAUGUGAUUACUUUGCAUUUAUUUUAAAGUUUCUUUUCCAUGCUAUUAUGAUCACCCACUUGUGUCUUUUGCAAACCAAUUUACACAAGUAGGAUGUAUUAGCAAUAUCAAGUUGGUAUCAUUUGUAUAUUCAUAUAUACAUGUAACAUAAGUAGAAUGUCUUAGCAUCAUAAAAUGUGAUAUUUUAUUUAUUAAAUAAAGGAAUAAAAUAAGUUAUUUUAUUUACUACAUUGGCACAGUAUUUCUAUUCAAAGUGUUUUUAAUAAAAGUAUUUUCCCUAAAAAUAUUUUUAAGAAAAUUACAUAUAAAAUGUUUUUCUAAAAAACUCUAUACAUGAUUUUUCAAUAUCAUAAGUGAUUUUUUAAAUUUUUAAAAGUGUUUCAUAAAAGUAGUCAAACACUUAAUUUUUUUAAAAACACUUUUUAAAAUAAAAACACUUCCUAAAAUUAUUGUUAAAUGAACUCAAAGUGUUCUUAGAAAAAUCAUUUAUAAAGUGUUUCUCCAUAAAAUAUUAUCAGAGCUCGUUUUAUAGUGAUUCUAGAAAGUACUUUUAAUAUUUCUAAUAUUUUAAAAUUUUAUCAUUUAAGUAUUAGAAAUAUUAAAAACAUUUUUUAGAAUCACUCCCAAACAUACUUUAUUAUAAGUGAAUUUUCGGAUUUUUAAAAAUAUUUCCCAAAUUUUGCUAUGCACCUAAUUUUUUUUUUUUUAACAAAAAUUCAAGUUGAAAGGACUUCCUAAAUUUUUAAACAUUGUCAAAUGAGAAAUAAAAUAAUAUUGCUAUUUAUUAAAUUAAUAGUCGUGUUUAAUCAUAUUAUUUAUCUAAAUGACAUUCUAAGAUGUCGUAAUUUUUACUUGAAGUUAUGUUAUUUUUCGUUUUACUUUUAUCAUAUUAUUCUAGUAUCUACUUAAUUACAAAAUAAAUAAUAAUUACAACUCAAAACAUUUCCGUAUUUAAUACAAAAUAACAAAUUUUUAAUACAUUUUCACUAUCUCUUCACUUGGUAAAAGAGUACAAAAAAAAAAAUAAUGAGAAAAUUAUUUUUACUUGGAGUAGUGGUUUUUUUUUUUUACUAUUUUUAUCUUAUUUUUUAGGACCUAUUUACGAAAUAAAUAUUUAUUGAAACUUAAAACAUUUUUUGUAUUAAUUUGAUACAUAUUAAUCAUUUUCUAGUACAUUUUCAUUUGUUACGUGUACUUAGGGAAAGAAUGUGAUAAAAAAGGUAUUGAGAAAAAUACUAUUAUUGUUUUAUUUGAUUUGGACAAAUGUGAUGUGGUGUGUCAAGUCGUGAUUGAUGGUUACGUUUAGUUACGACAAAGUACUCAAAAAUAAAUAAAAAAUAUUAAAAAAUUAUUUCCUUAUAUUUAAUUUUAUUAUAAAAAAAAUGAUUAAAAUUAAUAAGAAAUUUAUAUAUUUUUAAUUUUUUUUAAAAAUUAAAUAAAUAAAAUGAAUUUAAAAUAAUAUAUAAAAUUAAUUUAAUAAUUUUAAAUCUAUUUUUCUUUUUAUCUGUCUUUUUCAAAUCACAAUCCGAGUGAGUUUGAAUACAUUUAUUUCUUCAUUGUGAAACAACCUAUGAUUGAAGAAUGCGUGGAGUGACAAGUAUUUAUAAAAUAUUUUCUCCAUGGAAUUAAAUAUGAAUGGACCAAAUUGGAAAAAGUGUAGCAUCACUUUCGUUUUCAAAUUUCCUCUGCCGGGUUUCAUAAUCAUAGUUUAUGAGCCGAAAGUGGGCUAAGUCUCUUUUCAACCUUAACUAAAAUCCUGUCUGCCACGUGACCUCGGGGAGACAUAUUAUUAUAUUUUGAGAAAAUGAUAAAAAAAAUAUAUAUAUAUAUAUAUAUAUUAAUCAGAGAGAUUAUCAAUUUUCUAAAAAAAAUAUUAAUUAUUUAACCUUUUUUUUAAAAAAAUCACCUUCUUAGGUGGGAGGAAAUUAAAUUAAUAAAUAAACUUUAUAUUUGAGUAGGCCAAUGGAUACGUUCUUAACCAGGCCAUUUAAAAGACAGAUUGUUAUGGUUUGAUUUUGGGCUGGAUUUAAGCCCACAUCUACAAAUUGGCCGGCCCAUUUUAUGGGCCAGCAGUAUGGAAAUAAAGCCCAUAGAUCCUACUCUGCCCAAAACACACUCACAAGUAUCUCAAUGCUUUACAGGCGAUGAUUAGGGUUGCAAUUCAAGCCAAGCCCAAUCUUAUUUCUUUGUCAAAUGGGUUUAGGUGGAUAAGUAAUUAAUUAUCUUUUAAUUUAUAUCCUUAAAAUUAACUACUACAUUAUUUAUAAAGAUGAUUAAUUAAGUAUGCCUAAAAAAAUAUAGUAUAGUAUGUUUUCCAAGAUUAGAAAUAUUUAAUCAACAUAGUGAAAAAAUGGAAUAGAAAAAACUUAAUGGAAAUUACGAAUUCUUAUCAUGUUUGUGUUCAAUACCGACAUUGCUCCAUUUUUUAUUUUAAAUUUUGUGUUAUUCACUUUAUUUUUUAAUUAAUAUAUUGGUUGCAUUAGAAGUAAAGGCAAUGCACUUGUAUGAAUCUCACUUGAAUGGGAUAGAAUGUGAAGAAUUUGAUAUUUGAAAGCAAGUGUAAAACUUCAAUUAUGGUAAAAAUAGAAUAAAAGUAUUUUAUAUAUUUAUAAUUAAUUUAUUAAGUCAAAAUCACUUGAUAUGUAAUUUAUAGCUUUAAAUAAUUUUUAUCACUAGAAUUUAUGGGACUGAAUAUAAUUAUCCAUUUUGCACAUGUGUUUGUAGGGAAGAUAUUGCUAAGAGCUAUAUUGACAUUGUAUCUUGGAGUGACUAUUAAUUAUCAGUACCCAUGUAUAGGGAUAUGAUAAUAGCUUUAAAACAAUGUAUCUGCAUGUGCAUUUCCAAAAUAGGUUAACUUUCUUAUCUCUAGUUAUAUUAUUUAUUUUCAAUAUUGAUUUAUCAUUUUAUUUGUGUGAGUUAAAAAAUUUGUGUUUUUUAUAUUUUCUCUCUCUCUCUCUCUCUCUCUCUCCCUUUUCCUCUCUCUCUUUCACACCAUACCCCUGACUCCCACACCACUAUCACCAUCCAUGGUGAAGCUCACCACAAGUGACUAUUGUCAGCUCAACGUCACCAAUGACAUUUCUCCACCAUGACACCCAUUCCUUCCAUUGUCAUUUCAAAAGUUUAAAAAAUGGUAAGUCUUCCAUUUUUUUUCUUUCUUUAAAUAUUCAUAGUGCAUUGUUUGGAGACUUGGGUAUUGUCUAUUGGGCUUUGGAUUUUGUUUAUGGGCUUUGAAAAUAUUAGGCUUGCAUGGUUGUUGAUUUUGGCUGCUAAUUUGUGUGAUUCGGGUUUGUGUAUUUAUUGGAUAUUAAAUUAGGCUUGAGUUGUUGGAUAUUGUUGUUGGGCCUACUUGAAUUUAUUUGAUCUUUGUUGAUGGGGUUUGCUUAUAUUUGGGCUGAUUUGGCAUUGCAUCAAGGAUAGGAAGAGGCAAAUUUGGUGCAUAGUGUAUUAGUUAGAGGCGGUUAGAGUAAUUGGAGACAAGGUAUGGACAUGGGCAAAAAGAUGGUGGGACUUGAUUUGGGAUAAAAAGAGGGAUUAAAGCAAGAGGAAGAGAUGAAGGACAACCUUUUAGAUUUUUCUCUACUCUCUUUGUAUUUUCUAUGAGUUUUUUUUGUGAGAGAUUGAGAUGUUUUUAGCAUUUCUGGCUUUUUUUGGGAACCUAUGGAGAGCUAGUAGACUUGGGAUUGCAUUGUAAAAGGUACAACUGUUUAUCCUUGUUCUUAUUUUAAGUGUAUUUGUUUUGUUAUUCAUUAUCUUGUACAUAUGUUAUUUCAUUUAUUUUGAUAUCCAAUAAAUAUACGUCAUCUAUUAGUUUUGUUGUUGUUGAUGCCUUUAUUUAUAUAAUCUAUUUUUUUGUUUGUGGAAUGAACCUAUAAUAAAAUAUUGUUUCAAAAGUUAUUUUUUAAUAAACGUUUUUUUUAAUAAACCACAAUUUCUUUUUGGAAUGAAAAUUUAUUUAUUUUUUUAAUAAAUGGAUUUUUUUUUUUGUUUUUUUGUUUUUUGUUUUUGUUUAGAAUUAUCUUGUUUUAUGAUAUGAUUUUUUUUUAUUUGAUUUGAUUUUCUUUUUCCUUUUUUGGGUAAGAUCAUUUUAUUUAUUUAUUAUUUAUUAUUAUUAUUAUUUAUUUCUUUAUACACAAAUAAAGAACUUUUUAAAACAAAUUGUAAAACCAUUUUUUUAUAUAAAAGUAAAAAAGAAACAUUUUUAUAAUACAAUUGAAAAGAAAAAAUUAUUUUAAAAAUAUUUUUUUCUAAUAAAAUGGAAUUUCUAUUUUUUAAGAAAUUGAGAUUAUCUUUUAAUAAAUUUCUUUAAAUUUUUUUUUUAAAAAUAAAAUCUAUUAUCAUGUUGUUAACAAAUUUGAAAAUUUUUUUAAUAUAAUAAAAAUGUGUUAGAGAGUAAUUUUAGAAAAUGUUUCUAGCAUUUUUAACACUUAAAUGAUAACAAAUUUUAGGUGUUAGAAAUGUUAAAAACGUUUUUUAAAAUCACUACCAAAUAGGCUCUAAGUUUGAAAUAAUUAAAUAAGUAUUUUCUAAUUAUAUGAAAUAAAAAUCACUAUUUUUUCACAAUAAAAAGUGCAUCUCGUCGUUCAAGUGGGGAGACACGUGAAAAUGCAGGUCCAUAAAAUGUUGACUCCAUUAGGGAUGUUUAAAGGUCAAGUUUGAAGUCGAGUUGAGGGAAAUGCGGCGUUUGAUUAAUCGAUUAGUAGAUAUCUUCUCAUGAUGCCUUUGUAAUAUAUUUGUAUAUUUUAGGGCACAUGAGGGUUGACAUAAUGAUUAUUUUGUGUAUAUGUUGCCUGUGCCUUACUAUGUAUUGAUUAUUGUUAUCAUGUGUAUUUGUAUAUAUCUGUUUUGCAUGUUUGUGCUAUAUGACCACCCUUUUUCUGCAUGAUGCAUACUUGGUUGUUAUGUUCAUUUGCGAUAUUAAUAUGUUGAUUACAUCGAUUGAUUCUCUUGCCAUGAUUGCCCUGCUCACUUUGACAUGUUUAUUCUCAUUCGUCUCGAUGUGAUUGAUUCUCUUUAUUGUAUAUUAUUUUGUCCAUCUCAACAGAUUGUCUAUCUUUGUUGUAUACUCAUCUUGUUUAUCCUAUUUCCUUAGCUUGUUUUUAGAUUUGAAUGAUAUACCUACUCUUUGUAUGACUGUAUGUUGCAUGACUACUCUUCUUCUACUUGAUGCAUGUAUCUCUUGUCAAUGUGGGACACACAUGUGUCCCUUUAUCUCCAAUCCCCUAGUCUCAAUCAACCAUGUUUCCCUUGAUCUCAUAUUUGGUAUGAGACUUGUUGCUUUGUUUGCUCUCUGAUCGAGUUGGUGAUUCGAAGUAGGGUCUAGCGAUGGACUAUAUCUAUGUUUAGGAGCAUUUUGGAGGAGGCCGACACAUUGAUCCUGACUGGAGUCCGAUCAUUGGACUUGUAUAGCUUAGAGCUAGAUUUCAUGGAUAUUCAUGUGACCAAUGUGUUUUCUUUCUUGUUUUAACUUUAUAGGUUUAUCAAAUGCACUUAUACCACUCACUAUGCACCUUAGAUCGUUGCUAAUGACCAGAGUUGUGAGAUGCACCAACAAUUAGGAGAUACUACACCAUAGAAAGCCCCUUGGGAUGCGAGAUAGUGCUUGUGUGGAGGUGAUGACCACCUUGCAUGGAAGCGCCCUAUCUGGUCGAAGGCGUGUAGGAGGUUGCAUAUUGUUGAAGGGUGUGAUCGGUUUUUCUAGAGAUCCUUUAAAGUCCACCCCUACACCCCACGUGUGAGCCUUAAAUCCCUUUAUUAAGAUUCAUUUCUCACACGUGGGUGCAUCUGAGAGCCUUUGGGGCUACUUUAGUCAUAGCAUGGAUCUAGUACUCAUUUUUUUGGUCUCCAGUUGAGUAUGCUCAAAGAUUAGUGCAAGUUUGUGUAUUAGUUGGACCAUUAUUUGUCAUGUUGCAUUAGAUUCUUUAUUUCGCUUGUUGAGUUUGACAUGUUUUCUCUCUAAGGCUUUAGUUAGUCUUACUUUCUUAUCUUAACACAUUUUUUCAAUUUGUUAUUGCAUUGUUUGCUUGAUACUUUAGGAUAAGUUCAUCGAUCAUGAUCACCUUUUUGCAAUGUACACUUGUCAUGGUCAAGGUACCACAUUCUUUAUUUGAUGCUUGAUUCCAUUUUCACCUCGAUGCUCAUAUUUUCAUUACAAAAAGGUGAAGAACAUGUUUUCACAUUCACACUUUUUUUUAGAGAUUCUCCUUUAUCAUCUUAUGAUUUUCCUUUAUAGAGCUCAAUUUGGAAGUUGAGUCAGGUGGAUCCUAUUAUAGAUGGAGCAUUGAUUUUGUGAUAGCACUGUUCUACACAUCUCUUAUAUCUUAGAUUAUUGAUAUGAAUUCUCUAGUCACAUUUGUAGCCAUCUCAUAGAGGACACCUUUAUGACUCUUUAGCUCCUAUCAUACAUCUAGAUUUUGCAUUUCCACCUUAGGAGCAUGUGUUUGCAUGUCACAUUGUUGCCUUUAGAGUCUUCUUUUGUGUCCCAUGUCCAUUUUGAUUAUUUUGCAUUGUAGGGAAUCAACCUAGGAGUUGGUUGAGUAUGAAAUUGUAGCCUUGGAGGAGGGUUGGAGGCCAAUUGAUCAUAUCAGAUUCAUAUCAAAGUUCAGAUAGUUCACUUGAGAUGUCAGACGAGUUAGCUUCUACACUUGCUUCUAUUCAAGAGUUCAUGGCUAGGAUGAGUAAAUGUUUAGAUCAAAUAGAGAGAUCACGCUAGAAUUACCAGCUAAUGGCAUGGGUACAAAUGAGACAACUUCUCAUGCAUCUCAAACAACAUAGGUUCUUCCACCCAGGGCUUCACAUGGCAUUCCAUUCCAUUUAUCAGAUCAUUGUGAGACUACUCCACCAUCCGAUGUCAUAAUGUCGCCUCCUAUUGUACUUGUUAUUGAUGACAUUGAUUAGUUGAGCAGGAGGGCAAGAUUGAGAGGCUUGAGUCCAGGAUGAGAUAGAUCAAAUUGUAGAAUGGAGGUUUGACCUAGAAUGACAGAGAUGACAUAUUGGCGGCUAGCUUGCCCACCAAGUUUCGCAUGCAAGACAUCGAUCACUACAGUAGAGUUGGUUGUCCAAAGAUCCAUCUGACUCUCUACAGCACAAUCAUGAGAGCACACAGGUUAGAUGAUGCACAAUUAAUGGCUUUCUUCUUCAUGUCACUUAGUGGGGCAACUCAGAUAUGGUUUGCCUUAGUUGAGCCUUCAAGACUUUGCACUUGGGAGGAUAAGACUCAUGAGUUCUUGACUCAGUUCGCCUCCAGUGCCGACAAUGAUGUCUCCAAACGAAAGCUAGGGGCUUAAAUAGAAACCAAAAGAUUUUAUUUCUUCAUUUGUUAGUCGUUAGGGGGCAAAUGUGGUUGGUAUGGUAGAUUGGCCUAAGGAGCAAGAUCAUAUUGAUAUGGUUCUUCAGAACCUACAUUUGAGGUUUGUUAGAUGCCUCAUGAGCAUUCUAUUCCAAGAUCUCAAGAGUUUGGUUUAGACUAUUUUCAGUGUUGAGGAGGCCAUUGCUUGAGAAUUAUGGAUAAAUAUUGUUUUUUCCCCUGACAGUAAGGAGAAGAAGUCGAUUGGAUCAUCUGGGAAGACUGGAGAGGUUAACACCAUUAGUUGUUAGCAUCAGAGGCCUACUUGCCACUCAUAUUAUAGGUUUCCUACAACUAGAGCUCAUUUCUAUCAUCCGUAAUAUCAAUAUCAAUCGGUUUAUGUUCAACAACCUUUCAUUACUCAAGCUAGUGUACAGUUGUGACAUCACCUCUAAGAGCUACUACUCGCCAGCUACCUAGACUAUAUGAAUAGAGGCAUGUGAGACAAUUCACUCCAUUAGGCAUGACUUUGACUAGAGCUUUUGAGAAGCUUAGAAACGUUGGCUUAAUUGUUCCUUUGGCACUAUGCCCCUUGCCACAUCCUAUUCCUCCUUACUUUCACCUACAUAAGCACUGUGUGUUUCAUCAGACUUAGGGACAUGCUACUGAUUAUUGCUCAACACAUUGCAACUUGUCAAGACCAAGUGUGAUCACCAAUUCCUUGCCUACACAUUUUGUACAUGUUAUUCCCUCACCUUCUAGUCUUUAAUAGAGCAUUGUGGAUGUUGAUGAUAUUCGGGGAUCGCCUGCCACUUUGAGAUUUUUCUUAGUUGAGGCUUUCUUUCAAUUGAUAUGGGUGCAUCACUUUAUAGAGUUUUAGUAUAAAGUGUACAUUGGUUUGGUUGUGGAAGUCAUUAGAGUCUUUUUUUUUUUUUUUUGUUUAGUCUAGUUUUUGUUCAAAGUCACAAUUUAUAGUUCAUGUUAAGAGUUUAGUUGUUCGUAGUCUUUUACGUUACACACAUAAUGUAUUCAUUGGUUCAUUUAGUGAUAUGAUCUUUUUAUUAUGAGUAUAUUUUCUUUUCUUUCUUAUGAGUAUAUUUUACAUUUUUUGUAUUGAUGUGUUGCGUUGUUUAUAUGCGACAUUUUUCACUUGCAUAUCAUGGUUACUUGGGCCAAAUUUAUCAUGAUGGAUAUUAAGCUUUCUUACCUAGGUGUGGACCCCGCAUUUUGAUCGAUGCGUUCCCACUCGAUGGCGAAAACUCGUUUUUUUUUUUAUUAUGCUUAAUAAACAAUAGAUUGUAUAAAGAAAAAGAGAUGAAGAACACCACCUAUGAGAUACGAUAGAAUGCAAUAAUGUGAUGGUAGGAAAAAAUGAUGAGAGAAAGAUGCACCUGUAGGUCCAAGACUCACGAGACUCGCAAACAAUGCGUGCAUACACUAAAGGGCCCCUAUCCCGGUGUAGAAAUAUGAACAAGGCUAUCACAAAAGAAAUGCUAUAAUACNNNNNNNNNNNNNNNNNNNNNNNNNNNNNNNNNNNNNNNNNNNNNNNNNNNNNNNNNNNNNNNNNNNNNNNNNNNNNNNNNNNNNNNNNNNNNNNNNNNNUUUUCUUUUUCUAUUUUGUCUGGUGACAAUCUGAUUUUUAGAAAAAAACUCGGAGUCGCCACUUAUUUUUAUUUUAUUUCUAAAGGGAAAAACAAAAUAAGAAAGAAAAACCCUAAGUGUGACUCCAAGUAUUUUUCUAAAAAUCAAAUUUUCACCAAACAAAAUAAAAAAGCUAGUUUUCGCCAUCGAAUGGGAAUGCAUCGAGCAAAAUACGGGGUCCACAAAAUGGUGACUCCACUACGGAUUUUUAGAGGGUCAAACUUGAACUCGAGUUGAGGGGAAUGUGGCGUUUGAUUGGUCGAUCAAUGGAUACCCCUCUCUAUGUGUCUUGGUAUGAUUGUUUGUUGAUUACACGUUGAGAGCUUUGAUAUGUUUGUCUAUAAUAUAUGUUUGGCUAUUAUGUUCGUUUGUGAUGUUGACAUGUUGAUUACAUCGAUUGAUUCUCUUGCCUACUUUAGCAUAGUGACUUUUCUUGUUAUAUGAUUAUUUUGCUUUCCUGGACAUGUAUAUUCUCAUUUUUGUAUAUCUUAUUCAUCUUGGCAUGAUUGAUUCUAUUCGUUGUAUAUUAUCUUGACAUAUUGUCUAUUCUUGUUAUAUUCCUAUCUUACUUAUCAUAUUUUUGCCUAGCUUGUGUGUAGAUAUGAGUUAUAUACUUGUUCUUUGCAUGACUGCUUGGUGCAUGACUGCUCUUCCUCUGUGUGAUGCAUGUAUUGUUUGUCUGUGUGAGAUACACAUCUAUCCCCUUACCUCCAACUCCCUAGUUUCGGUCGACCUUGUUUUCCUUGAUCUCGUAUUUGAUAUGAGAUUUGUUGCUUUGUUUGCUCUUCAACUGAGCUAGCGAUUAGGAGUAGGGUCUAGCGAUGGGCUAUAUCGAUGUUUGGGAGCAUUCUGGAGGAGGCCAACACGUUGAUGCUAAUUGGAGUCUGAUCUUUGAAGACUUGUAUAGCCCAGAGCUAGGUUUCAUGGAUAUUUAUGUGAUCAGUGUGUUUCUUUUUCCACUUUAGCUUCAUAGGAUUUUUGGAUGCACCCACACCACUCAUCGUGCACUUUAGUCGACUACUGAGUGUUGAGAGUUUUGAGAUGUUUCACCAUAGGAAACCCCCUAGAAUGUCGAGGUAGUGCAUGUGUGGAGGUGAUGAUCACCUUGCAUGGAAGCACCCCGUCUCUUCGGGGGAGUGCAGAGGGUUGCGUACCGCCGGAGGGUAUGAUCGUUUCUGCUAGGGAUCUUUUAAAGUCCACCCAUAUCCAUUUAAAGCCACCUUGACCUCGUAGGUUGAGCCGUAGAUUCUUCUAUUAGGACUUCCUACCUAUACGUGGGUGCAUUUGAGGGCCUUCAGAGCCUCUUUGGUCAUAGUUGGGAUUCAGUAUUCCCUCUUUUAGUCUCCAAUUGAGAGUGCACAGAGAUCAGUACGGGUUUGAGUACGGUCGGACAAUCCGUUUUCGUUUUUUAUGCCUUGCUCAUUCUAGUUCAUACUAGCAUUUCUUCCAUGUUUUCUCUGUUUUCCCUGUGGCUACCAUUCUCAUGCUUCAUGCUCUUUAGGAUUGGUUCUUCAUUCUCAGUGUGGAUUUGUCAUCUUAGAUCAGAGUAGAGGGAGACUUAGUUCGCUUUUCUGAGAGAUUAGACAUGGAUCAACGGGUUGUCACAGUUGAUUAGUUCACGACCGCUAUGGCUUCUAUUUAGGAGGCUUUGUCCAGUCUCAGACAGGAGAUAGACAGUCAGCAGAGUAAACAGCUUGUAGUUCAGGAUGAGACGCCUUAUGAUUCAUUGCCACCUUAUCUAUUACAUGGUCAUUCUGAGGUUGCCUCACCUGUAGUAGUACAUACCAAAGUCCUUGAGGAUACGCAUGCAUGGAUCGUACUGAGCAGCGUAUCAGGCAAUUGAGGGUAUUUGACAGUUCAUCAGCUUGGGAUGAUCUUGAUAGUAUACUAGUGGCUAAUCUACCAGCCAAGUUUAGGAUUCUUGACAUUGAGAGGUACACGAGCGUUGGCUGUCUAUGUAUUCAUCUUCGACUCUACAGUACUGUGAUGAGGGCCCAUGGGUUAGACAAGUCAUAGAUGAUCACCAUGUUUCCUUUAUCUUUGAGUGGUGCAGUCCACCAUUAGUUUGCAUCUUUGGAGUCUUCGCGACGCAGGAUAUGGGAUGACCUAGCUUAGGAGUUUCUGUGAUAAUUUUCAUUUAGUACUGUUGUAGAUGUGUCGAGGAGAGAGCUUGAGGGUUUCAGAUGGAGAUCAGAUGAUUCCAUGUCUUCCUUCCUCUCCCGCUGGUAGGGGAAGAUAGCAGAGAUUGUUGAUUGACCAUUAUAGAGAGGUGACUUAGUCUUGAGGGUCAUCGGAGGAUUGAUUAGAGAUCCUAGAGGGAAGUUCAGACCUAGCUAGAGUGGACCUUAUUUCAUUAGGGAGUUAACUCCAGAGGGUGUCGCAUGGUUGAUGGAUCUAGAUGGAAACCGAUUCUCAAAGCCGACCAAUGUGGAUUAGCUAAAGAGGUACUAUGUUUGAGACCAUGGUCGUAGGAUAGGUGACCAUCAUUUUGGUUAGCCAUAUACCCUUUCACCCUUUUGAUACAUAGACCGUUGCUAGCCCAUUGAGUCUCGCAUGUGUAUUAUAGCAUUUCUUUCUUAUAGCCUUGCUCAUAUUUCUACACCGGGAUAGGGGCCCUUUAGUGUAUGCACGCAUUGUUUGCGAGUCUCGUGAGUCUUGGACCUACAGGUGCAUCUUUCUCUCAUCAUUUUUUCCUACCAUCACAUUAUUGCAUUCUAUCGUAUCUCAUUGGUUGUGUUCUUCAUCUCUUUUUCUUUAUUCAAUCUGUUGCUUAUUUUGCUUCAUAUUCUUUCCACCCUAAGUAGUGAUCCUCCUCAGUUCAUUAUAUGGGGGAUAGUCACAUCAUUUCCACUAUCUAUCCUACGAACAUUGAUUUAGAGAUCCUUAGUUUGAGAAGGUCAUCUUAUCAGAGAGAGUUUGUUUGUUACCUUAGCACUUGGGAGUGUGUCUAUUUUUUAUUGAUAUCAUUUUUGGGGUUCAUUUGUUUAUGUUCAGGGUAUGUGUAUUUGUAUAUAUGUAAAAAAAAAAAAAAAAAAAAAAAAAAAAAAAAAAAAAAAAAAAAAAAAAAAAAAAAAAAAAAAAAAAAAAAAAAAAAAAAAAAAAUUCUUUAUUACUAUUAUUACCACAUGUGUGUAUGUGCAUAGUGUUCCCAAUCAUUGGGUAUGUAUAUCAAUGUCGGGGGGUCAUUUUUAUCAAGUAUGUUCUUUAUUGGAAUUUCGUAUGUGACCUCCCUAAAAUCCCAUGUUAUUUGUAUUGCUUCCCCAAAUCUAUUUGGGAAAAAAAUAAGUGACCUUCCCCUAAGGACCCCAAGUCAUUGUCCUUUCCAUCAUUACGUUCAUUAUUGAUGUGACUUCAUUUCAUGUUUGAUCUAGGUCAAUCACCACUUUUCUUCACGUAUUCAUUGUAUCCCCAUCGUUUUUAUCGUUGCUUGGGAUUCAUCUCAUUCCCUUCCCAUCUUAUUCUCUCCUUACAGCGACCCAUCUCAGGUUCAAUGCUCAUUUCGCAUCAUCAUUACACAUAUCACUAUCAGUUCAUCCCGUUUCAUUUGUCUCCUUAUCGAUAUCAUAUUCACUUUAGGCAUCCUCAGGUCCAUGGCUCAUGGGGUUCACUAUACAUGUUGCAUUUCAUAUAUGAGGGCAUGGUUUUCUAAUCAUCGGGNNNNNNNNNNNNNNNNNNNNNNNNNNNNNNNNNNNNNNNNNNNNNNNNNNNNGUUCAUUUUUAUUGUAUAUUUUGAGAGCGAGAUGAGUGAUUUAGGAUUUUUCUUUCUUAUUUUGUUUUUCCUUUUAAAAAUAAAACAAAAAUAAGUAGCGACUCCAAGUUUUUUUCUAAAAAUCAAAUUUUCACCAAACAAAAUAAAAAAGAAAGUUUUCGCCAUCGAGUGAGAACGCAUCGAGAAAAAUACAGGGUCAACACUAGGAUUAGGAGGUCAACUGAGGGAGUUUGAGAUUGUGACACAUUUUACCAAUGUUUUAAAAACCGGACCUAACCGGGCGGUCCGACCAGUCGGGCUAUCGACCGGUGACCUUUUUAGUUCAGUUCCUUCUUUUGGGCCGACUAUCAAUUGGACCGGUGUUGAACCGCUUGAGCCGAUUGUUGAACCGUCGAAUUGCUUAGAUCGGGCGAUUCUAGGAAAACUGAACGAUUCAACACCCUCGGCCUUUUUUGACUAAGUGGGCCACUCCUUCACGACCCAACAAUAAUAGUCUACCAUUUUAUUUUUUAUUUUUACAAAAUGGGUUUCUCUCCAUGGCUCAACAUUAAAUACCCCCCCAAUCUUGCAAAAUGGGCCCCCUUACUCAAGUAUCAUGCAAUAAGGCCCACCAACCACUUCGCUUAACCACCUAGCUUCAAUUAGAUGGGAAAAGGUUUAUAAAACACUCUAUUUUUUUUUUCUUACUUUUGAUGUGGGAUAAGGUAAAGGGAUUUAAAAGCAAAAAUCAACUUUGCUCCAAGCUGCAACAAGAGGGUUUGAACCACGAACCACAAGCUCAUAAUGGCAUAACCCCUCUACUAUGUUGUAUCUUUGUUUGUGUUAAUAUUUAACAGAAAAUAACUACAUAGGCUAUUUCAAAAAAUAAUAUAUAUAUAUAUAUAUACAUAUCACUUUUUUUUUCAUUUUCAAUUUGUUUUCAUAUUUAAAUACAAUUUUUUUUAUCAUUUUGAAUAUAUUUUCAUAUUUAAAUAUUGUUAUAUUUUGUUUAAUAAAUUUAAACCAUUAAUACAUUUAUAUAAAAAUGAAUAAAUAAUAUUAUAAACAUUAUUUAAUUUUUAAUUAUAUAAUUUAAAUAUUUUAUAAUUAUUUUUAAUUUUAAUAAAAUGUAAAAUAUAGAUUUAUGACAUUGCUGGUUCGACUAUGAACCGUGAACCAAUAAUUUUUUUGAUUCAAUAUCCGAUCCGGUUCUGAAAACAUUGCAUUUUACCUUCUGAUCAGAGUAGCAUCUUAUACAUAUCCAUACCUUGACUUUUUAGUCUUGAUGACCUACCCAUGUUGAGCCUGGUAUGACACCACCCAUUGGUACCACUAUAUGAUCUUGCAAUCUUUGUCCAUCUUAUCUUAGUAUAGUACCAUUGCGUAUUCUUUUCAUCAUUUCUUUGAUCUGACAAAGUAAAAUCUAAGAUGAUUGGACCUGAGCUGAGCUUUGCAUCUUGAUCAAUGAAUUAUGAUGAGAAAGUGGUUUGACUGCUUGAUGACAUUGUUGACUAUUACAUGGUUGAGAUAGGCAUAGAGUUUUAUUGUAGAGUAUCCAUAUUGAGCUUUGACACAUGCCUUCAGAGGAUAAGCAUGACUUUAGAGGUUUAGCAUGACGAGAGAUAUUGAUUUUAUGAGAUGAUGACGAGUGGCUUGUGUUGAUAGAGUGGGUUGAUUGUCAGAUGACAUUGAUGAUUAUUAUAAAGUAUCAAGAGUUGGAGCUUUCACAUGAUUUCAGUGGAGUUGAUGUGGCUAUGUUAAAUGGAUACUAGUCUUUAGUGUUGAUCAUGUGAGAUCUUGAGAGCACGAUGUUCGAGGUUGUGGUUCAAGGAUGAGUAGCCAUUAUUUCAUGAUCCUAUUUACUUUAUCACUCUCACAUAUAGAGUUACCUAUUGUUGGCCCUUCGAGCCUCACAUGAAUAUUUUAGUUUUUUUUGUCUUAUCACAUCAUUUACUUUUUUUUACCACGUUAGGGACCUUAUCGUGCUUACAUGAUUUGAUAGGAGCCUCAUGAGUUUUGACUUGACAAACGUAUUCAAGUCUUAUCUCUCACUCUUCAUUGUGAUAUUUUCUUCCACUUUGACAUCACCCUCAUCAAUUUUUUUUUUUGCUGAUAUCACAUAUCACCACUUGAGAUAUUCACUCUAUUUCUUUUCCCUCAUCAUUGUCUACUUGACAUUAUCCUUGUUUCACCUUGAUUAGUGGUUUUCCACACAUUGCUACAUGGAAAGGGUCUAACUAUUUAUCUUUAUCCCCAUUUUGCAUGUAUUUGUUUUAUUAUUCAAUACCUUUAACAUAUGUUAUUUCAUUUAUUUUGAUAUCUGUGAACAUGUAUCAUCUAUUAAUUUUGUUGUUGAUGCAUUUAUUUAUAUAAUGUUCAAUUUUUCUGAUUAUGGAACGACCCAUAAUAAUUUUUUUUUCAAAAAUUAUUUUUUAAUAAACUAUUUUGUUUGGAAUGAAAAUUUAAUCUUUUUUAAAAAUAAAUGAUUAUUUUUUAGAACUGUAACUAUUUUGUUUAAUGAUUUGAUUUGAUUUUUUUUGGGUAAGAUCUUUUUAUUUUUUAUUUAUUUAUUUACAAAUAAAGACUUUUUUUAAACAAAUCAUAAAACAAUUUAUAUAUAUAUAUAUAUAUAUAUAUAUAUAUAUAUAUGAAAGUUAAAAAGAAACAUUUUUAGAAUACAAUUGGAAAGAAAAAAAAUAUUUUUAAUUUUUUUUAAUAAAAUAAAUUUUCUCUUUUUUAAGAAAUUGAGAUUUUCUUUUAAUAAAUUUCUUUUUUUAAUAAAUUAUUAUUUUUUUUUAUAAAUAUAUUAUCAUGUUGUUAAAAAAUUUGAACUUUAUAUAUAUAUAUAGAAUAAGUUUGAAAUAAUUAAAUAAGUAUUUUCUAAUUAAAUGAAAUAAAAAAAAUCACUUUUUGGUAAAUAAAUUUGAAUUGGACUGUUAUUGCAAAUAAAAAUGAAAAAAAAAAAUCUUGUUUUUAAUAAAAGACAAGAAAAACUCUAUUUUUAGAUAAAUUUAUUAAAAUCUUCUUCUUCUUUUUUCCUUUUUCUUUUUUUUUAAUAAAAGGCAAAUUUCUCUUCUUAAUAAAAAAAAGUGAGUAAAAGUUCCUUAUUUAAAAUAAAGCUGAAAAAAAUUAUAUUUCUAAAUAAAUUUGUAGAUAAAUAAAAUUGAAUUGAGAUCUUUUUACAUACAAUUGUAAAAAUAUGAAUUUCAUUUUUUAAACAAAAUAUAAAAUUUUGAAGUUCCUUUUUUGAAUCAAAUAUCAAAUUGAACCUCUUUUAUGAAUAAAACUUGAAAAAUCUUUUUUUUUUCUUAUAAAUUAGAAACCUUUAAAUUGAAAUCUCAUUUUGUAGAAUCAAGGAUUAUUUUAUUUUAUUAUUAUUUUUUGUAAGUCCUAAUGAAAUUGAAUAAACCUUCUUUAAAAUCAAACAAAGAUAAGAUUUCUUUUUCAAUAAAUCUUUUUUUUUUUUAUAAAAUCAAAUAAUUAAUCAUUUUUGGUAAAUAAAUGAGGGAUUGAAACCUUUUUUUUUUAAAUAAUUUUUUAAAAACUUAUUUUCCUAUUAAUAAUAUUUUUUGUAUUAAUAAAAUUGGAUUGGAUUUUAAUAUUUUUGCACAUAAAAAUCUUGUUUAUUUAAUUGAAAUAUCUUUUGUAGAUAAAGUUAUAAAAAAAGAAUCAUUUUUCUAAAUAAUUUGUAAAAAACACUUUUCUAAAUAGAAGUUAAAUUGAAAUACAUUUGUAAAUAAAACUGUAAUAAUUCAUUUACUAACAAAGGUAAAUAAAAGUCAUUUUCCUAUUAAUAAAAUCAAUUUUUUUAAUGCAAUUGUUUUUAAGAAAUUCUUUUAGCAACAAUAAGUGUAAAUGACAUUUUUGAAAAUUGAAUACAAAUAAAAUCGAAUCAAUCAUUUGUUGAAAAUAAAUCAAAACUUUUUUAUAAAUAAAUAAAUUGACAUAUUAAUUCGAAAUUGUUUUGAUAAACUCAUUUGAAAUUUCUUGAAAAGGUAAUUUUUGAAAUAUCUUUAAUUUUUUUAAUUAGCUUAAUAAAUCAAUUUGCUUAUUUCUCGUCAUCUAUCUUGUACAUUCUUGCAACCUACUUUUAGGAUUUUUUUUUUCUUGUAUAUUGGUUUGUAUCCUUUAUUUUGGUAUUGAUGAUUAAUUAAUUAAUUGUCACAAUUCCCCCUAUUCAUUUAGUAGAUAUUGUAGGUAUACAGGUUUGGAGGGGUUCUAUGACUUAUCACUAUACAUUCUCGAUAGGUAACUUGACCCUUGAAUCUAGACUCAGUUUUAGAAACAUGUCUUUUCUAAAUAAGGAGUCACAUAGGGUUUUCUUUCUUAUUUUGUUUUUCAUUUUUAAAAAAUCUAAAAUAAGUGGCGACUCCAAGAUUUUUUCAAAAAAAUCAAAUUUUCAAAAAAAAAAAAAAAAAGUUCUCGUUGUUUGAGUGAGGACACAUAUGAAAAAUGGGAGUCCACAAAAUACAGGUUUGUAAAAAACACAAGUUAGUGGUAACGUUAGGCACAACUAGGUUAACCAAACCUUGAUUGAUGAAGUCCUAAAUAGCAUGUUCAAGAGUGAAACAAUGACCUGUCAAAUGCCUUGGAGUAUAGUGGUAAAGAUAGUGCUCAUGUAGUAAAAAAUAAGGAGGAUAUGGUUGCAUCAAUGCUUUGAGGGUUAAACGGAUCAAAAGACUUGCCUUAGAGAGCUUCUGGAAAACUUAACUUAAUGGCAUCCCUAAGUGUCAUAAUUGUCUCAUAGAUCUGGGUAUAAGGGGUUUCCGAUUUUGUGCAUGACGUGGAUCGAGGUCUACCAUUUGGUUUGGGGUUUGAGCUUGCCCAUCGAGAUCAUGCCUAUGUAGUCUGUUUGCACCAAGCUCACCUCAUGGUUUGAUUGAGACACUUAUCUUUCAAUUAUCCUUUACGGCCAUAUAGUCGAAAUUGGUCAGAUUAUUUUGUUUUUGCUUCUCUUAUUGCUAUAUGUUCUGAGAAGGUAUCAAUUUAUGACUUUUCUACUAGUCCUAAAGCCACUAUGGAGUAGAUGUUUAAGUAGUUACAACUUGUUGACAAAGCCCUAGGUUCCUUUACUUCUUCGAAGAUGGCUCUAUCUCCCCUAGAUAGGGGCAACAUAUUUCCUCUACACUUCCCUUGAAAGAUUGAUGAGUACAAGAGUUUGAAUCCUAUUAAGGGUUUCUUUGAUGGAGUAACUCCCAAGGAUGAUUACUGACAUGAGUUAAACCUAUUUACCAUGAUACAAAUGUCAAGAUCAAUUAAGGUGCCAGUAGUGGGGCUGUUUGACUUGUUUGGUGAGAUGACUAUUGAGGGUGUUGUAGAGACAAAUCCAUCAAUUCCCAAGGUCACCCUACCACUUAGAGCUCAACCAAUGGUACCAAAGAUUUUUAUUGCUCCUAUUUUUUAGACUAUUAAUGUAGGCCCUUCUAUUGAGCAAGAUGUUUCUUGUGAUAUUAUAUUAGGAUUUGUCUAUCAUAUUUCUAAUGAUGUACCUAUUCUUUCAUCUAUGGGUAUGAGUUAUUUUAAGUAUUUUCCUGUGUGUUCUAGUUAUGUGCAUGAUUUUUCUCUUAGCUUGUCACAACAUCCAUCUAUUUCAUUUGUUUUCGACAUAGAUGAUGCCUCAAUCACCUGAUUCGAAUUCAAAUACCCUUUUUGGUCAUUCAAGUUACAAAGUAGAGCCUACAGAUGAAGAUUCCAAGAUUAUUGAUUUGGUACCAAGGAUUAACCUUGAGAGCUCUAGAUUGGUACUUCAUUGUCUACAAAUGAGAGGGUCGACCUUAUUUAGUUGCUUAGAGCAUAUUUAGAUGUGUUUGCAUGUUCAUAUAAGGAUAUGCCAGGAUUGGAUCCAUCAAUUGUACAACAUUGCCUACCUUUACUUCCCCAUAUCAUACCAAUUAAGCAGAGAUUGAGGAUUUACUACACCCCUGAUGGAGUCUUCAACUGGAAAAGGAGAUUCAGAAGCAACUUAAUGACAGAUUCUUAUAAAUGGUUGAGUAUCUUGAGUGGCUAGCCAAUGUCAUCCCUACUUCUAAAAAGAAUAGUAAAAGUAGAGUUUGUGUGGACUUUCGAGAUCUUAAUAAGAGUAGUUCUAAGAAUGACUUUUUUCUUCCUUACAUUGACAUGCUAGUUGAUAGUAUUGUAGGUUAUUCGAUGUUAUCCUUCAUUGAUAGUUUUUCUAGCUAUAAUAAAAUCUUGAUGGCUUCGGAGGACAUGAAGAAGACCUUUUUUAUUACUGAGUGGGGUACUUACUCCUAUAUGGUGAUUCCAUUUGGGUUGAAGAAUGCAAAAGCUACUUAUCAAAGAGCAACGACUACAUUUUCCAUGACAUGAUGCAUCAGGAUGUUGAGGUUUAUGUAAACAACAUGAUAGUGAAAUCUCAAGGUAGAGUAGAUCACUUAACAACUUUGGAGAGAUUCUUUGAGAUAAUCAGACAAUUCAGAUUGAGAUUGAAUCCCAAGAAAUGCACUUUCAAGGUGACUUUUGGGAAGUUGGGUUAUAUGGUUAGUGAGAGAGGCGUAGAAGUAGAUUUGGAUAAGAUCAUAACCAUUCUUGACAUGCCUACAUUGAGGACUAAGAGAGAGAUCAUAAGUUUCUUAGGCUUACUUUAGUACAUUAGUAGGUUCAUUACUAGAUUGACAAACAUUUGUGAGCCCAUCUUUAAACUUUUGAGGAAAAGUCAACCUAUUGUUUGGGAUGAUCAAUGCCAGCACCAAUUUGAGUGGAUCAAAGAGUAUUUCUUAUCACCUCUAGUUUUGGUACCUCCUACACCAAUUCGUCUCAUACUCUAAUACAUUUUAGUUUUAUACAUAGCCUUAAGAUGCAUGUUAGCUUAGCUCAAUGAUUUGUGAAAGAAGAAAGCUAUUUAUUAUAUGAACAAGAAGAUGUUAGAUUAUGAGAUGAGGUACAUCAUGAUUAAGUGCCUUUACUCGACAUUAGUUUGAGCUACUUGAAGAUUGAGACAUUACAUGUCAGAGUAUUCAGUACAUCUAAUAUCUUGUUUGGAUCCUCUGAGAUAUUUGUUUGAUAUACUUGUUUUGACUGGUUGACUCAUGAGAUGGUUAGUGCUUCUAACUAAGUUUGAUAUUCAUUAUGUUACAAAAAAAGUCUAUCAGAGGAAGUAUUGUCACAGAUCACUUGGCUUCAUUGUCCAUUUCAGAUGAUAGAGAAAUUAAUGAUGAUUUUCUAGAUGAUGAGGUUGUUGCAAUGGCUAGCCUGUCAAGUUGGCGUAUAUACUUCGAUGGUGUAGCCAACCAUUCUGGAUAUGGAUAGGAAUCUUGUUGAUAUCCUCUCACGGUGAUCAUAUCCCUAGAUCUGUUCGUUUGGCAUUUUCUGAUCGUCCCUCUGCCAUGAAUAACAUUGUUAAGUAUGAAGCUUUUACCCUGGGAUUAGAGACAACUCUCAAGCUUAAGAUUUGAUAGAUGGAGUUGUUUGGUGACUCAAAUUUGGUGCUCAGAUAGAUUCGGGGUGACUAGAAGACUAUAGACGUGAAACUUAGACCGUAUCAUGCAUAUUUAGAGUUACUAGUUAGGGGAUUUAAUGAUUUGAGAUAUACACAUUUGCCUAGAGUACAAAACCAGUUUGUUGAUGCCUUAGCUACUCUAGCUUCCAUGAUUAAUAUUCCUACUAAUACUAUUAUUCGCGUUUUUACUGAUUGAGUCAAGAUCUGUUAUUGCCUAUUGUUGCUUGAUUAAUAAGAUAGAGUUAGAGGACAGCUUGCCCUAGUACCAUGACAUAUAUUAGUUUCUCAAAUUUGGCAUGUAUUAUGAUGUCGCUACAACCAAGGAUAGAAGAGCAUUGGGAUAGUUAGCCACUUAAUUUGUGAUUGUUGGGGAGACAUUGUAUAGACAUUCAGUUGAUGGCAUGUUACUAUUGUGCUUGGAUUGCACCUUUAUUGAUUGAGUGAUGAGAAAGGUUCAUGUAGGGGUUUACAGACCACAUAUGAGAUCACACAUGUUAGCCUAUAAGAUCAUGAGGACCAGACAUUUUUGGUUGACUAUAGAGACAAAUUGUUGCCAUUUUGUUCAGAGAUGUCCAGAAUGCCAGGUGCAUGAGGAUCUCAUUCAUGUGUCACCCUUACAGUUACAUGCAUUGACUUCACCAUGACCAUUUUCAAUUUAGAGUAUAGACAUUAUUAGGAAGAUUUUGCUGAAAUCUUCUAGUGGUCAUGAGUUCAUCCUUAUUGCCAUUGAUUACUUAACCUAAUGGGUAGAGGUUGCCUCAUAUGAGAUAUUAACAUCAAUUAGAGUUGCUAGUUUUGUUAGAUCACAUAUCAUUUAUCGUUAUGGAGUUCCUCAUAAGUUGAUUUCAAAUAGCAAAGGUUGACACCUUGUUAUAGGGAUAUGGUAUCUAGCAUCAUAGAUGUCUAUGUAUAGGUCAUAGACUAAUGAGGUAGUAGAGGCCACAACUAAAAACAUUAAGAGGAUUUUGCGAAGGAUAGUUGAGAUUUCUCGAGAUUGGUCAAAGAAACUCUCUUUUGCAUUGUGGGCGCAUCGUACCUCCUUUCACACUUCUAUAGGAGCCAUACACACGGAGCCAAUGCUACUUGUUAAGAUAAAAAUGAGAUACUUGAGGGUAGUAGAUCAUGUUCAUGCUUAUUAGAGGAAGAUGACUUGUGCUUUCAAAAAAUAGGCCAAGCCUAGAUAGUUUCAAAAUGGUGAUUUGGUGGUAAGGAUUCUUAGAGGAAUGGUUGGAGACCCUCAUGGCAAGUUCAGGCCUAAUUGGAGUGGACCCUACUUUAUUAGAGAGUUGAACCCAUGGAGGGCUGCAUGACUAAUGGAUUUAGACAGAAAAUCGGUUUUUAAAGCCAACUAAUGCAAAUUAUCUGAAGAAGUAUUAUGUUAAGACCAUGGCUAAAGGAUGGGUGGCCCUCCUUUUAGUUAACCAUAUAUCUGAUCACCUUUAGAUUUCAUAUGAUCCUUUGCUAGCCAUUUGAGCCUCACAAAAGUAGUGGCCUUCCAUUUCUUGUCACCUUGACUGCCUUUUUCACACCCAGUUAGGACCCUAUAGUGAGUGAGAUGUGUGGUUAUAGAUUUUAUGGGCGAUUGGAUCUAGAGUGAUGUUGUGUCAUCCUUGGUUCACAUUUCCAUUUCUUAUCUUUCAGCGUAUACUUUUGUAGAGUUAUUGUCGUCAAGUAUUCCUUUUUCUUCCAGGUUUGUUGUCAUUAGCUUUUUUGCUUCCCUAUUUAACAUUUUUCUCAUUUUUCUUCUUUUACUUUUUUUUUUUCAUCACCUAUUGCCAUGGGUUGGCAGUUGUUCACUCAUCUUUGUGUUGAGGAAGAUCAUAUCACUCAUUUCAAUUUCUUAUGAGUUUGAUCUUAAGACUCUAGGGUUUUAUGAGCUCUUCAUAUCCUUGAGAUAGUAUGAUCAUACUAGGGUGAGAGAUGUGAGUUUUUUUUGUUAUGCCUACCUAGUGGAGGAUUCAUGUUGCUUGUUAUACAUACUUGACUAUGAAGAGUGUUAAAAAGAAAGAAAAAAUAAAUAAAUUUUCAUACCAAAAAUAAAUUCCAGUUUAUUAAAAAAUAAUUUUUGAGAUAAGAUUUUAUUAUGGGUUCAGUCUACAAGUAGAAAAAUAGAACAUUAUAUAAAUAAAUGCAUCAACAACAAAACUAACAAAUGAUGUAUAUUCACAAGAUAUAAAAAUAAAUGAAAUAUUCUAUGUAUAGUGCAAUCCCAAAUCUAGUAGCUUUCCACAAGGUCCUCAACAAAGAGAGAAGAGAAAAAUCUAGAAAACCGUUAUCUUUCUCUUUCUUUUAUUCUAAUCCCCCUUUUUUUUUUUUAUCCCAAAUCAAGUCUCACUAGCUUUAUGCACAUGCCCAUAUAUAAUUUGUCUUCAACUACUCCAACUAAUACAUUGUGCACCAAAUUUGCCUUUUCUUGUCCUUAGUGCAAUGCCAAAACACCAACCCAAAUACAAGCAAACCUAAUCAACAAAAAUAAAAUAAAUUCAAGUAGGCCCAACAACAAUAUCCAAUAACUCAAGCCCAAUUUAAUAUCCAAUAAAUAUAUAGACCCAAAUCAUAUCAAUUAGCAGCCCAAAUCAACAACCAUGCAAGCCCAAUAUCUUUAAAGCCCAAAAACAGUACCCAAGUCUCCAAAAAAAUGCACUAUGAAGAUCUAAAGGAAGAAGAAGAGGGGACUUACCAUUUUUGAAACUUUUGAUAUGACAAUGGAAUGAAUGGGUGUCAUGGUGAAGAAAUGGCAUUAUCGACGUCAAACUGACAAUAGCUAGUUAUGGUGAGCUUCACCAUGGAUGGUGAUGGUGGUGCUCAUAGUGGGGUGGUGGUGUGGGAGUCGUGGGUAUGGUAAGUGAGUGAGAGAGAGAGAGACAGAGAGAGAGAAAUAAAAUAAAGAAAAAAGGAAAGAAAAAAAUAAAAUAAAAAGUGGCAGUAGCAUUGCCAAUGGUGAGAGUGGUAGCCAUCAUGGGUAUGAUGGUAUGGAGAAUGAUGGAAAGAAAAAGAAAACAUAAACACGGAAAGAGAAUAAGAAGAAUGAAGGAAGGAAAAGAAUGAGAAAAUAUGUGGUAAAUGGAGUAAAAGGAUGAUUGGGGCUUUUUUCAUAGGUCUUAGGGUUUCUUUUAGGGUGAAUGAUAGUGAUGAAAGAAAAAAAAAAACAGAGGGUCUAGAUUAGUUCCUUAAAAAUGGGUACAAGUGGGCAUGAAAAUGAGCUAAAAUCAAGAGGAUUAUGCUUAAAACUAACUAACCAAAAGUCCUACAAAAAAAGAAAUAAAUAAAAUAAACAAAAGUAAAAAUAAAUAAAUAAAAACAAAAACAAAAUAAAAUAAAUAAAAGUUUGGGACAAAUUUUAAAGUCUACAUAUGUGCUUAUUGGAGUUACAACCAUAUCAUUUUUAAAAUUAUUCAUUUAUUUUGAUCUUGGACAAUUGAUAAUUAAUUUAUUAAGAGAUAAUAAAUUAAUACAAGUUAAGAUAAUAUUAUUUUAUAUUAUAAAAUUUAUGCAAAUAUUUAAUAGAUGAAAAAUAAUUUAAUAAUAUAUAUUUUUAAAAUAAUCCAAAUAGAAUAUUCAAUAAUAUAAUAGAAUAUUUAUUAUUGCUUGCCUUCAUCUUUUUCAAACCCAAUGCCUUGAUUUUUUUCACCUACAUUUUCUUCGUCUUUUCCUCCAUUCCUCUUGUUCAUCUUUUUAUCUUCUCAUUUUCAUUUUUUACAAAAAAGAAAAAGAAAAGAAUGGAAGCAACAUUAAUGGUGAUGCUACCAUGUCUACAUGCUCAUAUAUAGCAAGUGAAGAUUAUGGAGCGGAAAGGUUUAGAAUUUUUAUGUGGGGGUGUGUGGUUAAAGAAGAUGAAGGUAGAUUAGUAAAAAAUUGUAUACCUUUUUUAUAUUUAAAUUAAGGGUUUAAUACAUUUUACCCUCUCAACCUAUCACAUGUUUUGCACAUUACCCUCUUAAGUUUAAAACUGAACAAAUUGUCCUCCAAGCUUCUUAAAGACCAACACUAUGCCUUUUUUGUUGGACAGAAAUGUCAUGUGUUGUGCACAUGACUUAAUAAACGAGGGUAAAAUUGUCAUUUCAAAUAUCUAAAAUCCUAAAACAUCUUCUUCUUCGUUCUUCUUCCUCAGAGAGCCCUAAAUCCCCAAGCCCUAAAAUUUGGUUUUAGUUUUCUACACAUCAUAUCAUUUGGAUUUCCACAGUUGGAUUUUCUCUUAUUAAUCACCAAUUCUAAAUCAUGUGCUCAACAACUAUAACUAAAAAAUAAAUACACAAAAUGAGAGUCCAAAACUUCUAUUUGGUUGCAUAGAAAAAAAUGAGGUUCUUCAUUUUUUGUGAGGAGAGUGAUUGAUGUUCGGGUUAGGGUGUCAGUGGGGUUCCAUAGAGGAACAAAUUAUGUUUUUGAGAGGGUGAUAAUCUUUGAUAGAAUCUUGAGGACUAAGAAUUGCAAUUGUCAUUAACGAAAAAUAGAAUGCAACAGAGGAAAAUCGGAUGAUGUGAUGAGUAGAAAACUGAAACUUUAAAGAAUUUGAGAUAAUCGAAUUUUAGGUUAGGGGAUUUAGGGCUUUGGAAGGAAGAAGAACAAAGAUGGGAGGUUUUAAAGCUUUAGGUAUUUUAAUGACAUUCUAACCCUCGCUUAUUAAGUCAUGUGCACGACACAACAUUUCCAUCAAAUCAAACUAACACUGUUCAACAAAAAAGGUAUAGUGUUGUCUUUAAGAAGUUUGGAGGACAAUUUGUUCAAUUUUAAACUUAAGGGGGCUAUGUGCAAAACACGCAAUAAGUUGAGGGUGUACGGUGUAUUUAACCCUCAAAUUAAAGUUCAAAAUAUUAGGGAUUUCCAACCUCUUAUCACUUCUUAAAAAAAAUAAAAAAAUAAAAGCCUCCCAAGGAUGAGUCACAAAAUUAAAAAAAAAAAAAAAAGAAAAGAAAAAUUAAAGGAUGUUUGAUAAAUUAAUUUAAUGACUUAAUAUGAUAUGUAACAACCUAUUUUAAGUUAUUAAACAAAUUAAGUAUAUAUAAAUUGUUAAAUAAUUUAAUAUCAUAACUUAAAGUUAAAAGUAAUUUUAAAUAUUAAAUAAAAAUCCUUGCUUUAAAUAAAGCAAAUUGGGGUCAAUUUCUCGUACUUGCUCAAUGUGUCCCAUUUCAUCAAGUGCCUUGCCCAGUUCACUGAGUUGUUGGCCUACCAAGCACUUGCCUACUGCUCUUGCUGCCCACCAAACGGGCGGAGCGCUCGAUAUCCUUACUUUUCUAGGGCCCUUCCCAUUGCUCUAAUCAUAAGUUAUGGCAACUCCAAUUGGUAACCAUAGUGGCUCGCCCUAUGAUGCGAGGCCACAAUAGGCUCAAUGGUCUAAUCAGAGUGAGAUAAACUCUUUCUUGACAUGACUCACCCUUCCCACUCUUGACAUGAUGAAAUAAAUAACUAGCACCAUUAAUUCGGGUGAUGCCUAAGGGUCAUCUCUUGCUUCUUUGAGUGAAUUUUUCAUGAACUAGGCCUUUUCAUAGCUCGGAAUAAAUUUCCAAUCAAUUCAUUCUAAAUUUUAUUUUAUUUUUAUUCCAUUUGCUCACAUAUUGACGAGAAUCUCUUUUAUGUCUCUGAUUUUACAUCCACAACUCAUCUUUUAUGGUAAAUAUUUUAUCAUUAUUUCAUGUACAAUAAUAUUUUUAAUAUGGAUAUUUAACAAAUAAAUUUGAAUUUCAAAAGAUAAUUUAAGUCAAUUAUAUCAAAUAACCUUUAUGCUUACACUAAAAAACUAAGAGUAACAUUUAAAUCAAUAAUUUAAUUUAAACUCAAUUUAAAUAUUUAAAUCAUUAAAUAAUAAUAAUAUUAAGUUUUAUCAAACAUAUUCUUUUCAGGACAGGCAAACUAUCGGAUAAUUUCUAAUUUUCAAUUGUCUCAAAAAUUUAGCUUAAAAUUUUGGGAAUUACAAUUCAUUUAAAAAAAAUUAAAAAUAGAAAAAAUGAUUAUGUAAUUCCCUUAUGUAGUCUCUGCAUGAAUCAACUGUUUCAAGGGCAUUAGAAAAGGAGUGCUGCUGCAUUCAAAAUAUUUACAUGGUACCUCAGAGCUUACUUGGAAAGGCAAAUUAUCCUUUCAUUUCAAAUUCUCAAAUGUCAUUAAUUUUGUUCAUGCUUGGAAAGGACCUGGCAUCCACUGAAUUAAAAUUAUAUAUAAGGCACCAUUUGUUUGCAAAGAACAUGAGAAAAUAGUUGAAUGCUUGGAUAUCUGGCUGCCACUGAAGUUGGAGUAGUAGUUGGAAAGCUCCAAAUUUAAUUUCUUUCCUUUUCCUAAGACUUCUUGACAACCAAACAGUCCGGAUGUAGCUGAAAGCAACCUUAGUGAAAAAGACUUGGAACUGGUGAGUAAAAACUUCAUUGAAAAGGGUUCUUUGCCAGUGGAUGUCCUAGGUUGAUAAGUUCAAAUCAUUUGAUUGGAUUUUUGAUAAAGAGCAUAUCAAGACCAAAAACUUUGUACUGCGGACAGCAGUAUUGGAUUCCGAUGAUAACUCAUUUGAAAAAUUUUCACCUCAAUAUGAAUUAUUGAUCUACUGCCUAGGGAAUCAUUUUUCCUUGAACCUUGCUUCUAAACAAUACGAUGGAGAUGUACUUCUCUAAAUACUCCAGAGGAGUUAUCCUUAUCUCCAGAAAACUGAGUAUAUGAUAAACAAGCUUAUAGUAAUAUGUAUUUUACGUAUUCUUUUGUACUUAAGUACUGUAACAGUACUUCUGGAGUCCGGAUGUUGGAUUUACAAAUCAAACUCAUUCCUGGCCAGAUCUUUCAGUUUCUCUACAAUUUGAGGUUUCUGGUUUUUGGGUUUUCAUUGACGAAUUUUCAUGUAAGUUUACUGAAAUGUAUUCAUGCCCAAGAAUAGUUUGGUUUAAGUCAGUGAAAAUUUGCUUUUUCCAUCCCCAGUUAGAUCUAUCACUAGUAGUCUAUUUUAAUACCAACAAUCAAGGAGCCUAAACCCCAAGAAGGCCCCCCAUCUGGUUUAUGCCUCUCCCAACUUGAGUCAACAAGUCUUUCAUCUUCUUCCAUCAACUCAAUCGCCAAUAAUGCUUACUUUUCUGAUUAAACCAAUCAAGUUUCGACACUAAAACUUUCCAUGCUUUAUGAAUUAUUUUGCCAUGAGAACUGAGUGAUAGCCCCAUAGGGUUGCACUGGUAAUCUCAACCAAAUGGCAUCUAGCUUUAAGAAACUCAUCUUCUGUAAAUGCAAGGCUGCAGUACAGUUAUUGAUGGUGCAAUAUUCGCGUUAUAAGCACUGCCUUCUGGAGAGGCGUAUUGAAUGUAUUUGUUUAUAUAUAUAUAAAGAAAAAUGCUAAGAUUUCAAAGCGAUACUUAUAAAACAAAAGAUUUGAACCAUUGAAUAUGUAUGGUGAGAACUUGACAGUUCAAACGUGGGUAUAAGUGAAUGGAACAAAGGUUCAAAAGUGCAAAUAAAUGGGACCAAAAUUAUAACCAAUGAGAUAUGAAAAUAUAUUCGUGAUAUCACUUGAUUGAUGAAGCAUUUUUUUAUAGAUAUCGAUGUCAUUUUUUAUAUAUUCUAUAGAUAUCGGAAAAAAAUACACUUCUAUAUUAUAACCGCAUCAUAUACAAAACCAUAUCUUGUAGUUCCUUUUGUAUUGAUUAAUAAAGAAUGCUGUUAAACUAUUCUUCUUGGCAUGAUUUAAUUAUAUGAUCAAUAGAGAGAAAAAGCAAACAGCAUGAGCCAAUGAGUAAGUCAGUUAGAACAAUGUCAUUGAUCCCCUUUCACUAGGAUGGUUCCAGAGCAUACAAAAGGGAACUGCAGUAUAUUAAUAAUUAUUUUUCGAACAUUUUCCUCUUUCCUCUUGCCUUAGCAAUCAAUUUCACCCAUGGUUCAUACUAAUGUUUACUCACUAGAUUUUUCUGGUGACCAAAUGAACCCCACAAGAUCAAUCGUGCAUGCCAUGAUUGAAACUAUGAUAAAAAAAAGCUUGGAGGGUGAUUUUGAGAAAAAUAAGUACCAUAUUAGUGGCAAAAUAUGGAUACACAAACAAACUUGAAAUAGCUAGAUGGUUGCAAUGUCUAAUUAACCAGGGAUUCCAGUUUUGGGUAUCGUGCAGAGAUGGGAAUGGAAUGCAGACUAUUACAUCUCAGUAUCAUGUCAUGUCAAAGGCAAUCAGAUUUUGUAGUUUGCAGUUGCUUUAGCAAUAAAAUGUUGGCCUGACAGUAAGCAAAACUGAAUCAACUGAUUCAAGGAGAAAAGACUGAGAAGUAGGAAGAAGGGGGACAAAAGGGAAAAUGGUUUACAGAUUGUACCUUUGCUGAUGUUGAUCCCAAUCUCCAGUACUAUGUGUAAGCACUUAAUGUUGGAUUUCUAGCUAGCCAGAUUAAAGCAACCGAGUAAUUAUAUGUCCCUGUUAAUCAAUCAAAAGGGUCAGUGCUCACUGCAUAUAUCAUGAACUUUAUUGAAGGGAAAUUUUUUUUUUACUCCGCCCCUCAUCAGCAGAUGCUUCCUCUCCUUUCUUCUCUUUAUUUUUGCCUUUUGGCCUUUUGGCAGGUCUGCAAAGGGAGGAUUUCAAGACCAAUCCCCUAUAUCCACAGAGAAGCAGGAAAAAGAAGAGGAUGUGUUGAGAAGAAGAAUACCCCUAUCCCCACACAGAAGCGGGAAAACAAAAAAGGAUGUGGAGAUAAGAAGGAGAAGAAGAAGAAGUCUUAAUUAAUUGAGUACCAAUGGAUACAUUGAAUACAGUGGCUUUUCUGUAUAUAAGGAACACUUAGACAUGGAGGAAAAGGCAACCAGAACACAAUUGUUUUUAGGGCAAAGGUGCAUGGUUAAAAUAUUAAAACCCUCUGCCCGUUCAGUAGAAAGAAAGGAACAAGAUGAAGAAGAAGAAAGCCAAGAACAAAAAAAGAAAGGAUAAAAGGAAAAAACAGUGGCCUCAUAAAUGUUGAAGCUUCCACUAAAAGAUUGAAAUCAUCAUUAAUAUAUAUGCCGGCCGUAGUCAGUACUUCCUUACACACACAGAUGGUCCCAUCUCCGAAGAGACACACAUUGCCAUAACUCAUACCUUGUCAUCAGGUUACAUCUAGAUCCCCAGGAAGGGAACACUUGAAAUUCUUACUUGUGCCAGACUUGCUGGUUUUUCCCCAUACUCGGCUUCACACCAUAAUCUUCCCACAAGUGUUCUUCAUCAAGCAGGAUGUUCAAGCAGCUACCAUGCACUGUGGUACCCACGCUGGAGUUAGAAGGUGAAAGAUGAUCCUCACUGUUCUUCUGAAGUCCUACAUUCUCAGAGCCUUGUUUGGCCAUGAUUUCCUGGCCAUGAUAGGGGUCCAGUGGCUGAAAGUAAGUGCAGGUUCUCAAAUUCUCUUUGCGCUUCUUGCUGUGCUCGGUGGUCUUGUUUAAGUAGAUGUUGAUGUUCUCCCAUUUCUGUUUACACCUCAUUGCACUUCGCUCAUAGCCCAAACAACCCAUUCUUGUGGCAAUCUCCUCCCAUAGGCUUUCUUCUGAAUACCCGCUGUCUUGAAAUCUAGAUUCCAUACUGGUCCUCAGAUGUAUCAAACUUGAGAGCUCUUGUUCUGGCCAUCUACUGUAAGUAGUGUCAUCAGGUACUUCAUUUACAAUGUCCUCCAUGCUUUCGUUCUGGUCUUGAAUUUCCUUGUCCAUUAGCCCGUCUGGAGACGACAAUUUUAGUUCUUUCCCUGUAAAUUUCUUCAGAGCCUCCAUGAGUGCAGCAUCUCGGGCUUCAAUCCAUGCUCUCUCACUAGCCCAGAAUUUAUAUUCUCGAUCGAACCGAGCUGCCUCUUGCUUCCUCCAUUCCUCCUCUCUGGACAACCUUUCCUGCUCUUUAUGCUCGAUAGUUGUCAGCAUCUUCUCCAUCCAUGCCUCUUGUGUGUCCAUUAUCUUCUUCAUGUGGAGGCCCACAAAUUCCUUUAUUUUUCCUUUCAAACUCUUCCUGACCCUCCUGUAACUUUGUCCAUCAUCUACCCCUCUUUUCUUCUCCAUGGAAUGGUUCAUCAUGUAGGCAAUAGCUGAAAGAUCAUCAUCAUUGUUUUCUGAAGAUGAAGUCUCAAAUUCAGAUGAGUUAGAGAAACUAUGGCUCUCACAGAACUUGUGGUCUUGCAAAGCUUCUUGAUUUGCUUGGUUAAUGGUGGUGUUGUUUGUAGUCUGAUAAAGAAGAGUAGUGUUCCCAGCAAGAUGGGUUUCUGAAACUGACGCUUGAUUGCUUGUUUCUCCAUAGAGUGCUUCAAGUUGUCGGAAGAACCUAUAGUGCUUCCCAUCCUGUCUUCCGGCUUUACCUUCUUUAGUUUUCUUAUAAUACUUGUACAGGUUCUCAAACUUCUCUCUGCACUUCUUCCCACUUCUCUGGUACCCAUGUUCCUCAGCCAUUAUCCUGCAACAAUUAACGAAACGAAUAAAGGAAGAAAAGUAACCCAAAAAGGGUAAAUAUAUACAUAUAUAUAUAUAUAAACAGACUAGAGAAGAAUAACCCUAGUUUGUAGUUCUUUGGCCUAGUCCCUCUUGGAAUCCUAAAACAGAUAGUCUAAGUAAUUAUAUUCAAGGAUUUUGAUACCCAAUGCAAACCUCAAAUAGUAAUUAAUGCUAUAGAUGAUAGAAAAUGUGUUUUGGUAUCUCUUUUUUGGGCAUUUCGAAAUAAUAAAAUCUUAAAAUACCCAAAACAUUCCUCUAAUCAUCAGUUAGAUGUCAUAAAAUAUUAUUCUUGUUUCUUCUCCCUUUCUGUUUGAUGGGUAUUUUACAUUAAACCAACUAAGUAAGUAGGUUUCUUGAACGACUCGAGAAUGUUGGGAUUUAGAGAAGCUUCUUGGACUGGCCAUAUCACACAAAACCAAUGUAUGAGUACAACAAUUCAGGGGCGCUGUCAGCCAUUUUUCCAGAAUAAAACCUGUUAAAAUAACUAAAAUAACAGCUGGGUCUUCCAGUUAACUCAAAAAGCUUGUCAUUUUGAAGCGCUAAACUCAGUAAACCAAACAUAAAUUCUAUCAAAAGCUUGUCAUUUUUUGCUUUAAUAAAAUAUAUACAACAUAUAUACAUAAAAACCAGUACGAAAGAAGGAAGAGAGUCAUUUUUGCUAAAGAAAAGGAAAUAGGGUUUCUUGAAAAUCUUGGAGAAAUCAUGUGUAUCAAUGAGAGAAAGAAGAAGAAAAACAAAAAAAAAAAACAUGGGUUGAGUGCAAUUCAGUCA
rnacentral:lncRNA from 1 species